rnacentral:lncRNA from 1 species
UACACUGAGCACAGGAUGCCAUGAAACAUAAUCCAGGAACCAAAUUAAUAAAAAAGGAAGCCAAACCAUUAUUUAACAAUCUGUUUUGUAUUAGGGAAAUUCAGAUAAAAUCUACUAGAGAUAAUUAGCGAACCUUAACUAUUAAUCACACCUCAUAAAUGAAGCAACAUUAAGCAUCUGCCAUCCCCACAUCAGUCAAACAUUCUCUAUAAUUCGGAACCUAAUACUUCCAUUUUCAAUUUGUGUUUUUUUUGGGUGGGGGGGAAUCAAGCUAUCGAUUUUCUAAGCUUGCUUAGCUCCUGUGUGGGAUUGAAAUGCUGAUUUCGAAUCAUUAACAGUAAAAUCGGAAGCUCAUGAAAAUAACAAAAGUUAAAAUUACAUCUCGAUAUAAAUUCUCUUCUCAUUUCCUUUAAUUUUCUAAUUAAGCUUAAAAAAAUGUACCUUAAAAUUUAAAAUAUAAAAAAAUUCAGAUAACAAUAAGUAAUUUAAUUAAAAAUAUAAAUAGAGAUUACAGAGAAAGAGAAAAUAGAGAAAGACCUAAUGUUGAGUCCUUUAGCGCAAGUCUCUUCAUAGGUCCGAACCAUUUCUUCGGGCGUGGGUUUCGGGUCUUUAGGAAACUCCAUAGUGAUAAGCCAGUGAUUGUAAUCGCAACCCUCGAACAGAAUCGUGUCGGGUGUGAUCUCGUCGCCGUCCUUAUACAAGUGGUACGUCUUGUUACCCGACGGCGUAGACGAGAGGGAGAUCGUCGGGGACGAUCUGAACGGCCGAGAUUGGACGAUGAUGGAGGAGCACGGGAUUAGCGAUGACGACGCCGAUGAAAUGGAAGGGUUUACGAGAGUAGAUGCGGAGAGUGCAGGGACGGCCAGAGAGAGAGAGCGUCGGAGAGCGGCGACGGCCGGUAGUGACCGGCGGAGGCGGAGGAUGGCGGUGUGGGCCAUUGCUUGCGCGUCAGUGAGUGUCUCGAGUGAGAGAGUGAAGGGUUUUGUUUAGGGUUUUGGGAAAUAUGAAAAAUGUAAAUGUUGGAUUUUGUUGCCAGAAACUUCUUCUGCCGCUGCUUUUUAUUUUCGCUAUAAAAAUAAUAAUUAUCAAAUAUUUUCUUAAAAAAGAUAAAUUUCUAGAUCAAAAUUUAUAUUAAAUCAAAUUGUAAAAAUGUGGAAUAGGGUUAAUUUCUCCUUGAUAUAUUUCAGAGUUGUAUUAUAGAUGUAUAUGUAUCUAGAUUGUAAUUAUAUUUUUAAAAAAUUAAAUUUUUAAUUAUUGCACAAUAAAUGUAGAAAGUAUCUAUAAAAUAAUAUUAUUAGGAUUACGAAAAGAUAUUAUUUUGGACAAGUUAUUUGUUUAUUAUUGAAUGAAUAAUUUAUUGAAUUAUUGAUAAAUAAAUAUUUAUUAAUUUAAAGAUUUUUUUUUUAGUUUUAAUAAAAGUUUUGUUGGGAAAUUUAUAAAAAUGGCCAUAAAACUUUUGUGUUUUUCAACUUUAAUCCUCUAAAGUUUUUUCUAUCAUAACUAGCCAAACACCCUAUGUUUGGACUGUAUUACCCUCAUCACUUUCAUCAAAUUUACAAAGUCAUGCCACUUUUUCAAUUCCAGUACAAGUAAAUACGGAUCUUCCUCAACAACUUAACAAACCUUCAUCACUCUCAACAAAUUUCAUCAUUCUCGAUAAAUCAAUUGCAUAAUUGAAUAUAUAAUCAUCAAUGGGAGAGCUUCUUAAAAUUAGUUUAUACUCUUACAUAAUGUAAACCUUUAAUCUAUUAAUUUUAUCAACUAAGUUCGAAAUUAAAGUGGGUUUUGUUGCAAAUAUUGUCAUUUUCCAUUCAUAAAACAAUGUGAUUUGUUAAAGUACUUAGUUUGAAUUGAGAAAUGAAGUAAAAUCAUUGAAAACACAGAAAAAUCGGGCAAAAAACGAAGUUCAGAACAAGUGAGACAUGCAAGUGGGACAGGUGCAUGUCUCACAUAAACGCACUGCAUUUAUGUGAGACAGGCACCUGUCCCACUGCCUGUCGCACAUAAACCCACGGAUUUUAUGGAGUACAUAAUUUUGGAUUUGAUUUGUCUCGUCGUAAGCUUCGAAACGGUAUAUUAUAUGCCUAAAACGGACAUAUAUAGCUCAAGUUAUGGCUUUCGAAACAUAUAUGAAAUUUAGUGAGACAGGCAAGUGGGACAGGUGCCUGUCGCACAUAAACGCACUGCGUUUAUGUGCGACAGGCACCUGUCCCACUGCUUUUCGCACAUAAACCCACGGAUUUUAUGGAGUACAUGAUUUUGGAUUUUAUUUGUCUCGUCGUAAGCUUCGAAACGGUAUAUUAUACGCCUAAAACGGACAUAUAUAGCUCAAGUUAUGGCUUUCGAAACAUAUAUGAAAUUUAGUGAGACAGACACCUGUCCCACUGCUUUUCGCACAUAAACCCACGGAUUUUAUGGAGUACAUGAUUUUGGAUUUUAUUUUUCUCGUCGUAAGCUUCGAAACGGUAUAUUAUACGCCUAAAACGGACAUAUAUAGCUCAAGUUAUGGCUUUCGAAACAUAUAUGAAAUUUAGUGAGACAGGCAAGUGGGACAGGUGCCUGUCGCACAUAAACGCACUGAUUUUAUGGAGUACAUGAUUUUGGAUUUUAUUUGUCUCAUCGUAAGCUUCGAAACGGUAUAUUAUACGCCUAAAACGGACAUAUAUAGCUCAAGUUAUGGCUUUCGAAACAUAUAUGAAAUUUAGUGAGACAGGCAAGUGGGACAAGUGCCUAUCUCACUAAAUUUCAUAUAUGUUUCGAAAGCCAUAACUUGAGCUAUAUAUGCCCGUUUUAGGCAUAUAAUAUACCGUUUCGAAGCUUACGACGAGACAAAUAAAAUCCAAAAUCAUGUACUCCAUAAAAUCCGUGAGUUUAUGUGUGAUAGGCAGUGGGACAGGUGCCUGUCGCACAUAAAUGCAGUGCGUUUAUGUGAGACAGACACCUGUCCCACUUGCAUGUCUCACUUGUUCUGAACUUCGUUUUUUGCCCGAUUUUUCUGUGUUUUCAAUGAUUUUUCUUGAUUUCUCAACUCAAACUAAGUACUUUAACAAAUCACAUUGUUUUAUGAAUGAAAAAUGACAAUAUUUGCAACAAAACCCACUUUAAUUUCGGACUUAGUUGAUAAAAUCAAUAGAUUAAAGGUUUACAUUGUGUAAGAGCAUAAACUAAUUUUAAGAAGCUCUCCCAUUGAUGAUUAUAUAUUCAAUUAUACAAUUAAUUGAAGGUUUGUUGAGAGUGAUGAAGGUUUGUUAAGUUGUUGAGGAAGAUCCGCAUUUACUUGUACUGGAAUUGAAAAAGUGGCAUGGCUUUGUAAAUUUGAUGAAAGUGAUGAGGGUAAUGUAGUCCAAACAUAGGGUGUUUGGCUAGUUAUGAUAGAAAAAACUUUGGGGGGUUAAAGUUGAAAAACGCAAAAGUUUUAUGGCCAUUUUUGUAAAUUUCCCAGUUUUGUUGGUAGACGCACAAACUCAUAAGGAAAUACAAAAAGUGCUUCCUCAAAUCAAUAAUAUUUACUUUAAUUCAUAAUAAUAUAACUUAAUUAGGAAACUUGUAAUUAUACUGUUUAUUUUUUUCUUUGUUCAGUUUGGUGGGACAAUGUGAUAAAUCAUUAGAUUAAAAUGCAUUUCUAAAUGCACUAAUUUUCUAGAUGAAUUUUUUCCUACAUGCUUGUUCUCAUAUGACCCAAAAUCCUGCUACAUCAGUUGUAUUAGAAAUUAAUCACGUGGGCUACAAUUCUGCAUCCCCACCAAUAUUUAAGCAAUCUACAGAAACAUUUCUUGAGGAAAGAAACUCACAUCGGCACUAGGCUUUCAAUGAGGCUCAUUUUUAUGAAUCUGGAUAGCAUUAGAUAUCUCUCCGAAUACUGGUGGGAGUAGAUCGCAGAUCUCUGGGCUAUACUACAAAGUGUACGUACGUUGACUCUCAAUAAAUACAAACGAUUCUCUGAUAUGAUUCAAAACAUCAGUGCAUGCAUCAUUUUAACGAGAGAGAAUAUUCUAAGAACGAAAUUGAAGGUGCAAUCAGCAGCUAAAAUGAAGCCAGAAAUGUACACGCAUGAGGAACGUUUCCUAGAAGAUUGAUAUUUCUUUGACUAGCAAACCAUACACGUCAAAGCUAGCCAAACCAUACUUGCAAGUCGGGGGUUUAAAUGGAGUACUUCUAAGCAUAAAACAUUGAUUAAAACAGAAUACACACAUACAUACCAGCAAAUUCAAUAUAGCAAAAGGAGUGCAAAAGUUCAUGUUUGUAGACAACAUUGCAACCAUGGCAUGUUUAUAGCAAAUCCUCGAAAUCUGCUAAAUAAAACAAUGCCUUGUCUCAUGAAUCAAUGCUGAAUUAAAAUUGAAACUGAAAGUCCGGCUGGCGUUGUUUCCCUCUCCAAUUUUGCCUACAUAAGUGAAAAUAAGAAUAAUAAAUGAAAAUCUGCUUUUACAGUUCUUAUUAGAUAGAUAAAAGGGGGAUCUUUCUUUGUUUCUCUGCUGCAAUGUGUGGCUAUCCCACUCUGUUUUGCCACCCAAGCUGAGUCUAUGUUGAGACAUAAUUUUGACAUCAGAAGCAAUCUCAAUUAGUUUGGCACUUUUAUGACCUCCUUGAAGGUUUUACGAUAAACAUAAAUCUACUGAGAAAGUGGGAAAAAAAAGAAAAUGCAUAUAAAAAUAUGAGUUAUCAGAUAAGAUUAAAACUCACCCAAUUCAAUCCAUCAGAUUCCGUAAGGAUAUAACUGGAUGUCAUACCGCCACUCCAUAUCCUUGAAAGUCCGUAGUGUUUGUCUCAACUCUGUCUGAGGCCAAUGUAAAUUCAAUUUGCGCAAGCUCUUUAUGCACCACAGCUCUUCUGGAAGCUUUCUCAAGUAAGCACAUGGGUUGACAAUUAAGCUUUCAAGUUUCGGCAUUGCUCCAGCCCCCAUCGUCCACUCAUCUAGCCAAUACAUUGAUUUCAGGUGCAAAACCUUAAGUUCGGGAAAGCUACUCAAGCCAACACAAGCAAGCUUUCUUCCUAAAUACGAGUUCUGCUUCAGUUUCAGCACUCGAAGGCGUGGAAGAUUUUCCAGAAUUGGCAUGGGAUCCUCCAUUAGCUUAGUAUUUGAUAAGCUCAGUUGGAUCAGACUUGGGGGAAAUUGGUAUUCAGACAGGACCAUCCGUGAGGGCUUGCUCUCAUUCACCAGCUUCAAGCAUUCAAGUUUGUGGAGUUCGCAAAGGCUUUUGGAAACCCCAGACUGAUAGUAACUCAAAUCUCCAGAUAUCCGAAGAGUCUGAACACUAGGUAGUCUGCCCAAUAUAUCAGGAGUACAACUACUAGGGUUUAAAGCUGAUAUGAAAAUGAGAUUUUUCAGAGAGCUAGAAUAAUUUUUUGGAGGUGCGGGCAGAGUGAUAGAACCAAAGUUUAGAUGCAUGAGUUUUUGCAUCAUCCAAAUAUCCUCUGGUGAAUGAUCUAUGUCGCUAGAUGGCAUUUCUAGUGUUUGAAGGUUUAAAAGGGUGCAUAGCAUUGAAGGAAGGCAUUUGAGCGAAGGGAUAUUCAAUUUCAAAUACUUCAAAAGGAAUAAAUUUUCUAAUCCGGGUGGAUAUUGGUCCAGGACUGCAGAACCCAUGUUCAGUACCCGAAGGUAUUUGAACAUUUUACAAAAGUUCUCGCAAUCUAUCAGAGCGAGACGAUCGCUUUCUGAACUGUGAUUCAGAAAAGAUUGGAGAUACAUGUCAGAAUGUUCUAGAGAAAGGAACUCAAUCAGACGUUCCACAAUGAAGCACCGUUUAACAUUUGCCGUUGAUUCCUCUUCCAUGUCAGGCGUCCAGACAAAUCCCGCCUUCUUUGCCAACAAUAACAAUGAAGUAAAUACAAAACUUGGAACAUAACACGCUUUAAUUGUGCCGCCGGCGCUUCUCUUACUCACUUGAAUGAAGCCGCGAUGGAUUAGUUCUUUCAAGUAAUGUUCGGCAGUUUCUUCACCGUUGUAUGGUAUGAAACCUUCAGCUACCCACAAAUGAUAUAAUUGCCUCGUGGAUAUCUCAAUGCCUGGAAGGAAGACACACAAAUAGAUGCAGCAGAUUUUCAAGUGAAAAGGUAACUCCAACACAGAAAAAAUUUGUCUCCAAACUGUCGGAAUCGCUUCGCCUUGAACAUAAUUUUCCAAUGGCAUACUUCCAUAGUGUAGGAUGAAAAAUUGCCAGGCUUCAUGCUUUAAUCUGAUCAAUGGUCCUCCAAUGAGCACUGAAUCAAGCCGAAUCUUCUCUCCGUUUUCCAUUUCCAGCGACGCAAGGAGGUCUGGAUCAGUGACCAAUAUCAAUACUCUGCUUCCAUUCUGAUCAUCUGGAAGAAGUUCUAAAACAUCACUCCAUAUCUCACUGUCAUCGAAGACAUCAUCAAGCACAAUAAAGUACUUCUUGUUUGUUAGGUAAUCUCGAAGAAUAGAUUUCUUCAAUUGAUGCUCUUCACCGAUAAUUACACUAACCCGAGCUGGAGGCAUCACAGACUUGAUUAUGCCAUCCAAUAUCUUGCCGUAAUCAUAGCUUAGAGAAACCCUGACCCAAGAAAGACAGUCAAAAUAGAACUUGACAUGGUUAUUAUUAUAAGUAUCUGCAGCAAAAGCAGUCUUAUCGAAGCCACUGCUGUCGAGAAUUGCAACCACUGAAAGCCCAGAUGGUCCCUCAAUCAAUAGAUCAAAAAACUUCUCUCUGCCCCUUUCAAAUUCACUGAUAUCGAGCCGAGGUUGUCCCUCAUUCAAUAGGCGAAUGAUUUCGUUACUUUUUUCACUGAUAUCAAAACCAUUGUCGCCGGGUGGAAGUUGUUGCAUCCGAUUUCUAAUAUCAAUGAUUUUAGUGUGGAGUCCAACAAGAAGAGCCAUAUCAGUACUGCUUUCACUUUCGUUUUCACUGUUUUGCUGCUGCAUUAUGUUGAUGAAGAAUCUGUCAAUGGCUUCCUCAGAUUCAUGGACAACGGGAUUGAUGUCCUCCAGAAUUUCCAAAAUAUCUGCUGUUUCAACGUCUUCUUCAUCGCUUUCUUCUAAGUCCAACAGUUGCAAAAAAGGCAAUGAUAUUUUAGAGUCAUCCAAAUCUUCUGUAAGGAGUUGAAACAAAUGCCGAGCCAUGUCAGCUUCAUAUUUUCCCAGCAGAGUACUAGCAAUAAUUUCGGACUCCGUAAGAAGGUUUUGACAAAGUGGAGUUAAAUUUGUUGAAUCUGGCAGCGGCAACGUGCCUUCUUCACCUGCUAACACCCUCUCCAACCUCUCACAAAACAGUCGGAGGUGGACGUCCAGCAUAUCUCCUUCUCUCCGCAGCACUCAGAGGUAUAGUUGAAAGAUUAAACACCAUGGAAGAAUUUGAAAGGAAAAUGCCAAGAAACUGUGUAAGUGGCUAAAUUCCACAAAUGCGGCAUUAUUGCUCAUUUUUUAACUCAAAAAAUUGAUACGCGUUCAUUUAGAGAAAAGUCCAAGACGCGUGCCUUUUGAAAAGAACAGGUAUCCCAAUCGGUAUACAACCUUUAUCUUAUUUAAUUACUACCAUGACAUAAUUGAUGGUGCUUAAAUCAAUUGUUUCUUUUUUAAUUUAAAGAAUUUUUCAUUAAAAAAAUAUUUUAAUAUCAAAUUGCCUUCAGUGGCGUAACUGCCUCAAGCCCAGUAACAGGACUAAUUAAAAAUUUUACAAUUUUUGGGCAUGGAAAUAAUAGUAUUAAACGUUAGAAAGGUGAGGUUGUUCUGUUAAAGAAUUGAUAUUGACAUAAUUUUAUUUUGGUUUUCGUGGAAAACAAAAAUUUGUUGACAAGCAAGAAAGUAUUUUUAUAUUUUAAAAUUUAUUAUGCAUAUUUUAUCAUAUUAAAGUAGUUUUAAUAAUAAAUAGAAACAUAAUAUUACGAUAAAUAAAUUAAAAUUUAACUUAUUUUGAAUAUUAUAAAAAAUAAUUUUAAUAUUAUUAAUAGGAAGACAUUUUGUUAAUUUUAAAAUUUUUUAACCCAAUGGUUUAUUUAAAAUCUUUAUUAUAAAUACAAAUAUAAAAUUAAAUAUCAUAAUUUAAAAUUUUUAAUAUUAUUUUAAGUAUUAAAAAUAUUUUAAUGUUAUUAGUCUACUACAUAGAUCAUAUUACUUAUAUAAUAUUUGUAUUAUUAAAAAUUCUUAAAAUCAAAUUUUUAGUUAGUAUAUUCAUGAGGUAUUAUGGUUAAAAAAAAAAGACCUUAUUGUUACUUUUUAAAAAAUUGAGGGCCUGCGUGAUAAUUUUUUCAAAAAGAAAAUGUAUCUAGGAGGGGGAUCCAGGUAGGGUACCACUGUGGUACCGUACCACGGGUUUUGUCUUUUGUGCCAGUAAUGUUGUAAAAUUUCAUUGAACCCCUUUCAUUUAUUUUUAUUUAAACUUUACCUCAUAAAUAUUAAAUUAAUUUCUAUUGCAUCCAUAUAAACAUUAUAAUAAGCACCUUAUACUAUUUGUUAUUUAUACAUUUUUCUUCUAUAUUGCACCUUUAUCACAAUACCCCCUCUUUAUCAAAAUACCGGCGAACCCGACCCGAAUUUCGUUUCCAUUUCCGUCCAUGCCACCGGCCAAGGUUGGUACCGAUCGGAAGAUCGUGCGACGCCGGUCAUCUCCACGCCAUCAUUGUCGCAAAAAUAACAAGGUCAACCCGACCCUCGAACCAGACCCGGAUUUUGUUUCCGUUUCCGGCUACUCCACCGGCCAAGGUUGGUACCAAUCGGAAGCUCGUGCGACGCCGGUCAUCUUCAUGCCAUCCUUGUCACAGUAAAGCAUUCGGAAAGCUGCCGAUCGAAGCCGUGAAAAGUCAUAGAAUUCCCGCUUCAAUUCACCACGGUUUCUCUGGUUUCCGGUGACGCCACCACUUGAGUUUUGUUCUCCACAGUUCCCUCUGUCUUUUCUGACCGACCACAGCCACCGGAGGAGCCGAUUUGUCGUUGAUCGGCCGUUGAAGGAUUCACGGGUUUGGGAGAAAUGAACUUAAUAUUUGUGAAGCAAAGUUCAAAUAUGAAUAAGUGAAAGGGCUUCAUGAAAUUUUAUACAGAAAAGACAAAAGCGGUGGCAUGGUGCCACUGUUGCACGAUAGGCGAGUCCCUAGGAGGGAUAGAGAAACAUGACUCCCAAAAUCUCUCACCCUUUUUUAAUUAAAAAAAUUAAAAUAUUAAUAAAAAUAAUAAAGAAAAUAGAAUUUUAUCUGCUCCUUACUCCAUUUUUGCAACUCUCUCACCAUCUCUGUCGAGCAGCCCUCUCUCUCACUGUCUCUCACUAUUUCACGAUCUCUCUCUCACUCACACAGGCAAUGACCAUCUCAUCGUCGGCGGUCGUGUCGUCAUUGUCACUGUUCUUGCUCGACCGAGAGACAGUGAGAGAGAGGUUUGUUAGAUGGAGUUAGUGAGAGAGAGUUGUAAAGAUGGAAUGAUGAUAAAGGAUUUUAAUUUUUUAUUGUUUUUUAUUAAUAUUUUAAUUUUUAAAAUUAAAAUGUGCUGCCGUUUCUCUCGCCUUUUUAACUGCUUAACUUAACAUUUUUUAAUUGUAAAAUCUUUUUAAUACAAAAAUUCAUUUAAAAUCUUUAUAAUAAAUACAAAUAUAAAAUUAAAAAAUAUCAUAAUUUAAAUUUUUUAAUAUUAUUUAAAUAUUAAAAAUACUUUAAUAUUAUUAGUCUACUACAUAAAAUAUAUUAUUUAUAUUAUAUUCGUAUUGAUUAAAACGUUUUAAAGUCAAAUUUUUAAUUAGUGUAUUCAAAGAUACAAAAGAUUUUAGUAUUAUUUUUUAAAAAUUUCAGGAUAUGAAUGAUAAUUUUUUUCAAAUUUUAACGAUGUAAGAAUCUUUUUUUCUGAUAAUUUAUUUCACUUUUGAGAGAAUCCGAAAACGUUAAUUUAACAUUCUUUACCUUUGUGAAAAAAGUGAAAAUCAAGAACUAUUCAAUUUUGUUUUUAUUUGUAAUUCAAAAUUUUAUUCAUUUUCGAUGCUUUUCAAAAGAGAUUCCUUUAAAUCCUUUUGGUGUCUGCAGCUCCUGCUAUUCUCAUAAAUCUCCAUCCCACAUCUACACUAUCAAACUAGUUGAUGGAAAUUCUUAUAAAAAAAAAAAAAAAAAAAAAAAAAAAGGUUGAUGGAAAUUGAUCAAUUACUUUUUGAAGUGGACCCAUUGAGUCAUGUUCAUUUCUGGUCAUUGUCUACUCUUUCUAUCAGCCAUUUAUUUUGACUAUUUGCGAUCUUAUCUGGACCAACUCCAAUUAUUUAUGUAACGAACUCCAAAGGUUGCAUCUACAGUUGAAUGUAAGAUAGCGAAAGCUCUUCUUUGAGAAAAUAGAGGAACCUUUCUCUGUUUCUCCGUUGCAACGUGCGCAUAUAAAUUUCUUUACCUUACAGUUUAUACGGUCUUGCUGUUAAUGAAUUCGCUGAGGCAUUAUUGAUCCAAUCUGAGUGAAGUAAUUGUGGGUGAAAAAUAAAUAAAAGGAUAUGAGAACGUAGCUGAAGUGCUGAAGGGGCUAUUAAAGAAGAGUGUCACUUGAUCACAAUCACAUUGAUGCACAACUCACUCGUGGCAAAUUUCGACUAUACGUUCUGCAAAUUCAGCCAAACCAUACAUGCAUGAACAAAACUAAAAUUAGAAAAAUGAGGGGUGAAUUGUUAACUCAGUAAAAAAAAAAAAAAAAACUCAUGCAUAAGAUUACUAAUAAUAUAAAUUAUAUAUUAAUCAUUGUAAAGAAUCAUAAAUUAGAAAAAUUAAUCAUUUUAUAAUUUAUUACACAAGUAAGAUAAAUCUUAUAAUAAGUUAUAACAUAAAAAACGUUAUCAAUAUAUAAUCAUUUAAGAAGUCAUUUAACAAUAAAAUCGUUCUUUGAUCAGUUGGUCAUGUCACAUAGUAUCAUCUAUAUUUAUGGUGAUAAUAUUAUUACUUAGUAUUAUCAAAAAACAUGAUUUAACAUUUAGAGGAAAUUCUUGCCUUUUAAAAAAAACAUCUAUGCAACAGCUACCCAUGCUUUAUCUUACCAUGAAAAAUAUUUUCUCAAUGAAAGAAAAUUUUUUAAAAUUUGAUUUAAUGCACAAAUAUGAUGAUUUUUGCAAAAAUUAGUUUUGGAAAACAUAGUGAGAGAAAAUAGUGACGAUUAUUGUUUAAAUGUAUAAAUAGCCUAAACAUAAUCCUUAAUACCAAUAUCCUAAUAUCCUAAUGCAUCUUAUCAUCUUUCAUGAUAUUCUUUGAUUUAUGUCCAUUGGUUCAAGAUUUGAAUUUGAUCAUUAAAUCAUGUUCAAUAAUAUUAGAGAUUCUAACAAAUGAGUACCAACUUAAAUCCCAAUGUUAUGUGUCAUUGACCAAUUUUGUGUCAUUUUGUUAUUAACUAGGUGAUGAAUUUCUAGUUGAUAAAAUCACUUAAAAAUAUCUUAAAAAUCAGACAAUAGUUUGCUUAAUUUUUCCAAGUUAACUGCUCAAGAUGCUCUAUUAUAAAUGAUAACCUAAUUAUAUUCAUAAAAAAAUGAUAUAUUUUUUGUGGUGUUGAUAAUGAGAUUAUCAUUCAACAUUUUAAAAUGUGAAAACAUAUGGAAGAUGGUUGUAAAUUGAUUGAAUGAAAAUAUUUCAGUGAAGUCUCAAAAAUUUGGUACUUGUUGUCUUAUCGAAAGUUUUCUAAAUUAUAUUCGUGGCACAGCCACUAUCCAAACCAUACAAGUCCAAAGCUAUCCAAACCAUACCUGCAAGUCCGGGGCUUAAAUGGAGUACUUCUAAGCAAAAAAACAUUGACUAAAAUAGAAUAUAUACAUACAGACACACAUACAUACCAGCAUAUUCAAAAUAGCAAAAGGAGUGCAAAAGUUCAAGUUUGUAGACAACAUUGCAACCAUAGCAUGUUUAUAGCAAACCUCAAAAUCUGCUAAAUAAAACAAUGCCCCGUCUCAUGAAUCAAUGCUGAAUUAAAAUUGAAACUGAAAGUCUGGAUGGUGUUGUUUGUUGAGAAUGUCAAAUAAAACGGCAUUGAAUGAAGUUUUCAAAGGCAGAAUCCGCACUUGUCAAAGACACGAUCCGCGCCGAACGGAUCGACACAGAAACCAAAUUCGUCCCACAACCAUUUUUUCCACCAUUUUCUUCCUUAAAACCAUUCUUACAGAAAUCCAUGCCGAUCAAAAAACAUGAAAGACAAAUUACACAUGUGCAGUAACCAAUGAUCAUAUUUCGUUACUGUCAAACACAAUGCAUCUGAGCAAAACAUUGGAAGCCAACACCAGAAUACAUAUGAAUAAACAAUUAAAGAUAGAGAAAAAAGGCUUAAACCUUGGGGGGAAAAAGUGAAAAAACAUGAAAGACAAAUUACACAUGUGCAGUAACCAUCGAACUUAUCAGUGACAGCUGCAUCCAUUACAUUGCUCCAACAACACAAUGGCAAACCACCAGUUUCAAAUUGAGGAUAGCUAUCGAGAAUGAGAAAGCGUCCAAAACGUCAUAAAUAGACAUGUUCCUAUUGUGCAUAAUUUACAUUAUAGGCAAAUAUUCUUAUACCGUCAAAGGCAAAACAUGACACUAACAAUUGAAUCCCCCCCCCCCCCCCCCCAAAACCAAAAAAAAAAAGGAAAAAACAAUACAGAAAAGAUCGAAACAGAUAAGGCUACACUGAGCACAGGAUGCCAUGAAACAUAAUCCAGGAACCAAAUUAAUAAAAAAGGAAGCCAAACCAUUAUUUAACAAUCUGUUUUGUAUCUGGGAAAGUCUGAUAAAAUCUACUUAGGGAUAAUUAGAGAACCUCAACUAUUAAUCACACCUCAUAAAUGAACUAACAUUAACCAUCUACCAUCCCCACGUCACACAAACAUUCUCUAUACUUCUGAACCUAAUACUUCCAUCUUCAAUCGGGGUUUUUUUUUUGGGGGGGGGGGGGGGGAGCUAUCAAUUUUCUAAGCUUGCUUAGCUUCUGUGUGGGAUUGAAAUGCUGAUUUCGAAUCACUAACAGUAAAAUUGGAAGCUCAUGAAAUAAUCAUGCAAUAGCUUAUUAUAUUGUUUUAGGUCAUUUUUUUCAACUAUUUUCUUGUUAAUAAAUGUCUUGAAAAGCUACAAGAUAAUAUUUCUCUUGCUGGUCGUGUGAAUAUGGAAGAGAUGGCCGAGAGCUAGGCAGCUAGCUAAUAGAAAUUUUUAUGCCUCAUACAUACUAAAUACAAGUCCAAAAGCAUUUCCCAUCUAGUCAAAAUAGAUAAAAAUUAAAGGCAUACGUAUGCUUUCUUAAUCAUCACACGCACUAAUUAAAUAUUAAUUGAAAAUCCUAGUUAAUCAGUAAAAUUAGCAACGGUGGCACCAGGCUUACAAGCCUUAGCCAUAGGGCUUGGGUGAACAAAAGGGCUGGGCCUCACGGGCUUCCCCAUAAGCUCUCCCGGCAGAUCCUUAAUGCCCUUCAAAUAAAAAGUAUAGAACAGCUUAAAUGGAAACACAAGUUGCUUCAGCUUAACCUGCCCACUCACUCCUUCAAAGAUCCCUGACCCUCCAGUCACAGCAAGACAAGUGUCCUUGUAUGUCAAAUAAGACCCCUGCACCGAUAUGUGACCGUAGUCUCCGAAGUAGAAGCUGUAUACGGCUUCGUAUCUGUCACCUUUCAUUGGCUUGUGCUGGAUCAAAAUGCAAAUUCCUGCUGUAAUUCCCACUCGCUUUUGCAAGUCUCCGCUAUAUAACUGCAAUACAUUAAAAAGAUUAUAUAUUAACAAUUCUAUGUAUACUAGUAACAAUAGAAUAAGCGAUAUUGGUGAUCAUGUUGCGGUAUAUCAUAUUGUCACCCAAUUUUUUUUUUUUUCAUAAUUGACGACUUCAACAAGAUUCACAUACGAUAAAUUACUAAUUUUAUAUCACAUCAGGUUAUAAUUUGUAUGAAGUAAUCUGAAUAUAGAACUUUUGUGCGUAUUAAUAUAAUUGAAACACGAAGGAUGAUUAACUUGCAAAACAAAUGGGUACUAUGAAAAAUUAAUUUACUUUGUUGCUAAAAGGGACAAGAUCACCGAGUGAAUUGAUGAAACAUUUCUUGCUCAACCGGAGAUAGGCUGGGCUCCCACGAUCUAGCUCGUUGAUCUCAUAAACAUACAAUUCUUGAACUUUGGCUACAAUUAAUCAAAGAUAAAACGGUAAAGAGAAUGAUUAACAAGAUACGUCAAAUUAAAAACAGAGGAAUGUUAAGAAAAAAAAAAAAAGAUACUAAUCAAAUUGUUUUAGCAAUUUGAUUGAAAGUGCGGCUGCACUAAUUUUCUAGAUGAAUUUUUCCUACAUGCUUGUUCUCGUAUGACCCAAAAUCCUGCUACAUCAGUUGUAUUAGAAAUUAAUCAACUGGGUUACAAUUAUGCAUCCCCACCAAUAUUUAAGCAAUUUAAUUACAGAAACAUUUCUUGGGGAAAGAAACUCAUAUCGCCACUAGGCUUUUAAUGAGGCUCAUUUUUAUGAAUCUGGAUGGCAUUAGAUAUCUCUACGAAUAUUGGUGGGAGUAGAUCGCAGAUCUCUGGGCUAUACUACAAAGUGUAUGUACGUUGACUCGCAAUAAAUACAAACGACUCUCUGAUAUGAUUCAAAACAUCAGUGCAUGCAUCAUUUUAACGAGAGAGAAUAUUCUAAGAACGAAAUUGAAGGUGCAAUCAGCAGCUAAAAUGAAGCCAGAAAUGUACACGCAUGAGGAAUUUUUCCUAGAAGAUUGAUAUUUCUUUGACUAGCAAACCAUACAAGUCCAAAGCUAGCCAAACCAUACCUGCAAGUCGGGGGUUUAAAUGGAGUACUUCUAAGCAUAAAACAUUAAUCAAAACACAGUACAGACACACACACACACCCCUACAUACAUACCAGCAAAAAUCCACUGAGAAAGUGGGAAAAAAAGAAAAUGCAUAUAAAAGUAUGAGUUAUCAGAUAAGAUUAAAACUCACCCAAUUCAAUCCAUCAGAUUCCAUAAGGAUAUAACUGGAUGUCAUACCGCCACUCCAUAUCCUUGAAAGUCCGUAGUGUUUGUCUCAACUCUGUCUGAGGCCAAUGUAAAUUCAAUUUGCGCAAGCUCUUUAUGCACCACAGCUCUUCUGGAAGCUUUCUCAAGUAAGCACAUGGGUUGACAAUUAAGCUUUCAAGUUUCGGCAUUGCUCCAGCCCCCAUCGUCCACUCAUCUAGCCAAUACAUUGAUUUCAGGUGCAAAACCUUAAGUUCGGGAAAGCUACUCAAGCCAACACAAGCAAGCUUUCUUCCUAAAUACGAGUUCUGCUUCAGUUUCAGCAGUCGAAGGCGUGGAAGAUUUUCCAGAAUUGGCAUGGGAUCCUCCUUUAGCUCAGUAUUUGAUAAGCUCAGUUGGAUCAGACUUGGGGGAAAUUGGUAUUCAGAUAGGACCAUCCGUGAGGGCUUGCUCUCAUUCACCAGCUUCAAGCAUUCAAGUUUGUGGAGUUCGCAAAGGCUUUUGGAAACCCCAGACUGAUAGUAACUCAAAUCUCCAGAUAUCCGAAGAGUCUGAACACUAGGUAGUCUGCCCAAUAUAUCAGGAGUACAACUACUAGGGUUUAAAGCUGAUAUGAAAAUGAGAUUUUUCAGAGAGCUAGAAUAAUUUUUUGGAGGUGCGGGCAGAGUGAUAGAACCAAAGUUUAGAUGCAUGAGUUUUUGCAUCAUCCAAAUAUCCUCUGGUGAAUGAUCUAUGUCGCUAGAUGGCAUUUCUAGUGUUUGAAGGUUUAAAAGGGUGCAUAGCAUUGAAGGAAGGCAUUUGAGCGAAGGGAUAUUCAAUUUCAAAUACUUCAAAAGGAAUAAAUUUUCUAAUCCGGGUGGAUAUUGGUCCAGGACUGCAGAACCCAUGUUCAGUACCCGAAGGUAUUUGAACAUUUUACAAAAGUUCUCGCAAUCUAUCAGAGCGAGACGAUCGCUUUCUGAACUGUGAUUCAGAAAAGAUUGGAGAUACAUGUCAGAAUGUUCUAGAGAAAGGAACUCAAUCAGACGUUCCACAAUGAAGCACCGUUUAACAUUUGCCGUUGAUUCCUCUUCCAUGUCAGGCGUCCAGACAAAUCCCGCCUUCUUUGCCACAAAAUACAAUGAAGUAUAUACAAAACUUGGAACAUAACACGCUUUAAUUGUGCCGCCGGCGCUUCUCUUACUCACUUGAAUGAAGCCGCGAUGGAUUAGUUCUUUCAAGAAAUGGUCGGCAGUUUCUUCACCGUUGUAUGGUACGAAACCUUCAGCUACCCACAACUGAUGUAAUUGCCUCCUGGAUAUCUCAAUACUUGGAGGGAAGACACACAAAUAGAUGAAGCAGACUUUCAAAUGAAAAGGUAACUCCAUCACAGAAAAAAUUUGUCUCCAAACUGUCGGAAUCGCUUCGCCUUGAAGAUAAUUUUCUAAUGGCAUACUUCCAUAGUGUAGGAUGAAAAAUUGCCAGGCUUCAUGCUUUAAUCUGAUCAAUGGUCCUCCAAAGAGCACUGAAUCACGCCGAAUCUUCUCUCCGUUUUCCAUUUCCAACGACGCAAGGAGGUCUGGAUCAGUGACCAAUAUCAAUACUCUGCUUCCAUUCUGAUUACCAGGAAGAACUUCUUCAAGAUCAUCCCAUAUCUCACGUUCAUUGAAGACAUCAUCAAGCACAAUAAAGUACUUCUUGUUGGUUAGGUAAUCUCGAAGAACAGAUUUCUUCGAUUGAUAAUCUUCACCGAUAAUUACACUAACCCGAGAUGGAGGCAUCACAGACUUGAUUAUGUCAUCCAAUAUCUUGCCAAAAUCGUAGGCUAAGGAAACCCUGACCCAAGCAAGACAGUCAAAAUAGAACUUGACGUGAUCAUUAUUGUAAGUAUCUGCAGCAAAAACAGUCUUGUCGAAGCCACUGCUGUCGAGAAUUGCAACCGCUGCAAGCCCAGAUGGUCCCUCAAUCAAUAGAUCAAACAACUCCUCUCUGCCCCUUUCAAAUUCAUUGAUAUCAAGCCGAGGUUGUCCCUCACUCAAUAGGCGAAUGAUUUCGUUACUUUUUUCACUGAUAUCAAAACCAUUGUCGCCGGGUGGAAGUUGUUGCAUCCGAUUUCUAAUAUCAAUGAUUUGACUGUGGAGUCCAUCAAGAAGAGCCAUAUUAGUGCUGCUUUCACUUUCGUUUUCACUGUUUUGCUGCUGCAUGAUGUUGAUGAAGAAUGUGUCAAUGGCUUCCUCAGAGUCACGGACAAAGUUAUUGAUGUCCUCCAGAAUUUCAAAAAUAUCUGCUGUUUCAACGUCUUCUUCAUCGCUUUCCUCUAAGUCCAACAGUUGCAAAAAAGGCAAAGAUAUUUUGGAGUCAUCGAAUUCUUCUCUAAUGAGUUGAAACAAAUGCCGAGCCAUGCCAGCUUCAUAUUUUCCCAGCAGAGUAGUAGCAAUAAUUUCGGACUCCGUAAGAAGGUUUUGAAAAAGUGGAGUUAAAUUUGUUGAAUCUGGCAGCGGCAACGUGCCUUCUUCACCUGCUAACACCCUCUCCAACCUCUCACAAAACAGUCGGAGGUGGACGUCCAGCAUAUCUCCUCCUCUCUGUAGCACCCAGAGGUAUUGUUUUUUUGCUCCAAGAAAUAUUAAAAGGAUUGGUUCUAUCUCAAAGUGGUUACUGGUGUAAAAUUAAACGACAUGGGAGAAUUUGAAAGGAAGAUGCCAAGGAACUGGCGAAGUGGCUAAAUUCCACAAAUACGGCAUUAUUGCUCAAUUUUAAGUCAAAAAAUUGAUACGCGUUCAUUUAGAAGAGGUAUCCAACCUUUAUCUUAUUUUAAUUACUACCACGACAUGAUUGAUGGUGUUUAAAUCAAUUGUUUCUUUUUUAAUUUAAAGAAUUUUUCAUUAAAAAUAUUUUAAUAUCAAAUUGCCUUCAAUAGCGUAACUGCCGCAAGCCCAGUAACAGGAUUAAUUAAAAUUUUUUGAAUUUUCGGGCACGGAAAGAGUAGUAUUAGACUUCAGAAAGCUAAGGUUGUUAUGUUAAAGAAUUGAUAUUGACAUAAUUUUAUUUUGGCUUUCGGGUAAAAAAAUAUUUGUUGACAAGCAAGAAAAUAUUUUUGUAUUUUACAAUUUAUUAUACAUAUUUGAUCAUAUUAAAGUAAUUUUAAUAAUAAAUAGACACAUAAUAUUACAAUAAAUAAAGUAAAGUUUAAAUUAUUUUGAAUAUUAUAAAAAAAUAAUUUUAAUAUUAUUAAUAGGAAGACAUUUUGUUAAUUUUAAAAUCUUUUUAACCUAAAGGUUUAUUUAAAAUCUUUAGAAAUCUCCAUCCCACAUCUACCCUAUUAAACAAGUUGAUGGAAAUUGAACAGUUGCUUUUUGAAGUGGACCCAUUGAGUUAUGUUCAUUACUGGUCAUUGUCUAUUCUUUCUAAGAGCCACUUGUUUUGAGCAUUAGCAAUCCUAUCUGGACUACUCCAAUUAUUGAUGUAACUCCAAUGGUUGCAUCGACAGUUGAAUGUAAGAUAGUGUUAGUUCUUUUUUGAGAAUUUCUUUAUUUGUUUCUCCGUUGCAGCGUAUUAGUAUAAAUUUCUUUACCUUACAGUUCCUACAGUCUUCCUGUUAAUGAAUUCGCUGAGGCAUUAUUGAUCCAAUCUCAGUGAAGUAAUUGUGGGUGAAAAAAAAAAUAAAGGAUAAGAGAACGUAGCUGAAUUGACUAUUAAAGAAGAGCGUCACCUGAUCACAAUCACAUUGAUGCACAACUCACUCAGAUCAUUACAACGUCCUUUUCGCUAAUUAAUUAUGAUUAUAUACAUUUUCAUAUGGCAAGUGGCAUUGUAGAUCUAAACUACGUUGCUAUUUCAUUACGUUAAUUAAGUGAUUCUCCUGAUUGUCAUCAGCGCUAUACCCUCUAGGAAAAUAGCUCAAUUGUUUUCCUGCAUUGAUUUUCAUUGGUAUGUGAUUUCUUAUGAAAUUCUUUUGAGCUUUCCUUAAUUAGACUUUUGAAAAUAGAAUUAAACAUUAGAUUAAAAUAAAAUAGAAUUAAACAUUGGUAUGUGAUUUCUUAUGGAAAGAGUAGUAUUAAACAUUAGAAAGCUAAGGUUGUUCUGUCAAAGAAUUGAUAUUGGCAUAAUUUUAUUUUUGCUUUCGAGUAAAAAAAAAAAAAAUUGUUGACAAGCAAGAUACUGUUUUUAUAUUUUACAGUCAGUUAUACAUAUUUUAUCAUAUUAAAGUAAUUUUAAUAAUAAAUGGAAACAUAACAUUACAAUAAAUCAAUUAAAGUUUAAAUUAUUUUGAAUAUUAUAAAAAAUAAUUUUAAUAUUAUUAAUAGGAAGAUAUUUUGUUUAUUGUAAAAUCUUUUUAACCCAAAGGUUUAUUUAAAAUCGUUAUAAUAAAUAAAAAUAUAAAAACAAAAUAAAUAUCAUAAUUUAAAAUUUUAAUAUUAUUUUAAAUAUUAAAAAUACUUUAAUGCUAUUAGUCUACUACACAGGUUAUAUUACUUAUAUUAUAUUUGUAUAAAUUAAAACUUUUAAAGUUAAAUUUUUAAUUACUAUAUUGAAAAGGUAUUAUGGUUAAAAAAAGUUUUGGCAUUUCUUUUUGAAAAUUUGAGGGUCUGCAGGACAAUUUGUCCAAAUCCUAGAGGUAUAGGUGUCUUUUUUUUUUCGAUAAUUCAUUUUACUUUUGAGGGAAUCUGAUGAGAAAUAAGAUAAGAGAAACGUCAAUUUAACGUUCUCUACGGAAAACCAAGAACUAUUCAAUUUUGUAUUUUUUGUUUGUAAAACGAAAAACAGUUUGCCAAAAAAGGUACCAAACAUAUCCUUAAUGUCUCACAUGAUUUCUUAUUAAGUCCAUACUCGAUAUAUUUAUACAUUUUAGGUAUUUUAGUUAUAAAAGAAGUUGGUCCUCCCUCUGUUUAUAAAAGGUAACUUUAUUUCGAGAUUACCACUAAAGUCUUACAAUGAAUUAGUGUAAUGUUAAGAGAGAGUAACACAAUUUUUCAUUACCAUUUUGAAAAUAGAAAGAUAUGGAUGUGUGCAUUUAAUGGUGCGUUUACUUGUCGGAUUGGGGAAUCGGAAUGAUUGAUGGUGUUUACUUCGCAAAUAUGGAGCAGGAAUCGAAAUUGAAAUGGUGGGGCCCACUACUAUUUGGGAAUGGGAGAUUGAUUCCCAUGGGGGAAGGUGUGAAUAGGGAUGGCAAAUUUUUCCGGAUCUGGCUCGGACCCGGAUAAACCCGGAUGAUCCGGUCCGGGUUGAACCCGGACGGGAUGUAUAAAAAUGCGGAAUCCGGAACCCAUUUUACAAACCCGCACAUGUCCGGGUCCAGUUCCGGUUUUAGGCGAACCCGUAUGUCCGGAAUCCGGACCCGGAUAUUUAUUAAUUUUAAUAUUAAUUUUUAAAAAAAUAUUUUUAAUAUAAAUAGAAAAAAAAAAGAACCCAGAGGUGCCCUAGGGCUUCAUUCAUUCACAGCCGCAGCAACACAUUUCCUCUCCCUCUUCAACUUGUCUUCAUCAAAUCAAAUCGUCGUCACACUCACUUGCCCACCUUCGCAGCUCAUCAUCAUCCUCAUCAGCUUGUCUUGGCGUCUUGCCCACCUUUGCGUUGCAGCUGUUCAUUAUCAUCAUCAUCAGCUUGUCUUGGCGUCUGACUCUUGCCCACCUUCGCGUCGCGGCUGUUCAUCAUCAUCAUCAACUCGUCUUGCCAACUUUUGCGGUUGUUCAUCAUCAAAUCAUCGCCGUCGUCACUUGUAUCAGCCGCCGUCACGAACAAUAACUAGCUUCGAUACAAUCAGAAGUAGCGAGCUUGCCUUCACCGGAUGCCAAUCCUUAAAGUUCGUGAAUGCCAAAUCGGUUCGAACCAAGCUUAUUUGUAUUUGGUUAGUUUAGGCCAUGGAUUUGUAUUUAAUUUGCUGAAAUCCUAGAUUUGUAUUUCCAUUUGUCAGUUGAAUUUAGUUUUUUUUUUUAAAUUAGAUUCAUCAAUCCGGGUUGGAAACCCGCAAUCCGGAAACCCGGUUUUUCCGGGUUGAAUCCGGACCGGACCCGGAGUGAAAAAAUGCGGGUUAUGUCCGGGUCCGGUAUAGAAAAAUAAUCGUCCGGGUCCGGAUCCGGAAAGGCUGAACCUGGACCCGGACCCGGACCCGGAUUUUGCCAUCCCUAGGUGUGAAUGAGUCUCCCAUUCCUGGAUUGACCAUUUUGCCCUCCCUCAAAAUUAAAAAUGCCUACUUUGUCCUCUUUUAUAAUUAAUUAAUAUAAUAUUAUAAUUAAUUAAUAUAUAAAUAUUUUAUUAACUAUAAUUAUUAAAAAUUAUAGUUCUUGAAUAAAUAAUCACAAUAAUUAAUUUAUUAUUAUUAUUGUUAUUUUAAUUAAUUAAUUAAUAUACUAUUAUAAUAAUUAUUAAUAUAAUUAAUUUAUAUAUUAUUAUUAUUAAUGAAUUAAUAUAAUUAUUACUAUUAAUUAAUAUAUUAAUAUAUUAUUAACAAUAAUAUAUUAAUAAUUAUUGUUCGUGAAUAAAUAAUCACAAUAAUUAAUAUAUUAUUAUUGUAAUUAAUUAAUUAAUAUACUAUUAUAAUAAUUAUUAAUAUAAUUAUUAUAAUUAAUUCAUAUAUUAUAAUUAAUUAAUUAAUAAAAUUAAUAUUAUUAAUUAAAUAAAUAAUAUAAUUAUUACUACUAAUUAAUAUAUUAUUAAAAAUAAUUAUUAAUAAUUAUAAUUUUUGAAUAAAUAAUCACAAUAAUUAAUAUAUUAUUUUAAUGAAGUAAUUAAUAUUAAUAUUAUUAGUUAAUAUAUUUUGAUAAUAAUUUUUAAUAUAGUUAUUAUAAUUAAUUAAAUUUUUUUACAAUUAAUUAAUAUAUUAGUUAAUAAUAAUUAUGACAAUAAUCUAUUAAGUACUUUUUAGUAAUUUAUUACAAUAUAAUUCAUUCCGAUUCCGAUUUCAAGACAAAGUAUACACAUUAAUGGCAAUCUAGCUCAUUCCGAUUUUGAUUCCUACAGUUCAAGUAAACAACUUAUUUUAAUUCCCAUUACUUAUUUCCAUUCCAGCCCAUUCUCAUUUCUGUCCAUUCCGAUUCCAGCUAAUUCCGAUUCCAGUUUAGUAAACGCAGCAUAAGAGUUAUCAUGAAAAUCAUACAAUUCAAUUUCCUGAAAUAUAUAUUUUAUUCACAUGUGCCAAAAGAAUAAAUAGAUAGAAAGUAAAUUUACAAUCCUCACUCCCUCACAAUUGUUAAAGUGAAUAUGCAUUACAACUGUGAACUGUCACUACUUUAGCCCUUUUUAAAAAAAAAAAAAAAUUAUAGUGUGAUCGAGACAGUGAACAUCAAGGAUAAAGUGCUCUGCUGGAAGCCAAACUUCCUUUGGCUUUCGGGGAAAAAAAUAUUUGUUGACAAGCAAGAAAAUAUUUUUGUAUUUUACAAUUUAUUAUACAUAUUUGAUCAUAUUAAAGUAAUUUUAAUAAUAAAUAGACACAUAAUAUUACAAUAAAUAAAGUAAAGUUUAAAUUAUUUUGAAUAUUAUAAAAAAUAAUUUUAAUAUUAUUAAUAGGAAGACAUUUUGUUAAUUUUAAAAUCUUUUUAACCUAAAGGUUUAUUUAAAAUCUUUAGAAAUCUCCAUCCCACAUCUACCCUAUUAAACAAGUUGAUGGAAAUUGAACAAUUGCUUUUUGAAGUGGACCCAUUGAGUUAUGUUCAUUACUGGUCAUUGUCUAUUCUUUCUAAGAGCCACUUGUUUUGAGCAUUAGCAAUCCUAUCUGGACUACUCCAAUUAUUGAUGUAACUCUAAUGGCUGCAUCCACAGUUGAAUAUAUGAUAGUGUUAGCUCUUAUUUGAGAAUUCAGAGGGAUAUUUCUAUGUUUCUCAAUUGCAAUGUGCUAGUAUAAAUUUCUUUACCUUACAGUUUAUAUAGUCUUGCUGUUAAAGAACUCACUGAGGCAUUAUUGAUUCAAUUUCAGUGGAGCAAUCGCGGGUAGAGGAUAAAUAAAGGAUAACAGAACAGAGCUGAAGUGCUAAAUUGGCUAUUGAAGAAGGGUGUCACAUGAUCACAAUCACAUUGAUGCACAACUCUCUGGAGGCAAAUUUUGUCUAUAUGUACUCUAAAUUCAUCUAAACCAUACAUGCAUGAACAAAAAUUAAACCGUAGUUCUCAUCACAACAGUAAUUGAAGCUACAAAAGCCAGCAAAUCUGAACAAAAACUUAAAAGGAAGAUCUUAUUCAAAUUUGUCCCCAAAAGAGAGCUGAGAUGAAAAAUAUUGACUAAUGAAUGGGUCAAUGCUGGAUACAUUUCAAAUGGAAAGCUUGGCAGCAGUUACAAUGUUUCCCCCUCAGCUUUUCCUCCAAAACAAAUUCAGUUGUAAACAAUAACCGAAGUAGAGAUAAUUCAUUCAUCAAAGAAAAUACCCAAGUUUUCAACUAACAAAUCCUCUUGUCUAAACUAAAAAAACUCGUAUCUCUAAAAUUUAUUUGCAAAAUGUUGGAAAUGAGGAGUGAUCCGUUAACUCCAUAAAUAAACUCAUGCAUAAUGUUAACAAUAAUGAUAAAUUACAUAAUAAUUAUUGUAAAGAAUUAUAAAUUGGAAACGCUAAUCAUUCUACAAUCUAAUAAAUAAGUAAGAUAAAUCUUGUAAUAAGUUAAGUUAUAAUGUAUAAAUAUUUUCAAUAUAUAAUUAUUUAAGAAGUCAUUUAAUAAUAAAAUAUUUAUUCUAUUCAGUUGAUCAUAUAGCGUUAUCUAAACUCUUGACGAUAUUAUUAUUACACUUUUCUCAAAAAAACAUGAUUAACAUUUAGAGAAAAGUCAUGCCUUUUAGAUAGAAUAUGUACAUAAGCUAUCCAUACUUUAUCUUACCAUGAAAAAAUUGAUGGUGAUUAAAUCUACUUUUAAAAUAGAUUUAAUGCACAAAUAUGAUGAUUUUUGGCAAAAAUUAGUUUCGGAAGAUACAAUGGUAGAAAAUAGUGAUGAUUAUUGUUUAAAUGUGUAAAUAGCCUAGGCAUAGCCCGUAAUACCAAUAUCCAUUUACCUUCAUUUAGAUUAUCACAUCUCAUAAUAUUUUUUCAUUCACGACCAUUGUUCGAGAUUUGAACUUGAUCAUAAAUUAAGCUGCAACGGAGUCUACUUAUGUUUCUAAGCUUUUCAAUCGCGAUUCCUCCAUGCCUUUCUUGGAUACCAUUUUACUGACCUUGUAAUUGGUGUGUAUAAGGAAUCAUGCCCUUUCAGGAUUGUUUUCUUUUUCUUUUUUUUUUCCUUAUUGUAGUGUCAAAUAAAUAAAGAACGAACAAUUGAACUUAGUCUAUUUCGAGGAAAACCAAGGCCUGCAAUAUUAGAUGAACUUUGAACAAAAUUAAUCUACUGCUUUUAGGCAAUGAUAACGUAGUUAUUUAUAUACAGUAUAAAUGAUAUUUUUUUGUCGAACGAGACUGUCAUUCAACAUUUAAAAUAUAAAACAUGUGGAAGAUGUUGUAAAUUGAUUGAAUGAAAAUAUCCCAAUGAAGUUUAGAAAAUUUGGUACUUGUUAUCUUAUCGAAAGUUUUCUAAAUUAUACGACUGUUUAAACUUAGCCCCUCCAGGUACUGCCACUUCUUCUACAUGAAAGUCAUAUAAGUUUGUGUUAGCUGCCUAUAGAUUGCAUAACAAUUUUCCUCAGGAAUUGUUGUCCAUUAUGGCAAUUUGAUUGAAAGUGCGGCUGCACUAAUUUUCUAGAUGAACUUCCCUGCAUGUUUGUUCUCAUAUGACCCAGAAUACUGCUAUAACAAUUGUGUUGGAAAUUAUUCAACUGGGUUACUAACUUACUAUUCUACAUCCCCACCAAAAUUUAAACAGUCGACAUUGUGGAAAGAAACACAUUUCGCCACUAGGCUUUUAGUGAGGCUAAUUUCUCUGAAUUUGGACAGAGUAGGUCCUCCAACGAGAACUGAAUCAGGACGAAUCGGCUCUCCAUUUUCUAAUUCGAACGAGCAAAGGAAGCCUGAAUCUGUGACCGUUAUCAAUAUUCUGCUUCCAUUCUGAUUCUCAGGAAGUACUUCUUCAAGAUCAUCCAAUACAUCGUCACCCUCUUUGUAGUAAUCAUCAAGCACAACAAAGUACUUCUUGUUUGUUAGGUAAUCUCGAAGAAUAGAUUUCUUCAAUUGAUAAUCUUCACCGAUAAUUAAUCUUCAAUUGAUCAUAAAUUAAGCUGCAACGGAGUUUACUUAUGUUUCUAAGCUUUUCAAUCGUCAUUCCUCCAUGCCUUUCUUGGAUACCAUUUUACUGACCUUGUAAUUGGUGUGUAUAAGGAAUCAUGCCCUUUAAGGAUCUUUUUUAUUUUUUUUUUUCCUUAUUGUAGUGUCAAAUAAAUAAAGAACGAACAAUUGAACUUGGUCUAUUUCGAGGAAAACCAAGGCCUGCAAUAUUAGAUGAACUUUGAACAAAAUUAAUCUACUGCUUUUAUUCAUCUUUGGACUAUGAAUUUAUACAAAGACUUUAACAGAAAAUAACAAAGACACAGCUACAUGAUACCAAUAAGUGCUGACUUAGUGGACUACUUCUACAACUAAAUAAAAACUAAUUAUUUAUUUUGAUUGUAAUAGCAACUACCCUGAUGAAUAGGACUCCACAACAACCACGUGACAAUUAAUUUCUCCUUAAUAUUAUUAUUAGUAGAAGUAGAUUUUCAAACUAGUCUUGAUAUAUGACAAAGUUGUAUUAUCAAUGUAUAUGCAUUUAGAUUGUAACUAUAUUUUUUUUAAAACAAAUUUAAUUAUUGCACAGUAAAUGUGGAAAAAUAUCUAUAAAAUAAUAUUAUUUACUAUGAAAAAAUAUUAUUUUAGAUAAGUUAUUUAUUUAUUUAUUAUUGAAUGAAUAAUUUAUUAAUUUAUUGAUAAAUGAAUAUUUAUUAAUUUAAAGAGAGAUUAUUUUUCUUUUAAGAAGAGUUUGUUUGGUACAUGUAUACACUUAUUAAUUUAUUGAAGAUGUCCAGCAAUUAAAGAUCUCUGUCUCAAUACUUUUCCCAAUCAAAAUCAAGAAACAAAAAAAAACUUGCCAUUUUUCUACUUGAUAAUUAAUUGAAAUUUAAGAAAAUACAAUGGCAUUUCAAUUAGAAUUGGUAAUUGUUUAUCUUUUUUUCAUUGAUCAAAUUCAAAUCUUUAUCCAAUAGUUAUAAAUGAAAGAAAUAUUAUGAGAGGAGAUAGGCCAAUUGAAGCCGUACCAGCAAAUAAAAAAUAGAAAAGGAGUGCAACUAUUCAACUUCGUAGACAAUAUUGCAACCAUCCAAAGGUGAAGAUCUAUGCUUAUUAUCUAUUUAACAGCUAUAUAUAUAUAUAUUUAAAUAUCAAGAGCUAUGCUUGUAAAUAAGUUCAAAUGUGAUGAGAACAACCUUAUAUUUAUUUAUUUAAAUAUGACCCAGGCUAAUUUCUCUGAAUUGGGACAGAGUAGAUUUCUAAGCUAAUGCUUGGCAGAUCUCUGGACGAUACUACAAAGUGCAUGUACAUUGAGUCUUAAUAAAUAUAAACGAUUCUCUGAUAUGAUUCAAAACAUCACUACAUGCAUAAAUUAAUAAGAAAUGUAUAGUUGUACAUAAUUUUAUGCAUGAGGCAGUUUUUAUAGUUGUACCCUCUCUAAUGAAAUUGAAGGUGCAGCCAGCAACUAAAAUGAAGCAGAAAUGUACACGCAUGAGGCAGUUUUUUUAGAAGAUUGAUAUUUCUUUAACUAGAAAGCCAUACAAGUCCACAGCUAGCCAAACCGUACCUGCAUGUGUCUAGGGCUUAAAUGGAGCACUUCUAAGCAUAAAACAGUAACUAAAACACAUACACAAACAUACAUACCAAAAAAUUCAAAAAAUAGAGAAAGGAACACAACUAUUCAUGUUUGUAGACAAUAUUGCAACCAUGGCAUCAGUUAUAGCAAAUAUUGAAUUACAAUAUUUCCCUUGACGAUUUUGUCUACACAAGUAAAGGGAAAUAAGAAUCAUAGAUGAAAAUCAACUUUUACGGUUCUAAUUAUUAGAUAGAUACAGAAUGAUCUAUCUUUGUUACUUUGUUUCUCUGCUGCAAUGUGCGAUCCCACUCUGUUUUGAUACUCAAAUUGACUCUAUGUGGAGACAUAAUUUUGACAUUGGAAGCAAUCCCAAUUAGUUUGGCAUUUGUAUCACCCUUUGAAGGUUUUACAAUAGAUGCAAAUCUACUGAGAAAAUGGUAAAAAAGUUGCAUAUAAAAUGAGGCAAUUAACAGAAGUAUGAGUUAUCAGAUUAGAUUAAAAGUCACCCAAUUCAAUCUAUCAGAUUCCGUACGGAUAUAACUGGAUGUCAUACCUCCACUCCAUAUCCUCGAAAGUCCGUAGUCUUUGUCUCAACUCUGUUUGAGGCCAAUGUAAAUCCAAUUUGCACAAGCUCUUUAUGCACCAUAGCUCUUCUGGAAGCUUUCUCAAGUAAGCACACGGGUUGACAAUUAAGCUUUCAAGUUUUGGCAUAGCUCCUGCCCCCAUCGUCCACUCGUCUAGCCAAUACAUUGACUUCAGGUGCAAAGUCUUAAGUUCCGGAAAGCCACCAGAGCUAACGCAGGCCAGCUUUCUUCCUAAAUACGAGUUCUGCUUUAGUUUCAGCACUUGAAGGCGUGGAAGCUUUUCCAGCAUUGGCAUGGGAUCCUCCAUUAGCUCAGUAUUUGAUAAGCUCAGUUGCAUCAGACUUGGAGGAAAUUGGUAUUCAGACAGGACCAUCCGUGAGAGCUUGCUCUCAUUCACCAACUUCAAGCAUUCAAUUUUGUGGAGUUCGCAUACGCUUUUGGAAACCCCAGAGUGAUAGCAACUCAAAUCUCCAGACACUCUAAGAGUUUGAAGAUUAGGUAGUCUGCACAAUAUAUCUGGCGUGCAACUACUAGGGUGUAAGGCUGAUAUGAAAAUAAGAUUUUUCAGAUUGAUAGAAUAAUUUUUUGGAGGUGCAGGCAGAGUGAUGGAACCAAAGUUCAGAUGCAUGAGUUUUUGCAUCUUCCAAAUAUCCUCUGGUGUUUGAUCUACGUAGCUAGAUGGCAUGUCUAGUGUUUGAAGGUUUGAAAGGGUGCAUAGCGGUGAAGGAAGACAUUUGAGCGAAGGGAUAUUCAAUUUCAAAUACUUCAAAUGGAAUAAAUUUUCUAAUCCGGGUGGAUAUUGGUCCAGGACUGCAGAACCCAUGUUCAAUACCCGAAGGUGUUUGAACAUUUUACAAAAAUUCUCGCAAUCUAUCGGAUUAAGAUGAUCGCUUUCUGAACUGUGAUUCAGAAAAGAUUGGAGAUACAUGUCCGAAUGUUUCAAAGAAAAGAAUUCAAUCGGAUCAUCGAAAAUGAUGUACCGUUUGGCAUUUGCCAAUGAUUCCUCUUCGAAGUCAGGCGUCCGGACAAAUCCCAUCAUUGCUGCCGUCCCAAGUAACGCAGCAUAUGCAAAAGUUGGAACAUAACUGAUGGGUGUCGAAGCCAACAAAAAUAAAUUCCUACUCUAAAUAAAUUGUGUAUAGUGAUUGAGCAGGGUCGUGUCCACAGAGAUCGGUAAUUAUUUAAAUCCUUUUGAAACGUAAAACGUAAAAUGGGGGAAUUGUAGACAAUAAUAAAAAUCAAAUUAAAUAACAAGAAUGCAAAUUAAAGUUGUAAUUCAAAUUGGAGAAAGCUCUGGUUGAAGGAAUUAACUAAGCUUGAUUCGACUACUGAUCAUUGAUUCAAAUAUAGAUUAUUAUUACUCAUGAAUAGACCGGUUAUAGCUAUUGAGACCCUCUAAUAGCCAAUCUCUCCUUAACUAGUCGAUAACCAAGGUACGACCGUUGGAUAUUUCCCUAAUCAAUAGACAACCCUAGAUACGAUCAUAUGAUUUAAUCAAUUGACAGCCUGAAAAAUCAGAGAGACCCAAAUCCUAAUUAACACAUAUGAUGAUUCAUUUAAAUUAGAUUGUUUAUUCUCACAACACAACUCUCUGCUAUGUUAUUUGUCACAAACAUCAAAUUCUUCAUACGAUGAAUCCUUUAAUUGACAAUAGAUUAAGUUGAUAAUUAAAUAGUGGCCAAUUACCUAAUUAACAAACAUAAUCAUAAAAAUAAUUCAGAGAAUAAACAAAUACCCAAAAAGUAAUAAAACAAUUAAAGCACAAGAAAGAUCUCACAGUAGUGAUGAAUCAAAGCUUCAUUAACCUUCAACCAGAAAAAUGGGUUUAGUUCCUCAUAGAGAGAAUAGAAAAAUUAGAUCUAGGGUUCUUUUUCUCCAAUCCAAAAAUCCCCCUUUUUCACAAUAGAUUCUUCCCUUAAAUACUCUCUCUCUCUUCUCUUUUAGAAUUCUAUUUAAAAUAAAAUACUAAUAUCUGAAAUAUUAAAUUCGUAAUUACAAAAAUAACCAAAAAUACAAAACACGUUAAACUAAAAACUGCAGGUCCGCAGUUGACAGCACGCGCCCACGCCUUAUCAACAAAGUUCUUCUGACGCUCAUAAUUUCUCCAAGAGAACAAUCCUCCUUAAACAUCAUCUUUUAGCUCAAUUUUAUCACCAAUCAAUAGAAUUGCACCUACAAAAGUAAAACACAAGUAAAACAUUAUUAUUAAAUGCAAAACAUCGAUAUUAAGGGAAGUAAAUAAUGCAAAACUAGUGCAUAAAUUGCACUCUAACAAUAACACGCCUUACUUGUGCCUCCGGCUCUUCUCUUAUUCACUUGAAUGAAGCCGCAAUCGAUUAGUUCGUUCAAGUAAUGCUCGGCAGUUUCCUCACUGUUGUAUGGUGUGAAACCUUCAGCUACCCACAACUGAUAUAAUUGCCUGGUAGAUAUCUCAAUGCCUGGAUGGAACACACACAAAUAGAGGCAGCAGAUUUUCAAGUGAGCAGAUAGCUCCAACACAUAAUAAAUUCGACUCCAAGUUGUCAGAAACGCUUUUUCUCCCAUGUAAAUUCUUAAUGUCGUUUUUCCAUAGUAUAGGAUGAAAAAUUGCCAGGAUUCAUGCUUUAAUCUGAUCAAUGGUCCUCCAACGAGAACUGAAUCAGGACGAAUCGGCUCUCCAUUUUCUAAUUCGAACGAGCAAAGGAAGCCUGAAUCCGUGACCGUUAUCAAUACUCUGCUUCCAUUCUGAUUCUCAGGAAGUACUUCUUCAAGAUCAUCCAAUACAUCGUCACCCUCUUUGUAGUAAUCAUCAAGCACAAUAAAGUACUUCUUGUUUGUUAGAUAAUCUUGAAGAAUAGUUUUCUUCAAUUGAUAAUCUUCACCGAUAACUACACUAACCCGAGAUGGAGGCAUUACAGACUUGAUUAUGUCAUCCAAUAUCAUGCGAAAAUCGUAGGAUAUAGAAACCCUGACCCAAGCAUGACAGUCAAAAUAGAACUUGACAUGAUUAUUAUUGUAAGUAUCAGCCGCAAAAGCAGUCUUAUCAAAGCCACUGCUGUCGAGAAUUGCAACCACUGAAAGCUGAGGUUGUCCCUCGAUCAGUAAAUCAAACAACUCCUCUCUGCCGCUUUCAAAUUCAUUCUUAUUAAGCUGAAAUAAUAUCAACUUCGCUCUUUGAAAUCAAAACCAUUGUCUCUAGGUGGAAGUUGUUUCAACUGAUUUCUAAUAUCAAUGAUUUUACUGUGGAAUCCAACAAGAAGAGCAAUGCAAGUAGUGCUUUCACUUUCACUGCUUUGUUGCUGCGUGUUGUUGAUGAAGAAUGUGUCAAUAGCUUUCUCAGAUUCAUCGACAAAGUAAUUGAUGUCUUUCAGAAGUUCCCUAAUGUCUGUUCUUUUAACAUUUUCUAAGUGCAAGAGCUGCCGAUAACGCGAAGGUAUUUCGUCUUCAUCGAAUUGUUCUCUAAUGAGUUGAAUUAAAACCCGAGCCAUGUCAGCUUCAUAGUUUCCCGGCAGACUAGUAGCAAUAAUUUCGGACUCCGUAAGAAGGUUUUGAAAAAGUGGAGUUAAAUUUGUUGAAUCAGGCAAAGUUAACGUGCCUUCUUCACCUGCUAACACCCUCUGCAACCUCACACCAAAUAGGGUGAGGUUAAUUUCCAUAUCUUUCCCUCUCUCAGUAGUACUCAGAGGUGAAUAACAACCUCACCCUUUGUUAGUAUUGAUGACGAAAGCUGAAUAACAAAACAACAGUGUACACAAUCAACAGAAGGCAAAGUAUGUUAAUUUGAGAUCAAAGGAUAUAAAUAUAGGAAAAGUUUUUGUAGAUUGAAAAUGGAUGGAUGCAAAGAAUGACUGAUAUUAAAUGAUUCUAUAAAUGAGAUAUGCCAAGAAUGAAUGAUAUUAAGUGAACAUCAAGGAUGGGAACAAAAUUUAAAGGUAACCUUUUUUUUUUUUUAAGUACUCUGUUGAAAGCCAAAGUUCCUUUGGCCAAUUAAUUUAGAAGUGAAGGAAAGAAUAAAGUUAGUCCUUGAUGUCUUUUGAAAUUAGAAAUACAUUUUGAAUGCCUUAAUAGAUGCAGAGCAAACUGGCUCGAUAUCUAACUAUUUUAAGAGCUAAAAUCAUUUAUUAGAAGUUGUAGCAUUAAAAAAAAUGGGCUUGAUAUCCAAUUUUGUUAUUGAAUAUGUCUCACGUGAGAGUAUAUAACUGUUGUGUUACUGGCAGAUGGCUAUGCUAGGUUUUAUUGCUCCUUGAAUUUGAUUGAAAAAUUAUUGAGACGGACAAGUUUGGACCAUUGUUCGAGACUGAAACUACACAUCAGUCUUAGAAAAUUGUAAUUUUAUUGGCUUAUCAUGAUUUUCAUCGCCCCAUAUUGAUUUUCCUAUGAUGUCUCUGUAGAGUGGCUAUGCUUACAUUUUUAGGUAUUUACUUCUAAAGGUUAACUUAUUAGAUGGAGGGACCAAUUCUACCCAUAAAUCCAAGUGGCUUCCCUUUACUAACUCAUAUGAGACACAACAAUAAUUUUCUUUGGACAAAACCACUGUUGGAGGGUUAUUUUCAUUCAAGAUACAUGAGUUGUUCCACCACCAUAUUUUGAGGGUUUGCUUUGGAUAUGACUUGGGGGAGCUAAGGCUAAGAUUUCUGAGUAGCAACAUAAAAACCUUGCCUAUUGGAUGGAAGGACCAAUCCUACUUUAAAGUCUAAAUGACUAAUUCUUGAGGACACAACUCAACAGACCAAUAUAAACUUUUGACGUCCCAUUUUAUUACUUUCCAGUGCUUUUACUUUUGCUGUCUAGAUAAAAACUAGUAUCAGUUUUUUUAUUUUUCCAUGUUAAAAAUGAUAAUUCUACAAUACAAACCGUUUCAAACAAAGAAGUAGACGAUAUUGAUAUUGAAUAAUAUCUUAUCCCAGAACGACAAUACUAAUUAUAAUUUCUUUUCGCACUGCAAAAAGUAAAAAAUGAGAUCCAAAUUGAAAUUAAUUCGACAAAGAAGCAAACAUUUCUAAGAACAUAUUUUAUACAAGUUUAUAGACAUAUCAUAUGGAUUUUGUUUUAUGCUAGAUAAUUAUUAAUUUAUAUAGCAAGUGGGUCCAUAACAAAAUAUGAAUUUAAGAAGAAGAAAAACUAUGUUUUACAAAAUUUCUGAAAUUAUUAACUUUUCACUUCGUCCAUCACAAAAAUUAUUAUUUAAUUCAGAUUAUCAAUUUAUUAAGAAUUAAUUCAAUGAGAUUUUAACAUAAAUAGUUACUUAUUAUCAUGUUUACGUUUCUCAACCAUUAAUUGCUUCAACUAAUUUUUGUUUCCACACACAAAUUUAUUGUAAAAAUAGUUCAACGUGUGUCUUUCUUCAAAUAACAAUUUUCUUGCCAAAAACAGUUUUCUUGUCACAAACAGAAAGUUUGUGUUAGCUGAAUGUCAUAUAAAAAACUGCCACUUCUUCUACAUGAAUGUCAUAUAAAUUUGUGUUAGCUGCCUAUAGAUUGCAUAAUAAUUUUCCUCAGGAAUUGUUGUCCAUUAUGGCAAUUUGAUUGAAAGUGAGGCUAAUUUCUCUGAAUUUGGACAGAGUAGGUCCUCCAGCGAGAACUGAAUCAGGACGAAUCGGCUCUCCAUUUUCUAAUUCGAACGAGCAAAGGAAGCCUGAAUCUGUGACCGUUAUCAAUACUCUGCUUCUAUUCUGAUUCUCAGGAAGUACUUCUUCAAGAUCAUCCAAUACAUCGUCACCCUCUUUGUACUAAUCAUCAAGCACAAUAAAGUACUUCUUGUUUGUUAGGUAAUCUCGAAGAAUAGAUUUCUUCAAUUGAUAAUCUUCGCCGAUAAUUACACUAACCCGAGAUGGAGGCAUCACAGACUUGAUUAUGUCAUCCAAUACCAUGCGAAAAUCGUAGGAUAUAGAAACCCUGACCCAAGCAUGACAGUCAAAAUAGAACUUGACAUGAUUAUUGUUGUAAGUAUCAGCAGUAAAAUCAGUCUUAUCGAAGCUACUGCUGUCGAGAAUUGGCUUGCAACCACUGAAAGCUGAGGUUGUCCCUCAAUCAAUAAAUCAAACAACUCCUCUCUGCCGCUGUCAAAUUCACUCUUAUCGAGCUGUGAUUGUGCCUCAAUCAAUAAGUGAGUGAAUUCGUUCCUUCGUUCUCUGAAAUCAAAACCAUUGUCUUCAGGUGGAAUUUGUUGCAACCGAUUUCUAAUAUCAAUGAUUUCACUGCUUUGCUGCUGCGUGAUGUUGAUGAAGAAUGUGUCAAUAGCUUUCUCAGAUUCACGGACAAAGUAAUUGAUGUCUUUCAGAAGUUCCCAAAUGUCUGUUCUUUUAGCAUUUUCUAAGUGAGCUGCCGAUAACGCGAAGGUAUUUCGUCUUCAGCGAAAUGUUCUCUAAUGAGUUGAAUCAAAACCCGAGCCACGUCAGCUUCAUAGUUUACCAGCAGAGUAUUAGCAAUAAUUUCGGUCUCCGUAAGAAGGUUUUGAAAAAGUGGAGUUAAAUUUGUUGAAUCUGGCAGCGGCAACGUGCCUUCUUCACCUGCUAACACCCUUUUCAACCUCACACCAUAUAGUGUGAGGUUAAUUUCCAUAUCUUUCCCUCUCUCAGUAGUACUCAGAGGUACGUAUUGUUAUUUGUUAGUGUUGAUGACGAAAGCUGAAUAUCAAAGGAUAUAAAUAAAACAAAAGUUUUUGUAGAUUGAGAAUGGAUGGAUGCAAAGAAUGGCUGAUAUUAAAAUAUUCUAUAAAUGAGAUAUGCAAAGAAUGAAUGAUAUUAAGUGAACAUCAAGGAUGGGAACAAAAUUUAAAGGUAACUUUUUUUUUUUUUUAAAGUAGUCUGUUGAAAGCCGAAGUUCCUUUGGCCAGUUAAAGUUAGUCCUCGACGUCUUUUGAAAUUAGAAAUACAUUUUGAAUGCUUUAAUAGAUGCAGAGCAAACUGGCUCGAUAUCUACCUAUUUUAAGAGCUAAAAUCAUUUAAUAGAAGUUGUAGCAUUAAAAAAGAAAAAAAAAACUGGCUUGAUAUCCAAUUUUGUUAUUGAAUAUGUCUCAUGUGAGAGUAAAAAAAACUGGCUUGAUAUCCAAAAUUUAAAGGUAACUCCUUGAAUUUGAUUGAAAAAUUAUUGAGACGGACAAGUUUGGACCAUUGUUCGAGACUGAAACUACACAUCAGUCUUAGAAAAUUGUAAUUUUGUUGGCUUAUCAUGAUUUUCAUCGUCUCACAUUGAUUUUCCUAUGGCGUCUCUGUAGAGUGGCUAUGCUUACAUUUUUAGGUAUUUAAUUCUAAAAAUUAACUUAUUAGAUGGAAGGACCAAUUCUACCUGUAAAUCCAAGUGGCUUCCCUUUACCAACUCAUACAAGACACAACAAUAAUCUUCUUCGGAAAAAACCACCGUCGGAGGGUUAUUUUCGUUCAACAUAAAUGAGUUGUUCCGCCACCAUAUUUUAAAGGUUUGCUUCUAAUACAACUUGGGGGAGCUAGGGCUAAGAUUUCUAAGAAUCAACAUAAAACCCUCGCCUAUUAGACAGAAGGACCAAUCCUACUUAUGAGUCUAAAUGACUAAUUUUUGAGGACACAACUCAACAGACCAAUAUAAACUUUUGACGUCCCAUUUUAUUACUUUCCUGUGUUUUUACUUUUGAUGCUGUCUAUAGCCCUACUAUUCUAUUAAGCAGAAAAUAUUUCAAGGCACUCUCGGUCCAGUAGAUAACUUUGGUAUUUAUUAUCUAUUUUCUUUCCAUUUUAUGUAUACCCCGAUCUUUACCUCUGAUUGGUUGUAGAUUCUUUUGUUGCUUUGGGGUUAGGGGAUGGUUUUCAUAACUAUUCAGUUGAUCAAUGCAGAAAAUCACCAUCAAGAAAUGAUAAAGGAUUGUUAGUUCUAUCUCUGACAAACAACAUUAAUAUGAAGGAUGAUGAUUGUUCUGUUCAAGAGUUUAUAAUGACAUAAUUCUACUUUGGUCUUUUAAAAAAAGUAAUUUAGAAACGAGGAGUAUGUGAGUGAUGAUUUUUACAAAAUAAAUUACAUGCGUAGUGAUGAUUUUGGCACAUGAAAAUGAAAAAAGAAAUAUAAAUUGUGAAUAAUAAUUGAAGAACCUGCUAUUGGUAUAUUGAGUAAUCAAGGACUUCAAUAUUCGGACGAUAUAAGCAACACAAUCAAAUAUUAGUUGGAAGGCAUAGCAAAAUUAGAAUGUAGAACAAACUGGGUAUUGAUAAAUGGAUGGUUUUGGAAGAAUUGAAAAUGAUGGCAUAAGUAAACCAAAGUUUAGAGAAAAGAGAAAGAGCAUUUGAACUUUACUUGUAAGAAAAGGCAAAUAUCUUGGUUCAAGAAAAGAUAAGAGAUAUCAAACUAGCAAUAGGAAAAAGGAGGAAGGUUAAGACAGCAUCUUAACAAAAGCUAAAGAAAAGAAAAACUUAGUUCAAGCAAAGAACAAUGUGCUAAUGUCGUGUAAUUUUGUUUAAUUUCUUUUUCUUCUCACAUUUUCCAGGGCUUAAAUAAUACAAUAUACAUUUUCAAGCAAAGAACAAUAUGCAAUUGCAGUACUUCUGAGCACACAACAACAAAUAAAUAAUACAAUAUACAUAGCCAGUAAAUUAAAAAUAUAUAUAUUAUUCAAGUUUGUGGACAAUACUGUAGCCAUGGCGUCGUCGAAAUCUACUGACAGCUGAAACAAAGAAAGAAUGGAUGAAUGCUGGAUCACAGUUGAAAUUGAAGGUCUGGUAGGUGAUGUUUCCCUCUCUUUUUUUACCUAAACAAAUACAAGAAAAUCAGAAUCACAAAUGAAAAUCUGCUAUUACACUGUUCUUACCUAUUAAAAUACAGAGGUUUCUUUGUUUCUCAGCAGCAAUGUCCAUGGCUAUUAGAAACAAGAACAAUUAGACCAGCAUUUGCAAGAAUCCUGUAAGGUAUUACUGCAGAUAUAAAUCGACUGAGGAAAUGGAAAAAUUGAAUACCAAAUUAGGCAAGUUAAAUGAAGAUUGAGUUAUCAUAGAAGAAUAAAACUCAUCCAAUUCAAUCCAUCAAAUUCCAUAAGGAUACAACUGGAUGUCAUACUGCUGCUCCAUAUCCUCAAGAGCCCGUAGAUUUUGCCUCAACUCUGGCUGAGGCCAAUGUAAGUCCAAUUUGCAAAAGCUCUUUAUGCACCAUAGCUCUUCAGGAAGCUUUCUCAAGUAAGCACAAGGGUUGACAAUUAUGCUUCCAAGUUUUGGCAUUGCUCCAGCCCCUAUCGUCCACUCCUCUAGCCAAUACAUUGAUUUCAGGUGCAAUACCUUGAGCUCCGGGAAACCACAAGAGCAAACACAAGCCAGUUUUCUUCCUGAAUAUGAGUUCUGCUUCAAUUUCAGCACUUGAAGGUGUGGAAGCUUGUCUAGUGUUAGCAUGGUAUCCUCCAAUAACUCAGUAUUUGAUAAGCUUAGAUGGAUCAGACUUGGAGAAGCUGGUAUUUAGACAGGGCCAUCCGAGAGAGCUACCACCUCUUGGUUUCGUUCACCAGCUUCAAGCAUUCAAGUUUAAUAAUGAUUAGUUUUAGAUUAGUUAAAAUGUAAUCAUGAUUAAGAUAAAUAUAUAUAUAUAUAUAGCUGCUGUACUGAUAUCAUGGAUUAAGUGUUGAGAAAUAAAAUUCAUUAAGCAUUUCCAGAACUCUUGAUUUUCUUUCUCAGUAACCAAGCAACUUCAAUCACAUUUUUUUUUUCCAACAAUGAGUUCUCAAACCACUCAGGUAUCAUUUUCAGACAUUCUUGGCCUUGUACUCACCAUCAAAAUGGAUUGGUUGAGAGAAAACAUAGGCAUAUUGAUGGUUGUCGAAGCCAGCAAAAAUAAACACCUACUCUAAAUAAAUUGUGUAUAGUAAUUGAGCAGGGUCGUGUCCACGAAAAUCGGUAAUUAUUUAAAUCUUUUUAAAAUGUAAAAUACAAAAUGGGGGAAUUGUUGACGAUAAUAAAAAUCAAAUUAAAAUAACAAGAAUGCAAAUUAAAGUUGUAAUCCAAAUUGGAGAAAGCUCUGGUUGAAGGAAUUAACUCAGCUUGAUUCGACUACUGAUCAUUGAUUCAAAUAAAUAUUAUUACUACUUAUGAAUAGACCGGUUAUAGCUACUGAGACCCUCUAAUAGCCAGUCUCUCCUUAACUAGCCGAUAACCAAGGUACGACCUUUGGUUAUUUCCCUAAUCAAUAGACAACCCUAGAUACGAUCAUAAGAUUUAAUCAAUUGACAGUCUGAAAAACCAGAGAGACCCAAAUCCUAAUCAACAAACACAUACGAUGGUUCAUUUAAAUUAGAUUGUUUAUUCUCACAACACAACUCUCUGCUAUGUUAUUUGUCACAAACAUUAAAAUUUUCAUACGAUGAAUCCUUUAAUUGACAUUAGAUUAAGUUGAUAAUUAAAUAGUGGCCAAUUAUCUAAUUAACAAAAAUAAUCAUGAUAAUAAUUCAGAGAAUAAACAAAUACCCAAAAAGUAAUAAAACAAUUAAAGCAUAAGAAAGAUCUCACAGUAGUGAUGAAUCAAAGCUUCAUUAACCUUCAACCAGAAUAAUAAGUUUAGUUCUUCAUAGAGAGAAGAGAAAAAUUUAGAUCUAGGGUUUUCUCUUUUCCCCAAUAAGUCCCUUUUUUCACAAUAGAUUCCUCCCUUAAAUACUCUCUCUCUCUUCUCCUCUAGAAUUCUAUUUAAAAUAAAUACUAAUAUCUGAAAUAUUAAAUUCGUAAUUACAAAAAUAACCAAAAAUACAAAACACGUUAAACUAAAAACUGCAGGUCCGUAGUUGACAGCACAAGCCCACGCCUUAUCAACAAAGUUCUUCUGACGCUCAUAAUUUCUCCAAGAGAACAAUAAUCCUUAAACAUCAUCUUGUAGCUCAAUUUUAUCACCAAUCAAUAGAAUUGCACCUACAAAAGUAAAACACAAGUAAAUCACUAUUAUUAAGUGCAAAACAUCGAUAUUAAGGGAAGUAAACAAUGCAAAACUAGUGCAUAAAUUGCACUCUAACAAUUAAGUUUGACUCUGUUGGCUCAAGCUCAACUUCCUUUUAAAUUCUGGUGGGAUGCAUUCCAUACUGCUCUAUAUCACAUCAAUAGAUUACCAUCUUCUGUUUUCAAACUUUCGACCCCAUAUGAGAAGAUAUUUAAGCACAAACCUGAUUAUGAUUUUCUCAAAUGUUUUGGUUGUAUUUGUUAUCCUUACUUGAGAGACUAUAACAAACAUAAGUUUGCCUACCAUUCCAGUAAGUGUAUAUUCAUUGGUUAUAGUCCUUCACAAAAGGGUUAUAAAUGCUUACAUUCUUCAGGUCAUGUCUAUGUGGCAUGACAUGUUAUCUUUGAUGAGUCAACCUUUCCUUAUGCUACUGAAUCUGUUUUUCAUAGUCACACAAAUUCUGAUUCUCAUUCUUCAAACUUAUUUACUCCACAGCAUGUCUAUUAUCUUUCUACUUUACCUGUCAUACCAGUAUUUCUAAAUAACAACACUGAUAAUCUAAACUCUACAAAACUAAAAUGCCAGCUUUUUGGUGUUAGCGAUAGGAAACAACUUACCACAACCAUUAAUUAUCCAUAAUUUCAUUGUUUAUCCUCAGUUUUCUUCAUAAAUGUUACAGCAUUCUUCAUGAGAAAGUGCAAGGGCAUCUCAAAAGUUCUGAAAUAAUACCUCAAUUCUAUUGCAAAAAUAAAUAAUCUCAAACAAGAACCAAUAAUCAUAUUUCGUUACUGUCAAACACAAUGCAUCUGAGCAAAACAUUGGAAGCCAACACCAGAAUACAUAUGAAUAAACAAUUAAAGAUAGAGAAAAAAGGCUUAAACCUUGGGGGAAAAAAGUGAAAAAACAUGAAAGACAAAUUACACAUGUGCAGUAACCAUCGAACUUAUCAGUGACAGCUGCAUCCAUUACAUUGCUCCAACAACACAAUGGCAAACCACCAGUUUCAAAUUGAGGAUAGCUCUCGAGAAUGAGAAAGUGUCCAAAACGUCAUAAAUAGACAUGUUCCUAUUGUGCAUAAUUUACAUUAUAGGCAAAUAUUCUUAUACCAUCAAAGGCAAAACAUGACACUAACAAUUGGGAAUCCACUCCCCCCUUUUCCUUUUUUACCCUCAUAAUUAAAAUAAAUAAAUAAUAUUUAAUAAAAUAAAUAAUAUCAUAUUUAUUAAAAAUAAUAAUUAUAAACAUAUUUAUUUUAUUAAAUUUAAUAAAAUAAAAAUAAAUAAAUAUUAUAUUUAAAUUAAUAAUAUUAAACAUUAUUUUAAUAAAUAUUAAUUAAUUAUUUAAUUAAUAAUAAUAAAUAUUUUAUUCUAAGAAAAUAUUAAUUUUGUACUAUAUUAUCAAUAAUAAUGUUUCAUUUGUGUUGCUAUUAUUAAUAAUUUUUAUUCACAUAAUUUAAAUUAAAAUUAAUAAAAAAUUAUGAUUUACAUAAUUAAGAAUAUUAUUAAUUAUUAUUAAUUUAUAAAUAUAAUAAAAUAUUUAUUUUAUUUUUCAAAUAUAUUUUUUAUUAAUUUUGUAAUUACAAAUUAUAAUUCUUUAAAUAAGGGUAAAAUUGUAAUUUAAAACUAUUUACUUCCAAUCCAAGACAAUGUAAACACAUAAAUUGGAUUCUGGUUUCAAUUCCAUUCUCUCAUUCCAUUGUAAGUAAACAACCUACUCCAACUCCCACUCCAAACUCCCAAUCUUAGGAUUCCCACUCCUCAGGAUUCCCACUCCAAUCCAAAAUGUAAACGCAUAUAAAAGUAUUUUGAGCAUUACUGGUCAUUGUCUUUCUAUGAGCCACUUAUUUUGAGCAUUAGCGACCUUAUAAGGAAUCAUGCCUUUUCAGGAUCGUUUUCUUUCAUUUCCCUAUUGUCGUAGUUAAUUAAAUAAAGAACGAACAGCUGAACUUGGUCUAUUUCGAGGAAGACCAAGGCUUCCAAUACUAGAGGAACUUUGAAGAAAAUUAAUUGGAAGCCUUCAUUCAUCUUUGAAGAAAAUUACGUGCCAACGUAACCAAGGCUUUUAUUCAUCUUCGGACUAUGAAUUUAUACAAAGACAUUAACAGAAAAUAACAAAGACACAGCUAAAUGAUAGCAGCAAGUGCUGAUUUAGUGAACCACUUUUACAAGUAAAUAAAAAGUAAAUAUUUAUUUUGACUAUAACAACAACUACCCUCUUGAAUAGGACUCUACAGCAGCCACGUGACAACUAAUUUUUCCAUAAUAUUAUUAUUAGUAGAAGUAGAUUUUCAAACUAGUCUUGAUAGAUUUCAAAGUUGUAUUAUCAAUGUAUAAGUAUCUAGAUUGUAACUAUAUUUUUAAAAAUAAAAUAUUUUAAUUAUUGCACAGUAAAUGUAGAAGAAUAUCUGUAAAAUAAUAUUAUUAGGACUAAGAAAAAAUAUUAUUUCAGAUACGUUAUUUAUUUAUUAUUGAAUUAAUAAUUUAUUAAUUUAUUGAUAAAUGAAUAUUUAUUAAUUUAAAGAAAGACUUUUUUGGUUUUAUGAAGAGUUUGUUUGGUACAUGCACACACUUAUAAAGAAACAUAAAAAGUGCUUCCUCAAGUCAAUGGUAUUUGCUCUAAUCGCUACGAUUCAUAAUAAUAUAGCUUAGUUAGGAAAUUUGUAAUUAUAAUAUGAUUCUUUUAAUACAACUUUUCAAGUAGAGCUUAUUUAAGUAGAGAUUUUGUUAAUAGAGGUAUUAUAAAUAAAGAUUCCACUAAAAAAAAUUUAGUUGUUUGAUUAUAAUGUCCAAAUUGAUGAACUUUUAUUCUUUUGUUAACAUCUGUUUGUUUUACUUAAUAAUAAAAGUUUAGUUUACAAUUACACCGGUAUCAAAUCAGCAGAGCAUUGUUGUUUUACUUUAUAAAAGCAUCGGCAAGAGUUUUCGAUUGUUGCAACUUGCAAUGCACGCGGUGAGAGAAAAUGAGAAUCUUGUUUAAUUGUCAAUAAUGACAAACCUAAUCCUUUCAUUAGGAGUAAUUUAAUAAUCGUUUGUUAUAAUUGAAUAGGUAUAAAGAAAGGACAAUUCUAUUCAUAGAUUCGACUUAUUUUUUUGUUUAAAGUAAGUAAUCAUUCAACCAUCUUCAUUUGCCUCUGGCCAAUGCCCUAGUAGAUUAGUUGAAGCGUUAAUUACUUAAUUCAGAUAAUUACAACGUCCUUUUCGCUAAUUAAUUAUGAUUAUGUACAUUUUCAUAUAGCAAGUGGCAUUGUAGAUAUAAACUAAGUUGCUAUUUCAAUACGUUAAUCAAGUGAUUCUCCUCAUUGUCAUCAGCGUCAUACCCUCUAGGAAAAUAGCUCAAUUGUUUCCAUGCAUUGAUUUUCAUUGGUAUGUGAUUUCAGAUUUCUUAUGAAAUUCUUUUGAGCUUUCCUUAUUAAUUGAUUUUCAAUUAACUUGUGAACGAUUUUAUACCCUCUCUUUUUUUUUUUUUUAAGUACUCUAUUGAAAGCCAAAGUUCCUUUGGCCAGUUAAUUUAGAAGUGAAGGAAAGAAUAAAGUUAGUCCUCGACGUCUUUUGAAAUUAGAAAUACAUUUUGAAUGCUUUAAUAGAUGCAGAGCAAACUGGCUCGAUAUCUAACUAUUUUAAGAGCUAAAAUCAUUUAAUAGAAGUUGUAGCAUUAAAAAAAAAAAAAACUGGCUUGAUAUCCAAUUUUGUUAUUGAAUAUGUCUCAUGUGAGAGUAAAAAAAAACUGGCUUGAUAUCCAAAAUUUAAAGGUAACUCCUUGAAUUUGAUUGAAAAAUUAUUGAGACGGACAAGUUUGGACCAUUGUUCGAGACUGAAACUACACAUCAGUCUUAGAAAAUUGUAAUUUUGUUGGCUUAUCAUGAUUUUGAUCGCCUCACAUUGAUUUUCCUAUGGCGUCUCUGUAGAGUGGCUAUGCUUACAUUUUUAGGUAUUUAAUUCUAAAAAUUAACUUAUUAGAUGGAAGGAACAAUUCUACCUGUAAAUCCAAGUGGCUUCCCUUUACCAACUCAUACAAGACACAACAAUAAUCUUCUUCGGAAAAAACCACCGUCGGAGGGCUAUUUUCGUUCAACAUAUAUGAGUUGUUCCGCCACCAUAUUUUAAGGGUUUGCUUCUAAUACAACUUGGGGGAGCUAGGGCUAAGAUUUCUAAGUAUCAACAUAAAAACCUCACCUAUUGGAUAGAAGGACCAAUCCUACUUAUAAGUCUAAAUGACUAAUUUUUGAGAACACAACUCAACAGACCAAUAUAAACUUUUGACGUCCCAUUUUAUUACUUUCCAGUGCUUUUACUUUUGCUGUCUAUAGCCCUACUAUUCUAUUAAGCAGAAAAUAUUUCAAGGCACUCUCGGUCCAGUAGAUAACUUUGGUAUUUAUUAUCUAUUUUCUUUCCAUUUUAUGUAUACCCCGAUCUUUACCUCUGAUUGGUUGUAGAUUCUUUUGUUGCUUUGGGGUUAGGGGAUGGUUUUCAUAACUAUUCAGUUGAUCAAUGCAGAAAAUCACCUUCAAGAAAUGAUAAAGGAUUGUUAGUUCUAUCUGGCAAACAACAUUAAUAUGAAGGAUGGUGGUUGUUCUGUUCAAGAGUUUAUAAUGACAUAAUUCUACUUUGGUCUUUUAAAAAAAGUAAUUUAGAAACGAGGAGUAUGUGAGUGAUGAUUUUUACAAAAUAAAUUACAUGCGUAGUGAUGAUUUUGGCACAUGAAAAUGAAAAAAGAAAUAUAAAUUGUGAAUAAUAAUUGAAGAACCUGCUAUUGGUAUAUUGAGUAAUCAAGGACUUCAAUAUUCGGACGAUAUAAGCAACACAAUCAAAUAUUAGUUGGAAGGCAUAGCAAAAUUAGAAUGUAGAACAAACUGGGUAUUGAUAAAUGGAUGGUUUUGGAAGAAUUGAAAAUGAUGGCAUAAGUAAACCAAAGUUUAGAGAAAAGAGAAAGAGCAUUUGAACUUUACUUGUAAGAAAAGGCAAAUAUCUUGGUUCAAGAAAAGAUAAGAGAUAUCAAACUAGCAAUAGGAAAAAGGAGGAAGGUUAAGACAGCAUCUUAACAAAAGCUAAAGAAAAGAAAAACUUAGUUCAAGCAAAGAACAAUGUGCUAAUGUCGUGUAAUUUUGUUUAAUUUCUUUUUCUUCUCACAUUUUCCAGGGCUUAAAUAAUACAAUAUACAUUUUCAAGCAAAGAACAAUAUGCAAUUGCAGUACUUCUGAGCACACAACAACAAAUAAAUAAUACAAUAUACAUAGCCAGUAAAUUAAAAAUAUAUAUAUUAUUCAAGUUUGUGGACAAUACUGUAGCCAUGGCGUCGUCGAAAUCUACUGACAGCUGAAACAAAGAAAGAAUGGAUGAAUGCUGGAUCACAGUUGAAAUUGAAGGUCUGGUAGGUGAUGUUUCCCUCUCUUUUUUUACCUAAACAAAUACAAGAAAAUCAGAAUCACAAAUGAAAAUCUGCUAUUACACUGUUCUUACUUAUUAAAAUACAGAGGUUUCUUUGUUUCUCUGCAGCAAUGUCCAUGGCUAUUAGAAACAAGAACAAUUAGACCAGCAUUUGCAAGAAUCCUUUAAGGUAUUACUGCAGAUAUAAAUCGACUGAGGAAAUGGAAAAAUUGAAUACCGAAUUAGGCAAGUUAACUGAAGAUUGAGUUAUCAUAGAAGAAUAAAACUCAUCCAAUUCAAUCCAUCAAAUUCCACAAGGAUACAACUGGAUGUCAUACUGCUGCUCCAUAUCCUCAAGAGCCCGUAGAUUUUGCCUCAACUCUGGCUGAGGCCAAUGUAAGUCCAAUUUGCAAAAGCUCUUUAUGCACCAUAGCUCUUCAGGAAGCUUUCUCAAGUAAGCACAAGGGUUGACAAUUAUGCUCCCAAGUUUUGGCAUUGCUCCAGCCCCUAUCGUCCACUCCUCUAGCAAAUAAAUUGAUUUCAGGUGCAAUACCUUGAGCUCCGGGAAACCACAAGAGCAAACACAAGCCAGUUUUCUUCCUGAAUAUGAGUUCUGCUUCAAUUUCAGCACUUGAAGGUGUGGAAGCUUGUCUAGUGUUAGCAUGGUAUCCUCCAAUAACUCAGUAUUUGAUAAGCUUAGAUGGAUCAGACUUGGAGAAGCUGGUAUUUAGACAGGGCCGUCCGAGAGAGCUACCACCUCUUGGUUUCGUUCACCAGCUUCAAGCAUUCAAGUUUGUGUAGUUCGCAUAGGCUUUUGGAAACCCCAGAACGAUAAUAACUCAAACCUCCAGAUACUAAGAGUUUGAAAAUGAGGUAGUCUGCCUGUUAAAGUAGCUCACUAUGCUGAACGAAAGAAGGAGAAAGCUAAGCUGAAGAAAAUACAGGGCAAGAGUAUUAGCUGUGCCAGCUCAACUGACAGCUCAGCAAAAUCAGUUAAAUUUUGUUACAAGCUCCCUGUGCAUUGUGCUGAAGAUUAGUUAGUUUAAUAAUGAUUAGUUUUAGAUUAGUUAAAAUGUAAUCAUGAUUAAGAUAAAUAAAUAAAUAUAUAUAUAGCUGCUGUACUGAUAGGGCAUCUCAAAAGUUCUGAAAUAAUACCUCAAUUCUAUGGCAAAAAUAAAUAAUCUCAAACAAGAACCAAUAAUCAUAUUUCGUUACUGUCAAACACAAUGCAUCUAAGCAAAACAUUGGAAGCCAACACCAGAAUACAUAUGAAUAAACAAUUAAAGAUAGAGAAAAAAGGCUUAAACCUUGGGGGAAAAAAGUGAAAAAACAUGAAAGACAAAUUACACAUGUGCAGUAACCAUCGAACUUAUCAGUGACAGCUGCAUCCAUUACAUUGCUCCAACAACACAAUGGCAAACCACCAGUUUCAAAUUGAGGAUAGCUAUCGAGAAUGAGAAAGUGUCCAAAACGUCAUAAAUAGACAUGUUCCUAUUGUGCAUAAUUUACAUUAUAGGCAAAUAUUCUUACACCAUCAAAGGCAAAACAUGACACUAACAAUUGAUCCCCCCCCAAAACCAAAAAAAAGGAAAAAACAAUACAGAAAAGAUUGAAACAGAUAAGGCUACACUGAGCACAGGAUGCCAUGAAACAUAAUCCAGGAACCAAAUUAAUAAAAAAGGAAGCCAAACCAUUAUUUAACAAUCUGUUUUGUAUUUGGGAAAGUCUGAUAAAAUCUACUUAGGGAUAAUUAGAGAACCUCAACUAUUAAUCACACCUCAUAAAUGAACUAACAUUAACCAUCUACCAUCCCCACGUCACACAAACAUUCUCUAUACUUCUGAACCUAAUCCAUCUUCAAUUGGGGUUUUUUUUUUUUUUUUUGGGUGGCGGGGGGGGGGAGCUAUCAAUUUUCUAAGCUUGCUUAGCUUCUGUGUGGGAUUGAAAUGCUGAUUUCAAAUCACUAACAGUAAAAUUGGAAGCUCAUGAAAAAACAGUUUUAUCUCAAAAUUACAUCUCGAUAUAAAUUCUCUUUUCAUUUCCUUCAACUUUCUAAUUAAGCUUAAAAAAUGUACCUUCAACCACAAAGGGGUUUAAAAUUUAAAAUAUAAAAAAUAAAUUCAGAUAACAAUAAUUAAUUUAAUUAAAAAUAUAAAUAGAGUUACAGAGAAAGAGAAAUUAGAGAAAGACCUAAUGUUGAGUCCUUUGGCGCAUGUCUCUUCAUAGGUCCGAACCAUUUCUUCGGGCGUGGGUUACGGCCGAGAUUGGAUAAUGAUGGAGGAGGAGAAGAUUAGCGAUGACGACGCCGAUGAAAUGGAAGGGUUUACCAGAGGAGUGGAUGCGAAGAGUGCAGGGACGGCCGCAGAGAGAGAGCAGCGGAGUGCGGCGACGGACGGUAGUGACCAGCGGAGGCGGAAGAUGGCGGUAUGGGCCAUUGCUUGCGCGUCGGUGAGUGUCUCGAGUGAGAGAGUGAAACCUCUACUUAAAUAAGUUCUACUUGAAAAACCGUACCAAACGGAGCUUAAAGUUAAUAGUCUCGUAUCUCCCGCAUUUGAUAUCUUAUUGGCAUCAGCGUGUUACCUAAGAUUGGGAUUCAUUAAAAUCCUCAAUGUAAUCGGUGGAACGAAUGGAUUUCUUCUGUUCACCUAUCCACCAAAAUUUCUGUAAUUAAAUUCAAAAGUCAAGAUCUAUGCUUAUUAUCUAUUCAACAGCUAAUAUUCUAAUUUAUAUUUACUUAAAUAUGAAGAGCUAUGCUUGUAAUUAACUUCAAAUGUGAUCGAAGCAGCCUUACAUCUGUAUAUUACUUAUUCCCAACCUUUUUUUUGACUUCAUAUACUUUCUUUUCAUGUUAUUUACUCUUUUUUUUCCCCUCUCUGACAAUUGAGGUAGGGGGUCAAACUUGAAAGUAUCUUAAAAUCAGACAUUUUUUUUUAAUAAUAACCUAGUUGUUUGCAUUAGAAAUGAUAUUUUUUGUGGUGCUGAUAAAGAGGUUAAUUAUGAUUCAACAAUUUAAAAUAUGAAAACAUGUGGAAGACGGCCGCAAUUAAAUUGAUUGUAUGAAAAUAUUUCAAUGAAAGUUUAAAAAUUUAGUACUUGUUAUCUUAUCGAGAGUUUUUUAAAUUAUAUUACUACUUGAACUUGACUGCUUUUGUAUUGAAUUCCUAGCGUUGACAUUGCUUCUACUCAAAAGCCAUUUAAGUUUGUGUAAGCUACCUGUAGUUUGAACAACAAUUUACUCAUGAAUUCUUGUUCAUAAUAGCAAUUUGAUUGAAAGUGCGGCUGCACUAAUUUUCUAGAUGAAUUUUUUCCUACAUGCUUGUUCUCGUAUGACCCAAAAUCCUGCUACAUCAGUUGUAUUAGAAAUUAAUCAACUGGGUUACAAUUAUGCAUCCCCACCAAUAUUUAAGCAAUUUAAUUACAGAAACAUUUCUUGAGGAAAGAAACUCAUAUCGGCACUAGGCUUUCAAUGAGGCUCAUUUUUAUGAAUCUGGAUAGCAUUAGAUAUCUCUCCGAAUAAUGGUGGGAGUAGAUCGCAGAUCUGGCUAUACUACAAAGUGUAUGUACGUUGACUCUCAAUAAAUACAAAUGAUUCUCUGAUAUUUUUUUUUUUGAUAUUAAUCACGAGAUAUCCUGAGGAGGGCCCCAACUGUGGGAGGCACCUUUAAGCCCGUACCACAACUCAGACUAGAAGUCCCCGCUCGAACCGGGAGGCACAGGUUCUCCCAACAAAGGCGACUUCCCUGCGACUCGAACUGAGGAGCAAACUCAGUCAAUGAUUCUCUGAUAUGAUUCAAAACAUCAGUGCAUGCAUCAUUUUAACUAGAGAGAAUAUUCUAAGAAUGAAAUUGAACGUGCAAUCAGCAACUAAAAUGAAGCCAGAAAUGUACACGCAUGAGGAAUUUUUCCUAGAAGAUUGAUAUUUCUUUAACUAGCAAACCAUACAAGUCCAAAGCUAACCAAACCAUACCUGCAAGUCCGGGGCUUAAAUGGAGUACUUGUAAGCAUAAAACAUUAAUCAAAACACAGUAUAGACACACACACACACCCCUCCCUACAUACAUACCAGCAAAUUCGAAAUAGAAAAAGGAGUGCAACUCACAAAACAGUCGGAGGUGGAAUUCCAGCAUAUCUCCUUCUCUCCGUAGCACUCAGAGGUAUAGUUGAAAGAUUAAACACCAUGGAAUAAUUUGAAAGGAAAAUGCCAAGAAACUGUGUAAGUGGCUAAAUUCCACAAAUAUUACAUUAUUGCUCAUUUUUAUCUCAAAAAAAUGGUACGCGUUCAUUUAGAGAAGAGUCCAAGCCCAGUAACAGGAAUAUUUUAAUUACUACCAUGACAUAAUUGAUGGUGCUUAAAUCAAUUGUUUCUUUUUUAAUUUAAAGAUUUUUUCAUUAAAAAAUAUUUUAAUAUCAAAAUGCCUUCAAUGGCAUUACUGCCGCAAGCCCAGCAACAGGAUUAAUUAAAAAGUUCAGAAUUUUUGGGCAUGGAAACUGGAAAGAGUAUUAAACAUCAGAAAGCUAAGGUUUGUUCUGUUAAAGAAUUGAUAUUGACAUAGUUUUUUUUUUGAGGAAAAAAAAAACAUAUUUGUUGACAAGUAAGGAAAUGUUUUUGUAUUUUACAAUCUGUUAUUACAUAUUUUAUCAUAUUAAAGUAAUUUUAAUAACAAAUAGAAACAUAAUAUUACAAUAAAUAAAUUAAAGUUUAAAUUAUUUUGAAUAUUAUAAAAAAUAAUGUUAAUAUUAUUAAUAGGAAGACAUUUUGUUAAUUUUAAAAUCUUUUUAAUCCAAAGGUUUAUUUAAAAUCUCUAUAAUAAAUACAAAUAUAAGAUUAAAAUAAAAAUCAUAAUUUGAAAAUUUUAAUAUUAUUUUAAAUGUUAAAUAUACUUUAAUGUUAUUAGCCUACUACGUAGAUUUUAUUAUUUAUAUUAUAUUCGUAUUGAUUAAAAUUUUUUAAAAUCAAUUUUUUAGUUAGUACAUUCAAGAGGUAUCAUAGUUAAAGAAAAGAUUUUGGUGCAACUGUUUUAAAAUUUCAGGGACUAAAUGAUAAUUUUUUUAAAUUUUAAGGAAGUUGGUAUUAUUUUUCCGACAAUUUAUUUUAUUUUGAGGGAAAUCCGAUGAGAAAUAUCAUCAGAGAACAUUAAUUUAACAUUCUUUACCUUUAUGAAAAAAGUGAAAAUCAAGAACUAUUCAAUUUUGUAUUUUUUGUUUGUAAUUCAAAAAAUGCAUCCACCAAAUCAAGAACUAUUCAAUCUUGAUUUUCCCAUUUUAUUCAUUUUCGAUGCAUCCCCCACUAUUUUUACAAAUCUCCAUCCCACAUCUACACUAUCAAACAAGUUGAUGGAAAUUGAACCCAGUAAGUUAUGUUCAUUACUGGUCAUUGUCUUUCUAUGAGCCACUUAUUUUGAGCAUUAGCGAUCUUAUAAGGAAUCAUGCCUUUUCAGGAUCGUUUUCUUUCAUUUCCUUCUUGUAGUAGUUAAUUAAAUAAAGAACGAACAGCUGAACUUGGUCUAUUUCGAGGAAGAACAAGGUUUCCAAUACUAGAGGAACUUUGAAAAAAAUUAAUUGGAAGCCUUUAUUCAUCUUUGAAGAAAAUUACCACACUUUAAAUCCUGGAUAAAAAAAAUUUUAUUCAUCUUCGGACUAUGAAUUUAUAAAAAAACAUUGUUAGGACUAAGAAAAAAAUAUUAUUUUAGAUAAGUUAUUUGUUUAUUAUUGAAUGAAAAAUUUAUCAUGAUAAAUAAAUAUUUAUUAUUUUAAAGAGAGAUUUUUUUUUUGGUUUUAAGAAGAGUUUUUUUUUGGUACAUGCACACACUAAUAAAGAAACACAAAAAGUGCUUCCUCAAGUCAAUAGUAUUUGCUUUAAUGGCUAAGGUGCAUAAUAAUGUAGCUUAGUUAGGAAAUUUGUAAUUACAUUAUGGCUCCGUUUGGUAUAACUUUUUAAUUAGAAGUAUUGUUCUUUUUAUUAACAUGUGUUUGUUUUACUUAAUAAUAAAAGUUUAGUUUACAAUUACACCGGUGUCAAAUCAGCAGAGCAUCGGCAAGAGUUUUCGAUUGUUGCAAUUUGCAAUGCACGCGGUGAGAGAAAAUGAGAAUCUUGUUUAAUUGUGAAUAAUGACAAACCUAAUCCUUUCAUUAGGAGUAAAUUAAUAAUCGUUUGUUAUAAUUGAAUAUGUAUAAAGAAAGGAAAAUUAUAUUCAUAGAUUUGACUUAUUUUUUGUUUAACGUAACUAAUCAUUCAACCAUCUUCAUUUGCCUCUGGCCAAUGCCCUUGUAGAUUAGUUGAAGCGUUGAUUUCUUAAUUCAGAUAAUUACAACGUCCUUUUCGCUAAUUAAGUAUGAUUAUGUACAUUUUCAUAUAGCAAGUGGCAUUGUAGAUCUAAACUAAGUUGCUAUUUCAAUCCGUUAAUUAAGUGAUUCUCCUCAUUGUCAUCAGUGUUAUACCCUCUGGGAAAAUAGCUCAAUUGUUUCCCUGCAUUGAUUUUCAUUGGUAAGUGAUUUCUUAUGAAAUUCUUUUGAGCUUUCCUUAUUAAAAAAGCUUGAGCUUUUAUCACCUAAUACGGAUAUCAAUUAACUUGUGAACGAUUUUGUAAUGAAACUAGGAGUUAAAUAAGAUUUUUACAUGAUGAUCAACUUGUUAAUUUUGUAUAUUUCAUAUUUAACAGGAUUUGGGCACGGAACGUUUGGAUUCUAAUAUUUAUAUAUUUAGUUUUAAUCAGUUUGACUUUCGUAAUCUUUCUCGCCUCAUCAUUAAGGGAUUAAGAAUUAGAGAAACAUUAGAAACAGGAAGAAAAUAACUUCAGAAAUAAGUAAGAGGGAAAAAAAUUUAUGAUAUUUGGUGUUGAAAUGAACUAAAAACUCGUCAGUACAACGUGUCGUUUGCAGGUUGUGAAGAUGAGUGCCAUGUCGUUUCAUUUAAGCAAUAUACCAGAACUGACAAAUUGCCAAUGUCGUUCAAGACCAUUAUAACUCACGUGCCUUACGCAUGCCUCUCUUAAGCUUAAACGGCAAAGCUAGCAGUCGUUUAAGGAAGGCUUAUUAAUAGCGCGUGAGAAGCUCGUGCCAGGUUGGUUAAAAGGCCGUUAGAUUUAGAGGGAAAUCUGGAUCUGUUACACCUGCAUCAACUGAUAUAUAAACGAGCUGGUUCUGGUGUUAGCAUGUAUGACCAAGGAGAGAGAGAUAAGGCAUCGAUACUGAGAGAAAAGCUUGACUAAGUGGUCUCUGUAUUAUGUGUGAUUUCUCUGUAACCUUGAAAGCUUAAUAAAACUGCUCUCUGUGUUGGUUUUCUCCAGUGGAUGUAGGCACCCUUCAACAGGUGCUGAACCACUUAAGCUCUGUGUGUUCUUUGCCUUUAGGUUGUGAUCUUUGAUCUGUGCAUUGUUCUUUGUUAAGUGUAAGAUUGGUUCUUGAAUCUUUGAGUCAGAGUUGGGUCUUGGGGUGAGAUUAAUCUAGUAUCUAAAGGGUUAAUCUCUCAACAUUUGGAAUGUAUCAUAAUUUUUUGUUGAGUAAAUAUGUAUGAAUAGUUUUUGGGAGUUUUAGCCAGGAGUCAUUUAUUGAAGAUGUCUAGCAAUUAAAGAUCUCUGUCUCAGUAGUUUUCCCAAUCAAAAUCAAGAAGCAAAAAAAACUUGCCAUUUUUCUACUUGAUAAUUAAUUGAAAUUUAAGAAAAUACAAUGGCAUUUCAAUUAGAAUUGGUAAUUGUUUAUCUUUUUUUCAUUGAUCAAAUUCUAAUCUUUAUGCAAUAGUUAUGAAUGAAAGAAAUAUUAUGAGAGGAGAUAGGUCAAUUGAAGCCGUACCCGCAAAUAAAAAAUAGAAAAGGAGUGCAACUAUUCAACUUUGUAGACAAUAUUGCAACCAUCCAAAGGUGAAGAUCUACGCUUAUUAUCUAUUUAACAGCUAUAUAUAUAUAUAUUUAUAUUUUUAAAUAUCAAGAGCUAUGCUUGUAAAUAAGUUCAAAAGUGAUGAGAACAGCCUUAUAUUUAUUUAUUUAAAUAUUACCCAGAAUACUGCUAUAACAAUUGUAUUUAAAUAAUAAUUGUAUUUAAAUAAAUAACUAUAUAUCUAAAUAUAUAUUUAUUUAUUUAAAUAUCAAGAGCUAUGCUUGUAAAUAAGUUCAAAUGUGAUGAGAACAGACUUAUAUUUAUUUAUUUAUUUAAAUAUGACCCAGGCUAAUUUCUCUGAAUUUUGACAGAGUAGAUUUCUAAGCUAAUGCUUGGCAGAUCUCUGGGCGAUACUACAAAGUGCAUGUACAUUGAGUCUUAAUAAAUAUAAACGAUUCUCUGAUAUGAUUCAAAACAUCACUACAUGCAUAAAUUAAUAAGAAAUGUAUAGUUGUACAUAAUUUUAUGCAUGAGGCAGUUUUUAUAGUUGUACCCUCUCUAAUGAAAUUGAAGGUGCAGCCAGCAACUAAAAUGAAGCAGAAAUGUACACGCAUGAGGCAGUUUUUCUAGAAGAUUGAUAUUUCUUUAACUAGAAAACCAUACAAGUCCACAGCUAGCCAAACCGUACCUGCAUGUGUCUAGGGCUUAAAUGGAGCACUUCUAAGCAUAAAACAGUAACUAAAACACAUACACAAACAUACAUACCAAAAAAUUCAAAAAAUAGAGAAAGGAAUACAACUAUUCAUGUUUGUAGACAAUAUUGCAACCAUGGCAUCAGUUAUAGCAAAUAUUGAAUUACAAUAUUUCCCUUGCCGAUUUUGUCUACACAAGUAAAGGGAAAUAAGAAUCAUAGAUGAAAAUCAACUUUUACAGUUCUAAUUAUUAGAUAGAUACAUAAUGAUCUAUCUUUGUUACUUUGUUUCUCUGCUGCAAUGUGCGAUCCCACUCUGUUUUGAUACUCAAAUUGAGUCUAUGUUGAGACAUAAUUUUGACAUUGGAAGCAAUCCCAAUUAGUUUGGCUUUUGUAUGACCCUUUAAGGUUUUACAAUAGAUGCAAAUCUACUGAGAAAAUGGUAAAAAAAGGUGUAUAUAAAAUGAGGCAAGUAACAGAAGUAUGAGUUAUCAGAUUAGAUUAAAAGUCACCCAAUUCAAUCUAUCAGAUUCCGUAAGGAUAUAACUGGAUGUCAUACCGCCAGUCCAUAUCCUCGAAAGUCUCUAGUCUUUGUCUCAACUCUGUCUGAGGCCAAUGUAAAUCCAAUUUGCACAAGCUCUUUAUGCACCAUAGCUCUUCUGGAAGCUUUCUCAAGUAAGCACAUGGGUUGACAAUUAAGCUUUCAAGUUUUGGCAUUGCUCUGCCCCCAUCGUCCACUCGUCUAGCCAAUACAUCGACUUCAGGUGCAAAAUCUUAAGUUCCGGAAAGCCAGCAGAGCCAACGCAGGCUAGCUUUCUUCCUAAAUACGAGUUCUGCUUCAGUUUCAGCACUUGAAGGCGUGGAAGCUUUUCCAGCAUUGGCAUGGGAUCCUCCAUUCGCUCAGUAUUUGAUAAGCUCAGUUGCAUCAUUCUUGGAGGAAAUUAGUAUUCAGACAGGACCAUCCGUGAGAGCUUGCUCUCAUUCACCAACUUCAAGCAUUCAACUUUGUGGAGUUUGCAUACGCUUUUGGAAACCCCAGAGUGAUAGCAACUCAAAUCUCCAGACACUCUAAGAGUUUGAAGAUUAGAUAGUCUGCACAAUAUAUCUGGCGUGCAACUACUAGGGUGUGAGGCUGAUAUGAAAAUAAGAUUUUUCAGAGAGCUGGAAUAAUUUUUUGGAGGUGCAGGCAGAGAGAUGGAACCAAAGUUCAGAUGCAUGAGUUUUUGCAUCUUCCAAAUAUCCUCUGGUGUUUGAUCUACGUAGCUAGAUGGCAUGUCUAGUGUUUGAAGGUUUGAAAGGGUGCAUAGCGGUGAAGGAAGACAUUUGAGCGAAGGGAUAUUCAAUUUCAAAUACUUCAAAUGGAAUAAAUUUUCUAAUCUGGGUGGAUAUUGGUCCAGGACUGCAGAACCCAUGUUCAAUACCCGAAGGUGUUUGAACAUUUUACAAAAAUUCUCGCAAUCUAUCGGAUUAAGAUGAUCGCUUUCUGAACUGUGAUUCAGAAAAAGAUUGGAGAUACAUGUCCGAAUGUUUCAAAGAAAAGAAUUCAAUCGGAUCAUCGAAAAUGAUGUACCGUUUGGCAUUUGCCAAUGAUUCAUCUUCGAAGUCAGGCGUCCGGACAAAUCCCAUCAUUGCUGCCGUCCCAAGUAACGCAGCAUAUGCAAAAGUUGGAACAUAACACGCCUUAAUUGUGCCUCCAUCUCUUCUCUUAUUUACUUGAAUGAAGCCAUGAUCGAUUAGUUCGUUCAAGUAAUGCUCGGCAGUUUCCUCACUGUUGUAUGGUAUGAAACCUUCAGCUACCCACAGCUGAUAUAAUUGCCUGGUAGAUAUCUCAAUGCCUGGAUGAAAGCUGAGGUUGUCCCUCGAUCAGUAAAUCAAACAAUUCCUCUGCCGCUUUCAAAUUCACUCUUAUCAAGCUGAAAUUGUCCCUCAAUCAAUAAGUGAGUGAAUUCGUUCCUUCGCUCUUUGAAAUCAAAACCAUUGUCUCUAGGCGGAAUUUGUUGCAACUGAUUUCUAAUAUCAAUGAUUUUACUGUGGAUUCCGACAAGAAGAGCAAUGAGUGAGAAAACAACUUGUUUGGUAACCAAAAAAGUAUUGAGAGAAAAUGUAAUGAUUCUGAGAAAUUGCUUUUAUUUCAAUUAAUCGAAUCCAGAGUAAAUGUACAGAGUUUCUUUAUAUACUAACGUAUCUACAUAGCUGAUAUUAGCUAAACUAAUUCAACCAGCUAAUCAUGCUUAACAACUUAUUAUAACUAACUAAAACUAAUAUUCACGUGUACAAGAAAUGAUGUAACCACCAGGUGCUAGCUGGCAUGCCAAGUCAUCAACUUGUAACCGUGAGCUGCAACUGUUACAAUCCUCUGCUUUGCUGACUAUCUGGCUCACAUGAGCUUCCUUAACAUCCCCUCUCAAGCUCAAGGGUCUGUUAACUACAUUGAGCUUGGAACGAAAAUAGCUAAAUUUUGGAAAAGAUAGAGGCUUAGUAAGAACAUCUGCCACUUGUUCUUCAGUAGGAAUAUAUCUAAUCUCUAACUCUUUGUUCAGAACCUUAUCUCUAAUGUAAUGAACAUCCAGCUCUAUAUGUUUGGUCUUGGAGUGGAAUAUUGGAUUUUUAGCUAGAUCACCUGCACUCUGAUUGUCACACCAGAGAAUAGGAGUUGGCAACUUGAUAAUUUUUAGCUCAGAAAACAAAGAUUGCAGCCAUGUAAGUUCAGAACUUGCUGCUGAUAAGGCUCGAUAUUCACUUUCUGUGCUAGACUUUGCCACAAUAGCUUGCUUUUUCGAAGACCAGGAAAUGAGAUUAUUACCAAGGAAAAUGUAGUAAGCUCCAAUGGAUUUCCUGUCAUCAGUGUCACAUGCCCAAUCAGCAUCUGAGUAUCCUGUCAACCCUAUUGUUUCCAAGGUUCCCUCUUGCUGAAUAUAGAGGCCAUAUGUAAUAGUUGCUUGAAGGUAUCUCAACACCUUUUUGCAGGCUAACCAAUGUUGGAGAGUUGGACCACUUAGAUACUGGCUAAGUUUAUGCACUGAGUAAGCAAUGUCUGGUCUAGUUAGAACCAAGUAUUGAAGCCCUCCAACUAUACUUCUGUAAAGAGUUGGAUUUUCAAAUUCUACACCCAAUGAGCCUUUAGCUAUUUUUUCUAAUUUGUAACCAGUGCUGAAAGGAGUUUCAGUUUCUUUACAGUUCUGCAUUGAGGCCUUGGUCAACAAAUCCUUGAUGUAUUUAGUUUGGGAGAGGUGCAUGCCAUGAUCUGUGUAGCUGACUUCUAUACCAAGGAAAUAUGAUACCAGGCCCAAGUCUUUUAAGGCAAAAGCUUUACUCAGCUUUGUGAUGAAUGCCUCCAGCAAGACUGAAUCUGGACCUGUAACUAAUAUAUCAUCUACAUAGAUCAAGACAAGGAUUAUGCCUUUAGUGUCAUGCUUGAUAAACAAUGAAGUGUCAGCCUUAGAAUUUGUGAAAUUCCAAUCUGUAAGACAGCCCUUAAGCUUAUCAUACCAGGCCCUUGGUGCCUGUUUUAAACCAUAAAGAGCUUUGUUUAGCUUACAGAUGUAUCCUCCCUCUGAAACAAAACCCUCUGGUUGUUGCAUGUACACAUCUUCAGUAAGAUCCCCAUUGAGAAAUGCAUUGUUGAUAUCUAUUUGUCUAACAUUCCAGCCUUGCAUAACUGCCAAACUCAAUAUAACUCUGACAGUUGAAGACUUGACUACAGGACUAUAAGUUUAUGAAUAGUCAACCCCAGCUGUCUGAUGGAAUCCUUUAGCAACAAGCCGAGCUUUAUGCUUAGAUACUGAGCCAUCUAAAUUAUACUUUGUUCUGAAGACCCAUUUGCAGCCAACCAGUUUAUGAGUAGGAUCCAUUGAAACUAGAUUCCAGGUUUUGUUUCUGAUAAGUGCAUCAUAUUCCAGUUGCAUUUUAUCUUUCCAUUUAGGAUCAGCUAAAGCUUCACCAACAUUAGAAGGUUCUAAACUGUUGUGUGCUGUCAAAAAUGCCUUAGGUUUGAAUAUACCAGCUUUAGCUCUGGUAGUCAUGGGAUGGACAGAGAUAGUAGGAUUGGAAAGUGAUAAAGAUGGUCUGGAAGGUGAUGUGUGUAAAGAAGCUUGAAAUGGUAUAGGAAGUUCUGGAGAAUUUUGAUGGAUGAUAGGUGAAGAUAUAGUGUUUGAAGUUGCUACUGGAGAUGUUGUGGGAAUGACAGGGGAGGUUAUGGUAUUAGUGGAUAAAAUAGAAUGAGUAGAAGAGGAAGGUAACAAGAUAUUGUGAUGAGAACUAGAAUUGUUAGAAUCAGUAUCUGCAGCAACAGCUUCAAAAGGUUUUAGAUUGCUAUUAGGAACUGAAACAUUAUAAAUAAAAACUUAUUAAAACCUAAUUUAUUUGGGAACCACAUAUUAAAACCUAAUUUAUUUGGGAACCACAUAUUAUUGGUCAGUAGUAUUUCUCAACUUAGCAAGUUAUUUCUAAUUUGUCCCUCUCUAUUAUUGGUUCUCUUAAAGCCAAUAGUGUCGCAUUUGAUAUCUUGCCAUUACCGUUGGCAUUAGCAUGUUACCUGAAAUUGGGAUUCAUUGAAAUCCUCAAUGUAAUCGGUGGAACGAAUGGAUUUCUUCUAUUCAUAAUUUGAUGAUUUUAAUUGAACUAGGAGAUAAAGUAAAAGAUAAAUGGUUGGUUUACUCCAAUUUCUGAAGUGCUUGUAUCUUUUUGGUUGAAUUCGUGCAGUUAAAUAAUCUCUACCAACAUAUGUAUGUAUGUAUGAAAUUGGAGUAACCAGACCUUUUCAAGAGUUAAAUAAUCUCUACCAACAUUGUAGAUUGCCCGAUAAAGUUAACUGUGUUACCCAGCUCCAUGCAUAUACAUUAAAUGCAUGUUUGGGUAGUUUUAUAAAAUGAUAACAGCACGUCAAAACUUGAUGAGUUAUAUUGUCAUAUUCGACAUUUUUAAAUUGAAAAAUUAGCAAGCAAUCUUCAGUGAACAUUACAAUUUUGUUCGCUCUACACCCCAUCAAUAUUUAAGCAAUCUACAGAUCAUUACUUGAGGAAAGAAACUCUUUGCGCCACUAGGCUUUUAACGAGGCUCAUUUCUAUGAAUCGGGAUAGCAUUAGAUAUCUCUCCGAAUACUGGUGGGAGUAGAUUGCAGAUCUCUGGGCUAUACUGCAAAGUGUAUGUACGUUGAUUGUCUGAUAUGAUUCAAAACAUCAGUCCAUGCAUCAUUUUAAUGAGAAAGAAUAUUCUGAGAUUAUUUAUGCAUCACCAUUUGUAGUUGUACUGACUAAUGAAAUUAAAGGUGCAAUCAGCAACUAAAAUGAAGCCAGAAAGACACGCAUGAGGCAGUUUUCCUAGAAGAUUUGAUAUUUCUUUGACUAGCAAACCAUACGAGUCCAAAGCUAGCCAAACCAUCCCUGCAAGUCCAGGGCUUAAAUGGAGUACAUCUAAGCAUAAAACAUUAAUCAAAACACAAUACGCACACACAGACCCCUACAUACAUACCAGCAAAUUCAAAAUAGAAAAAGGAGUGCAACUAUUCAAGUUUGUAGACAAUAUUGCAGCCAUGGCAUAUCAAAGCAAAUCCUUGAAAUGUGCUAAACAGAACAAUGCCCUGUCUCAUGAAUCGACGCUCAAUUACAAUUGAAAUUGAAAGUCCGGCUGGUGUUGUUUCCCUCUCCAGUUUUGCCUACAUAAGUAAAGGGAAAUAAGAAUCAUAAAUGAAAAUAUGCUUUGACAGUUCUUAUUAGAUAUAUAUAAAGGGAUCUUUCUUUGUUUCUCUGCUGCGAUGUGUGGUUAUCCCACUGUUUUUCCACUCAAGCUGAGUCUACGUUGAGACAUAAUUUUGACAUCAGAAGAUACCUCAAUUAGUUUGGCACUUUUACGAUAAACAUAAAUCUACUAAGAAAGUGCGGAAAAAAAGAAAAUGCAUAUAAAAGUAUGAUUUAUCAGAUAAGAUUAAAACUCACCCAAUUAAAUCCGUCAGAUUCCAUAAGGAUAUAACUGGAUGUCAUACCGCCGCUCCAUAUCCUCGAAAGUCCGUAGUCUUUGUCUCAGCUCUGUCUGAGGCCAAUGUAAAUCCAAUUUGCGCAAGCUCUUUAUGCACCACAGCUCUUCUGGAAGCUUUCUCAGGUAAGCACAUGGGUUGACAAUUAAGCUUUCAAGUUUUGGCAUUGCUCCUCUCCCCAUCGUCCACUCAUCUAGCCAAUACAUUGAUUUCAGGUGCAAAACCUUAAGCUUCGGAAAGCCACCAGAGCCGACACAGGCCAGCUUUCUUCCUAAAUACGAGUUCUGCUUCAGUUUCAGCACUUGAAGGUGCGGAAGCUUUUCUAGCGUUGGCAUGGGAUCCUCCAUUAGCUCAGUAUUUGAUAAGCUCAGUUGGGUCAGACUUGGAGGAAAUUGGUAUUCAGACAGGACCAUCCGUGAGAGCUUGCUUUCAUUCACCAGCUUCAAGCAUUCAAGUUUCUGCAGUUCGCAUAGGCUUUUGGAAGCCCCAAAAUGAUAGCAAGUCAAAUCUCCAGAUAUCCUUAGAGUUUGAAUAUUUGGUACUCUGCCCAAUAUAUCUGGAAUGCAACUACUAGGGUGCAAGGCUGAUAUGAAAAUGAGAUUUUUCAGGGAGCUGCAAUAAUUAUUUGGAGGUGCAGGCAGAGUGAUGGAACCGAAGUUUAGAUGCCUGAGUUUUUGCAUCAUCCAAAUAUCCUCUGAUGACUGAUCUAUGUAGCUAGAUGGCAUUUCUAGUGCUUGAAGGUUUAAAAGGGUGCAUAGCAGCGAAGGAAGGCAUUUGAGCGAAGGGAUAUUCAAUUUCAAGUACUUCAAAAAAUAUAAAUUUUCUAAUCCGGGUGGAAAUUGGUCGAGAACUGCGGAACCCAAGUUCAGUACCCGAAGGUGUUUGAACUUUUUACAAAAGUUCUCGCAAUCUAUCAGAGCGAGAUGAUCGCUUCGUGAACUGUGAAGCAGAAAAGAAUGGAUAUACUUGUCAGAAUAUUCUGGAGGAAAGAACUUAAUCAGACGAUCCAAAAUGAGAUACCGUUUGACAUUUGCCAGUGGUUCCUCUUUCAUGUCAGAUAUCCGGACAAAUUCCGUCUUGUCCGCCACCAAAUACAGUGAAAUAAAUUCAAAACUUGGAACAUAACACGCUUUGAUUGUGCCGUUGGCUCUUCUCUUACUCACUUGAAUGAAGUCGCGGUGGAUUAGUUCUUUUAACCCUCAGCUAUCCACAACUGACAUAAUUGCGUGGUAGAUAUCUCAAUGCCGGGGCGGAAGACACACAAAUAGAUGCAGCAGACUUUCAAGUAAAAAGGUAACUCCCCCACAGAACAAGUUCGACUGAAAACUGUCAAAUUUAUUUUUUCAUUCAUAUAAUUUUCUGAUGGCGCACUUCCAUAGUGUAGGACGAAAAAUUGCCAGGCCUCAUGCUCUAAUCUGAUCAAUGGUCCUUCAAUGAGCACUGAAUCAAGCCGAAUCUUCUCUCCGUUUUCCAUUUCCAACGACGUAAGGAGUUCUGGAUCAGUGAAAUAUCAAUACUCUGCUUCCAUUCCGAUUAUCAGGAAGAACUUCUUCAAGAUCAUCCCAUAUCUCAAUGUUAUCGCAGACAUCAUCAAGCACAAUAAAGUACUUCUUGUUUGUUAGGUAAUCUUGAAGAAUAGAUUUCUUCAAUUGAUAAUCUUCACCGAUAAUUACACUAACCCGAGAUGGAGGCAUCACGGACUUGAUUAUGUCAUCCAAUAUCUUGCCAAAAUCGUAGAGUGAAGAAACCCUGACCCAAGCAAAACCGUCAAAAUAGAACUUGACGUGAUUAUUAUUGUAAGUAUCUGCAGCAAAAGCAGUCUUAUCGAUGCCACGGCUGUCGAGAAUUGCAACCACUGCAAGCCGAGGAUGUCCUUCUAUCAAUAAAUCAAACAACUCCUCUCUGCCCCUUGCAAAUUCAUUGAUAUCAAGCCGAGGUUGUCCCUCACUCAAUAGGCGAAUGGUUUUGUUACAUUGUUCAGUGAUAUCAAAAUCAUUGUCGCCGGGUGGAAGUUGUUGCAUCCGAUUUCUAAUAUCAAUGAUUUCACUGUUGAGUCCAUCAAGAAGAGUCGUAUUAGUACUGCUGUCACUUUCGUUUUCACUGUUUUGCUGCUGCAUGAUUUUGAUGAAGAAUGUGUCAAUGGCUUCCUCAGAUUCACGGACAAAGUCAUUGAUGUCGUUCAGAAUUUCCAGAAUGUCUGCCCUUUUAACAUCUUCUUCAUCGCUUUUUUCUAAGUCCAACAGUUGCAAAGAAGGUAAAGAUAUUUCGGUGUCAUCGAAUUCUUCUCUAAUGAGUUGAAACAAAUCCGAGCCAUGUCAGAGUCAUAGUUUCCCAGCAGUGGUAACAAUAAUUUUGGACUCCGUAAGAAGGUUUUGAAAAAGUGGGGUUAAAUUUGUUGAAUCAGGCAGCGUUAACGGGUCUUCUUCACCUGCUAACACCCUUUUCAACCUCUCACAAAAUAGUCGGAGGUGGACGUCCAGCAUAUCUCAUUCUCUCCGUAGCACCCAGACGUAUUGUUAUUUGCUCCAACAAAUGUUAAAAGGAUUGGUUCUAUCUCAAAGUGGUUUGUGGUGUAAAAUUAAACACUAUGGGAGAAUUUGAAAGGAAGAUGCCAAGAAACCGUGUAAGUGGCUAAUUUCCACAAAUAUGACAUUAUUGCUCAUUUUUAACUCAAAAAAAUGAUAUGCGUUCAUUUAGAGAAAAGUCCAAGACGCUUGCCUUUUAAAAAGAACAGGUAUCCCUAUGCAACCUUUAUCUUAUUUAAUUACUACCAUAUGGUACUUAAAUCUAUUGUUUCUUUUUUAAUUUAAAGAAUUUUUCAUUAAAAAACUAUUUUAAUAUCAAAAUGCCUUCAAUGGCAUAGCUGCCGCAAGCCCAGUAUGAAUUAACAGGAUGAAUUAAAAAUUUUAGAAUUUUUGGGCAUGGAAAGAGUAAUAUUAAACAUUAGAAAGCUAAGCUUGUUCUGUUAAAGAAUUGAUAUUGACAUAAUUUUAUUUUGGUUUUCGGGGAAAAAAAUUAUUCGUUGACAAGCAAGAAACAUUUUUAAUUUUUAAAAUUUAUUAUGCAUAUUUUAUCAUAGUAAAGUAAUUUUAAUAAUAAAUAGAAACAUAAUAUUACAGUAAAUAAAUUAAAGUUUAAAUUAUUUUGAAUGUUAUAAAAAAUAAUUUUAAUAUUAUUAAUAGAAGACAUUUUCUUAAUUUUAAAAUCUUUUUAACCCAAAGGUUUAUUUAAAAUCUUUCUAAUAAAUACAAAUAUAAAAUUAAAAUAAAUAUCAAAAUUUGAAAUUUUUAAUAUUAAAAUUACUUUAAUGUUGUUAGUGACUGUUCGGUACAGCUUAUUUAAUGGCUAUAAGUGCUUAUUUAAUGUCAUAAUGUCAUGGGAUGAGUGUUUUGCACAGCAAAUCCAUGCGGUACUUAGACAACUUUGCCGAAUGUUGCUAAGUAAGCCUUGAGCUUCUCGAACUAGCUAAGCCUAGAGGUUUUCGAAGAGCUAGAGAGAAGAGAGCAAUGAAGCCGAAUGAAGAGAAUUGUAUUACUAACAAGAGAGAUUACAAGAGAGCUUACAAGUGUUUGAGUUGCUUGUACUAAGCUUGUUGCUCAAAUGUCUAAUGCCAUCCCAUAUUUAUAGGGGAGGCUUGCCAAGCUCUAGAGAUUCUAGAGAAUUCUACCAUUUAUAUGUGCCGGAAUUCUAUGGAGUAUUCUAGAGUAUUUACAAGCUCAAAUGCCUUUUAAAAAGAAUAUGUAUACAAUGGCAAUCCAUACUUUAUAAAAUUGAUGGUGAUUACAAAGAAAAAUUGUUUAAAAUAGAUUUAAUGCACAAAUAUGAUGACUUUUGGCAAAAAUUAGUUUCGGAAAUGUUGGGAUGAAAACCAUAUUAAUUGAGAAUUAAAAUUACUUAAUAAAAUUACUUAACUACCAUCUAAUAGAUGAAAACCAUAUCAAUUGAGACUUAAAUUAAGAUUUAAAUGUUGAAAUAUCUAGCAUUACUCACAAUAACCAAUUCAAAUUAUGACUAUCAUGUAGAAGCAAAUGUUUAUGCUUGGGUUUUUUACUUCUUGAAUUUGAUUGGAAAAUUUUCUGAGAUAGAGAAGUGUUUUGGAUAAGCUUUACGGGAUUGAAACCACAAAUUGGUAGAGGAAAUUAAUUUUGGACAAAUUUUUCUUAUAUUGUAGGACCUUCUAGUUGGAGUAGUGAUGCCUUUGUCUUCAUUUUUGGUUCCUUUUGUGUCGGCAGCCCCUUACUAUUCUCUUGACCCUGAGUUUGAGAUAGAAAUUUAUCAACCUCCAACCCCACAUCCACAAACAAGUUGAUUGAAACAAUUACUCUUUUAAUUAAGAGGACCCAAAUGAUUUAGGUUUCAGUUCUUAUCAUUUGUCUAUUAUUUCUUUGAAACAUUUAUUUUGAGCGUUACUGAUCUUAAUUAUCUGUAUUUCUCCAAUUAUUGAAGAAUUUCAAGUGGCCACUUUUUCUCCUUUUUAUAUAUGUUUAUUUUUUGGAGUGAUCAAACGGGUGCAAAAUCAAGUAUUCGCUGGUCUGUAGUUUAGCCAACGAUGGCUGAUCCACACAGUUGAUUAUAUGAUACUAUUAGCUCUCAAAAUCUUUCUUAUUUGAGAACAUAAAUUGCCCAUUGAAGUUAAACUAUGUUACCCAGCUCCAUGCACAUACAUUAAAUGUUUAGGUAGUUUUACAAAAUGAUAACAGCAUGCCAAAACUUGAUGUUGUCAUAUUCGACAUUUCAAAUUGAAAUAUAUGCAAGCAAUCUUCAGUGAACAUUACGUGUUUAUUGAAUAAUUUAAAUGGCCAGUAAAUCAACAGUCCGUGAGUUUUAAAUCUAUUAUGACUUAAUGUAUCUUUCUGUAUUUGUACACGUGUUAUAUUAUCAUAGUUUAAAAUUUUAAUAUUAUUUUAAAUGUUAAAAAUACUUUAAUGCUAUUAGUCUACUACACAGGUUAUAUUAUUUAUAUUAUAUUUGUAUUAAUUAAAACUUUUAAUGUCAAUUUUCUAAUUACUAUAUUGAAAAGGUAUUAUGGUUAAGAAAAAGUUUUGGCAUUUCUUCUUGAAAAUUUGAGGGUUUUCCAAAUUCUAAGGGUAUAGGUUUGAAAAUUUAACGAUCUUUAACUUAAUGAAACAAAAGAGGGAAAUCAAGAACUAUUCAAUUUUGUAUUUUUUGUUUGUAAUUCAAAAAAUACAUCCACCAAACAAGUUUUACGCAUUAAUGCUGUCAUAAAACGAAAAACAGUUUGCCAAAAAAUGGUACCAAACAUGUCCUUAAUGUCUCACAUGAUUUCUUAGUAAGUCCAUAUUAGAUAUAUUUAUACAUUUUAGGUAUUUUAGUUAUAAAAGAAGUUGGACCUCCCCCUGUUUAUAAAAAAUAACUUUAUUUCGAGAUUACCACUAAACUCUUACAUAGAAUUAGUGUAAUGUUAAGAGAGAGUAACACAGUUUUCCAUUACCAUCUUUGAAAAUAGAGAGAUAUGGAUGCGUGCAUUUAAGAGUUACCGUGAAAAUCAUACAAUUCAAUUUCCUGACAUAUAUAUUCAUGGACCAGCACCGAUAUUCUCACACCAAUGAGCACCACAGUUAGCACAAAACGGUUCGUUUUGUGCUAACUAUAAAAGAUUUAACUGUAGCUUGAAAACGCAGACUCAUCUUGCUCAAACGCAGACCACACACGCGCUCGAGUUUCUAAAACGCAAACGCAAACGCAAACUACACACACACUCAUCUUACUGGACCACAACACUCUCUCUCACCGUGGGUCUCUCCACAUUUGGCUUGGCUGUCAGUUGUUUCUCUCCCAACCCCGUGGAUUGCAUUCUCACGGCACUUCUGGAAUUUGAGACUUAGCUGCAGCUUCACUCUCUCGGCUGUCGGAAUUGAUUUGUGGAGGUAAUUUAUGCAAACGCAAACCACACACACACUCAUCUCAGUUGACCACAACACUCUCGCUCGCCGUGGGUCUCUCCACAUUUGGCUUGGCUGUCAGUUGUUUCUCUCUCCACCCCGUGGAUUGCAUUCUCACGACACUACUGGAAUUUGACACCUAGCUGCAGCUUCACUCUCUCGUUAUGAAUUUAUGUUAAUUUUGCUGUCUUCAGAACUGCCUGUUGUGGUCGAGUACAAGAUUGCGGAGAUGGGUUAUGUUAGAUUCUACUUGACACCAAGAUAGAAGAAGAUGAGGAUGAGACCAAGCCUCUAGCUUAAGUGUCAUUUGGUACAUAUGCUAUGGCAUUUUGUUGAAUCGAGUUACUCCUACAUUUUAAGUUUGCUUUUAGAAUAUUUCUCGUAAAUUUUCAUGUUGAAAAACCAAUCAUUUGUAGUUAAGUAGAUUGAUAAGAAUUCGUUUCUUGUGCUUGGUUUUUUAUCCUACUGUUGCACAUGGCCAGACAGCUGGUUGCACAUCAGAUUCAAGAGCUGUAAAUUUUGAGGCUGAGGAAUCUCAGCUGGGAUUUCAUGUGAUAACAUAUUAUCAGAUAGAUCCAGCAACUGCAAUGAAGUAAUGUUGCCAAUUUCCGCAGGAAGCUUGCCUUGAAAGUUGUUCUGAUACAAAAACAUUAUCUCCAAUAGCUCAAGCCUCCCAAGUUCAGCUGGAAUCUCCCCACCAAGAUUACCAACGGCCAAAUCAAGAUACUUCAGGUUGGUAAGAUUCCCAAAUUCCACUGGGAUUUCACCUUCAAAUUCAUUGUAUCCAAGAAUCAUAGUCUCCAUGGAUGAAAGUUGCCCAAGCUCUCGCGGUAUCUUGCCAGUGAGAUUAUUCCCAGAUAGAUUGAUAAGAAUUCGUUUCUUGUGCUUGGUUUUUUAUCCUACUGUUGUACAUGUAAUUGAUUCAUUUGUAAUCUUUGUUGCUUUCAAAGGUAGGCUUCAAUUGAGUUGAAACUUUAAAAAAUUUAUAAAAAAUGAACCGCAAAUAAAAGAUAGCAUCAUAUUGGGUGACAAAAUGUUCUCGAGGAUGAUCCUGAUUAAUGCUGUGUAUUUCGCAAUGUAAUUACUUGCUGAUCAAUUUAAUUGAAUUGAUUAACACAUUGGUUUGAGUUUUGAUACUGCUGCUCUGUUUUUGGGUUAUUUGAAGAUCGCAUUUUUGCAGGAACUGGUAAAUUGGACACGUUAACAAAAACUUCUCACGUAUUACUGAAAUAAUAACUGUUAUAUUUCAGCCCUUAUGCACAGAACACAAUGGUUGCAAGCAAAUCAACUCAUAACUUACACAAUGGUUGCAAGCAAAUCAAUUCAUAACUUGUAAAUAAAUAAACCCCAAAAAAUUGGGCAUUAAUUUCCAUUUUCCAGCAUAUAACAAUUUCUAGCAGCAAGUUUUAACAGCAGAUAACUUCCGACAACAACUCAUCCCAAAAUCAGCAACUCAUAACUCACAACACAAUAGCAUUUUGCUAAUUUCCAAUAGCAAGAUGCGUGAGAGAGACCCACGACGAGAGAAAGCCGAAGGAGAGAGCAGCGAGAUGCGCGAGAGGCCAGAUGAGAGAGACCCACGGUGAGAGAGAGAGCCACAGCCGAAGAGUGACCCACGCUCAAGAGAGAGAGCCACAGCCGAAUAGAGACCCACUCUUGAGAGAGAGAGAGAAAACCAAAGGAGAGAGCAAUCCCACGAUCCGUUUUGUGAGGCGAGUGUGUGAGGAGAGUGUGUUAGUUUUGAAGCUACAGUAUUUUCUUUUAGAGUUAGCACAAAACGAUGGUGCUAACUGCUAAGCGUGGUGCGUUUCUCAUUUUCCAUUCAUGGCCGUAUGCCAAAAGAAUAAAUAGACAGAAAGUAAAUUUACAGUCCUCACUUCCUCACAAUUGUUAACGUGAAGAUGCAUUACAACCGUGAACUGUCACUACUUUAGCCUUUUUUUUUUUUUCAAUUAUGGUGUGAUGGAGACAUUAAGGAUGAGCAUAAAAGUUAAAGAUGACUCAUUUUCUUUUUAAAGUGCUCUGCUGAAAGCCAAACUUCCUUUGGCUAAUUAAUUUAGAAGUAAAGCAGAGAAUAAAGUCUUAGAUGCCUUCUGAAAUUAGAAAUACAUUUUAUAUGCUUUAAUUAUGAUUAUUUGGUAGACUAAAGACCUAAAAGAUAUGUCAAAAGUAUAAAACAGAGCGAUUAAAGAAAAAAAGAAAAAAAAAAAACAGAGUAUUUGUGACGUAGAAUAACAAUUGGUAAAUAAAUCCUAAAUAUUUGAGUUGUUUAAAGCAAAUAUAACAGAGACGGUAAGAGAGAUGCAGAAACAGAAAACUAUUAGCCCUCUAUAUUCAUUUUCGAUGCUUUUCAAUCGAGAUUCUUUUAAUUCUUCUGGUGUCUGCAGCCCCGGCUCCUCUUAUAGAUCUCCAUCCCACAUCUGCACUACGAACAAGUUGAUUAAAGUUAAAUAAUGUUGGAGAUGUGGGGUGAGCCGUCAAUUUGGUAAAAAAUAUUAUGUAUAAUAUUGUUAAUAAUAUAAAAUAUAUAAUAAUAAUUACAAAGAAUCAUAAAUUAGAAAAAUUAAUUAUUUUACAAUCUAUUUCUUAAGUAAGAUAGAUCUCGUAAUAAGUUAAGUUAUAAUGUAAAAAAUAUUUUCAAUUUAUAAUCAUUUAAGAAGUCAUUUAACAAUAAAAUUUUUCUUUUUUUGAUCAAUUGGUCAUGCUACAGAGUAUCAUCUAUAUUCGUAGUGAUAUUAUUAUUACUCCGUAUUCUCAAAAAACCCGAUUUAACAUUUAGAAAAAGUUCCUACCUUUUAAAAAGAACAUGUAUGCAACAGCUACCCAUACUUUAUCUUACCACGACAAAACUAAUAGGGACUAAAUCAAAUUUCUCGAAUAAAGCAAAAUUUCUUAAAAUUAAUUUAAUAUACAAAUAUGAUGACUUUUUGCAAAAAUUAGUUUUGGAAAAUUAGUGACAGAAAAUAGUAACGAUUAUUAUUUAGAUGUGUAAAUAGCCUAAACAUGAUCCCUAGUACCAAUAUCCACGUGCAUCUUAACAUCUUUCGUCAUAUUCUUUCAUUCAUGGCCACUGGUUCAAGAUUUGAAUUUGAUCAUUAAAUCAUGUUCAAUAAUAUUAGAGAUUCCAACAAUUGAGCACCAACUUAAAUCCCAAUGCUAUGUGUCAUUAACAAAUGUUGUGUCAUUUAUAAUUAUUGAAUGAAUAAUUCGUUAAUUUAUUGAUAAACAAAAAUUUAUUAAUUUAAAGAGAGAUUUUUUUUUUUGGUUUUAAGAAGAGUUUUGCUGGUACAUGUACAUACUUAUAAAGAAAUAAACUUGUAAUUAUACUAUAUCUUUCUUUCUUUGUUUAUUUUGGUGGGAUAUUGUGAUAAAUCAUUGGAUUAAAAUGCAUUUAAAAAUAAAACUUGUUAAAAUCUAAUUUAUUUGGAAAACGCAUAUUAUUUGUCAGUCGUACUUCUCAACUUAGCAAGUUAUUUCUAACUUGUCAGUCUCUAUUGGUUCUCUAAAAGCUAAUAGUCUCGAAUCUCCCGGAUUUGAUAUCUUGCCAUUACUGUUGGCAUUAACAUGUUACCUGAGAAAUGAUAUUUUUUGUGGUGUUGAUAAAGAGGUUAAAUAUGAUUCAACAAUUUAAAAUAUGAAAACAUAUGGAAGACGGCCGCAAUUAAAUUGAUUGUAUGAAAAUAUUUCAAUGAAAUUUUAAAAAUUUGGUACUUGUUAUCUUAUCGAGAGUUUUUUUAAAUUAUAUUACUACUUGAACUUAACUGCUUUUGUAUUGAAUUCCUAGCGUUGCCAUUGCUUCUACUCAAAAGCCAUUUAAGUUUGUGUAAGCUACGUAUAGUUUGAACAACAAUUUACUCAUGAAUUGUUGUUCACAAUAGCAAGUCGGGGGUUUAAAUGGAGUACUUCUAAGCAUAAAACAUUGAUUAAAACAGAAUACACACAUACAUACCAGCAAAUUCAAAAUAGCAAAAGGAGUGCAAAAGUUCAAAUUUGUAGACAACAUUGCAACCAUGGCAUGUUUAUAGCAAAUCCUCGAAAUCUGCUAAAUAAAACAAUGCCCUGUCUCAUGAAUCAAUGCUGAAUUAAAAUUGAAACUGAAAGUCUGGCUGGCGUUGUUUCCCUCUCCAAUUUUGCCUACAUAAGUGAAAAUAAGAAUAAUAAAUGAAAAUCUGCUUUUACGGUUCUUAUUAGAUAGAUAAAAGGGGGAUCUUUCUUUGUUUCUCUGCUGCAAAGUGUGGCUAUCCCACUCUGUUUUGCCACCCAAGCUGAGUCUAUGUUGAGACAUAAUUUUGACAUCAGAAGCAAUCUCAAUUAGUUUGGCACUUUUAUGACCUCCUUGAAGGUUUUACGAUAAACAUAAAUCUACUGAGAAAGUGAGAAAAAAAAAGAAAAUGCAUAUAAAAAUAUGAGUUAUCAGAUAAGAUUAAACUUCACCCAAUUCAAUCCAUCAGAUUCCGUAAGGAUAUAACUGGAUUUCAUACCGCCACUCCAUAUCCUCGAAAGUCCGUAGUCCUUGUCUCAACUGUGUCUGGGGCCAGUGUAAGUCCAAUUUGCGCAAGCUCUUUAUGCACCACAGCUCUUCUGGAAGCUUUCUCAAGUAAGCACAUGGGUUGACAAUUAAGCUUUCAAGUUUGGGCAUUGCUCCAGCCCCCAUCGUCCACUCAUCUAGCCAAUACAUUGAUUUGAGGUGCAAAACCUUAAGUUCGGGAAAGCUACUCAAGCCAACACAAGCAAGCUUUCUUCCUAAAUACGAGUUCUGCUUCAGUUUCAGCACUCGAAGGCGUGGAAGAUUUUCCAGAAUUGGCAUGGGAUCCUCCAUUAACUCAGUAUUUGAUAAGCUCAGUUGGAUCAGACUUGGGGGAAAUUGGUAUUCAGACAGGACCAUCCGUGAGGGCUUGCUCUCAUUCACCAGCUUCAAGCAUUCAAGUUUGUGGAGUUCGCAAAGGCUUUUGGAAACCCCAGAUUGAUAGUAACUCAAAUCUCCAGAUAUCCGAAGAGUCUGAACACUAGGUAGUCUGCCCAAUAUAUCAGGAGUACAACUACUAGGGUUUAAAGCUGAUAUGAAAAUGAGAUUUUUCAGAGAGCUAGAAUAAUUUUUUGGAGGUGCGGGCAGAGUGAUAGAACCAAAGUUUAGAUGCAUGAGUUUUUGCAUCAUCCAAAUAUCCUCUGGUGACUGAUCUAUGUAGCUAGAUGGCAUUUCUAGUGUUUCAAGGUUUAAAAGGGUGCAUAGCAGUGAAGGAAGGCAUUUGAGCGAAGGGAUAUUCAAUUUCAAAUACUUCAAAAGAUAUAAAUUUUCUAAUCCGGGUGGAUAUUGGUCCAGGACUGCAGAACCCAAAUUCAAUACCCGAAGGUGUUUGAACUUUUUACAAAAAUUCUCGCAAUCUUUCGGAUUAAGAUGAUCGCUUGCCGAACUGUGAUUCAGAAAAGAUUGGAGAUACAUGUCAGAAUGUUCUAAAGAUAAAAACCCAGUCAGAUCUUCGGCAAUGACGCACCGUUUAACGUUUGCCACUGGCUCCUCUUCCCCGUCAUGCAUCAAGACAAAUUCCGUCUUCUUUGCCACAAAAUACAAUGAAGUAUAUACAAAACUUGGAACAUAACACGCUUUAAUUGUGCCUCCGGCGCUUCUCUUACUCACUUGAAUGAAGCCGCGACGGAUUAGUUCUUUCAUGUAAUGUUCGGCAGUUUCUUCACCGUUGUAUGGUAUGAAACCUUCAGCUACCCACAACUGAUAUAAUUGCUCCGUAGAUAUCUCAAUACUUGGAAGGAAGACACACAAAUAGAUGAAGCAGACUUUCAAGUGAAAAGGUAACUCCAUCACAGAAAAAAUUUGUCUCCAAACUGUCGGAAUCGCUUCGCCUUGAAGAUAAUUUUCUAAUGGCAUACUUCCAUAGUGUAGGAUGAAAAAUUGCCAGGCUUCAUGCUUUAAUCUGAUCAAUGGUCCUCCAAAGAGCACUGAAUCACGCCGAAUCUUCUCUCCGUUUUCCAUUUCUAACGACGCAAGGAGGUGUGGAUCACUGACCAACAUCAAUACUCUGCUUCCAUUCUGAUUAUCAGGAAGAACUUCUUCAAGAUCACUCCAUAUCUCACUGUCAUCGAAGACAUCAUCAAGCACAAUAAAGUACUUCCUGUUUGUUAGGUAAUCUCGAAGAAUAGAUUUCUUCAAUUGAUAAUCUUCCCCGAUAAUUACACUAACCCGAGAUGGAGGCAUCACAGACUUGAUUAUGUCAUCCAAUAUCUUGCCAAAAUCGUAGGUUAUAGAAACCCUGACCCAAGCAAGACAGUCAAAAUAGAACUUGACGUGAUCAUUAUUGUAAGUAUCUGCGGCAAAAACAGUCUUGUCGAAGCCACUGCUGUCGAGAAUUGCAACCACUGCAAGCCCAGAUGGUCCCUCAAUCAAUAGAUCAAACAACUCCUCUCUGCCCCUUUCAAAUUCACUGAUAUCAAGCCGAGGAUGUCCCGCACUCAAUAGGCGAAUGAUUUCGUUACUUUUUUCACUGAUAUCAAAACCAUUGUCGCCGGGUGGAAGUUGUUGCAUCCGAUUUCUAAUAUCAAUGAUUUCACUGUGGAGUCCAUCAAGAAGAGCCAUAUUAGUGCUGCUUUCACUUUCGUUUUCACUGUUUUGCUGCUGCAUGAUGUUGAUGAAGAAUGUGUCAAUGGCUUCCUGUGAGUCACGGACAAAGUUAUUGAUGUCCUCCAGAAUUUCAAAAAUAUCUGCUGUUUCAACGUUUUCUUCAUCGCUUUCUUCUAAGUCCAACAGUUGCAAAAAAGGCAAAGAUAUUUUGGAGUCAUCGAAAUCUUCUCUAAUGAGUUGAAACAAAUGCCGAGCCAUGUCAGCUUCAUAUUUUCCCAGCAGAGUAGUAGCAAUAAUUUCGGACUCCGUAAGAAGGUUUUGAAAAAGUGGAGUUAAAUUUGUUGAAUCUGGCAGCGGCAACGUGCCUUCUUCACCUGCUAACACCCUUCUCAACCUCUCACAAAAUAGUCGGAGGUGGACGUCCAGCAUAUCUCCUUCUCUCUGUAGCACCCAGAGGUAUUGUUUUUUGCUCCAAGAAAUAUUAAAAGGAUUGGUUCUAUCUAAAAGUGGUUACUGGUGUAAAAUUAAACGCCAUGGGAGAAUUUGAAAGGAAGAUGCCAAGGAACUGGCGAAGUGGCUAAAUUCCACAAAUACGGCAUUAUUGCUCAUUUUUAACUCAAAAAAUUGAUACGCGUUCAUUUUGCGAAAAGUCCAAGACGCUUGCCUUUUGAAAAGAAGAGGUAUCCAAUAGAUAUCCAACCUUUAUCUUAUUUUAAUUACUACCACGACAUGAUUGAUGGUGGUUAAAUCAAUUGUUUCUUUUUUAAUUUAAAGAAUUUUUCAUUAAAAAAUAUUUUAAUAUCAAAUUGCCUUCAAUAGCGUAACUGCCGCAAGCCCAGUAACAGGAUUAAUUAAUUUUUUUUGAAUUUUUGGGCAUGGAAAGAGUAGUAUUAGACUUCAGAAAGCUAAGGUUGUUAUGUUAAAGAAUUGAUAUUGACAUAAUUUUAUUUUGGCUUUCGGGGAAAAAAAUAUUUGCUGACAAGCAAGAAAAUAUUUUUGUAUUUUACAAUUUAUUAUACAUAUUUGAUCAUAUUAAAGUAAUUUUAAUAAUAAAUAGACACAUAAUAUUACAAUAAAUAAAGUAAAGUUUAAAUUAUUUUGAAUAUUAUAAAAAAAUAAUUUUAAUAUUAUUAAUAGGAAGACAUUUUGUUAAUUUUAAAAUCUUUUUAACCUAAAGGUUUAUUUAAAAUCUUUAGAAAUCUCCAUCCCACAUCUACCCUAUUAAACAAGUUGAUGGAAAUUGAACAAUUGCUUUUUAAAGUGGGACCCAUUGAGUUAUGUUCAUUACUGGUCAUUGUCUAUUCUUUCUAAGAGCCACUUGUUUUGAGCAUUAGCAAUCCUAUCUGGACUACUCCAAUUAUUGAUGUAACUCCAAUGGUUGCAUCGACAGUUGAAUAUAAGAGGAUGGUCCAUCGACAAUUUCUUUGUUUCUCCGUUGCAGCGUAUUAGUAUAAAUUUCUUUACCUAACAGUUCAUACAGUCUUCCUGUUAAUGAAUUCACUGAGGCAUUAUUGAUACAAUGUGCUUUUCGCUAAUUAAUUAUGAUUAUAUACGCUUUCAUAUAGCAAGUGGCAUUGUAGAUCUAAACUAAGUUGCUAUUUCAAUACGUUAAUUAAGUGAUUCUCCUCAUUGUCAUCAGCAUUAUACCCUCUAGGAAAAUAGCUCAAUUGUUUCUCUGCAUUGAUUUUCAUUGGUAAGUGAUUUCUUAUGAAAUUCUUUUGAGCUUUCCUUAUUAAAAAUGCUUGAGCUUUUAUCACCUAAUACGGAUAUCAAUUAACUUGUGAACGAUUUUGUAAUGAAACUAGGAGUUAAAUAAGAUUUUUACAUGAUGAUCAACUUGUUAAUUUUGUAUAUUUCAUAUUCAACAGGAUUUGGGCACGGAACGUUUGGAUUCUAAUAUUUAUAUAUUUAGUUUUAAUCAGUUUGACUUUCGUAAUCUUUCUCGCCUCAUCAUUAAGGGAUUAAGAAUUAGAGAAACAUUAGAAACAGGAAGAAAAUAACUUCAGAAAUAAGUAAGAGGGAAUCCAAUGAGAAAUAUGAUAAGAGAACGUCAAUUACUUGUCAUUUUCUAUUUUUUCUAUGAGAUAUUUAUUUUGAGCAUUAGUUAUAGCAAAUCCUUGAAAUCUACUAAACAAAACAAUGCCCUGUCUCAUGAAUCGAUGUUGAAUUACAGCUGAAAUUGAAAGUCUGGCACCAGUUAUAGCAAAUAUUGAAUUACAAUAUUUCCCUUGCCAAACCGUACCUGCAUGUGGCAACGUGCCUUCUUCACUUGCUAACACCCUUUUCAACCUCUCACAAAACAGUCGGAGGUGGAAUUCCAGCAUAUCUCCUUCUCUCCGCAGCACUCAGAGGUAUAGUUGAAAGAUUAAACACCAUGGAAGAAUUUGAAAGGAAAAUGCCAAGAAACUGUGUAAGUGGCUAAAUUCCACAAAUAUGACAUUAUUGCUCAUUUUUUAACUCAAAAAAAGGGUACGCGUUCAUUUAGAGAAAAGUCCAAGACGCGUGCUUUUUAAAAAGAACAGGUAUCCAACCUCUAUCUUAUUAAAUUACAACCAUGACAUAAUUGAUGGUGCUUAAAUCAAUUGUUUCUUUUUUAAUUUAAAGAAUUUUUCAUUAAAAAAAUAUUUUAAUAUCAAAUUGCCUUCAGUGGCGUAACUGCCUCAGGCCCAGUAACAGGACUAAUUAAAAAUUUUACAAUUUUUGGGCAUGGAAAUAGUAGUAUUAAACAUUAGAAAGGUAAGGUUGUUCUGUUAAAGAAUUGAUAUUGACAUAAUUUUAUUUUGGUUUUCGUGGAAAAAAAAUUUGUUGACAAGUAAGAAAAUAUUUUUAUUUUUAUAAAAUUUAUUAUGCAUAUUUAUCAUAUUAAAGUAAUUUUAAUAAUAAAUAGAAACAUAAUAUUACAAUAAAUAAAUCAAAGUUUAAAUUAUUUUGAAUAUUAUAAAAAAUAAUGUUAAUAUUAUUAAUAGGAAGACAUUUUGUUAAUUUUAAAAUCUUUUUAAUCCAAAGGUUUAUUUAAAAUCUCUAUAAUAAAUACAAAUAUAAGAUUAAAAUAAAAAUCAUAAUUUGAAAAUUUUAAUAUUAUUUUAAAUGUUAAAUAUACUUUAAUGUUAUUAGCCUACUACGUAAAUUUUAUUAUUUAUAUUAUAUUCGUAUUGAUUAAAAUUUUUUAAAGUCAAUUUUUUAGUUAGUACAUUCACGAGGUAUAAUAGUUAAAGAAAAAAUUUUGGUGCAACUGUUUUAAAAUUUCAGGGUAUAAAUGAUAAUUUUUUUAAAAAUUUUAAGUAGGUAUUAUUUUUCCGACAAUUUAUUUUAUUGAGGGAAACCCGAUGAGAAAUAUCAUCAGAGAACAUUAAUUUAACAUUCUUUACCUUUAUGAAAAAAGUGGAAACCAAGAACUAUUCAAUUUUUUUUUUUUUGUGUAAUUCAAAAAAUGCAUCCACCAAACAAGCUUAUCUUAAUUUUCCCACUUUAUUCAUUUUCGAUGCUUUUCAAAAGAGGUUCCUUUAAUCCAUCUAGCAUCUGCAGCCCCCACUAUUUUUACAAAUCUCCAUCCCACAUCUACACUAUCAAAAAAGUUGAUGGAAAUUGAACCCAUUAAUUAAGUUAUGUUCAUUACAGGUCAUUAUCUUUCUAUGAGCCACUUAUUUUGAGCAUUAGCGAUCUUAUAAGGAAUCAUGCCUUUUCCGGAUCGUUUUCUUUCAUUUCCUUAUUGACUUAUUGUAGUAGUUAAUUAAAUAAAGAACGAACAAGUGAACUUAAUUUGUCUAUUUCGAGGAAGAACAAGGUUUCCAAUACUAGAGGAACUUUGAAGAAAAUUAAUUGGAAGCCUUUAUUCAUCUUUGAAGAAAAUUACCACACUUUAAAUCCUGGAUUAAAAAAAAUUUAUUCAUCUUCGGACUAUGAAUUUAUAAAAUAAUAUUGCUAGGACUAAGAAAAAAAUAUUAUUUUAGAUACGUUAUUUAUUUAUUAUUGAAUGAAAAAUUUAUCAUGAUAAAUAAAAUUUCUUAAUUUAAAGAGAGAUUUUUUUUUUGGUUUUAAGAAGAGUUUUUUUGGUACAUGCACACACUAAUAAAGAAACACAAAAAGUGCUUCCUCAAGUCAAUAGUAUUUACUUUAAUCGCUAAGGUGCAUAAUAAUGUAGCUUAGUUAGGAAAUUUGUAAUUACAUUAUGGCUCCGUUUGGUAUAACUUUUUAAUUAGAACUUAUUUAAAGAGAAUUUAUAUUAGUAGAGUUUUUAUAAAUAGAGAUUUUUUUUAUAAAAAAAAUUAUAGUUAUUUAGUUAUCAAUGUCCAAAUUGAUGAAGUAUUGUUCUUUUUAUUAACAUGUGUUUGUUUUACUUAAUAAUAAAAGUUUAGUUUACAAUUACACCGGUGUCAAAUCAGCAGAGCAUCGGCAAGAGUUUUCGAUUGUUGCAAUUUGCAAUGCACGCGGUGAGAGAAAAUGAGAAUCUUGUUUAAUUGUCAAUAAUGACAAACCUAAUCCUUUCAUUAGGAGUAAAUUAAUAAUCGUUGGUUAUAAUUGAAUAUGUAUAAAGAAAGGAAAAUUAUAUUCAUAGAUUUGACUUAUUUUUUAUUUAACGUAACUAAUCAUUCAACCAUCUUCGUUUGCCUCUGGCCAAUGCCCUUGUAGAUUAGUUGAAGCGUUAAUUACAUAAUUCAGAUAAUUACAACGUCCUUUUCGCUAAUUAAUUAUGAUUAUGUACAUUUUCAUAUAGCAAGUGGCAUUGUAGAUCUAAACUACGUUGCUAUUUCAAUACGUUAAUUAAGUGAUUCUCGUCAUUGUCAUCAGCGUUAUAAACAGGAAUUAUGCAAACAGUACACAAUGCUGCAGCAAGGCGUGGUUGGCUAGAGUUUUGCAACCACCCUCGAGAUCAUGUGCUGCCAGUAGUAAAAGAAUUUUACGCCAAUUUGGUAAGCCUUGGUCAGCACAAUAUUUGGGGUAAGAAACUCACUUGUUCCAUUAGACUCUCGAGUUAUAAAUGUUUUUUAUAAUUUACCUGCUGAAAUUAAUUGUGAGUAUGCCAAGUUGCUUGACAAAUUGACCUCACAACAAUGGAACACAAUUUUCACGACACUUACAGUAGAGGGUGCAUCGUGGGCUAAUGAGGAGGGGCGUGUAAUUAACAGGAUAGAUUUAAAACUCAUUGCUAAGGUGUGGGUGAAAUUUCUGAAAUCUAGGCUUAUGCCAACCAUCCACACCAUUACUGUUUUACAGGAAAGGUUGGUGCUGUUACAUGCUAUUGUUAGAGGGCUUUCCAUAGAUGUGGGAAGUAUUAUCGAAAAAGAAAUUCGAGAUUGUACCAUGAAAAACCACAAGGUUGUUGCCUUGUUAUUUCCUUCACUCAUAACCAGCAUAUGUGUAGUAUCGGGUGUUCAUCUUGAUGCAAAGGAUAAAAUUUGUAAUUAUAUUAUGGCUCCAUUUGGUAUAACUUUUUAAUUCGAACUUAUUUAAGGAGAUUUUUAUUAGUAGAGCUUUUAUAAAUAGAGAUUUUACUAAAAAAAAAUUAUAGUUAUUUAGUUGUCAAUGUCCAAAUGGAUGAACUAUUGUUCUUUUUGUUAACAUGUGUUUGUUUUACUUAAUAAUAAAAGUUAAGUUCACAAUUACACCGGUGUCAAAUCAGCAGAGCAUUUUUGCAGGGGUAAAAUCUCAUUUAGUCCCUAUAUUUUAAGCUUAGUAUCCAUUUGGUCCCUAUAUUUUUAAAAAUACCUCAAAACAUCCCUACCGUUAAAGUAUUGAUACCCCUACCGUUAAAGUAUUGAUACCCCUACCGUUAUCUUUAAUUUAUUUUGGCUUACUUUUACAAUAUUACCCUUUUAUAAUAAUUUUUUUAGACAUGAAUAAAAAAUAAUAAUUAAAUUACCAAUUUAACCCAAAAAAAAUUAAAAAAAAAAUUAUAUUAAUUUUUUUUGCAAACACCAUUUGCACACUUGAUAGUUUGCAUACAAUUUUAGAUAAUUAAAUUUCAACACAAGACUGAGUUUUUCAUCAUUCAAACUUCUCAUGUCUAAACUUUAUUUAUUGAGGUGCUAAAAGAUAAAUAUAUUGGCAAUUGGGAAAUGAAGUCAAUGAUAAGUUUGAUACAACCGUUGAUUAAAUAUCAUUAAAAAAAAAAAAGUACCUACAACUAGAAGUUAAAAAAAAAUGUCACCAUAGCCCACGUAUAAAUCCAUUUUGUAGUGCGUCAAAACUUAUGAAUAUCCUCUUGAAGUACGUCGCUACACCUUAUGUUUCAUAUUGAAUUUUCACCAUUGCCCUUUUAUUCUUUAUAAGAAGAACGUUGGCAUAGUCAUGUAACUUUGCAUAAGAUUUUGUGUAGUCACUAUCAGCAAUUUUUAGAACCCUUUUUUUGGCCAUAUACAGCCUUUUCUUUGUAGUUGAACAAGAAAACCUCUUCCUCAAUUCAUCUGACAUGGAUUCACAACCGAUAUCAGGAUUAAAACUAAUAAAACCAUACAAUUUCUGAGCUAUCCAUCUACUAGUUACUUCAGGAUUCUUAAACAGCUCUUUGCACUUAUGUUCACCACCUUUUAAAGUUUUAAUCUGGAAUGUAACUUUGUCAACCAAUAAAGAUGCAUGGAUUCUCCAUGGACAUUCCUUUCCUUCUUUGUCCUUCCCAGCACACACGGCUGUAACUCUACAUUUGUCAUUCUUUUUCCUUUUCAAAACUCUUGACUCUUGAAUAGCAUAAUCCUUCAAUACAUUCUUAAACUCUUGAGCACAACUAAAAGUUUGCCCAACUUCCAAAACAAUAUCAUCAUCACCAUCGGGUUCUUGAACUUUUUUUUCUUAAAUCCCUUUUCAUCUUCAAUAUUAUAGCGUCAUCUUCUUCAUCACUUGUAAUAGAUACAUCUUCAUUAUCACUCUCACAAUCUGACAUGCCAUCAUCUCCAUCAAAUUCAUUAAUAUCAAACCCUAAAUCAACUUCAGGUUCACUAUCAGACUUAACAAUAUCACCAAUAUCUUCAUCAGACCAGUCAAUAGACUCAACACUGAUUGCAUCAUCACUUUCACCAUCUAAAAUACAAACAUUAACUGCAUUUGAGGCAAAAUGAUUAUCUUCAGGGCGAGUUUGAGCUAAAACGGGUGACAAGCUGGCCAAGGAUAACGCAUCCAUCUCCAAAUUAAUAGAAUUAAGACCCUUGGCUUGAAUUAAGUUAACCAAAUUCUGGAAGUCUUUAUCAUUAUUCAAUUCAAUCCCUUCAUUGGACCAUGGGACAAUGCCAGUAAGCUUAAAGCUCUCAUCAUAAUGCUUGUGCCUUCCAAAGACAUUAUUCAAGACAUCGUUGAUGAGGGAUACAAGAAUCAAGCAAUCAGGAUCAUAAGCAUCCUCCACAUCUUUGCCUAAAAAUCGAACUGAAAUGCUGAUUUGACUCAUUUUGAAUCUGCCAACAUAAAGAUGAACAAAAAAUAUCAGAAACUUAAAACUAUUACAUACGAAAUCAUAAAAUACAAAAUCGACAUUAUAGAACUUUAUAUGAUUAUGAUUUUUUUUUACAAAAAAAUACUCAAUCAAGUGAAGUUAAAAUAAUUUCUUUUCGAUUACAAAUCAAUUCCACUACCAAUAUUAAGCUACGAAACAACCAUGAAAGGGUUAAAAAAAAGAAAGAAAGAAAACAAAAACCGUUCAACUUUUAGUCUACUGCAAAACAAAAACCGUUCAACUUUUAGUCUACUUCAUAUGGAAUUUUAGUCUUGGGAAGAAAUACCCAUUCAAGUGGAAAAAAAAAUAAUUUCUUUUCAUUGAACACAUGGAAGAUUAAAAAAAUAAAUAAAUAAACAAGACCAAUGUGAGACGUACCAGAAUAGGCCAAUUUCCUUCGUUGUCGGUUUUGACAUCUACUGCAAGACUACGUUUCCAAUAGAAAAAAUUUUACAGCAAUAAAAUUGUUAUGAGUUUUAAAAAAGCAAGUCACUUAAGUUCUUAAAGCGAGGGUUUUAAAGAAUAUUAGGGUUAAAAUACGUUUUUGCGAUUAUGGAUCUAGGUUAUCGUAAUAAUUUUUUAAAAUUUUAAAUUUUACCAAGAAAAAUACAUUUUUACCCUCAUUAAUCUAGAAUUAACAGUAACGGAGGUGAUGCUAAGGGUGUUUUGAGGUAUUUUUAAAAAUACAAUGACUAAACAGACAUUAAUCUAACGCUUUUUCUCCCAUGUAAAUUCUUAAUGUCGUUUUUCCAUAGUAUAGGAUGUAAAAUUGCCAGGAUUCAUGCUUUAAUCUGAUCAAUGGUCCUCCAACGAGAACUGAGUCAGGAUGAAUCGUCUGUCCAUUUUCCAAUUCGAACGAGGAAAGGAAGGCUGGAUCAGUGACCGUUAUAAUUACUCUACUUCCAUUCUGAUUCUCAGGAAGUACUUCUUCAAGAUCAUCCAAUACGUCGUCACCCUCUUUGUAGUAAUCAUCAAGCACAAUAAAGUACUUCUUGUUUGUUAGGUAAUCUCGAAGAAUAGAUUUCUUCAAUUGAUAAUCUUCACCGAUAACUACACUAACCCGAGAUGGAGGCAUCACAGACUUGAUUAUGUCAUCCAAUAUCAUGCGAAAAUCGUAGGAUAUAGCAACCCUUGUUAGGAAAUUGAGCUUCCUCCCAAGAUCACUCCAAGCAAUUUAUCAAGCAACAAAUUAACAGAAAAAUUUAAUGGAGAAUACAUCAAUCACACAACACAAGAUUUACGUGGAAAACUCUAAAUCCGGAGAAAAACCACGGCCGUUGUCAAAAAGACAACCAGAGAAAAUAUUCACUAUAUGGAAAAUUAUUACAACCACACUCUCAAAAAUAAUUUUCUCUCACCCAAGCCCCAAAUACAUAAUCCUGAGAAAUAUCCCUUAACAAAGCAAACCCGUAAUACCCAUAUUACGGAGCCAAAUGCUCCUUCAAUAUAACUACAUGCUUAAGAACUUUUCUCUCUCUCAAUUUCUCACCAAAACUUGGAUUCCUUCUCUGGGAUUUGGAUUGCUUCUCUCAAUGGCCAACAGUUCAUGUCUAUUUUCUUUAGCAAAGCCGAAGCUCAUUGCUACUCAUUUCUCAUCAAAUGACAUUCCAAUUUAUAGCCAAACUAUCACACCAAAAAUCUAAUAAGUCGGCAACAACUUUCUUCCUUUUUUACAAAUUCAUCAUGCGGUUCAAAAUUGGCAUUUUGCUUGUCAAAGUCCAUCCACCCAUUUGAAUGCAAUCAAUGUGUUCCCAUUUCACUUUUCCUUUUUUUUUAAUCAAUUUCAACAAUCUCCACCUUGAUUAAAAAAAAAAUUCAUAACUACUGCUACAAAACACUGUCUUCACCAACAGUCAUAAUUCUUAACAUAGAGAAUUAUCAUACUCCACCAUAAAGAGUAUACCACUUAGAAACAACCAUUCUAAGAUUUUUCUCGGCACAUGUCAAAAUAUCUUGCUGAAAUUUAUGGUACAAUUCUCAUGCUUGGUUUCCCUAAGAAUUCUUCAGCCAUGACAUAACUUUUCCACUACACACCUUGCAUUUAUACCAAGCCAAUGCCCGCGUGCAAACUUGUGGACCCCGCUGAUCAUAGCAUGUUCUCUUUCAUGACAACUUGGAGAUUUACAUGCCAAAAGAACUAACCCAAUCUCCUAUCAAAAGGAAACUCACAAUCUACGAGAAUAUCAUUAUCUCCUUUACUGAUUCUGGAGUAAUUUGCCGAGCCCACUCCACCUUCUUGACAAUUUUCUUGAGGUGCCAAAAAUUGUCUCACACCUUCAAAUCUUUGUGCAUACCAGAUUGGAUACACCUUUGACUUGAAUUCUCCACAAGCCAAUAAAAUCAUUCUUCCAUUAAUUUUUUUUUUUAACAACAUCAAACUCCACCAAGUUUAAAAAACACCAGCUACUGACAUAUAUGCUUUACAUAAACAGUAUCGUAUACCCCAAGUACAAACCGUUGGCUCUGAUACCACUGUUAGGAAAUUGAGCUUCCUCCCAAGAUCACUCCAAGCAAUUUAUCAAGCAACAAAUUAACAGAAAAAUUUAAUGGAGAAUACAUCAAUCACACAACACAAGAUUUACGUGGAAAACUCUAAAUCCGGAGAAAAACCACGGCCGUUGUCAAAAAGACAACCAGAGAAAAAUAUUCACUAUAUGGAAAAUUAUUACAACCACACUCUCAAAAAUAAUUUUCUCUCACCCAAGCCCCAAAUACAUAAUCCUGAGAAAUAUCCCUUAACAAAGCAAACCCGUAAUACCCAUAUUACGGAGCCAAAUGCUCCUUCAAUAUAACUACAUGCUUAAGAACUUUUCUCUCUCUCAAUUUCUCACCAAAACUUGGAUUCCUUCUCUGGGAUUUGGAUUGCUUCUCUCAAUGGCCAACAUUUCAUGUCUAUUUUCUUUAGCAAAGCCGAAGCUCAUUGCUACUCAUUUCUCAUCAAAUGACAUUCCAAUUUAUAGCCAAACUAUCACACCAAAAAUCUAAUAAGUCGGCAACAACUUUCUUCCUUUUUGACAAAUUCAUCAUGCGGUUCAAAAUUGCCAUUUUGCUUGUCAAAGUCCAUCCACCCAUUUGAAUGCAAUCAAUGUGUUCCCAUUUCACUUUUCCUUUUUUUUUAAUCAAUUUCAACAACCCUGACCCAAGCAUGACAGUCAAAAUAGAACUUGACAUGAUUAUUGUUGUAAGUAUCAGCAGCAAAAGCAGUCUUAUCGAAGCUACUGCUGUCGAGAAUUGCAACCACUGAAAGCUGUGGUUGUCCCUCAAUCAAUAAAUCAAACAACUCCUCUCUGCCGUUUUCAAAUUCACUCUUAUCAAGCUGUGAUUGUCCCUCAAUCAAUAAGUAAGUGAAUUCGUUCCUUCGUUCUCUGAAAUCAAAACCAUUGCCUUCAGGUGGAAUUUGUUGCAACCGAUUUCUAAUAUCAAUGAUUUUACUGUGGAUUCCGACAAGAAGAGCAAUGCAAGUAGUGCUUUCACUUUCACUGCUUUGCUGCUGCGUGAUGUUGAUGAAGAAUGUGUCAAUAGCUUUCUCUGAUUCACGGACAAAGGAAUUGAUGUCUCUCAGAAGUUCCCAAAUGCCGAUAACGCGAAGGUAUUUCGUCUUCAUCGAAAUGUUCUCUAAUGAGUUGAAUCAAAACCCGAGCCAUUUCAGCUUCAUAGUUUCCCAGCAGAGUAGUGGCUAUAAUUUCGGACUCCGUAAGAAGGUUUUGAAAAAGUGGAGUUAAAUUUGUUGAAUCAGGCAAAGUUAACGUGCCUUCUUCACCUGCUAACACCAGUUUCAACCUCUCACAAAAUAGUGUGAGGUUAAUUUCCAUAUCUUUCCCUCUCUCAGUAGUACUCAGAGGUACGUAUUGUUAUUUGUUAGUGUUGAUGACGAAAGCUGAAUAACAAAACAACAGUGUACACAAUCAACAGAAGCCAAAGUAUGUUAAUUUGAGAUCAAAGGAUAUAAAUAAAGGAAAAGUUUUCGUCGAUUGAGAAUGGAUGGAUGCAAAGAAUGACUGAUAUUAAAUGAUUUCUAUAAAUGAGACAUGCAAAGAAUGAAAUUUAAAGGUAACCCCCUUUUUUUUUUUUUUAAAGUACUCUAUUGAAAGCCAAAGUUCCUUUGGCCAAUUAAUUUAGAAGUGAAGGAAAGAAUAAAGUUAGUCCUUGAUGUCUUUUGAAAUUAGAAAUACAUUUUGAAUGCUUUAAUAGAUGCAGAGCAAACUGGCUCGAUAUCUACCUAUUUUUAGUGCUAAAAUCAUUUAAUAGAAGUUGUAGCAUUAAAAAAAAAAAAAAAAAAAAACUGGCUUGAUAUCCAAUUUUGUUAUUGAAUAUGUCUCAUGUGAGAGUAAAAAAAAACUGGCUUGAUAUCCAAAAUUUAAAGGUAACUCCUUGAAUUUGAUUGAAAAAUUAUUGAGACGGACAAGGCUGGACCAUUGUUCGAGACUGAAACUACACAUCAGUCUUAGAAAAUUGUAAUUUUGUUGGCUUAUCAUGAUUUUGAUCGUCUCACAUUGAUUUUCCUAUGAUGUCUCUGUCGAGUGGCUAUGCUUACAUUUUUAGGUAUUUAAUUCUAAAAAUUAACUUAUUAAAUGGAGGGACCAAUUCUACCUAUAAAUCCAAGUGGCUUCCCUUUACUAACUCAUAUGAGAUACAACAAUAAUUUUCUUUGGACAAAACCACUGUUGGAGGGUUAUUUUCGUUCAACAUACAUGAGUUGUUCCACCACCAUAUUUUGAGGGUUUGUUUUGGAUAUGACUUGGGGGAGCUAAGGCUAAGAUUUCUAAGUAUCAACAUAAAAACCUUGCCGGAAGGACCAAUCCUACUUUAAAGUCUAAAUGACUAAUUCUUGAGGACACAACUCAACAGCCCAAUAUAAACUUUUGACGUCCCAUUUUAUUACUUUCCAGUGCUUUUACUUUUGCUGUCUAGAGCCCUACCAUGCUAUUAAGCAGAAAAUAUUUCAAGGCACUCUCGGUCCAGUAGAUAACUUUGGUAUUUAUCAUCUAUUUUCUUUCCAUUUUAUGCAUACCCCGAUCUUUACCUCUGAUUGGUUGUAGAUUCUUUUGUUGCUUUGGGGUUAGGGGGUGGUUUUCAUAACUAUUCAGUUGAUCAAUGCAGAAAAUCACCAUCAAGAAAUUAUAAAGGAUUGUUAGUUCUAUCUGACAAACAACAUUAAUAUGAAGGAUGAUGAUUGUUCUGUUCAAGAGUUUAUAAUGACAUAAUUCUACUUUGGUCUUUUAAAAAAAGUAAUUUAGAAACGAGGAGUAUGUGAGUGAUGAUUUUUACAAAAUAAAUUACAUGCGUAGUGAUGAUUUUGACACAUGAAAAUGAAAAAAGAAAUAUAACUUGUGAAUAAUAAUUGAAGUACCUGCUAUUGUUAUAUUGAGUAAUCAAGGACUUCAAUAUUCGGACGAUAUAAGCAACACAAUCAAAUAUUAGUUGGAAGGCAUAGCAAAAUUAGAAUGUAGAACAAACUGGGUAUUGAUAAAUGGAUGGUUUUGGAAGAAUUGAAAAUGAUGGCAUAAGUAAACCAAAGUUUAGAGAAAAGAGAAAGAGCAUUUGAACUUUACUUGUAAGAAAAGGCAAAUAUCUUGGUUCAAGAAAAGAUAAGAGAUAUCAAACUAGCAAUAGGAAAAAGGAGGAAGGUUAAGACAGCAUCUUAACAAAAGCUAAAGAAAAGAAAAACUUAGUUCAAGCAAAGAACAAUGUGCUAAUGUCGUGUAAUCUUGUUUAAUUUCUUUUUCUUCUCACAUUUUCCAGGGCUUAAAUAAUACAAUAUACAUUUUCAAGCAAAGAACAAUAUGCAAUUGCAGUACUUCUGAGCACACAACAACAAAUAAAUAAUACAAUAUACAUACCCACUAAAUUAAAAAAAAAAUAUUAUCCAAGUUUGUGGACUAUAGCCAUGGCGUCGUCGAAAUCUACUGACAGCUGAAACAAAGAAAGAAUGGAUGAAUGCUGGAUCACAGUUGAAAUUGAAGGUCUGGUAGGUGAUGUUUCCCUCUCUGAUUUUCCCUAAACAAAUACAAGAAAAUAAGAAUCACAAAUGAAAAUCUGCUAUUACACUGUUCUUACUUAUUAAAAUACAGAGGUUUCUUUGUUUCUCUGCAGCAAUGUCCAUGGCUAUUAGAAACAAGAACAAUUAGACCAGCAUUUGUAAGAAUCCUUUAAGGUAUUACUGCAGAUAUAAAUCGACUGAGGAAAUGGAAAAAUUGAAUACCAAAUUAGGCAAGUUAACUGAAGAUUGAGUUAAUCAUAGAAGAAUAAAACUCAUCCAAUUCAAUCCAUCAAAUUCCAUAAGGGUACAACUGGAUGUCAUACUGCUGCUCCAUAUCCUCAAGAGCCCGUAGAUUUUGCCUCAACUCUGGCUGAGGCCAAUGUAAGUCCAAUUUGCAAAAGCUCUUUAUGCACCAUAGCUCUUCAGGAAGCUUUCUCAAGUAAGCACAAGGGUUGACAAUUAUGCUUCCAAGUUUUGGCAUUGCUCCAGCCCCUAUCGUCCACUCCUCUAGCAAAUACAUUGAUUUCAGGUGCAAUACCUUGAGCUCCGGGAAACCACAAGAGCAAACACAAGCCAGUUUUCUUCCUGAAUAUGAGUUCUGGUUCAAUUUCAGCACUUGAAGGUGUGGAAGCUUGUCUAGUGUUAGCAUGGUAUCCUCCAAUAACUCAGUAUUUGAUAAGCUUAGAUGGAUCAGACUUGGAGAAGCUGGUAUUUAGACAGGGCCAUCCGAGAGAGCUACCACCUCUGGUUUCGUUCACCAGCUUCAAGCAUUCAAGUUUGUGUAGUUCGCAUAGGCUUUUGGAAACCCCAGAACGAUAAUAACUCAAAUCUCCAGAUACUAAGAGUUUGAAAAUGAGGUAGUCUGCCUGUUAAAGUAGCUCACUAUGUUGAACAAAUGAAGGAGAAAGCUAAGCUGGAGAAAAUACAGGGCAAGAGUAUUAGCUGUGCCAGCUCAACUGACAGCUCAGCAAAAUCAGUUAAAUUUUGUUACAAGCCCCCUGUGCAUUGUGCUGAAGAUUAGUUAGUUUAAUAAUGAUUAGUUUUAGAUUAGUUAAAAUGUAAUCAUGAUUAAGAUAUAUAUAUAUAUAUAUAUAGCUGCUGUACUGAUAUCAUGGAUUAAGUGUUGAGAAAUAAAAUUCAUUAAGCAUUUCCAGAACUCUUGAUUUUCUUUCUCAGUAGCCAAACAACUUCACUCUCAUUUUUUUUUUUCAACAAUGAGUUCUCAAACCACUCAGGUAUCAUUUUCAGACAUUCUUGGCCUUGUACUCACCAUCAAAAUGGGUUGGUUGAGAGAAAACAUAGGCAUAUUGUUGAAUUAGGUUUGACUCUGUUGGCUCAAGCUCAACUUCCUUUUAAAUUCUGGUGGGAUGCAUUCCAUACUGCUCUAUCAUCAAUAGAUUACCAUCUUCUGUUUUCAAACUUUCGACCCCAUAUGAGAAGAUAUUCAAGCACAAACCUGAUUAUGAUUUUCUCAAAUGUUUUGGUUGUAUUUGUUAUCCUUACUUGAGAGACUAUAACAAACAUAAGUUUGCCUAUCAUUCCAGUAACUGUAUAUUCAUUGGUUAUAGUCCUUCACAAAAGGGUUAUAAAUGCUUACAUUCUUCAGGUCAUGUCUAUGUGGCAUGACUUGUUAUCUUUGAUGAGUCAACCUUUCCUUAUGCUACUGAAUCUGUUUUUCAUAGUCACACAAAUUCUGAUUCUCAUUCUUCAAACUUAUUUACUCCACAGCAUGUCUAUUAUCUUUCUACUUUACCUGUCAUACCAGUAUUUCUAAGUAACAACACUGAUAAUCUAAACUCUACAAAACUAAAAUACCAGCUUUUUGGUGUUAGCAAUAGGAAACAACUUACCACAACCAUUAAUUAUCCAUAAUUUCAUUGUUUAUCCUCAGUUUUCUUCAUAAAUGUUACAGCAUUCUUCACGAGAAAGCGCAAGGGCAUUUCAAAAGUUCUGAAAUAAUACCUCAAUUCUAUUGCAAAAAUAAAUAAUCUCAAACAAGAACCAAUAAUCAUAUUUCGUUACUGUCAAACACAAUGCAUCUGAGCAAAACAUUGGAAGCCAACACCAGAAUACAUAUGAAUAAACAAUUAAAGAUAGAGAAAAAAGGCUUAAACCUUGGGGGAAAAAAGUGAAAAAAACAUGAAAGACAAAUUACACAUGUACAGUAAUCAUCGAACUUAUCAGUCACAGCUGCAUCCAUUACAUUGCUCCAACAACACAAUGGCAAACCACCAGUUUCAAAUUGAGGAUAGCUAUCGAGAAUGAGAAAGUGUCCAAAACGUCAUAAAUAGACAUGUUCCUAUUGUGCAUAAUUUACAUUAUAGGCAAAUAUUCUUAUACCAUCAAAGGCAACACAUGACACUAACAAUUGAUCCCCCCCCCCCCCCCCCCCAAACAACCAAAAAAAGGAAAAAGAAACAAUACAGAAAAGAUUGAAACAGAUAAGGCUACACUGAGCACAGGAUGCCAUGAAACAUAAUCCAGGAACCAAAUUAAUAAAAAAGGAGGCCAAACCAUUAUUUAACAAUCUGUUUUGUAUUUGGGAAAGUCUGAUAAAAUCUACUGAGGGAUAAUUAGAGAACCUCAACUAUUAAUCACACCUCAUAAAUGAACUAACAUUAACCAUCUACCAUCCCCACGUCACACAAACAUUCUCUAUACUUCUGAACCUAAUACUUCCAUCUUCAAUAGGGGGUUUUUUUUCUUUUUUUUGGGGGGGGGGGGAGUUAUCAAUUUUCUAAGCUUGCUUAGCUUCUGUGUAGGACUGAAAUGCUCAUUUCGAAUCACUAACAGUAAAAUUGGAAGCUCAUGAAAAAACAGUUUUAUCCCAAAAUUGCAUCUCGAUAUAAAUUCUCUUUUCAUUUCCUUCAACUUUCUAAUUAAGCUUAAAAAAUGUACCUUCAACCACAAAGGGGUUUAAAAUUUAAAAUAUAAAAAAUAAAUUCAGAUAAAAAUAAUUAAUUUAAUUAAAAAUAUAAAUAGAGUUACAGAGAAAGAGAAAAUAGAGAAAGACCUAAUGUUGAGUCCUUUGGCGCAUGUCUCUUCAUAGGUCCGAACCAUUUCUUCGGGCGUGGGUUACGGCCGAGAUUGGAUAAUGAUGGAGGAGGAGAAGAUUAGCGAUGACGACGCCGAUGAAAUGGAAGGGUUUACCAGAGGAGUGGAUGCGAAGAGUGCAGGGACGGCCGCAGAGAGAGAGCGGCGGAGAGCGGCGACGGACGGAUGGCGGUAUGGGCCAUUGCUUGCGCGUCGGUGAUUGUCUCGAGUGAGAGAGUGAAGGGUUUUGUUUAGGGUUUUGGGAAAUGAAAAAUGCAAAUGUUUGAUUUUGUUGCUAGAAACUUCUUCUGCUGCUGCCUUUUAUUGUCGCUAUAAUAAUAAUAAUUUGUUAAUCAAAUAUUUUCUUAAAAAAGAUAAAUUUCUACAACAAAAUUUAUAUUAAAUCAAAUUGUAAAAAUGUCUAAUAGGGUUAAUUUCUCCUUAAUAUUAUUAUUAGUAGAAGUAGAUUUUCAAAUUAGUCUUGAUAUAUAUCAGAGUUGUAUUAUAAAUGUAUAUGUAUCUGGAUUGCAAUUAUAUUUUAAAAAAAAUAAUUUUUUUAAUUAUUGCACAAUAAAUGUAGAAAGUGUCUAUAAAAUAAUAUUAUUGGAACUAUGAAAAGAUAUUAUUUUAGAGUAGUUAUUUAUUUAUUUUUGAAUAAAUAAUUUAUUAAUUUAUUGAUAAAUUAAAUAAAUAUUAAUUUAAACAGAGAAUUUUUUUUUUGUGGGUUUUUAAGAAGAGUUUUGUUGGUAUAUGUGCAAACUUAUAAAGAAAUACAAAAAAUGCUUCCUCAAGUCAAUAGUAUUUACUUUAAUUCAUAAUAAGAUAGUUUAAUCAAGAAACUUGUAAUUAUACUAUAUCUUUCUUUCUUUGUUCUGUUUGGUGGGAUAUUGUGAUAAAUCAUUGGAUUACAAUGCAUUUCUAAAUGAAAACUUGUUAAAACCUAAUUUAUUUGGGAACCACAUUUUAUUUGUCAGUCUUAUUUCUCAACUUAGCAAAUUAUUUCUAACUUAUCGGUCUCUAUUGGUUCUCUUAAGUACCUGUUUGGUAUAUCUUAUUUAAUGGCAAUAAGUACUUAUUUAAUCUCAUAAUUUUUUUCCCUCUCUGACAAUUGAGGUAGGGGGUCAAACUUGAAAGUAUCUUAAAAUCAGACAACAAUUUAACUAUUUUUUUUUUUUAGAUAACUGCUAAUAUGCUCUAUUAGACAAUGAUAAGUGAUUGCAUUUAUGCAUCCCCACCAAUAUUUAAGCAAUUUAAUUACAGAAACAUUUCUUGAGGAAAGAAACUCAUAUCACCACUAGGCUUUUAAUGAGGCUCAUUUUUAUGAAUCUGGAUAGCAUUAGAUAUCUCUCCGAAUAUUGGUGGGAGUAGAUCGCAGAUCUCUGGGCUAUACUACAAAGUGUAUGUACGUUGACUCUCAAUAAACACAAACGAUUCCCUGAUAUGAUUCAAAACAUCAGUGCAUGCAUCAUUUUAACGAGAGAGAAUAUUCCCAGAAAUGUACACGCAUGAGGAAUUUUUCCUAGAAGAUUGAUAUUUCUUUAACUAGCAAACCAUACAAGUCCGGGGCUUAAAUGGAGUACUUGUAAGCAUAAAACAUUAAUCAAAACACAGUAUAGACACACACACACACACACCCCUACAUACAUACCAGCAAAUUCGAAAUAGAAAAAGAAGUGCAGCUAUUCAAGUUUGUAGACAAUAUUUCAACCAUGGCAUAUUAAAGCAAAUCCUUGAAAUCAGCUAAACAAAACAAUGCCCUGUCUCAUGAAUCGAUGCUCAAUUAAAAUUGAAAUUGAAAGUCCGGCUGGUGUUGUUUCCCUCUCCAGUUUUGCCUACAUAAGUAAAGGGAAAUGAGAAUCAUAAAUGAAAAUCUGCUUUGACAGUUCUUAUUAGAUAGAUAUAAAUGGAUCUUUCUUUGUUUCUCUGCUGUAAUUUGUGGCUACCCCACUCUGUUUUGCCAGUCAAGCUGAGUCUACGUUAAGGCAUAAUUUUGACAUCAGAAGCAACCUCAAUUAGUUUGGCAUUUUCAUGACCUCCUUGAAGGUUUUACGAUAAACAUAAAUCCACUGAGAAAGUGGGAAAAAAAGAAAAUUCAUAUAAAAGUAUGAGUUAUCAGAUAAGAUUAAAACUCACCCAAUUCAAUCCAUCAGAUUCCGUAAGGAUAUAACUGGAUGUCAUACCGCCACUCCAUAUUCUUGAAAGUCCGUAGUGUUUGUCUCAACUCUGUCUGGGGCCAAUGUAAGUCCAAUUUGCGCAAGCUCUUUAUGCACCACAGCUCUUCUGGAAGCUUUCUCAAGUAAGCACAUGGGUUGACAAUUAAGCUUUCAAGUUUCGGCAUUGCUCCAGCCCCCAUCGUCCACUCAUCUAGCCAAUACAUUGAUUUCAGGUGCAAAACCUUAAGUUCGGGAAAGCUACUCAAGCCAACACAAGCAAGCUUUCUUCCUAAAUACGAGUUCUGCUUCAGUUUCAGCACUCGAAGGCGUGGAAGAUUUUCCAGAAUUGGCAUGGGAUCCUCCAUUAGCUCAGUAUUUGAUAAGCUCAGUUGGAUCAGACUUGGGGGAAAUUGGUAUUCAGACUGGACCAUCCGUGAGGGCUUGCUCUCAUUCACCAGCUUCAAGCAUUCAAGUUUGUGGAGUUCGCAAAGGCUUUUGGAAACCCCAGAUUGAUAGUAACUCAAAUCUCCAGAUAUCCGAAGAGUCUGAACACUUGGUAGUCUGCCCAAUAUAUCAGGAGUACAACUACUAGGGUUUAAAGCUGAUAUGAAAAUGAGUUUUUUCAGAGAGCUAGAAUAAUUUUUUGGAGGUGCGGGCAGAGUGAUAGAACCAAAGUUUAGAUGCAUGAGUUUUUGCAUCAUCCAAAUAUCCUCUGGUGACUGAUCUAUGUAGCUAGAUGGCAUUUCUAGUGUUUCAAGGUUUAAAAGGGUGCAUAGCAGUGAAGGAAGGCAUUUGAGCGAAGGGAUAUUCAAUUUCAAAUACUUCAAAAGAUAUAAAUUUUCUAAUGCGGGUGGAUAUUGGUCCAGGACUGCAGAACCCAUGUUCAAUACCCGAAGGUAUUUGAACCUUUUAAAAAAAUUCUCGCAAUCUUUCGGAUUAAGAUGAUUGCUUUCUGAACUGUGAUUCAGAAAUGAUUGGAGAUACAUGUCAGACUGUUGUAAAAAAAAGAACUCAAGCAGAUCUUCCAAAAUGAAGCACCGUUUAGCAUUUUCAAUUGAUUCCCCUAUCCAUGCAGGCAUUCGGACAAAUCUCGUCUUCUCUGCCACCAAACCCAAUGAAGUAAAUACAAAACUUGGAACAUAACACGCUUUAAUUGUGCCUCCGGCUCUUCUCGUACUCACUUUAAUGAAGCCGCGAUGGAUUAGUUCUUUCAAGUAAUGUUCGGCAGUUUCUUCACCGUUGUAUGGUAUGAAACCUUCAGCUACCCACAACUGAUAUAAUUGCCUCGUGGAUAUCUCGAUGCCUGGAGGGAAGACACACAAAUAGAUGCAGCAGACUUUCAAGUGAAAAGGUAACUCCAUCACAGAGAAAAUUUGUCUCCAUACUGUCGGAAUCGCUUCGCUUUGAAGAUAAUUUUCUAAUGGCAUACUUCCAUAGUGUAGGAUGAAAAAUUGCCAGGCCUCAUGCUUUAGUCUGAUCAAUGGUCCUCCAACGAGCACUGAACCAUGCCGAAUCUUCUCUCCAUUUUCCAUUUCCAACGACUCAAGGAGGUCUGGAUCAGCGGCCAAUAUUAAUACUCUGCUUCCAUUCUCAUUAUCAGGGAGAACUUCUUCGAGAUCAUCCCAUAUCUCACGGUCAUUGAAGACGUCAUCAAGCACAAUAAAGUACUUCUUGUUUGUUAGGUAAUCUCGAAGAAUAGAUUUCUUCAAUUGAUAAUCUUCACCGAUAAUUACACUAACCCGAGCUGGAGGCAUCACAGACUUGAUUAUGCCAUCCAAUAUCUUGCCAAAAUCAUAACGUAGAGAAACCCUGACCCAAGCAUGACAGUCAAAAUAGAACUUGACAUGAUUACUGUUAUAAGUAUGUGCAGCAAAAGCAGUCUUAUCGAAGCCACUGCUGUCGAGAAUUGCAACCACUGAAAGCCCAGAUGGUCCCUCAAUCAAUAGAUCAAAAAACUUCUCUCUGCCCCUUUCAAAUUCACUGAUAUCGAGCCGAGGUUGUCCCUCACUCAAUAGGCGAAUGAUUUCGUUACGUUUUUCACUGAUAUCAAAACCAUUGUCGCCGGGUGGAAGUUGUUGCGUCCGAUUUCUAAUAUCAAUGAUUUCACUGAUAUCAAAACCAUUAGUGCUGCUUUCACUUUCGUUUUCACUGUUUUGCUGCUGCAUAAUGUUGAUGAAGAAUGUGUCAAUGGCUUCCUCAGAUUCAUGGACAAAGUGAUUGAUGUCCUUAAGAAUUUCCAGAAUGUCUGAUCUUUUAACGUCUUCUUCAUCACUUUCUUCUAAGUCCAACAGUUGCAAUAAAGGCAAAGACAUAUUGGAUUCAGCGAAUUCUUGUCUGAAUAGUUGAGACAAAAUCCGAGCCAUGUCAGCUUCAUAGUUUCCCGACAGAGUAGUAGUAAUAAUUUCAGACUCCGUAAGAAGGUUUUGAAAAAGCGGGGCUAAAUUUGUUGAAUCAGUCAACGUUAACGUGCCUUCUUCACCUGCUAACACCCUUUUCAACCUCUCACAAAAUAGUCGGAGGUGGACGUCCAGCAUAUCUCCUUCUCUCUGUAGCACCCAGAGGUAUUGUUUUUUGCUCCAAGAAAUAUUAAAAGGAUUGGUUCUAUCUCAAAGUGGUUACUGGUGUAAAAUUAAACGCCAUGGGAGAAUUUGAAGGGAAGAUGCCAAGGAACUGGCGAUGUGGCUAAAUUACACAAAUACGGCAUUAUUGCUCAUUUUUAACUCAAAAAAUUGAUACCAAGACGCUUGCCUUUUGAAAAGAAGAGGUAUCCAACCUUUAUCUUAUUUAAUUACUACCAUGACAUGAUUGAUGGUGCUUAAAUCAAUUGUUUCUUUAUUAAUUUAAAGAAUUUUUCAUUAAAAAAAUUAUUUUAAUAUCAAAUACCCUUCAAUGGCAUAACUGCCGCAGGCCCAGAAACAGGAUUAAUUAAAAUUUUUUGAAUUUUUGGGCAAGGAAAGAUUUGAAAUUCUAGUUAUGCAACCCAAGAGGGAGUGAAUUAGAAUUCUAUAAAUUAUUUAAUUUAUAAAGAAAACCUUAAUGCAAAUAUAAACCAAAUUCAAAGCAAUAACAAAUAAGGUGAUCACAAUAUAAAAAGAUAAGGGAAGAGAGAUUCAAACACAUAGAUUUUUACUUGGUUCGGCCAACCUCGCCUACGUCCGCGCCUCCAAGCUUUCCGAGCUUAAAGAUUCCACUAAGCAAGCCUCCAAGGCUUCAAAUGCUUACACUUGACUUCCAAGGUGUCAAUAACCUUUACAACAAGAGAUUAUCCCAAUCUCUUUAACCCAAGUGUAUCCCAACACUUACAAUCACUCAAAACAAAAGAUUACAAAUUUGUUUUGACUCUCACAAUAUUUAAGAUUACACAAUGAUGCCCAAUAUGUCAAUAGAUGAAGCAAGAAUGUGUUCAAAGCUCUAUGAAGAUUGUAUUCUCGAGUAUAAGCUCAAUAGUCGUGUUGUGAUCAAUCUUGUUUGAAUUUGAAUGAGCUUAUUUAUAUUUGGAGCUGAAAAACUAGCCAUUACAAACUGUCGGCCCGAAAACGGUUCGCUGUUAACCAUUAACGGUUAACCGUUUAGGCUGGUCAAAAGUUACCGUUGGGCCAAAUUUCAAAUAAACGGUUUGCCGUUUAGGAUUACCCCUUCGCCGUUAAAUUCUAGAGACCUGCAAGAUGAAUAUCAGUUAUCCGUUUACAUUAAACGGUUAAAGAUUUGCAUGAAGUGACUUCUCUGGAUAUUAUCGGUUAACCGUUUGUAAUAAAUGGUUCGCCGUAUGUUUCCAGUAACCUGCAAAACAAUUUAGCCUUAUCCGAUUUUGUUAAACGGUGCCAGAAGAGUACAACCUUCAAUUCUGGAUUUUAUCGGUUAACCGUUUAAAUAAACGGUUCACCGUUAAAUUCCAGUAGCCUUCCCAGCUUUUUGUGUUUUCCAUUUUUCUUAAUCGGUUAGAGCUUAGGCAAUAUGUUGCUCUCUGGUUUUAAUCGGUUAACCGUUUGAAAGAAAACGAUUCACCGUUUAUUUCCAGAAUCACAUUUUAAACCAGAUUUUGCAGAAAGUCAUUUUCUAAUUUGAAAGUCCAUCUUUUAUGAAUAUGAUUGGAAUGAUUAUAAGGCUUUCAUUUAUUAAGGAAUAGCUCCAACAUUUUAAUCAAAAACCAUUUAAAGUUUGUUAUCAUCAAAAUCAAUAUUAUUAACAUAUUCAUGUUAACAAUAGUAGUAUUAAACAUCAGAAAGCUAAGGUUGUUCUGUUAAUGAAUUGAUAUUGACAUAAUUUUAUUUUGGUUUCCGGGGAAAAAAAAACAUUUGUUGACAAGCAAGAAAAUAUUUUUAAAUUUUACAAUUUAUUAUACAUAUUUUAUCAUAUUACAAUAAUUUUAAUAAUAAAUAGAAACAUAAUAUUACAAUAAAUAAGUUAAAGUUUAAAUUAUUUUAAAUAUUAUAAAAAAUAAUUUUAAUAUUAUUAAUAGGAAGACAUUUUGUUAAUUUUAAAACCUUUUUAACCCAAAGGUUUAUUUAAAAGCUUUAUAAUAAACAUAAAUAUAAGAUUAAAAUAAAUAUCAUAAUUUGAAAUUUUUAGUAUUAUUUUAAAUAUUAAAAAUACUUUAAUAUUAUUAGCCUACUACAUUGAUUUUAUUAUUUAUAUUAUAUUCAUAUUGAUUAAAACUUUUUAAAGUCAAUUUUUUAGUCAGUAUAUUCAAGAGGUAUCAUAGUUAAAGAAAAGAUUUUGGUGUUAUUUUUUGAAAAUUUUAAGGUUUAAAUGAUAAUUUUUUAAAAUUUUAAGGAUGUAGGUAUUAUUUUUCCGACAAUUUAUUUUAUUUUUGAGGAAUUCGAUGAGAAAUAUCAUGAGAGAAGGUUAAUUUUACAUUCUUUACCUUUAUGAAAAAAGUGGAAACCAAGAAGUAUUCAAUUUUGUAUUUUUUGUUUGUAAUUCAAAAAAUGCAUCCACCAAACAAUCUUAUCUUGAUUUUUUCACUUUAUUCAUUUUCGAUCCUUUAAUCCAUCUAGUAUCUGCAGCCCCCGCCAUUUUUACAAAUCUCCAUCCGACAUCUACCCUAUCAAACAAAGUUGAUGGAAAUUGAACAAUUGCUUUUUGAAGUGGACCCAAUAAGUGGACAUUUUAUUAAUAUUAAACAAAGUUGACGGAAAUUGAACAAUUGCUUUCUAUGAGCCACUUAUUUUUAACAUUAGCGAUCUUAUCUGGACUACUCCAAUUAUUGAUGUAACUCCAAUGGUUGCAUCAACAGUUGAAUGUAAGAUAGUGUUAGCUCUUCUUUGAGAAUAUAGAGUGAUCUUUCUUUGUUUCUCUGUUGCGACGUGCUACUAUAAAUUUCUUUACCUUGCAGUUUAUAUAGUCUUGCUGUUAAUGAAUUCGCGGAGGCAUUAUUGAUCCAAUCUCAGUGAAGUAAUUGUGGGUGGAAAAUGAAUAAAGGGUAAGAGAACGUAGCUCAAGUGCUGAAUUGGCUAUUAAAGAAGAGUGUCACUUGAUCACAAUCACAUUGAUGCACAACUCACUCGAGGCAAAUUUCAUCUAUAUAUGUACUGCAAAUUCAGCCAAACCAUACAUGCAGGAACAAAACUAAAAUGUAGUUCUAAUCAAAACUGUAAUUAAAGCUACAAAAGGCUUGCUCAAUCCAAAAACUUAAAAGGAAGAUUUUACUCAAGUUUGUCCCCAAAAGACAGCUGAAUUGAAAAAUAUUGACUAUUGAAUCAAUGCUCAAUUACAUUUGAAAUGGAAAGCUUGGCUGCAGUUACGAUGUUUUUCCCUCUGAUUUUCUUCCAAAACAAAUUCAUUUGUAAACAAUAACGGAAGUAGCAAUAAUUUAUUCAUCAAAGAAAAUAUCCAAGUUUUCAACUAACAAAUCCUUUUGUCUAAACUAAAAAAACUUAUAUUUUUAAAAUCUAUCUACAAAAUGUUGGAAAUAAAGAGUGAUCUAUCAACUCGGUAAAUAAACUCAUACAUAAUGUUUACAAUAAUGAUAAAUUACAUAAUAAUUAUUAUAAAGAAUCAUAAAUUAGAAAAAUAUUUUAAGAUCAAAUUGCCUUCAAUGCUGAAUUACAUUUGAAAUGGAAAGCAUGGCUGCAGUUACGAUGUUUCCCCCUCUGAUUUCCUCCAAAACAAAUUCAGUUGUAAACAAUAACGGAAAUAACAAUAAUUUAUUCAUUACUCAAAUUUUUUCAACUAACAAAUCCUCUUGUCUAAACUAAAAAAACUCAUAUCUCUAAAAUCUAUCUGCAAAAUGUUGGAAAUGAGGGGUGAUCUGUCAAUUCGGUAAAUAAACUCGUGCAUAAUGUUAACAAUAAUGAUAAAUUACAUAAUAAUUAUUAUAUAGAAUCAUAAAUAAGAAAUAUUAAUCAUUUCACAAUCUAUUACGUAAGUAAGAUAAAUUUCAUAAUAAGUUAAGUUAUAAUGUAAUAAAUAUUUUCAAUAUGCUAAGAUAGGAUUGGUCCUAUCUCAAAGUAGUUAGUGGUGUAAAACUGAUGGUUGUCGAAGCCAGCAAAAAUAAAUACCUACUCUAAAUAAAUUGUGUAUAGUGAUUGAGCAGGGUCGUGUCCACAGAGAUCGGUAAUUAUUUAAAUCAUUUUAAAAUGUAAAAUGCAAAAUGGGGGAAUUGUUGACAAUAAUAAAAAUCAAAUUAAAAUAACAAGAAUGUAAAUUAAAAUUGUAAUUCAAAUUGGGGAAAAAGUAGUAUUAGACUUCAGAAAGCUAAGGUUGUUAUGUUAAAGAAUUCAUAUUGACAUAAUUUUAUUUUGGCUUUCGGGGAAAAAAAUAUUUGUUGACAAGCAAGAAAAUAUUUUUGUAUUUUACAAUUUAUUAUACAUAUUUGAUCAUAUUAAAGUAAUUUUAAUAAUAAAUAGACACAUAAUAUUACAAUAAAUAAAGUAAAGUUUAAAUUAUUUUGAAUAUUAUAAAAAAUAAUUUUACAUUUGAAAUGGAAAGAGUGGUUUUAAACACCAGAAAGCAAAGAUUAUUCUGUUAGACAAUUGUUAUUGACAUAAAAAAUAAUUUGGUUUUCAAGGAAAAAAAACAUAUUUGUUGACAAGCAUGAAAUUUUUUUUUUGUAUUUUACAAUCUGUUAUUACAUAUUUUAUCAUAUUAAAGUAAUUUUAAUAAUAAAUGUAUAUGUAUCUAGAUUGUAACUAUAUUUUAAAAAAUAUAAUUUUUUUAAUUAUUGCACAGAAAAUGUAGAAAAAUGUCUAUGAAAUAAUAUUAUUAGGACUAAGAAAAAAUAUUAUUUUAGAUAAGUUAUAUAUUUAUUAUUGAAUGAAUAAUUUAUUAAUUUAUUGAUAAAUAAAUAUUUAUUAAUUUAAAGAGAGAUUUUUUUUGGUUUUAGUAAUAGUUUGUUUGUUACAUGUACACACUUAUAAAGAAACACAAAAAGUGCUUGCUCAAGUCAAUAGUAUUUGCUUUAAUCGCUACUGUUCAUAAUAAUGUAGCUAAGUUAGGAAAUUUGUAAUUAUACUAUGGUUCUGUUUUGUAACGCCCAAAUUUCUAUUAUUUUAUUUUAUUUUUAAUGGAAUUUAUAAAUGGCGUUACUGCCCUUAUAAAAAGGGUUAUUCAUGGGAUAAUUUUUAGGAAAUGGUUAUUUUUCCAAAUUCAAUAGGGUUUCUUAAGACUCCCUAUAAAUUAAUAUUUUUUUUCCCUUCGAUACUCGAAGUCCACGACGAUUCUUCUUCUUCUCUGCUGCUCAUUAUGCUCCUACCCAAACCCUAGGAUUCAAACUUUUGCUUAGGAGAGAAUCAAAGCGAUUGGUGUUGGAGGUGAUUGAGGCUCUUAGAGGCUUAGAGGUCUGUUAAUUCAAAUUCUUUUGUCGAGAUAAGUAAUUUCAUUCCUAAUAUACUGGAUAUGUAUAAGUAUUUUGAUGUUAUUAUAAGAGUUUUUAUACUUCUUAGAAGAUUAAUAGAUUUUCAUACCAAAAUCAGUUUAUGAAAAUGUUUUCAAAUCUGAAUUCUUUUGAUAAAAUAUUUUAUAAAUGCGUUUUAAUAUGUAAAUUAUUUUAUGACAUGACUGCCUUUUAUAAUUUUGUCUAUGAAAUAUUUUUGCAAGCCUAAAUUGUUGCUAUAGACUUUCAUGAAUCUAAUACGAAUGUUUUGUGCCUAUGUAUGAUUUUAAUUAUUUAUGACUGUACGGGGGCCACCUCUUGAGACUAUAUGGGGGCCACCUCUUGAGGGCCAAAGCGCCGCAAAGUGCCACAUAUAGUGCAAAGUGCCACGUAUAAGUCAUUAUGUUUUGGCUCAUUGUCCGUAGUUAUUCUGAUUCUAAUUCUGAUUGUAUUAUACGAUAUAUUUGUUCUGGACUAGUACUAGGUUUAUGUUCUAAGUGUGCACACGAUAUUCUGAUUCUGUUUCUGGUCAGGUCACCGAGACUAUAGGUGAUACUAUGUGACAUGAGCUAACUAUCUGCUUUCUGUAUACACUUUAUACGAUUUGCUUUCAUAAUUGAUUAUUCUUUUGAUACUCUGAAUUACCAUGAAUUUAUGUUAUAUAAUUGAAAUAUGUUGUUUUAUGAAGUUUAUGAGUUAUAAUAUAUGUUUUUGAAUAAAAGAAGGCUUGCAAUAUUUUUGAUAUCGAUAGGCCUAGUGUAUUAGGAAUGAUUUUACCUACCGAGUUGACAGCCCACCCCUCGUUAUUACUUUUUGCAGAUUAAGUUCCUUUUAAGAGGUAUGCGUAGCUUUGGAGUUAGAGAUUUCGUUUCCGUUUGCUAUUUGAAUAAGAAGAGGAAUAGACUCAUGUUUCUUUUUAGUUUAUUUCUGUUAUGAACUUGUAAUUUGGAGUUUGAGACUUUUGUUAUUGUUAUGUUUUGGAAGAGAUUAUUUAGUGUUAGACGUAUUAAUUUGUGGAUUUAUUUGAAUAAGAAUUUGAGGUAUUUGAGUUUGGAAUUUAUAAGUAAGGAUUACGAUUUGUAAGUAACCUCCUUCUUCAUGUGCUCCGCACGUGUUAGAUUUGGGGUGUCAUAUGUUUCGUAUAACUUUUGAAGUAGAGCUUAUUUAAAUAGAGUAUUCGUCAAUAAAGCUUCUAUAAAUAAAGAUUUUACUAAAAAAAAUUUAGUUGUUUGGUUGUCAAUGUCCAAAUUGACGAACUUUUGUUCCUUUGCUAACAUGUAUUUGUUUUAUUUAAUAAUAGAAGUUUGGUUUACAAUUACACCACCUUCAAAUCAGCUGAGCAUUUUUGCAACCGGUCACAUUAUACAUUAUACUAAUAGCAUCGGCAAGAGUUUUCGAUUGUUGCAACUUGCAAUGGACGCGAUGGGAGAAAAUGAGAAUCUUGUUUAAUUGCAAUAUUGACAAACCUAAUCCUUUCGUAGGGAGUAAUUUAAUAAUCGCUUGUUAUAAUUGAAUAUGUAUAAAGAAAGGAAAAUUCUAUUCAUAGAUUUCGACUUAUUUUUUGUUUAAAGUAAUUAAUCAUUCAACCAUCUUCAUUUGCCUCUGGCCAAUGCCCUUGUAGAUUAGUUGAACCGUUAAUUACUUAAUUCAGAUAAUUACAGUGUCCUUUUCGCUAAUUAAUUAUGAUUAUAUACGCUUUCAUAUAGCAAGUGGCUUUGUAGAUCUAAACCAAGUUGCUAUUUCAAAACGUUAAUUAAGUGAUUCUCCUCAUUGUCAUCAGCGUUAUACGCUCUAGGAAAAUAGCUCAAUUGUUUCCCUGCAUUGAUUUUCAUUGGUACGUGAUUUCUUAUGAAAUUCUUUUGAGCUUUCCUUAUUAAAAAUGCUUGAGCUUUUAUCACCCAAUACGGAUAUCAAUUAACUUGUGAACGAUUUUGUAAUGAAACUAGGAGUUAAAUAAGAUUUUUACAUGAUGAAUUUUUAUUUUUUUAAUUUUUUGAUGUAGUCAAUUUGCUAAUUUUAUGUAUUUCAUAUUCAACGGAAUUUGGGCACGGAAAGUUUGGAUUCUAAUAUUUAUAUGUUUAGCUUUAAUCAGUUUGACUUUCGUAAUCUUUUUCCCCUCAUCAUUAAGGGAUUCAGAAUUAGAGAAACGUUAGGAAGAGGAAGAAAAUAAUUUCGGAAAUAAGUAAGAGGGAAAAAAUUAUCAAAUUAGGAAUGAUUUUUUGUAGAGUAUGUUGCGUUUACUAAAAUGAAAUCGAAAUGAGCUGGAAUCAGAAUGGAUAAAAAUGCGAAUGUGCUGGAAUAAGAAUAAGUAAUGAGAAUCAGAAUAAGUUGUUUACUUGAACUGUAAGAAUCGAAAUCGAAAUGAGCUGGAUUGCAAUUACUUUGUCCUACAAUUAGAAUCAAAAUGAGUUAGAUUGUAACAAAUUACUAAAAGGUACUUAAUGAAUUAUUGUCAUAAUUAUUAUUUUAUAUUUUAAUUAUAGUGAUUAUUUAUUCUAAAUUAUUAUUAUUAAUUAUUUUCAAUAAUAUAUUAAUAUGUUAAUUAAUUUUAAAAAUUAUUAAUUAAUUUAUUAUAAUAAUAUACUAAUUAAUUAUAAUAAUUAUAUUAAUAAUUAUUAUAAAAAUAUAUUAAUUAUUAAUAAUGAAAUUACUUAUUUAAUUAUAAUAAUAUAUUAAUUAUUGUGAUUAUUUAUUCAAAAAUUAUAAUUAUUAAUAAUUAUUGUUAAUAAUGUAUCAAUAUAUUUUAUAUUAUGAAAUUGUGAUGUAUUGUAGACAAAUAAGGGAAUUUGGUACAAUAAAUUCUUAAUAUCUUAGUACAAAGUAUGGUACAAUGAUAUUUUAACUUAUUGUAGACAGAUUAAAUUUCGACACACUUAAUCCAUAAUAAAAUUAGUGGAAAAUAAUGAUAAUUUAUACAAUUAAUCUUUUGAGCAAUAAAAAAAUAAAAGAAAAAGAAGUUACUAAAUUAUGUUUACUGUUAAGAGUGAAUCCACAAUCCUAAAUAAUUUAUUUCCAUCGUUUCACUUAAAUUAAAUAGUGUGAAUUUAAAUUCUAAUUUUUUGAUAAAUUAAAAAGAAAUAAAAAAUUAAAAUUUUUCUCUAUGGAUCGACCUCGGAUUGAUCAAUUUAUUUCAUAACAACACACUUUUAUACUUGAGAGUUAUAAAUAACUUUGAAGUUGUGUUAAGUUUUUGACGCUCUUACGGGGGAAAAAUAUUUAUUUUAUUUUAUGUAUGGGUCAAACUUGAAAGUAUAUUUUAAGAUAGCUGCUAAUAUGCUCUAUUAGACAAUGAUAACGUAGUUGUUUGUGGUGUUCAUAAUGAGUUUAAUUAUGAUUCAACAAUUUAAAAUAUGAAAACAUAUGGAAGAUGGCCGUAAUUAAAUUGAUUGCAUGAAAAUAUUUCAAUGAAAUUUUAAAAAUUUGGUACUUAUUAUCUUAUCAAAAGUUUUUUAAAUUAUAUUACUACUUCAACUUAACUCCUCCUGGAUUGAUUGUAUUGAAUUUCCAGCACCGCCAUUGCUUCUACUUGAAAGCCAUUUAAGUUUGUGUAAGCUACCUAUAGUUUGAAUAACAAUUUACUCAUGAAUUGCUGUUCAUGAUAACAAUUUGAUUGAAAGUGCGGCUGCACUAAUUGUUCUCGUACGACCCCAGAAUGCUGUUAAAUCAGUUGUAUUGGAAAUUAAUCAACUGGUUACAACUCUACACCCCAUCAAUAUUUAAGCAGUCCACAGAACAUUAAUUGUGUUUUGAAAUUUUAAUGAGUCUCACGUGUUUUUCACGUGAUAUGCAGUAAAAACAAAAUUAAAAAAAUGAAAACAUUCAGCCCCAAAGCCAAAAUCCCCAACUCCUUCCAAAUUGGUUCCGCAGCCCCCAAAUCCCUUAAACCCAAAGCACUCUAAAACGACUCUCCUCAGCCAAAAAGAAAAAGGUCACCUCACCUCUCCUCUUCUUCUUCCAUGGCGAUCAACGGCGGCACAAGCACGGGCUGAUCUCCUUCGUCAGUAACGAUCAACGGCGGUACAAGCAUGGACAGAUCUUUUUUUUGGCAAUGAUGAACAGCGGCACAAGCAGAGUCGUCCUCAGGUACGGAUUUGAUGUUGGUUGUGUUGUCAAGUAGCGAUUCAUGUUUGGAAGAGAAUCCGCUCACAAGGACCUGGAGCACUUAAUCGAAGAUCUUAAGCGAGGAAUUCGCUUCCUCCUCAUUCCUAAUCGGUGCCUGAUUCAUCAGUAUGAUUAAGGAUGAAAAUUGAGAAAGAAGGACGCAUUAGGUUUGAGACAUUGGUUGAAAAACGCUACCCCGGUGGCCACGCUGGAAACAUAUGUUCCGUGGCUUCUUGCGUUGUCUGUGAGGAAUAUGUACUGCUGUAGAAGAUAAUUAUGAAUCAAUGGUAAUUGGCGUGUUGGUUUUGGUGCCGAUUUCCUCUUAUUUUCCAGAAAAGGCUUGUAAUUUGUUCACCUCAAGAUUCAAUUUUGUUAUUGAAAAUGGAUGGCUGUAAAGACCUAUUGGCCUUUCAUUAUAUUAAUGUUUUUGACAGUAAGUUUGUAAUAGUUAGUGCAGGGAACUUAUUGAUUCUUGAUUAUAUAUAACGGUGGCCCUUAUUACUUUAAAAAAAAAAAAAAAAUUGAUGAUGGGUUUCGUUUUGUAUAAGUGUUUGGAGUGUUGGAAAAUUAACAUUGUAUAUUUUAGAUAGUUGAGUUCCAUAGUAAUAAAAAGCUACGGAUUUGUUUUCUUUUUAUUGAAAUGAAAACAUUUUUCACUUGUAUAAUAGAAAAUAUACUAUAUCUUUAAUACUUUUGUCAAAUUUAUUAUUUAAAAUUUAUAUUUACUACAUAUUAUUAAUUUUUGUUUCAUAGUCAUAGCUUUUUUUCCACAGUAGCUGUAGCUUAAAAGAUACAGCACCUCAAUUCCAAACGCACUCUAAUUAAAAAUUUUAGAAUUUUUGGGCAUGGAAUUGAAAAGAGUAGUAUUAAACAUCAGAAAGCUAAGGUUGUUCUGUUAAAGAAUUGAUAUUCACAUGAUUUUAUUUUGGUUUUUGGGGAAAAAAAAAAUUGUUGACAAGCAAGAAAUUAUUUUUAUAUUUUACAAUUUAUUAUACAUAUUUUAUCGUAUUAAAGUAAUUUUAAUAAUAAAUAGAAGCAUAAUAUUAAAUAAAGUUUAAAUUAUUUUGAAUAUUAUAAAAAAUAAUUUUAAUAUUAUUAAUAGGAAGACAUUUUGUUAAUUUUAAAAUCUUUUUAACCCAAAGGUUUAUUUAAAAUGUUUAUUAUAAAUAAAGAUAUAAAAUUAAAUAUCAUAGUGUAAAAUUUUUAAUAUUAUUUUAAGUAUUAAAAAUAUUUUAAUGUUAUUAGUCUACUACAUAGAUCAUAUUACUUAUAUUAUAUUUGCAAUGAUUAAAAAAUUUUAAAAUCAAUUUUCUAGUUACUAUAUUCGCGAAAUAUUAUGGUUAAAGAAAAGACCUUGGUGUUACUUUUUACAAAUUUGAGUGCCUGCAUGAUAAUUUUUUCAAAAUUUAAGAAUGUAUGUGUCCUUUUCUCCAAUAAUUUAUUUCACUUUUGAGGGGAAUCCAAUGAGAAAUAUGAUAAGAGAAUGUCAAUUACUUGUCAUUUUCUAUUUUUUCUGUAAGCUAUUUAUUUUGAGCACUGGUGAUCUUGUCUUGACUACUCCAAUUAUUGAUGGAACUCCAAUGGCUGCAUCCACAGUUGAAUAUAUGAUAGUGUUAGCUCUUAUUUGAGAAUUCAGAGGGAUCUUUCUAUGUUUAUCAAUUGCAAUGUGCUAGUAUAAAUUUCUUUACCUUACAGUUUAUAUAGUCUUGCUGUUAAAGAACUCACUGAGGCAUUAUUGAUUCAAUUUCAGUGGAGCAAUCGCGCGUAGAGGAUAAAUAAAGGAUAACAGAACAGAGCUGAAGUGCUAAAUUGGCUAUUAAAGAAGGGUGUCACAUGAUCACAAUCACAUUGAUGCACAACUCUCUGGAGGCAAAUUUUGUCUGUAUGUUCUCUAAAUUCAGCCAAACCAUACAUGCAUGAACAAAAAUUAAACCGUAGUUCUCACCACAACAGUAAUUGAAGCUACAAAAGCCAGCAAAUCUGAACAAAAACUUAAAAGAAAGAUCUUAUUCAAAUUUGUCCCCAAAAGAGUGCUGAGAUGGAAAAUAUUGACUAAUGAAUGGGUCAAUGCUGGAUUACAUUUCAAAUGGAAAGCUUGGCAGCAGUUACAAUGUUUCUCCCUCAGCUUUUCCUCCAAAACAAAUUCAGUUGUAAACAAUAACCGAAGUAGAGAUAAUUCAUUCAUCAAAGAAAAUACCCAAGUUUUCAACUAACAAAUCCUUUUGUCUAAACUAAAAAACUCAUAUCUCUAAAAUUUAUUUGCAAAAUGUUGGAAAUGAGGAGUGAUCCGUUAUCUCCGUAAAUAAACUCAUGCAUAAUGUUAACAAUAAUGAUACAUUACAUAAUAAUUAUUAUAAAGAAAUAUAAAUUGGAAACGCUAAUCAUUCUACAAUCUAAUAAAUAAGUAAGAUAAAUCUCGUAAUAAGUUAAGUUAUAAUGUAUAAAUGUUUUUAAUAUAUAAUUAUUUAAGAAGUCAUUUAAUAAUAAAAUAUUUAUUCUAUUCAGUUGAUCAUAUAGCGUUAUCGAAACUCUUGACGAUAUUAUUAUUACACUUUUCUCAAAAAAACAUGAUUAACAUUUAGAGAAAAGUCAUGCCUUUUAGAUAGAAUAUGUACAUAAGCUAUCCAUAUUUUAUCUUACCAUGAAAAAAUUGAUGGUGAUUAAAUCUACUUUUAAAAUAGAUUUAAUGCACAAAUAUGAUGAUUUUUGGCAAAAAUUAGUUUCGGAAGAUACAAUGGUAGAAAAUAGUGAUGAUUAUUGUUUAAAUGUGUAAAUAGCCUAGGCAUAGCCCGUAAUACCAAUAUCCAUUUACCUUCAUUUAGAUUAUCACAUCUCAUGAUAUUUUUUCAUUCACGACCAUUGUUCGAGAUUUGAACUUGAUCAUAAAUUAAGCUGCAACGGAGUUACUUAUGUUUCUAAGCUUUUCAAUCGCGAUUCCUCCAUGCCUUUCUUGGAUACCAUUUUACUGACCUUGUAAUUGGUGUGUAUAAGGAGUCAUGCCCUUUCAGGAUCGUUUUCUUUUUUUUUUUUCCUGAUUGUAGUGUCAAAUAAAUAAAGAACGAACAAUUGAACUUAGUCUAUUUCGAGGAAAACCAAGGCCUGCAAUAUUAGAUGAACUUUGAACAAAAUUAAUCUACUAUUCUACAUCCCCACCAAAAUUUAAACAGUCGACAUUGUGGAAAGAAACACAUUUCGCCACUAGGCUUUUAGUGAGGCUAAUUUCUCUGAAUUUGGACAGAGUAGGUCCUCCAACGAGAACUGAAUCAGGACGAAUCGGCUCUCCAUUUUCUAAUUCGAACGAGCAAAGGAAGCCUGAAUCUGUGACCGUUAUCAAUACUCUGCUUCUAUUCUGAUUCUCAGGAAGUACUUCUUCAAGAUCAUCCAAUACAUCGUCACCCUCUUUGUACUAAUCAUCAAGCACAAUAAAGUACUUCUUGUUUGUUAGGUAAUCUCGAAGAAUAGAUUUCUUCAAUUGAUAAUCUUCACCGAUAAUUACACUAACCCGAGAUGGAGGCAUCACAGACUUGAUUAUGUCAUCCAAUACCAUGCGAAAAUCGUAGGAUAUAGAAACCCUGACCCAAGCAUGACAGUCAAAAUAGAACUUGACGUGAUUAUUGUUGUAAGUAUCAGCAGUAAAAGCAGUCUUAUCGAAGCUAUUGAUGUCUUUCAGAAGCUCCCAAAUGUCUGUUCUUUUAACAUUUUCUAAGUGCAAGAGCUGCCGAUAACGCGAAGGUAUUUCAUCUUCAUCGAAUUGUUCUCUAAUGAGUUGAAUUAAAACUCGAGCCAUGUCAGCUUCAUAGUUUCCCAGCAGAGUAGUGGCUAUAAUUUCGGACUCCGUAAGAAGGUUUUGAAAAAGUGGAGUUAAAUUUGUUGAAUCAGGCAAAGUUAACGUGCCUUCUUCACCUGCUAACACCAGUUUCAACCUCUCACAAAAUAGUGUGAGGUUAAUUUCCAUAUCUUUCCCUCUCUCAGUAGUACUCAGAGGUACGUAUUGUUAUUUGUUAGUGUUGAUGACGAAAGCUGAAUAAUCAAAACAACAGUGUACACAAUCAACAGAAGGCGAAGUAUGUUAAGUUGAGAUCAAAGGAUAUAAAUGAAGGAAAAGUUUAAGUACUCCGUUGAAAGCCAAAGUUGCUUUGGCCAAUUAAUUUAUAAGUGAAGGAAAGAAUAAAGUUAGUCCUCGAUGUCUUUUGAAAUUAGAAAUACAUUUUGAAUGCUUUAAUAGAUGCAGAGCAAGCUGGCUCGAUGUCUAACUAUUUUAAGAGCUAAAAUCAUUUAUUAGAAGUUGUGGCAUUGAAAAAAACUGGCUUGAUAUCCAAUUUUGUUAUUUAAUGUCUCACGUGAGAGUAAAUAACUGUUGUGUUACUGGCAGAUGAUUGAGACGGACAAGUUUGGAACAUUGUUCGAGACUGAAACUACACAUCAGUCUUAGAAAAUUGUAAUUUUGUUGAAAAAUUAUAGAUUGAAAAAUUAUUGAGACGGACAAGUUUGGACCAUUGUUCGAGACUGAAACUACACAUCAGUCUUAUAAAAUUGUAAUUUUGUUGACUUAUCAUGAUUUUGAUUGCCUCCCAUUGAUUUUCCUAUGAUGUCUCUGUAGAGUGGCUAUGCUUACAUUUUUAGGUAUUUAAUUCUAAAAAUUAACUUAUUAGAUGGAAGGAUCAAUUCUACCUGUAAAUCUAAGUGGCUUCCCUUUACUAACUCAUAUAAGACACAACAAUAAUUUUCUUCGAAAAAAACCACCAUCGGAGGGCUAUUUUCGUUCAACAUACAUGAGUUGUUCCGCCACCAUAUUUUGAGGGUUUGCUUCUAAUACAACUUGGGGAAGCUAGGGGUAAGAUUUCCAAGUAUCAACAUAAAAACCUUGCCGAUUGGAUAGAAGGACCAAUCUUACUUAUAAGUCUAAAUGACUAAUUUUUGAGGACACAACUCAACAGACCAAUAUAAACUUUUGGCGUCCCAUUUUAUUACUUUUCAGUGCUUUACUUUUGCUGUCUAUAGCCCUACUAUUCUAUUAAGCAGAAAAUAUUAUCUAUUUUCUUUCCAUUUUAUGUAUACCCCGAUCUUUACCUCUGAUUGGUUGUAGAUUCUUCUGUCGCUUUGGGGUUAGGGGAUGGUUUUCAUCAAGAAAUGAUAAAGGAUUGUUAGUUGUGUGACAAACAGCAUUAAUAUGAAGGAUGAUGAUUGUUCUUUUCAAGAGUUUAUAAUGACAUAAUUCUGCUUUGGUCUUUUAAAAAAAAGUAAUUUAGAAAUGAGGAGUAUGUGAGUGAUGAUUUUUACAAAUAAAUUGCAUGCGUAGUGAUGAUUUUGACACAUGAAAAUGUAAAAAGAAAUAUAACUUGUGAAUAAUAAUCGAAGUACCCUGCUAUUGUUAUAUUGAGUAAUCAAGGACUUCGAUAUUCGGACGAUACAAGCAACACAAUCAAAUAUUAGUUGGAAGGCAUAGCAAAAUUAGAAUGUAGAACAAACUGGGUAUUGAUAAAUGGAUGGUUUUGGAAGAAUUGAAAAUGAUGGCAAAAAAAAAACAAAGUUAAGAGAAAAGAGAAAGAGCAUUUGAACUUUACUUGUAAGUAAAGGCAAAUAUCUUGGUUCAAGAAAAGAUAAGAGAUAUCAAACUAGCAAUAGGAAAAAGGAGGAAGGUUAAGACAGCAUCUUAACAAAAGCUAAAGAAAAGAAAAACUUAGUUCAAGCAAAGAACAAUGUGCUAAUGUAGUGUAAUCUUGUUUAAUUUCUUUUUCUUCUCACAUUUUCCAGGGCUUAAAUAAUACAAUGUACAUUUUCAAGCAAAGAACAACAAAUAAAUAAUACAAUAUACAUACCCAGUAAAUUAAAAAAAAUAUAUUAUUCAAGUUUGUGGACAAUACUGUAGCCAUUGCGUCGUCGAAAUCUACUGACAGCUGAAACAAAGAAAGAAUGGAUGAACGCUGGAUCACAGUUGAAAUUGAAGGUCUGGUAGGUGAUGUUUCCCUCUCUGAUUUUACCUAAACAAAUACAAGAAAAUAAGAAUCACGAAUGAAAAUCUGUUAUUACACUGUUCUUACUUAUUAAAAUACAGAGGUUUCUUUGUUUCUCUGCAGCAAUGUCCAUGGCUAUUAGAAACAAGAACAAUUAGACCAGCAUUUGCAAGAAUCUUUUAAGGUAUUACUGCAGAUAUAAAUCGACUGAGGAAAUGGAAAAAUUGAAUACCAAAUUAGGCAAGUUAACUGAAGAUUCAGUUAUCAUAGAAGAAUAAAACUCAUCCAAUUCAAUCCAUCAAAUUUCAUUAAGCAUUUCCAGAACUCUUGAUUUUCUUUCUCAGUAGCCAAACAACUUCAAUCUCAUUUUUUUUUUUCAACAAUGAGUUCUCAAACCACUCUGGUAUCAUUUUAAGACAUUCUCGGCCUUGUACUCACCAUCAAAAUGGAUUGGUUGAGAGAAAACAUAGGCAUAUUGUUGAAUUAGGUUUGACUCUGUUGGCUCAAGCUCAACUUCCUUUUAAAUUCUGGUGGGAUGCAUUCCAUACUGCCCUAUAUCACAUCAAUAGAUUACCAUCUUCUGCUUUCAAACUUUCGACCCCAUGUGAGAAGAUAUCCAAGCACAAACCUGAUUAUGAUUUUCUCAAAUGUUUUGGUUGUAUUUGUUAUCCUUACUUGAGAGACUAUAACAAACAUAAGUUUGCCUAUCAUUCCAGUAAGUGUAUAUUCAUUGGUUAUAGUCCUUCACAAAAGGAUUAUAAAUGCUUACAUUCUUCAGGUCAAGUCUAUGUGGCAUGACAUGGUAUCUUUGAUGAGUCAACCUUUCCUUAUGCUACUGAAUCUGUUUUUCAUAGUCACACAAAUUCUGAUUCUCAUUCUUCAAAUUUAUUUACUCCACAGCAUGUCUAUUAUCUUUCUACUUUACCUGUCAUACCAGUAUUUCUAAAUAACAACACUGAUAAUCUAAACUCUACAAAACUAAAAUGCCAGCUGUUUGGUGUUAGCGAUAAGAAACAACUUACCACAACCAUUAAUUAUCCAUAAUUUCAUUGUUUAUCCUCAGUUUUCUUCAUAAAUGUUACAGCGUUCUUCACAACAAAGUGCAAGGGCAUCUCAAAAGUUCUGAAAUAAUACCUCAAUUCUAUUGCAAAAAUAAAUAAUCUCAAACAAGAACCAAUAAUCAUAUUUCGUUACUGUCAAACACAAUGCAUCUGAGCAAAACAUUGGAAGCCAACACCAGAAUACAUAUGAAUAAACAAUUAAAGAUAGAGAAAAAAGGCUUAAACCUUGGGGGAAAAAAGUGAAAAAACAUGAAAGACAAAUUACACAUGUGCAGUAACCAUCGAACUUAUCAGUGACAGCUGCAUCCAUUACAUUGCUCCAACAACACAAUGGCAAACCACCAGUUUCAAAUUGAGGAUAGCUAUUGAGAAUGAGAAAGUGUCCAAAACGCCAUAAAUAGACAUGUUCCUAUUAUGCAUAAUUUACAUUAUAGGCAAAUAUUCUUAUACCAUCAAAAGCAAAACAUGACACUAUAACAAUUGACUCCCCCCCCCCCCCCCCCCCCCCCGCACACAAAAAAAAAGGAAGAAACAAUACCGAAAAGAUUGAAACAGGUAAGGCUACACUGAGCACAGGAUGCCAUGAAACAUAAUCCAGGAACCAAAUUAAUAAAGAAGGAAGGCAAACCAUUAUUUAACAAUCUGUUUUGUAUUAGGGAAAGUCCGAUAAAAUCUACUUAGGGAUAAUUAGAGAACCUCAACUAUUAAUCACACCUCAUAAAUGAACUAACAUUAACCAUGUACCAUCCCCACAUCAGACAAACAUUCUCUAUACUUCUGAACCUAAUACUUCCAUCUUCAAUUGGGGUUUUUUUCUUUUGUGGGGGGGGGGAUAAGCUAUCGUUUUUCUAAGCUUGCUUACCUUCUGUGUGGGACUGAAAUACUGAUUUCGAAUCAUUAACAGUAAAAUUGGAAGCUCAUGAAAAAACAAUUUUAUCUUUUAACAAAAGUUAAAAUUACAUCUCCAUAUAAAUUCUCUUUUCAUUUCCUUCAAUUUUCUAAUUAAGCUUAAAAAAAUGUACCUUCAACCACAAAGGGGUUUAAAAUUUAAAAUAUAUAAAAAAAUAAAUUCAGAUAACAAUAAUUAAUUUAAUUAAAAAUAUAAAUAGAGAUUACAGAGAAAGAAAAAAUAGAGAAAGACCUGAUGUUGAGAGCAUCGACGGCCGGCAGUGACCGGCGGAAGAUGGCGAGAGAUGGCGGCGUGGGCCAUUGCUUGCGCAUCAGUGAGUGUCUCGAGUGAGAGAGUGAAGGUAGGGAUGGCAAUGGGGAGGGAGGGAGGGUCCAAUCUCUCUGUACCCAUCUCCCAAUUUGUCCCCGUCCCUCCCCGUCCCCAUUUGCUUAGAAUCUGUCCCCUACUCGAAUAAUAAUUCUCGAAUAAUAACAUAAAAUGCUCGAGGUUCUCGAUUUAUGAAUAAUUAAUAUAUUUUUUAUUUUAAAUUUUAAAUUAACUAUAUUAAAAUAAAAAAUUUAAAUAAAAAUAAAAUUUGAAAUAUAUUUUAUAUUAAUAUUGAUCCAUUAUAAAAAUUACAUACAAAAUAUAAAUUAUCAAAAUAAUUAUCUUUAUCAAUCUUCAUAAUCCUACAAUAAAAAGAAAAAAAAUUUACUUUUAUAUUGAUAAUAAAAUAAAUGUAGAUAAUUAAUUAAUAUUUUUAAUAAAAUAAAAUUAAAAUAAAAUAAAAUUUUUAGGCUAAUAUAAUCUACCCGACUUUUUUAAUGUGUUAAAUAAAAAUUUAAGACUUUAAUUAGUUAAUUAGGCCUAAAAGCUUAAUAAUAUAAAUAUUUUGAUAUUUAUUAUUUUUACUAAUAUUUAUAAUUUUAUAAUAUAUUCAAUUUUUAUUAUUUAUUUACUAGUAAUUUUAAAAAAUAAAAAUAAAAUUAAAAAAUAAAAUGGGGGAAAUGGGGAGGGGAUGGGGAUUCCACCUCAUCCCCGUCCCUUCCUUGUAGGGAUGGCAAAAGUUCGGGUCGGGUCGGGUCUGGGGCUGCCUGGAACUGACCCGGAUUUCACACAUAGCUGCCCGGACCCGGACCGUGCCCGGAUUUUUUCUAUGCGGGCCGGGUAUAUGGCUGGCACUAUCCGGGCACAGGUUUUUUUUGGGUUUUCUCUACCCACAUUUUCAAAACUGGCUAAAAAAAAAUUGAUAGAAAAGGCUAAAUAAGUAAACAAAAUUGCAAUUGGGCCUGGAAAUUCAUAACUUAUCCCUGAAUUAUAUAUAUAUAUAUAUAACUUCUAAUUCUUUGUUGAUACAAGUUUUUUCUAAUUCAUUAUAAAAUCACAUUAUAUAUAUUAUUUCCUCAUCAGAUAAUAAGUGACAAUUGCUCACCAGUUUAUUAACAUCUCUACGAAACCGUCUUUUAUGGCAUUAUUAUUAUUAUUGUUGUGGCUGAAACCAUGUAGUAUGUGAUUGAAGAAAUUGCAUUAAAUGUUGGAGUGGAGGUGAUGUAGGUGAGAAAGGAUUCCCUGGAGACUGUUAAACAAGACACAAGGCAUUUCCGGAAGAAAACAGAAGACAACUGGAUAAGACAAAACGGACAAAAGGGUAAGAGAGGUGGGUGGGAAAUUAAGAUAGGCAAUUUGUCCAGCAGAAACAUAAUAAUACCUCGUGGUCGUGGGUCGUGGCUGUGUUGGUGAAGUUGCAGCUGAACAAGAACAGUUGAUGCUGUCGCGUGGUGGCUGCCGUUGAGAAGAUGACCAAACGAUGAAGAGCUCUGUGACGGGAUGGUUGUGCUUUGCGAGGAGAAAUAGAGUUGACUGAGGAAGGUAAGAGGUUCGUGGAGGGAAAGGUGCGGACAACACUGCAUCAGUGCCGGUGGGUGGUGGAGAGACGGAGAGAGGUGCCGCCGAUUUGGAGAUUUCAGGGUGGGUGCUGACUGCUGCAGUGCUGCGUUGUUCUGCAAGUUGCAAUCGCGAUUUAGGGUUCAGUACCAGUUUUGGGGGCAAUUGGGCAAAGUAAAUUUUAUUUUCGCUUUUAUAUUUUCUUUUUUUUUACUUAAUAAAAAACCGGGCAUUGAAAAUCAAUGUCCGGAUCCGCUUUUUCCAUUCAUGUGGUCCGGGUAAAACCCGAACCGCACACGCCGGGUCUGGGCCGGAUCCGGUCCGGGUGGGUUUUUCUGCCACCUCUACUUCCUCGAAUAAGAAAUUUGGUAAAAAAAAUUUCCCGUCCCUUCCUCGAAUAAAAAAUCGGGUAUAAAAUUAUCUCUGUAUCCUCCCCGAAUGAGAAAAAUCCCCGAAGAUACCCAUACCUGUGGGGAUUUUUACCAUCCUUGAGUGAAGGGUUUUGUUUAGGGUUUUGGGAAAUGAAAAAUGUAAAUGUUUGAUUUUGUUGCUAGAAACUUCUUCUGCCGCUGCUUUUUAUUUUCGCUAUAAAAAUAAUAAUUUGUUAAUCAAAUAUUUUCUUAAAAAAGAUAAAUUUCUAGAACAAAAUUUAUAUUAAAUCAAAUUGUAAAAAUGUGGAAUAGGGCUAAUUUCUCCUUAAUAUUAUUAUUAGUAGAAGUAGAUUGUCGAACUAGUCUUGAUAUAUUUUAGAGUUGUAUUAUAGAUGUAUACGUAUCUAGAUUGUAAUUAUAUUUUAAAAAAUAUAAUUUUUUUUAAUUAUUGCACAAUAAAUGUAGAAAAUAUCUAUAAAAUAAUAUUAUUAGAACUAUGAUACAGCACCUCAAUUCCACAGUAGCUUAAUAUUAUUAGAACUAUGAUACAGCACCUCAAUUCCAAACGCACUCUAAUUAAAAAAUUUAGAAUUCUUGGGCAUGGAAAGAGUAGUAUUAAACAUCAGAAAGCUAAGGUUGUUCUGUAAAAGAACUGAUAUUGACAUUAUUUUAUUUUGGUUUUCGGGGAAAAAAAUAUUUGUUGACAAGCAAGAAAAUAUUUUUAUAUUUUACAAUUUAUUAUACAUAUUUUAUCAUAUUAAAGUAAUUUUAAUAAUAAAUAGAAACAUAAUAUUACAAUAAAUAAAUUAAAGUUUAAAUUAUUUUGAAUAUUAUAAAAAAUAAUUUUAAUAUUAUUAAUAGGAAGACUUUUGUUAAUUGUAAAAUCUUUUUAAUCCAAAGAUUUGUUUAAAAUUCUUAUAAUAAAUACAAAUAUAAAAUUAAAUAUCAAAAUUUAAAUUUUUUAAUAUUAUUUAAAUUUUAAAAAUACUUUAAUGUUAUUAGUCUUCUACAUAAAUUAUAUUAUUUAUAUUAUAUUUGUAUUGAUUAAAAUCUUUUAAAGUCGAUCUUCUAGUUAUUAUAUGCAAAAGGUAUUAUCAUGUUACAAUUUUUUGAAAUUUUAGGGAUGUAGGUUACGAUGAUUUAUUUCACUUUUGACAAAAUCCAAUGAGAAAUAUGAUAAGAGAAAGUCAAUUUAAUGUUCUCGACCUUUAUGAAAAAAAGUAAAAACUAAGAAUUAUUCAAUUUUAUAUUUUUUGCAUCCACCAAAUAAGUUUUGCACAUUUAUGUUAUCAUAAAACGAAAAAAAGGGUUUACCAAAAAAUGGUACCAAGCAUACCUUUAAUGUCCCACGUGAUUUCUUAUUAAGCCCAAUAUUAGAUAUAUUUAUACAUUUUACUGCAUUAAGUAUUUUAAUUAUAAAAGAAGUUGGUCCUUCCUCUAGUUACAAAAGAUAACUUUAUUUCAAGACUACCACUAAAUUCUUACGUAGAAUUAGUGCAAGGCCAAGAGAGAGUAACACAAUUUUACUUUUCCAUUACCAUUUUGAAAAUAGAAAGAUAUGGAUCCGUGUAUUUAAGAGUUAUUGUAAAAAUCAUACAAUUCAAUUUCCUGACGUGUAUUAUGUAUAUUUAGGCACAUUUGCCAAAAGCAUAAAUAGAUAGAAAGUAAAUUUACAAUCCACCCUUACUCACAAUUAUUGAAGUGAAGAUGCAUUACAACUGUCACUACUUUAACUUUAUUUAUUUAUUUGUUUUAAAUAAAAGUGUGAGAGAGACGGUGAACAUCAUGGACGAUAACAAAGGUUAAAGCCUAAAGGUGACCCAUUUUCUUUUUAAAGUGCUCUGCUGAAAGCCUAACUUCCUUUGGAUCCGCCGAAGUGGCCGAAGUGGUGGGCUGCUGCCCUCACAAGCAUUGUGAGGGCAGCGGUUCUAGCCCCCACAAAAGCAUUGUGGGGGUUAAAUGUUCUUUAUAUUUAAAAAUUUUUCUCCCUUGCGAAAUACAAGUGGAGUAUGGACAUCCCUCUCCUGUGAGGGGUUAUUUGUUUGGGCAUGUACUUCAUAGAAUUUAAUGUAAUAAUGUAAGUCCCAAUAAUGUAUAUCUGAUUGUAAAUAUCAGUAUAAUAUCUCUGCUACAAUAGCAAUUAUUGUAAAUAUUUGUGUAAUACAGUAAUCUGAUGAUUAAUCAGUAUUCAAAAAAAAAAAAACUUCAUUUGGAUCCGCCUAAGUUACUGCUUUGUAAAAUUUUAUAAAGCCCCUUAUACUCUAUAUUAUUUAUAAUUUGUUCAUAAAUAUUAUAAAACUUUCUGCAUUAUAUAAUUUUAUUGAGCCCCUUGUACUAUAUUUUAUUUCAUUGAAACCCUUAAAGUACCAAUUCGCCCUCUAUAAUUUUAAAUUACUAAAAUACCCUCCAUUUAAUUAAAAAUAUAAUGAUUAUUAAAUGAUUAUAAUUAUCUGGAGUACAAAUUCAGUAAUAAACAAUAACUAAAGUAUUAACAAUUUAUUCAUCAAAUAAAAUACUCGAGAUUUCAGCCGACAAAUCCUCUUGUCUAAACUAAAAAACUCAUAUCCCUAAAAUCUAUUUGUGAAAUGUUAGAGAUGAGUGGUGAUUUGUCAACUGGGUAAAUAAAUUUAUGCAUAAUGUUUCCGGUAUUGAUAAAUUACAUAAUAAUUAUUACAAAGAAAUCAUAAAUUGGAAACAUUAAUCAUUUUACAAUAUGUUACAUAAGUAAGAUAAAUCUCAUAGUAAGUUAAGUUAUAACGUAAUAAAUAUUUUCAACAUAUACUUAUUUAAGAAGUCAUUUAACAAUAAUAUUUUUUAUAUUUCAGUUGAUCAUGUCAUAUAGCGUUAUCUAAACUCUUGGCCAUAUUAUUAUUACUCAAUUUUCUCCCAAAAAAAAAAAAAAAAAAACAAAAACAAACAUGAUUAAUGAUUAGAGAAAAGUCAUGCCUUUUAGAAAGAAUACGUAUACAAGCUAUCCAUACUUUAUCUUACCAUGAUGGUGAUUAAAUAUAUUUUUAAAAUAGAUUUAAUGCACAAAUAUGAUGACUUUUGGCAAAAAUUAGUUUCGGAAGAUAUAGUGGUAGAAAAUAGUGAUGAUUAUUGUUUAAAUGUGUAAAUAGUCUAAGCAUAGCCCGUAAUACCAAUAUUCAUUUGCACCUUCAUUUGGAUUAUCAUAUUUUAUGAUGUUCUUUCAUUCAUAACCAUUGUUCAAAAUUUGGAUUUGAUCAUAAAACAAAACUAAAAAAUAUUAGAGAUACUAACAAUUGAGUCCCAUUUUAAGUCCCAAUACAAUGUGUUAUUUCUCAAUGUUGUGUCAUUCAUUAAUUAAGUGAUGAAUUUCAGAAUUAAUAAUUAGUUCAGACUUUAAUUAAGAUUUAAAUGUUAGAAUAUCUAGCAUCAUUCAAUCACAAUAAACAAAAUUCAAAUUGAAACGGCAAUAUUGUAUUUUCUUUAAUUAAUUUUGAUGCUGAAGCAAAUAUUUUGCUUGGGUUUUUCACUUCUUGAUUUUGAUUGGAAAAGUUUCUGAGACGAAGUAUUUUGGAUAAUUUUUUCGGGAUUGAAACCACAACUUGGUAGAGGAAAUUAGUUGGAGUAGUGAUGGCUUUGUCUUCAUUUUUGGUUCCUUUUGUGUCGGCAGCCCCUUACUAUUCUCUUGACCCUGAGUUUGAGAUAGAAAUUUAUCAACCUCCAACCCCACAUCCACAAACAAGUUGAUUGAAACAAUUGCUCUUUUAAUUAAGAGGACCCAAAUGAUUUAGGUUUCAGUUCUUAUCAUUUGUCUAUUAUUUAUUUGAAACAUUUAUUUUGAGCGUUACUGAUCUUAAUUAUCUGUAUUUCUCCAAUUAUUGAAGCAUUUCAAGUGGCCACUUUUUCUCCUUUUUAUAUAUGUUUAUUUUUUGGAGUGAUCAAACGGGGGCAAAAUCAAGUAUUCGCUGGUCUGUAGUUUAGCCAACGAUGGCUGAUCCACACAGUUGAUUAUAUGAUACUAUUAGCUCUCAAAAUCUUUCUUAUUUGAGAAUACAAGUUGCCCAAUAGAGUUGAACUAUGUUACCCAACUCCAUGCUCAUACAUUAAAUGUUUAGGUAGUUUUACAAAAUGAUAGCAGCAUGCCAAAACUUGUUGUUGUCAUUUUCGACAUUUCAAAUUGAAAAAUAUGCAAGCAAUCUUCAGUGAACAUUACGUUUUUAUUGAAUAAUUUAAAUGGCCAGUAAAUCAACAGUCCGUGAGUUUUAAAUCUAUUAUGACUUAAUGUAUCUUUCUGUAUUCGUACACAGGUUAUAUUAUCAUAGUUUAAAAUUUUAAUAUUAUUUUAAAUGUUAAAAAUACUUUAAUGCUAUUAGUCUACUACACAUGUUAUAUUAUUUAUAUUAUAUUUGUAUUAAUUAAAACUUUUAAUGUAAAUUUUCUAAUUACUAUAUUGAAAAGGUAUUAUGGUUAAGAAAAAGUUUUGGCAUUUCUUCUUGAAAAUUUGAGGGUCUGCAUGACAAUUUUUCCAAAUUCUAAGGGUAUAGGUUUGAAAAUUUAAUGUUCUUUAACUUAAUGAAACAAAAGGGGGAAACCAAGAACUAUUCAAUUUUGUAUUUUUUGUUUGUAAUUCAAAAAAUGCAUCCACCAAACCAGUUUUACGCAUUAAUGCUGUCAUAAAACAAAAAACAGUUUGCCAAAAAAUGGUACCAAACAUAUCCUUAAUGUCUCACAUGAUUUCUUAGUAAGCCCAUAUUAGAUAUAUUUAUACAUUUUAGGUAUUUUAGUUAUAAAAGAAGUUGGUCCUCCCCCUAUUUAUAAAAGAUAACUUUGUUUCGAUAUUACCACUAAACUCUUACAUAGAAUUAGUGUAAUGUUAAGAGAGAGUAAAACGGUUUUCCAUUACCAUCUUUGAAAAUAGAAAGAUAUGGAUGCGUGCAUUUAAGAGUCAUCGUGAAAAUCAUACAAUUCAAUUUCCUGACAAGAAGUUGGUCCUCCCCCCCUUUUUUUUUUUUUUUCAAUUACAGUGUGAUGGAGACAUUAAGGAUGAGCAUAAUAGUUAAAGAUGACUCAUUUCUCAUUUUCUUUUUAAAGUGCUCUGCUGAAAGCCAAACUUCCUUUGGCUAAUUAAUUUAGAAGUAAAGCAGAGAAUAAAGUCCUAGAUGCCUUCUGAAAUUAGAAAUACAUUUUAUAUGCUUUAAUUAUGAUUAUUUGGUAGACUAAAGACCUAAAAGAUAUGUCAAAAGUAUAAAACAGAGCGAUUAAAGAAAAAAGAAAAAAAAAACAGAGCAUUUGUGACGUAGAACAAUUGGUAAAUAAAUCCUAAAUAUUUGAGUUGUUAAAAGCAAAUAUAACAGAGACAGUAAGAGAGAUGCUGAAACAGAAAACUAUUAGCUUAUCUUGAUUUUCCCACUAUAUUCAUUUUCGAUGCUUUUCAAACGAGAUUCUUUUAAUUCUUCUGGUGUCUCUUAUAGAUCUCCAUCCCACAUCUGCACUACGAACAAGUUGAUUAAAAUUAAAUACUGUUGGAGAUGUGGGGUGAGCGGUCAACUUGGUAAAAAAACUAUGUGUAAUAUUGUUAAUAAUAUAAAAUAUAUAAUAAUAAUUACAAAGAAUCAUAAAUUAGAAAAAUUAUUUAUUUUACAAUCUAUUUCUUAAGUAAGAUAAAUCUCGUAAUAAGUUAAGUUAUAAUGUAAAAAAUAUUUUCAAUUUAUAAUCAUUUAAGGAGUCAUUUAACAAUAAAAUCUUUCUUUUUUUGAUCAAUUGGUCAUGGUACAGAGCAUCAUCUAUAUUCAUGGUGAUAUUAUUAUUACUCCGUAUUCUCAAAAAACACGAUUUAACAUUUAGAGAAAGUUCCUACCUUUUAAAAAGAACAUGUAUGCAACAACUACCCAUACUUUAUCUUACCACGACAAAACUAAUAGUGACUAAAUCAAUUUUCUCGAAUAAAGCAAAAUUUCUUAAAAUUAAUUUAAUAUACAAAUAUGAUGACUUUUUGCAAAAAUUAGUUUUGGAAAAUUAGUGACAGAAAAUAGUAAUGAUUAUUGUUUAGAUGUGUAAAUAGCCUAAACAUGAUCCCUAAUACCAAUAUCCACGUGCAUCUUAACACCUUUCGUCAUAUUCUUUCAUUCAUGGUCACUGGUUCAAGAUUUGAAUUUGAUCAUUAAAUAUGUUCAAUAAUAUUAGAGAUCCCAACAAUUGAGUACCAACUUAAAUCCCAAUGCUAUGUGUCAUUAACAAAUGUUGUGUCAUUUAUAAUUAUUGAAUGAAUAAUUCGUUAAUUUAUUGAUAAAUGAAAAUUUAUUAAUUUAAAGAGAGAUAUUUUUUUUUUUGGGUUUUAAGAAGAGUUUUGUUGGUACAUGUACAUACUUAUAAAGAAAUAAACUUGUAAUUAUACUAUAUCUUUCUUUCUUUAUUCAGUUUGGUGGGAUAUUGUGAUAAAUCAUUGGAUUAAAAUGCAUUUCUAAAUUAAAACUUGUUAAAAUCUAAUUUAUUUGGGAAGCGCAUAUUAUUUGUCAGUCGUACUUCUCAAGUCUCAACUUAGCAAGUUAUUUCUAACUUGUCAGUCUCUAUUGGUUCUCUAAAGCUAAUAGUCUCGAAUCUCCCGCAUUUGAUAUCUUGCCAUUAUUGUUGGCAUUAACAUGUUACCUGAGAUUGGGAUUCAUUAAAAUCCUCAAUGUAAUCGGUGGAACGAAUGGAUUUCUUCUGUUCACCAAUCCACCAAAAUUUCUGUAAUUAAAUUCAAGAGUCAAGAUCUAUGCUUAUAAUCUAUUCUAACAGCUAAUAUUCUAUUUUAUAUUUACUUAAAUAUGAAGAGCUAUGCUUGUCAUUAACUUCAAAUGUGAUCGAAGCAGCCUUACAUCUGUAUAUUACUUAUUCCCAACCUUUUUUUUUUGACUUCAUAUACUUUAUUUUCAUGUUAUUUACUCUUUUUUUCCCCUUUCUGACAAUUGAGGUAGGGGGUCAAACUUGAAAGUAUCUUAAAAUCAGACAAAUUUUUUUUUUUUUAAGAUAGCUGCUAAUAUGCUCUAUUAGACAAUGACAAGUAAUAACCUAGUUGUUUGCAUUAGAAAUGAUAUUUUUUGUGGUGCUGAUAAAGAGGUUGAUUAUGAUUCAACAAUUUAAAAUAUGAAAACAUGUGGAAGACGGCCGCAAUUAAAUUGAUUGUAUGAAAAUAUUUCAAUGAAAUUUUAAAAAUUUAGUACUUGUUAUCUUAUCGAGAGUUUUUUUAAAUUAUAUUACUACUUGAACUUGGCUGCUUUUGUAUUGAAUUCCCAGCGUUGCCAUUGCUUCUACUCAAAAGCCAUUUAAGUUUGUGUAAGCUACCUAUAGUUUGAACAACAAUUUACUCAUGAAUUGUUGUUCAUAAUAGCAAUUUGAUUGAAAGUGCGGCUGCACUAAUUUUCUAGAUGAAUUUUUUCCUACAUGCUUGUUCUCGUAUGACCCAAAAUCCUGCUACAUCAGUUGUAUUAGAAAUUAAUACUGGGUUACAAUUAUGCAUCCCCACCAAUAUUUCUUGAGGAAAGAAACUCAUAUCGCCCCUAGGCUUUUAAUGAGGCUCAUUUUUAUGAAUCUGGAUGGCAUUAGAUAUCUCUCCGAAUAUUGGUGGGAGUAUAUCGCAGAUCAAUGGGCUAUACUACAAAGUGUAUGUACGUUGACUCUCAAUAAAUACAAACGAUUCUCUGAUAUGAUUCAAAACAUCAGUGCACGCAUCAUUUUAACGAGAGAGAAUAUUCUAAGAACGAAAUUGAAGGUGCAAUCAGCAACUAAAAUGAAGCCAGAAAUGUACACGCAUGAGGAAGUUUUCCUAGAAGAUUGAUAUUUCUUUAACUAGCAAACAAUACAAGUCCAAAGCUAACCAAACCAUACCUGCAAGUCCGGGGCUUAAAUGGAGUACUUGUAAGCAUAAAACAUUAAUCAAAACACAGUAUAGACACACACACACACCCCUACAUACAUACCAGCAAAUUCGAAAUAGAAAAAGGAGUGCAACUAUUCAAGUUUGUUGACAAUAUUGCAACCAUGGCAUAUUAAAGCAAAUCCUUAAAAUCAGCUAAACGAAACAAUGCCCUGUCUCAUGAAUCGAUGCUCAACUAAAAAUUGAAAUUGAAAGUCCGGCUGGUGUUGUUAUUAGAUAGAUAUAACAAGAUCUUUCUUUGACAGUUCUUAUUAGAUAGAUAUAAAAAGAUCUGCUUUGACAGUUCUUAUUAGAUAGAUAUAAAAAGAUCUUUCUUUGUUUCUCUGCUGUAAUUUGUGGCUAUCCCACUCUGUUUUGCCAGUCAAGCUGAGUCUACGUUGAGACAUAAUUUUGACAUCAGAAGCGGCCUCAAUUAGUUUGGCAUUUUUAUAACCUCCUUGAAGGUUUUACGAUAAACAUAAAUCUACUGACAAAGUGGGCAAAAAGAAAAUGCAUGUAAAAGUAUGAGUUAUCAAAUAAGAUUAAAACUCACCCAAUUCAAUCCAUCAGAUUCCGUAAGGAUACAACUGGAUGUCAUACCGCCACUCCAUAUUCUCGAAAGUCCGUAGUCCUUGUCUCAACUGUGUCUGGGGCCAGUGUAAGUCCAUUUUUGCGCAAGCUCUUUAUGCACCACAGCUCUUCUGGAAGCUUUCUCAAGUAAGCACACGGGUUGACAAUUAAGCAUUCAAGUUUCGGCAUUGCUCCAGCCCCCAUCGUCCACUCAUCUAGCCAAUACAUUGACUUCAGGUGCAAAACCUUAAGUUCGGGAAAGCUACUCAAGCCAACACAAGCAAGCUUUCUUCCUAAAUACGAGUUCUGCUUCAGUUUCAGCACUCGAAGGCGUGGAAGAUUUUCCAGAAUUGGCAUGGGAUCCUCCAUUAGCUCAGUAUUUGAUAAGCUCAGUUGGAUCAGACUUGGGGGAAAUUGGUAUUCAGACAGGACCAUCCGUGAGGGCUUGCUCUCAUUCACCAGCUUCAAGCAUUCAAGUUUGUGGAGUUCGCAUAGGCUUUUGGAAACCCCUGAAUGAUAGCAACUCAAAUCUCCAGAUAUCCGAAGAGUUUGAACAUUAGGUAGUCUGCCCAAUAUAUCAGGAGUACAACUACUGGGGUUUAAAGUUGAUAUGAAAAUGAGAUUUUUCAGGGAGCUAGAAUAAUUUUUUGGAGGUGCGGGCAGAGUGAUAGAACCAAAGUUUAGAUGCAUGAGUUUUUGCAUCUUCCAAAUAUCCUCUGGUGACUGAUCUAUGUAGCUAGAUGGCAUUUCUAGUGUUUGAAGGUUUAAAAGGGUGCAUAGCAGUGAAGGAAGGCAUUUGAGCGAAGGGAUAUUCAAUUUCAAAUACUUCAAAAGGAAUAAAUUUUCUAAUCCGGGUGGAUAUUGGUCCAGGACUGCAGAACCCAAGUUCAGUACCCGAAGGUAUUUGAACCUUUUAAAAAAAUUCUCGCAAUCUUUCGGAUUAAGAUGAUAUCUUUUUGGACUGUGAUUGAGAAAAGAUUGGAGAUACAUGUCAGAAUGUUCUAAAGAAAGGAACUCAAUCAAAUCAUCGACAAUGAAGCACCGUUUAACAUUUGCGGGUGGUUCCUCUUCCACGUCAUGCAUCCAGACAAAUCCCGUCUUCUUUGCCACCACAAACAAUGAAGUGUAGUAUACAAUACUUGGAAAAUAACACGAUUUAAUUGUGCCUCCGGCCCUUCUUUUACUCACUUGAAUGAAGCCGCGAUGGAUUAGUUCUUUCAAGUAAUGUUCGGCAGUUUCUUCACUGUUGUAUGGUAUGAAACCUUCAGCUACCCACAAAUGAUAUAAUUGCCUCGUGGAUAUCUCAAUGCCUGGAGGGAAGACACACAAAUAGAUGCAGCAGAUUUUCAAGUGAAAAGGUAACUCCAACACAGAACAAAUUCCAAUGAAAAUUGUCGGAAUCGUUUCGCCUUGAACAUAAUUUUCUAAUGGCAUACUUCCAUAGUGUAGGAUGAAAAAUUGCCAGGCUUCAUGCUUUAAUCUGAUCAAUGGUCCUCCAAUGAGCACCGAAUCAAGCCGAAUCUUCUCUCCAUUUUCCAUUUCAAGCGACGCAAGGAGGUCUGGAUCAGUGACUGUUAUCAAUACUCUGCUUCCAUUCUGAUUAUCAGGAAGAACUUCUUCAAGAUCAUCCCAUAUGUCAAUGUUAUCGCAGACAUCAUCAAGCACAAUAAAGUACUUCUUGUUUGUUAGGUAAUCUCAAAGAAUAGAUUCCUUGAAUUGAUAAUCUUCACCGAUAAUUACACUAACCCGAGAUGGAGGCAUCACAGACUUGAUUAUGUCAUCCAAUAUCUUGCCCAAAUCGUAGAAUACAGAAACCCUGACCCAAGCAAGACAGUCAAAAUAGAACCUGACAUGAUUAUUGUUGUAAGUAUCUGCAGCAAAAGCAGUCCUAUCGAAGCCACUGCUGUCGAGAAUUGCAACCACUGCAAGCCCAGAUGGUCCCUCAAUCAAUAGAUCAAACAACUUCUCUCUGCCCCUUUCAAAUUCACUGAUAUCGAGCCGAGGUUGUCCCUCAUUCAAUAGGCGAAUGAUUUCGUUACUUUUUUCACUGAUAUCAAAACCAUUGUCGCCGGGCGGAAGUUGUUGCAUCCGAUUUCUAAUAUCAAUGAUUUCACUGUGGACAUGAAGAGCCAUAUUAGUGCUGCUUUCACUUUCGUUUUCACUGUUUUGCUGCUGCAUUAUGUUGAUGAAGAAUCUGUCAAUGGCUUCCUCAGAUUCAUGGACAAAGUCAUUGAUGUGCACCAGAAUUUCCAAAAUAUCUGGUCUUUUAACGUCUUCUUCAUCGCUUUCUUCUAAGUCCAACAGUUGCAAAAAAGGAAAAGAUAUUUCGAAGUCAUCGAAUUCUUCUAGAAUGAGUUGAAACAAAUGCCGAGCCAUGUCAGCUUCAUAGUUUCCCAGAAGAGUAGCAGCAAUAAUUUCGGACUCCGUAAGAAGGUUUUGAAAAAGUGGGGUUAAAUUUGUUGAAUCUGGCAGCGGCAACGUGCCUUCUUCACCUGCUAACACCCUUUUCAACCUCUCACAAAUCAGUCGGAGGUGGAAUUCCAGCAUUUCUCCUUCUCUCCGUAGCACUCAAUUAGAAUUAUCUUCGAAUUCUAAUUUAAUUGACUAAGUAGUUAUAGCUAUUCUAUUGAUUAGGUCUAGCUAUUAUAUUCUAAAUGAUUAAUUGAGAGGUAUAGUUGAAAGAUUAAACACCAUGGAAGAAUUUGAAAGGAAAAUGCCAAGAAACUGUGUAAGUGGCUAAAUUCCACAAAUAUGACAUUAUUGCUCAUUUUUUAACUCAAAAAAAGGGUACGCAUUCAUUUAGAGAAAAGUCCAAGACGCGUGCUUUUUAAAAAGAACAGGUAUCCAACCUCUAUCUUAUUAAAUUACAACCAUGACAUAAUUGAUGGUGCUUAAAUCAAUUGUUUCUUUUUUAAUUUAAAGAAUUUUUCAUUAAAAAAAUAUUUUAAUAUCAAAUUGCCUUCAGUGGCGUAACUGCCUCAGGCCCAGUAACAGGACUAAUUAAAAAUUUUACAAUUUUUGGGCAUGGAAAUAGUAGUAUUAAACAUUAGAAAGGUAAGGUUGUUCUGUUAAAGAAUUGAUAUUGACAUAAUUUUAUUUUGGUUUUCGUGGAAAAAAAAUUUGUUGACAAGUAAGAAAAUAUUUUUAUUUUUUAAAAUUUAUUAUGCAUAUUUUAUCAUAUUAAAGUAAUUUUAAUAAUAAAUAGAAACAUAAUAUUACAAUAAAUAAAUUAUAGUUUAAAUUAUUUUGAAUAUUAUAAAAAAUAAUGUUAAUAUUAUUAAUAGGAAGACAUUUUGUUAAUUUUAAAAUCUUUUUAAUCCAAAGGUUUAUUUAAAAUCUCUAUAAUAAAUACAAAUAUAAGAUUAAAAUAAAAAUCAUAAUUUCAAAAUUUUAAUAUUAUUUUAAAUGUUAAAUAUACUUUAAUGUUAUUAGCCUACUACGUAGAUUUUAUUAUUUAUAUUAUAUUCGUAUUGAUUAAAAUUUUUUAAAGUCAAUUUUUUAGUUAGUACAUUCAAGAGGUAUCAUAGUUAAAGAAAAGAUUUUGGUGCAACUGUUUUAAAAUUUCAGGGUAUAAAUGAUAAUUUUUUUUAAAAUUUUAAGGAAGUAGGUAUUAUUUUUCCGACAAUUUAUUUUAUUUUGAGGGAAAUCCGAUGAGAAAUAUCAUCAGAGAACAUUAAUUUAACAUUCUUUACCUUUAUGAAAAAAGUGGAAACCAAGAACUAUUCAAAUUUUUUUUUUUUGUGUAAUUCAAAAAAUGCAUCCACCAAACAAGCUUAUCAUAAUUUUCCCACUUUAUUCAUUUUCGAUGCUUUUCAAAAGAGGUUCCUUUAAUCCAUCUAGCAUCUGCAGCCCCCACUAUUUUACAAAUCUCCAUCCCACAUCUACACUAUCAAAAAAGUUGAUGGAAAUUGAACCCAUUAAGUUAUGUUCAUUACUGGUCAUUAUCUUUCUAUGAGCCACUUAUUUUGAGCAUUAGCGAUCUUCUAAGGAAUCAUGCCUUUUCAGGAUCGUUUUCUUUCAUUUCCUUAUUGUAGUAGUUAAUUAAAUAAAGAACGAACAAGUGAACUUUGUCUAUUUCGAGGAAGAACUAGGUUUCCAACACUAGAGGAACUUUGAAGAAAAUUAAUUGGAAGCCUUUAUUCAUCUUUGAAGAAAAUUACGUGCCAAUGUAACCAAGGCUUUUAUUCAUCUUCGGACUAUGAAUUUAUACAAAAACAUUAACAGAAAAUAACAAAGACACAGCUAAAUGAUAGCAACAAGUGUUGAUUUAGUGGACCACUUCUACAAGUAAAUAAAAACUAAAUAUUUAUUUAAGGAGGGCUUUUGUUAGUAGAGUUUUUAUAAAUAGAAAUUUAACAAAAAAAAAUUAUAGUUAUUUAGUUGUCAAUGUCCAAAUUGAUGAAUUAUUGUUCUUUUUGUUAACAUGUGUUUGUUUUACUUAAUAAUAAAAGUUUAGUUUACAAUUACACCGGUGUCAAAUCAGCAGAGCAUUUUUGCAGCCAGUCACAUUAUACAUUAUAUACUAAUAGCAUCGGCAAGAGUUUUCGAUUGUUGCAACUUGCAAUGCACGCGAUGCGAGAAAAUGAGAAUCUUGUUUAAUUGCAAUAAUGACAAACCUAAUCCUUUCAUUAGGAGUAAAUUAAUAAUCGUUUGUUAUUAUUGAAUAUGUAUAAAGAAAGGACAAUUCUAUUCAUAGAUUCGACUUAUUUUUUGUUUAAAGUAAUUAAUCAUUCAACCAUCUUCAUUUGCCUCUGGCCAAUGCCCUUGUAGAUUAGUUGAAGCGUUUAUUACUUAAUUCAGAUAAUUACAACGUCCUUUUCGCUAAUUAAUUAUGAUUAUGAACAUUUUCAUAUAGCAAGUGGCAUUGUAGAUCUAAACUACGUUGCUAUUUCAAUACGUUAAUUAAGUGAUUCUCCUCAUUGUCAUCAACGUUAUAAACAGGAAUUGUGCAAACAGUACACAAUGCUGCAGCAAGGCGUGGGUGGCUAGAGUUUUGCAACCACCCUUGAGAUCCUGUGCUGCCAGUAGUAAAAGAAUUUUACGCCAAUUUGGUAAGCCCUGGUCAGCACAACAUUUGGGUAAGAAACUCACUUGUUCCAUUAGACUCUCGAGUUAUAAAUGUUUUUUAUAAUUUACCUGCUGAAAUUAAUUGUGAGUAUGCCAAGUUGCUUGACAAAUUGACCCCGCAACAAUGGAACACAAUUUUCACGACACUUACGGUAGAGGGUGCAUCGUGGGCUAAUGAGGAGGGGCAUGUAAUUAACAAGAUAGAUUUAAAACCCAUUGCUAAGGUGUGGGUGAAAUUUCUAAAAUCCAGGCUUAUGCCAACCACCCACACCACUACUGUUUCACAGGAAAGGUUGGUGCUGUUAUAUGCUAUUGUUAGAGGGCUUCCCAUAGAUGUGGGAAGCAUUAUCGAAAAAGAAAUUCGAGAUUGUGCCAUGAAAAACCACAAGGCUGCUGCCUUGUUAUUUCUUUCACUCAUAACCAGCAUAUGUGUAGUAUCAGGUGUUCGUCUUGAUGCAAAGGAUGAAAUUUGUAAUUAUAUUAUGGCUCCAUUUGGUAUAACUUUUUAAUUCGAACUUAUUUAAGGAGAAUUUUUAUUAGUAGAGUUUUUAUAAAUAGAGAUUUUACUAAAAAACAAAAAUUAUAGUUAUUUAGUUGUCAAUGUCCAAAUUGAUGAACUAUUGUUCUUUUUGUUAACAUGUGUUUGCCAGUCACAUUAUACAUUUUUGCAACUUGCAAUGCAAGCGAUGAGAGAAAAUGAGAAUCUUGUUUAAUUGUCAAUAAUGACAAACCUAAUCGUUUCAUUAGGAGUAAUUUCAUAAUCGUUUGUUAUAAUUGAAUAUGUAUAAAGAAAGGAAAAUUCUAUUCGUAGAUUCGACUUAUUUUUUGUUUAAGGUAAUUAAUCAUUCAACCAUCUUCAUUUGCCCCUGGCCACUGCCCUUGUAGAUUAGUUGAAGCGUUAAUUGCUUAAUUCAGAUAAUUACAACGUCCUUUUCGCUAAUUAAUUAUGAUUAUAUACGUUUUCAUAUAGCAAGUGGCAUUGUAGAUCUAAAUUAUGUUGCUAUUUCAAUACGUUAAUUAAGUGAUUCUCCUCAUUGUCAUCAAGUGGAAAAUAGCUCAAUUGUUUCCCUGCAUCGAUUUUCAUUGGUAAGUGAUUUCUUAUGAUAUUCGUUUGAGCUUUCCUUAUUAAAAAAGCUUGAGCCUUGAUCACCUAAUACUGAUAUCAAUUAACUUGUGAACGAUUUUGUAAUGAAAUUAGGAGUUAAAUAUAUAAGAUUUUUACGUGAUGAAUUUUGAUUUUUUUAAUUUUUUGAUGUAGUCAAUUUGCUAAUUUUAUAUAUUUCAUAUUCAACGGAAUUUGGGCACGGAAAGUUUGGAUUCUAAUAUUUAUAUAUUUAGCUUUAAUCAGCUUGACUUUAGCAAUCUUUUUCCCUCAUCAUUAAGGGAUUCAGAAUUAGAGAAACGCUAGGAAGAGGAAGAAAAUAACUUUGGAAGUAAGUAAGAGGGAAAAAAUUAUGAAAUUUGGAAUUAUUUUUUGUAAAGUAUGUUGCGUUUACUAAACUGGAAUUAGAAUGAGCUGAAAUCAGAAUGAAUAGGAAUGCGAAUGUGCUGAAAUCGGAAUAGGUAAUGAGAAUAAGAAUAAGUUGUUUACUUGAACUGUAAAAAUCAAAAUCGGAAUGAGCUGAAUUGCAAUUACUUUGUCUUGGAAUCGGAAUCGGAAUCGGAAUGAGUUAGAUUAUAACAAAUUACUGAAAAGUACUUAAUGAAUUAUUGUCAUAAUUAUUAUUUUAUAUUUUAAUUAUAGUGAUUAUUUAUUCAAAAAUUAUUAUUAUUAAUUAUUUCCAAUAAUAUAUUAAUAUGUUAAUUAAUUUUAAAAAUUAUUAAUUAAUUUAUUAUAAUAAUAUACUAAUUAAUUAUAAUUAUUAUUAUAAAAAUAUAUUAAUAAUAAAAUUACUAAUUUAAUUGUAAUAAUAUAUGAAUUAAUUAUAAUAAUUAUUAUAAUAGUAUAUGAAUUAAUUAUAAUAAUUAUUAUAAUAGUAUAUUAAUUAAUAAUAAUAAUAAAAAUAUAUUAAUUAUGUGAUUAUUUAUUCAAAAAAUAUUAUUAUUAAUAAUUAUUGUUAAUAAUGUAUCAAUAUACUAAUUAAUUAUAAUAAUUAUUAUAAAAAUAUAUUAAUUAUUAAUAAUAAAAUUACUAAUUUAAUAAUAAUAAUAAAAAUAUAUUAAUUAUGUGAUUAUUUAUUCAAAAAUUAUAAUUAUUAAUAAUUAUUGUUAAUAAUGUAUCAAUAUAUUACUUAAUUAUAAUAUAUUAAUUAAUUAUAAUAAUAUAUUAAUUAAGUAUAAAUGAGGACAAAGUGGGUAUUUUUAAUUUCACGAAGGGGCAAAAUGGUCAAUUCUAGUAAUGGGAGACUCACUCCCACCCUCUCCUUUGGGAAUGAGUCUCCCAUUCCUCAUUCCCAAAUUGUGGUGGGCCCCAUGAUUUUGACUCCGAUUUCUAACUCAAUUUUGCGAAGUAAACGCUACCAAUGAUUCCGAUUUCGGAUUCUGAUUCACUUAUCUGAGAAGUAAAAGCAACAUAAAUGUGUAUGAAUAAUUGAUACCUAUGAAUAGUUUUGGGAGUUUUAGCUAGGAGUCAUCUAUUGAAGAUGUUUAGCAAUUGAAGAUCUCUGUCUCAGUAGUUUUCCCAAUCAAAAUCAAGAAGCAAAAAAACUUGCCAUUUUUCUACUUGAUAAUUAAUUGAAAUUUAAGAAAAUACAAUGGCAUUUCAAUUAGAAUUGGUAAUUGUUUAUCUUUUUUCAUUGAUCAAAUUCUAAUCGUGAUCCAAUAGUUAUGGAUGAAGGAAAUAUUAUGAGAGGCGAUAGGCCAAGUGAAGACGUACCAGCAAAUUCAAAAUAGUCGGGAGGUGGACGUCCAGCAUAUCUCCUUCUCUCUGUAGCACCCAGAUGCAUUGUUAUUUGCUCCAAGAAAUGUUAAAAGGAUUGGCCCUAUCUCAAUGUGGUUAGUGGCAAGGGCGGAGACAGCAUAUUAAUUGACUGUGGGCUUACUCAACUGCGAUAAAAAAAAUUUAAAAAAUAAUAAAUAAUAAAUUUAAAAGAUUUAUCAUACUUCAAUAUAUGUUUAUAAUUAUCCUUUACGAGUUUUCAUACAUUGAUAACGUUGUAUUACAACUUCAUUAUCAAUAUUAUUGUGGGCUGUUUAAAAAUUUGAUUAAUAUUAAUAUUUAUAGGCUUGAUUUUAUUUUGUAAAGCCCAUCUCUUUUUAUUUGUUUUAAAAACUUAGAGUGUGAGAAUUUAAGUAUAAUUAUGUAUUAGGAACUUGAAUAUAAAUUAGUGGGGGCUUAGGAAAAAUUUAUUAGAAAUUUUUGGCAAAUCAAAUUAGUUAGUAAAAGAUUUUUUUUUUUUUUUUCAGUGGGGACUUAAGUCCCCACUGGUCCCAAGCUAGAUCCGCCACUGGUUAGUGGUGAAAAAUUAAACACCAUGGAAGGAUUUGCAAGGAAUAUGCCAAGAAACUGGCUAAGUUCCACAAAUAUGGCAUUAUUGCUCUUUUUUUUUUAAAGAAAAAUUAUACACGUUAAUUUAGCAAAAAGUCUAAGACACGUGCCUUUUGAAAAGAAUAGCUAUUACCAUGACACAAUCGAUGCGGCUGAAACCAAAAUUUUCUUUUCUUAAUGUAAAGUUUUUUUUUUAAAUAGAUUUUAAUAUCAAAAUGCCCUUCGAUGUUAUUACUCUCACAAGCCCUGUAACAGGAGUAAUAAAAAAGUUUAGAAUUUUUGGGCAUGAAAAAAGUAGUAUUAAACAUCAGCAAGCAAAGGUUGUUCUGUUAAAGAAUUGAUAUUGACGUGAUUUUAUUUUGGUUAUCGAGAAAAAAAUAUAUUUGUUGACAAGUAAGAAAAUAUUAUUAUAUUUUACAAUCUAUUAUACAUAUUUUAUUAUAUUAAAUAAUACUAAAUAGAAACAUAAAAUUAGAAUAAAAUAAAUUAAAAUUAAAAUUAAAAUUAUUUUGAAUAUUAUGUAAAAAAUAAUGUUAAUAUCAUUGUUACUUGUAAAAUAUAUUUAGCCUAAAGAUUUAUUUAAAAUUUUAUAAUGAAUAAAAAUAUAAAAAUAAAUUAAAUAUCAUAGUUUAAAAUCUUAAUAUUAUUUUAAAUAUUAAAAAUACUUUAAUGUAUCUUAAUAUUAUUUUAAAUAUUAAAAAUACGUUAAUGUUAUUAUUCUACUACACAUGUUAUAUUAUUUAUAUUAUAUUUGUAUUAAUUAAAAAUUUUAAAGUCAACUUUCUAGUAACUAUAUUCAAAGGUAUUAUGGUUAAAUAAAGGUCUUAGUGUUUCUUUUUCAAAAUUUGAGGGUCUACAUGAUAAUUUUUCCAAACCCUAAGGUAUAGGAGUCCUUUUUGUCAAUAAUUUAUUUCACUUUUGAGAGAAUACGAUGAGAAAUAAGAUCAGAGAAAUGUCAAUUUAAUGUUCUCUAGCUUAAUGAAAAAAAAAUGGAAACCAAGAACUAUUCAAUUUUGUAUUUUUUGUUUGUAAUUCAAAAAAUCCAUCCGCCAAACAAGAUUCACGCAUUUAUGUUGUCAUAAAAUGAAAAAACAGUUUGUGAAAAAAUGGCACCAAACAUACCCUUAAUGUCCCACAUGAUUUCUUAUGAAGCCCAUAUUAGAUAUAUUUAUACAUUUUACUGCAUUUAGGACAUGUUUGAUAGCCUGCAUUAUAUAGGAUAAAAACAUAAUUUUGUAUUAAAUUAAUGCACACUCACGUUUGGCGCUAAAAGUAACUCCAGCCGCAUUGCAUUAAUGGGCUGCUACUGCGGCAAUUGCCGCACUAGCUUGCCUCUUUUUCUUUUUAAUUUUAUUUAUAAUAAUAAUAAUAAUAAUAAUAAUAAUAACAUAAUAUAACUUUUAUUUUAAUAUAAUAUUAAGUAUAAUUUUUAUUUUUACAUUAUAAUUAUUGAUAUAAAUUAAUAAAUUUAUUAUUUAUUAUUCAAUAAUAUUAUAUUAUUAUUUUUUUAUUUUUACAUUAUAAUUUAUUAGUAAAUUUAUAAUUUAAUAUAAUUAAUGAUAAUAGAAAAUAUCAUUACAUGUACUACAAAACUCUUACUUGGAUUAUUUAACACAAUUUAUUUUAUUCGUGAAUAUGUUAUAACAAUUGUAUCACUUUAUUGUUUUGUUAUUAUUUUGUGGUAUGUAUAAAUUUUUAUUCUAUUAUUCAAAGAUGACUUUUGAACUAAUCUUAUAGGUUUUAACUAUUUAUUUAUGUUGUUAUAUUAUUAGAGAUUAUUUGAUUAAAUUAUUUGCUUCGAUCUUUAUUUUACAGGUCAUAUAUUUAGAAAUUACUGAAAAAUAAAUGUUCUACUUCCAAAAAAUUUAAGGCUAUAAGCUCGAUCUUUAUGAAUAAUUGUGAUAUUUUUUAACAUUUACACUAAAAAAAUUGUUAAAUUUCUAAAAUUUAAGACUUCUAUAUUUAGUAUUUUUCCAAUUACUAAUAAGUAUUAUUUUCUAAAUAUAUAAUUUAAAUUAAUCACAAAAAAUUAAUACAGUACAGUGCAAUAUCAAAUAUAAUAUAAUUAAAAAUUAUACAGUACAAUGUAGCACCAAAUAUUGUACAAUAUUAUUAUAAAAUAGUACUGAUGCAAUACAAUAUAAUACAAUAUAGUGUGCCAAACGCACCCUUAGAGUGUGUUUGGAACAUGGGAUUAUAGGGUAUUAAAACACUGUUCACAUUAGCUUAAUACCAAUAUCAUGUUUGGAAAGAAAUUUUAAGGGAUUAAAGGGGGGUGAGCUAAUGCCAUAACUGCGCCAUUAGUGUCUUGGUUUUUUUUUAAAUAAUAAUAAAAAAUAUAAAUUCCUAAUUUUAUGUAAUAUUAUAUAAUAUUAAUUUUUAUUUUCUUUGAUCUUUACAUUAUAGUAAUUAAUAUAAGUUAAUAAAUUUAUAAUUUAUUAUUCAUAUUUUAAUUUUUAUUAUAUUAAAAAUAUAACUAAAUAAUUUAAUUUUAAUUAUAUAAUAAUUAAUGUAUAAAAUUGAUUAAUAUUUAAUAAGUUAAUACAACUAGUAAUAAGUGCUUAAAUAAUAUAUAAAAAUAAAAAUAUAACAUAAUAUUACAUUAUUUAAUUAUAUUACAAUAACUAAUAUAUAAAAAUUGAUUAUUAUUUAACAAUUUAAUAUAGCUAAUAAUAGAUACUUAAAUAAUAAUUUAAUAUAACUAAUAAUGAAUAUUGAUAUAUGAAUAUAUUUAAAUAAUAUUAAUACCAAUAUAUAUAAUAAUAUAAAAUAUUAUUACAUGUACUGUAGUAUUCUUACUUGGAUUAUUUAGCGCAAUUUAUUUUAUUAGUGAAUAUGUUACAACUAUUGUAUCACUUUAUUAUUUAAAUUAAUCAAAAAAAUUAAUACAGUACAAGAUAGCACUAAACAUUGUAUAACAUUAUUAAAAUACAGUGUUAAUGCAAUACAAUAUAAGACAAUACAUCUAUAUUAAAAUAAAAUAAAAUAAUUUAAUUUAAUAUAAUACAGUAUGUCAAACGCACCUCGUAUAUUUUAAUUUCAAAAGAAGUUGGUCCUUCCGUUAUUUAUAAAAGAUAACUUUAUUUUCAGAUUACCACUAAACUCUGAAGUAGAAUUGGUGUAAUGUUAAGAGAGAGUAACACAGUUUUCCAUUACCAUCUUUGAAAAUAGAAAGAUAUGGAUCAGUGUAUUUAAGAGUUAUCGUGAAAAUCAUACAGUUCAAUUCCCUGACACAUAUAUUUAUGAGCAUAUGCCAAAAGAAUAAAUAGAUAGAAAGUAAAUUUACAAUCCUCACUUCCUCACAAUUGUUAAAAUGAAGAUGCAUUACAACUGUGAACUGUCACUAUUUUAGCCUUUUUUAUUUUUUACUUUUAGUUAUAGUGCGAUGGAGACAGUGAACAUCAAGGAUGAGAAUAAAAGUUAAAGAUGACCCACCCACUUUCUUUUUAAAGUGCUCUGCUCAAAGACAAACUUCCUCUGGCUAAUUAAUUUAGAUGUGAAGAGAGAAUAAAGUCCUAGAUGCCUUCUGAAAUUAGAAAUACAUUUUAUAUGCUUUAAUUAUGAUUAUUUGGUAGACUAUAGACCUAAAAGACAUGUUAGAUUAUAAAACAGUGCGAUUAAAAAAAAAAGAGUAUUUGUGACGUCAAAUAACAAUUGGUAACUAAAAUCCAAAAUAUUUGAGUUGUUAAAAGCAAAUAAAAAAAAAGAAGGUAAGAGUGAUGCAGAAACACAAUAUUAGCUUAUCUUGAUUUUCCCACUUUAUUCAUUCUCGAUGCUUUUCAAAACAAAUUCUUCUAAUCUUUCUGGUGUCUGCAGCCCCUUGUCACGGGACGAGAGGUUUCGAGCCCGUGCGGUACUCUCGCAUCCCAUACUGCGAGAGUAAACCUAGUGGAAGUGGCACAAUAUCGACUGGUUUCACCCUGUCUUGGGCUCAUCAGGAGAACGGCUCCAGUUCCCAACCAGUGUGUGAAGAGCUUCGCCUAAACCCCUCUUCAACGUUAAGUCCUUGACUAGCGACAAGCUCCCCAAACUCAACCAGGUUGGCCUGCCUGAACUCCAAGAAAUCUAGGAUCAUUGUAUUCCCCACACGACGCCCCUGAAGCACGUCUCCUACAAUCAGCACAACCCUUAUCGAUACCAGCGUACAAACGCAUAUCUUCGGCGUCACAAUUGCAGUCCGUGACACCCUGCUCUUGUUAUAAAACUCCACCCCAAAUCUACACUACAAACAAGUUGAUUGAAAUUAAACAAUUGCUUUUUGAAGUGGACCCAUUGAGUCGUGGUCAUUACUCGUCAUUGUCUAUUUUUUCUAUGAGCCAUUUAUUUUGAGCAAUAGUGAGCUUCUCUGAACUACUCCAAUUAUUGAUGUAACUCCAGUGGCUGCAUCCAUAGUUGAAUAUAUGACAGUAUUAGCUCUUAUUUGAGAAUAUAGGGGGAUCUUUCUUUGUUUCUUUGUUGCAGUGUUCUAGUUUAUAGUCUUGCUGUUAAUGAAUUCACUGAGGCAUUAUUAAUUUAAUUUCAGUGAAGUAAUUAUGGAUGAAAAAUAAAUAAAGGAUAACAGAAUAGAGCUGAAGUGCUGAAUCGGCUAUUAAAGAAAGUGUCACGUGAUCACAAUCACACUGAUGCACAACUCUCUCUAUGUACUCCAAAUUCAGCCAAACCAUACAUGCCUCAACAAAAUUAAACCGUAGUUCUCAUCACUACAGUAAAUGAAGCCCACAAAGACAGCUGAAAUGGAAAAUAUUGACUAUUGAAUGGAUCAAUGCUGAAUUACACUUGAAAUGGGAAGCUUGGCUGCGGUUACGAUGUUUCCCCCUCUGAUUUUUCUCCAAAACAAAUUCCGUUGUAAAUAAUAUUCAAUGUAGCAACACUUUAUUCAGCAAAGAAAAUACCUAAUUUUUCAACUAACAAAUUCUCUUGUCUAAACUAAAAAAACUCACAUCUCUCCAAUCUAUCUACAAAAUAUUGGAGAUGAGAGGUGAUUUGUCAACUCGAUAAAUAAAUUCAUGCAUAAUGUUACCAAUAAUGAUAAAUUACUUAAUAAUUCUUAUAAAGAAUCAUAAAUAAGGAACAUUAACCAUUUUACAGUCUAUUACAUAAGUAAGAUUAAUCUUAUAAUAAGUUAACUUAUAACGUAAUAAAUAUUUCAAUUCAUAAUUAUUUAAGAAGUCACUUAACAAUAAAAUAUUUUUUUAUUUAAUUGAUCAUGUCAUAUAACGUUAUCUAAACUCCUGACGAUAUUAUUAUUACUCACUUUUCUCAAAAAAACAUGACUAACGUUUAGAGAAAAGUCAUGCCUUUUAGAUAGAUAGAAUAUGAUUACAAGCUAUCCAUACUUUAUCUUACCAUGACAAAAUUGAUGGUGAUUAAAUCUAUUUUUAAAAUAGAUUUAAUGCACAAACAUGAUGACUUUUGCCAAAAAUUAGUUUCAGAAGAUAACUAAAUUAAGUUGCAAAGGAGCUUACUUCAAUUUCUAAGCUUUUCAAUCAUGAUUCCUCCAUGCCUUCCUCUGAUACCAUUUUGUUACGUGCCAACGUAAUUGACCUUGUAAUUGGUUUGUAUAAGGAAUGAAGCCCUUUCAAGAUCGUUUCUUUUGUGUCCAUAUUGUAGUAGACUAGUAGUCAAGUAAAUAAAGAGUGAAUAACUGAAUUUGGUCUAUUUCGAAGAAGACUAUGGCCUCCACACUACAAGAAAAUAGGCGAUAGAUAACGGGAAAUAACCGUCAUAAAAGGUGGUGUAUGACAGACAGUUUAUUCGUCAUCUAUGUCACUGUCAUUAAUUUAUGACAGAAUAUUUUCCGUCAUGAAUUCUUGAUGUUAUUUUACAAUCAUAUAUCCAUCACACAAUAUUUUAAUGAGAAAAAAUAAUUAAAUAAAAUUUGAAUUUAUUAAAAUUUUUGCUCUAUUUUUUAAUUUUUUGGCGGAAAAUUAAAUUGUCAUUUGUAAAUUUCUUAUUCAAUUUUGGUGGAAAAUUUUUUUAUGACAGACUUUAUGAUGUGUAUUUCCCAUCAUAAAGUUAAUUUUUUUAAAUUAUAUUGUGAUUAUAGUUUAUUUCUGAAUUCCUGUUUACAAAUUUAAUUAAUUAAUAAAAAAUGAAUAUUGUCAAAAAAUAAAAAAAUAAUAGUAACUAAAAUCCAUUCAAUCCAACAAAUUAAUUUCAAAAUAAAUACAUCUAAUAUUCAAUGUCAUUACCACUAAUACAUAAUAAAACAUCCCAAAUUAAAAAAAAGAAUGUCAAAAUAUAAAACAAUAGUUAAAUUCCAAUUAAAUUCCAAGAAAUGUAAUUCAAAUUCCGGACACCGAGCCAAGCUCCCCAGCAAAACUUCCAAAGAUUAAUGGAAAUAUUCCAAUAGCAAGACUUCCAGAAGCAAUACCCUCUUCCAGUGGCAAUACAUUGACUAAUCUUUGAAGCCAUGACUCCUCAAGCCAAUGCCAAAAAUGUGUGCAAAAUUAAUGCUCUAUCCACAAAAAUUUCAGUCUAUAUUGGUAAGAAGAAACAUGAAGAAACAAUUACCUCAGCAUCAUCGUCAUUGGAAGCCAAAUCAGCUGUAAAGACCACAAAAUGUUUGGUUAGAACUAGUGGAAGUCUUACUCUAAAACUUUUAAUUUUUGAAUUUCGAAAGAUCUAGUAAUGACAAAGAUUCUCAUAUCCAGUGACCAAGUUUUGAAAAUUAGAAUACGGAAUAACGUCAACUAAAUUCACUAAUAUAGGGUGCAUUUGAGAUUGAGGUUGGACAGCUGUAGCUUAAAAGCUACAGUAGUAAAGUGUUUGGUAAACACUAGUUGCUGUAAUUUAAAAACUAUGUUGAUAUGAUUUUUCACUUGUAUAAUGGAGAAUCUAUUUUUUUAAAUAAUUAUGUCAAAAUUAUUAUUUAAAAUUUAUAUUUACUACAUAUUAUUAAUUUUUGUUUCAUAGUCACAGUUUUUUUUCCACAGCAGUUGUAAAGCUACAUCACCUCAAUCCCAAACGCACCCUAAGCUAGAGGAAUCCCUAGUUGAUAUAGCACACAUGCACACAUGAUAUGCAUGCAUCAGAAUACACAAUAAUAAAUUAUCUCAAAGUCAAUAAGAAGCCAAAACUAGAGAUAAACCUUUAGCCACUAUAAGGAAGACUGAUAUUUGCAGUGUGAUUACAAUAAACAAACAGAAACUUCACUACCCAUAAGUAAAGCAAAAUAAAUAAAGGAUAAUAACUAACCAAGAAAUGGAAAAGCUCACAUUCUCUGAACACGCACCCCAAAAAGAAAGAAAGAAAUAAAUGUUCCCAUUGGAUCUGAAGCACAAGCAAUCCACUGACAUCCUUCUAUAAUUAGGUAAUUUAAAGGGGUUAAGCUCACAUCUUUUACGGAAGCAACAAGAGAAUUAACAACAUUCCAGAGGAUUUAGGGAAAAACCACGAGGCAAGAAAAAAGAAAGAUCCUUCUUCAAUCUAGAUAUCUUGACACUGCUCACCAUCUACAGCAGUCUGGGGCUUAAAAAGCAUGAUCUCUCCCCCCCUCUGGCACCAUUUUCUCUCAUGUGAAUCUGUCAUUGCCCGUAGAAACAAACCAGAACUGCAUAAAUUCUCUUAUCUUCCAGCAGCUUCUUUUCUCCAGAAAUAGGCACAACUAUUUGACAUGGAAACAAUUUAUCUAACAUGGCCACCUUUAAAGACAAAGACAUACUAAGGACAUGGUUUUAGAUACGGAUACAAGAAACAAUCACAAAAUGUAAAAUCUAUACAUAUGAUAUUAAUUUCCAAUGGAUACAGCACUUCAUUCUUUGACUUAACUUCAUUAGAUUACUAGGUUUGAUUAGGUUAUACACACAUUUAUUCAUUUAUGGUUUUCAACCUAUAAUCUACAUGCACUUAGAAUGAGAGGUACCUAUAAAAACAAGUUACCAGAAAACAAUACAGCUAGAAAACAUUAAAACAUUAAUCUAAGCAGUUCUAUAGGUUUAACUAACUGCAGGAAAAAACCGUUGAUUUUGUCCGUCGGAUUAUUGAGAUCCUAAUUCUGGUAAAAAGAAAAUGAGAUAAUAGAAAAUCAAAAAUUAAAUAGACACAAAAUGAGAAAUCAAGAUCAUACGGCAACUAAUAUAUAGCAUGGGCUGCAGCUAACAAGCAAUAUAAGCCAUGAUAUUAUGCCAGAUACAAAAUUUUGAGAUCCAAGAGAGAUCAAGAAGCAUGAAUAUUGAAAGAAGUGAGUGCAGAAGGAUAAGAAAUCAGGUUGAUAUUCUUCAUACUUUGGGUCAACACGUAGUGAUGCAAUAAACUUGUAAUUAGCUUCAAGUGUAUAGGCUACCAUGUCAACAUUUCCGAAAACACACAAGAUUGUGCUGGAUUCAUAUAUAGUACAUAUAUAAAAAAACAAUCUGCUUCUAAACUUCAUGAGAACAUCGAAUAAUGAACUUACAAUUUGAUCCCUCAUCAUCUUCAUCGCACCAUUUGUUCCAAUCAACCUUAAUGUAAGGUGCUGGUUUCUCUUCUGACUUGAGUAGCCUUUUCCACCAACCUUUCUCUUCUUUUUGCACCGAGCAUAUUAUGUUCCUUAAGCCAACUUUAGUCUUACAUUUCUGCACCACCAGCAACAAAAUUCAAAGCAUUACAAAAGAGGUAUAUUUAGCCGCUCUUGACUCGAGUGAGAGAACAGGAUAAACAGCCUAGGUAUAUCCACAUCCAUGUUAUGAGAUUAAUUAUGCAACAACUAACUUUAAUAUAAAGUUUGUGCUCCAACAAAGACUAAAAUGUUUGUAAUUGUUAUGCUUCCGGAGCUAAAAUGUUUCGCAAACACUCACUUUUACUCUGCAGCUAAUAUCUAGCACCCAGCCACACAAAGUCCGUAGUCUUUGUCUCAACUUUGUCUGAGGCCAAUGUAAAUCCAAUUUGCACAAGCUCUCUAUGCACCACAGCUCUUCUGGAAGCUUUCUCAAGUACGCACAAGGGUUGACAAUUAAGCUUUCAAGUUUUGGUAUUGCUCCAGCCCCCAUCGUCCACUCAUCUAGCCAAUACAUUGAUUUCAGGCGCAAAACCUUAAGUUCCGGAAAGCCACCCGAGCAAGCACAGGCCAGCUUUCUUCCUAAAUACAAGCUCUGCUUCAGUUUCAGCACUUGAAGGCGUGGAAGCUUUUUGAUAAGGAAAGGGAGCCACGGAGGUCAACAAAGGUUCAUAAGCCUAACUACAGAUACGAGGGCUUUGUUUGAACAUUCGUAAGUCUCAUGCAGCCAUGCAUGCGGUCAUGCAUGUUGCAUGCAAUACCAUGCAAGACUUAUUUACGCAUGGAUUAAAGAGUAGUCUGUUUCUAGUUUUUUAUUUAAGAUUGCUCAGUUAUUUAAAUUGAUUUUAGCCGUGAAUUGUGGCUACAAAUCCUUAGUAGUGUUUGUAUUAACUACUAUAAAUAAGCUCCAGCAAUUAAUAAAAGGAUUAUGCAAAAAAUUAUCUCAAAGUACUAUUCUUGGUCGUUUUCACCGUAAGUAGAACAACGUAAACUUAGCUAUUGUUGAACGUUUUUGAUUGGGACCUAUCACUUUUCCAGCCUUGGCAUGGGAUCCUCCAUUAGCUCAGUAUUUGAUAAGCUCAGUUGGGUCAGACUUGGAGGAAAUUGGUAUUCAGACAGGACCGUCCGUGAGAGCUUGCUUUCAUUCACCAGCUUCAAGCAUUCAAGUUUCUCUAGUUCGCAUAGGCUUUUGGAAAUCCCAGAUUGAUAGUAACUCAAAUCUCCAGACACUCUAAGAGUUUGAAGAUUAGGUAGUCUGCCCAAUAUAGCUGGAGUGCAACUACUAGGGUGUAAGGCUGAUAUGAAAAUGAGAUUUUUCAGAGAGCUGGAAUAAUUUUUUGGAGGCGCAGGCAGAGUGAUGCAACCGAAGUUUAAAUGCACGAGUUUUCGCAUCAUCCAAAUAUCCUCUGGUGAAUGAUCUAUGUAGCUUGAUGGCAUUUCUAGUGUUUGAAGGUUUAAAAGAGUGCAUAGCAGUGAAGGAAGGCAUUUGAGCGAGGGGAUAUUCAAUUUCAAAUACUUCAAAUGGAAAAAGUUUCUAAUCCGGGCGGAUAUUGGUCGAGAAUUGCAGAACCCAAGUUCAAUACCCCAAGGUGUUUGAACGUUUGACGAAAAUUCUCGCAAUCUAUCAGAGCGAGAUGAUCGCUUUCUGAACUGUGAUUCAGAAAAGAUUGGAGAUAGAUGUCAGGAUGUUCUAAAGAUAAAAACUGAAUCAGAUGUUCCAAAAUGAAGCACCGUUUAACAUUUGCCAGUGGUUCCUUUUCCCUUUCAUGCAUGCAGACAAAUUCCGUCUGCGCUGCCACCAAAAACAAUGGAGUACAUAAAAAACUUGGAACAUAACACGCUUUAAUUGUGCCUCCGGCUCUUCUCUUACUCACUUGAAUGAAGCCGCAAUAGAUUAGUUCUUUCAAAUAAUGCUCGGCAGUUUCUUCACUGUUGUAUGGUAUGAAACCUUCAGCUACCCACAAAUGAUAUAAUUGCCUCGUAGAUAUUUCAAUACUUGGACGAAAGACACACAAAUAGAUGCAGCAGACUUUCAAGUGAAAAGGUAACUCCAUCAAAGAAUAACUGUGUCUCUAAAUUGUCGGAAUCGCUACGCCUUGAACAUAAUUUUCUAAUGGCAUACUUCCAUAGUGUAGGAUGAAAAAUUGCCAGGCUUUAUGCUUUAAUCUGAUCAAUGGUCCUCCACUGAGCACUGAAUCAAACCGAAUCAUCUCUCCGUUUUCCAUGUCCAACAGCGUAAGGGGGCAUGGAUCAGUGACCAAUAUCAAUACUCUGCUUCCAUUCUGAUUGUCAGGAAGAACUUGUUCAAGAUCAUCCAAUACAUCGUCACUCUCUUCACAGUAAUCAUCAAGCACAAUAAAGUACUUCUUGUUUGUUAGGAAAUCUCGAAGAAUAGAUUUCUUCAAUUGAUAAUGUUCACCGAUAAUUACACUAACCCGAGAUGGAGGCAUCACAGACUUGAUUAUGUCAUCCAAUAUCUUGCCAAAAUCGUAGAGUACAGAAAUCCUGACCCAAGCAAGGCAGUCAGAGAAUUGCAACCACUGCAAGCCGAGGAUGUCCUUCAAUCAAUAAAUCAAACAACUCCUCUCUACCACUUUCAAAUUCGUUGAUAUCAAGCCGAGGUUUUCCCUCAAUCAAUAAGUGAAUGAGUUUGUCCCUUUGUUCAGUGAUUACGAAACCAUUGUCGCCGGGUGGAAGUUGUUGCAUCCGAUUUCUAAUAUCAAUAAUUUUACUGUGGAGUCCAACAAGAAGAGCCAUAUUAGUACUGCUUUCACUUUCUUCUUCACUGUUUUGCUGCUGCAUGAUGUUGAUGAAGAAUGUGUCAAUGGCUUCCUCAGAUUCAUGGACAAAGUCAUUGAUGUCCUUCACAAUUUCCAGAAUGUCUGAUCUUUUAACGUCUUCAUCGCUUUCUUGUAAAAAAGCCAAAUAUAUUUCGGAUUCAUCGAAUUCUCCUCUAAUGAGUUGAAACAAAAGCCGAGCCAUGUCAGCUUCAUAGUUUCCCACCAGAGUAGUAGCAAUGAUUUCUGACUCCGUAAGAAGGUUCUGAAAAAGUGGAGUCAAAUUUGUUCAAUCAGGCAACGUUAACGCGCCUUCUUCACCUGCUAGCACCCUUUUCAACCUCUCACAAAAUAGUCGGAGGUUCACGUCCACCAUAUCUCCUUCCCUCCGUAGCACUCAGAGAAGAUUGGUCCUAUCUCAAAGUGGUUAGUGCUGUAAAAUUAAACACCAUGGAAGAAUUUGAAAGGAAUAUGCCAAGAAACUGGCCAAGUGGCUAAAUUCCACAAAUAUGACAUUAUUGCUCAUUUUCUCUCAGACACGUGAUACACGUUGAUUUAGAGGAAAGUUCAAGAAUUUUGCUUUAAAAAAAAAAAUUGAUGGUGCUUAAAUUAUUAUUUUUUUAAUUUAAAGAGUUUUGCUUUUAAAAAAAAAUUAAUAUCAAAAUGCCUUCAAUGUUAUUACUGCCACAAGCCCAGUAACAAAACUCAUUAAAAAUUUUAGAAUUUCUGGCCAUGGAAAGAGUAGUAUUAAACAUCAGAAAGCAAAGGUUGUUCCGUUAAAGAAUUGAUGUUGACAUAAUUUUAUUUUGGUUUUCGGGAAAAAAAAAAUAUUUGUUGGCAAGCAAAGAAAAUAAUUUUAUACUUUACAAUCUGCUAUACAUAUUUUAUCAUAUUAAAGUAAUUUUAAUAUCUAUCAAAAAAAUAAAUUUAAUAAUAAUUGGAACAUAAUAUUACAAUAAAUAAAUUAAAAUUAUUUUAAAUAUUAGGAAAAAAAUAUUAUUAAUAGGAAGAUAUUUUGUUAAUUGUAAAAUCCUUUUAUUCCAAAUAUUUUAUUUAAAUUUUUUAUAAUAAAUAAAAAUAUAAAAUUAAAAUAAAUAUCAUAAUUUAAAUUUUUUAUAUUAAAAAUAUUUUAAUGUUAUUAGUCUACUACAUAAAUUAUAUUAUUUAUAUUAUAUUCGUAUUGAUUAAAAUCUUUUAAAGUUAAUUUUAUAGUUACUAUAUCCACAGGGUAUUAUAUUAUAUUUAAGAGUAAUUUUUUCAAAUUUUAGGAUUGCAGAUGUCCUUCUUCCGAUAAUUUAUUUCACUUUUGAGAGAAUCCAAUGAGAAAUAUGAUAAGAGAUGGUCAGUUUAAUGUUCUCUGCCUUUAUGGAAAAAAAGUAAAAAGUAAAAACUAUUCAAUUUUGUACUUUUUGUGUCCACCAAAUAAAUUUUACACAUUUAUGUUGUCAUAAAACGAAAAAAAAGGGUUUGCCAAAAAAUGGUACCAAGCAUACCUUUAAUGUCCCACGUGAUUUCUUAUUAAGCCCAUAUUAUAUAUAUUUAUACAUUUUAUUGCAUUAAACAUUUUUAUUAUAAAAGAAGUUGGUCCUUCCCCUAGUGAUAAAAGAUAAAUAUGAUAAUGUUUGAGAUGGGUUUAGUCUUUUAUAUUUGCUGAGUCCAGUGGGUUAAAGAAUUAGAGUAAAGCAUCUGGGCAUUCUUUCAUGCAAAACUAAAAAUCCUGAAAAUAGUUGGCUUUAACUGAUUAAGACAAGCUUGGUCGAAUUGAGUUGAACUUCAUAUAUAAAAGCCAAAUAUAUUGCGGAUUCAUCGAAUUCUUCUCUAAUGAGUUGAAACAAAAGCCGAGCCAUGUCAGCUUCAUAGUUUCCCACCAGAGUAGUAGCAAUGAUUUCUGACUCCGUAAGAAGGUUUUGAAAAAGUGGAGUCAAAUUUGUUAAAUCAGGCAACGUUAACGCGCCUUCUUCACCUGCUAACACCCUUUUCAACCUCUCACAAAAUAGUCGGAGGUUCACGUCCAGCAUAUCUCCUUCUCUCCGAGAAACUGUGUAAGUGGCUAAAUUCCAGAAAUAUGACAUUAUUGCUAUUUUUUUAACUCAAAAAAAUGGUACGCGUUCAUUUAGAGAAAAGUUCAAGACGCGCGCCUUUUGAAAAAUGGUACCCGUUCAUGUAGAGAAAAGAACAGGUAUCCCAAUCGGUAUCCAACCUUUAUCUUCUUUAAUUACCACCACGACAUGAUUUUUUUUUUUUUUUUUUGAUGACAUGAGACUAUUGCUUAAAUUACAACUCAAAUUACAACUCAUAUUACAUGAGAGUAUAAUUGAUAUGUACAAUCAUAUAUACAUACUGAGAUCUAUUGACAUUAAUGCUGAUAUGACACUGCUCAGAUUUUUGUAACCCUCUCAAAUAUUCGAGGGACGUCAAACUCCUAUCCUGGGAGAAAGACUGCCUUCACUCGAGCUCUGUGGCUCCAAGGAAGGAAAUAUAAAUUAAACCUCUACAAUGCGACUGCGGAGGCUCGAACCCCUUCCCUCACAUAUGUGAGGGAGUGGCUCUAGCCACUUGGGCUAGCCCAAGUGGUUCCACGACAUGAUUGAUGGUGCUUAAAUCAAUUGUUUCUUUUUUAAUUUAAAGAAAUUUUCAUUAAAAAAAUAUUUUAAUAUCAAAUACCCUUCAAUGGCAUAACUGCCGCAAUCCCAGAAACAGGAUUAAAUAUUUUUUUUUUUUUGAAUUUUUGGGCAUGGAAAGAGCAGUAUUAAAAAUCAGAAAGCUAAGGUCGUUCUGUUAAAGAAUUGAUAUUGACAUAAUUUUUUUUUGGUUUUCGGGGGAAAAAAAAAAUUGUUGACAAGCAAGAAAAUAUUUUUAUAUUUUACAAUUUAUUAUACAUAUUUUUUUUUUUUGGAUCAAUAAUGGGCUCUAAAAGAGCUAAAGCACCAGUAAACGGGAGUGGGCAACCCCAGACACAUCGUUAUGAAGAAUACUCUGUAAAUUAGGAGGAGCAACAGUAAGUAACUGCAAUCCUAAAGGACAAGACAAAUUAAAUGAGGCCAGAAAAUCUGCUGCUAUGUUUGCUUCUCGAUAGAUGUGGUUCACUUUCACGACCCAGUCCCUGCUGAUCAGCUCACGAAUGGCAAGGAUAAGAGAAUGAUGCUCAUUAACAGGAGUGGUCGGAUUCUCCAAGAUUUGAGAUUUAUUAUACAUAUUUUAUCUUAUUAAAGUAAUUUUAAUAAUAAAUAGAAACAUAAUAUUACCAUAAAUAAAUUAAAGUUUAACUUAUUUUGAAUAUUAUAAAAAAUAAUUUUAAUAUUAUUAAUAGGAGGACAUUGUAUUAAUUUUAAAAUUUUUUAACCCAAAGGUUUAUUUAAAAUCUUUAUUAUAAAUACAAAUAUAAAAUUAAAUAUAAUAAUUUAAAAUUUUUAAUAUUAUUUUAAAUAUUAAAAAUAUUUUAAUGUUAUUAGUCUACUACAUAGAUCAUAUUACUUAUAUAAUAUUUGUAUUAUUAAAAAUUCUUAAAAUCAAAUUUUUAGUUAGUAUAUUUAUGAGGUAUUAUGGUUAAAAAAAAAACCUUAUUAUUACUUUUUAAAACAUUGAGGGCCUGCGUGAUAAUUUUUUCAAAAAGAAAAUGCUUGGUAUCUAGGAGGGUUAGAGAAACAGGACUACCAAAAUCUCUCACCCUUUUUUAAUUAAAAAAAAUUAAAAUAUCAAUAAAAAAAAUAAAGAAAAUAGAAUUUUAUCUGCUCCUUACUCCAUUUUUGUAACUCUCUCACCAUCUCUGUCGAGCAGCCCUCUCUUUCACUGUCUCUCACUAUUUCACAAUCUCUCUCUCACUCACACAGUCCUUUAGAAAAGCCCAAAAUAGGCCCAAUAAGCCCAUAAUUAAAAUAAUCGAAUCGAAUUAUUUCAAUUAAUCGAGUAUUUGAUUAUUUCGGUAAUUUGAUUAAUCGCGAUUAUGAUUUUAAAAUAAUCGUAAUCGAACGAUUAUGAAAAAUUUAGUAAAAAACCGAAUUGAACCGAACCGCACCCACCCCUACAUAAAAGAACAACAAUUACUUGUCAUUUUCAAUUUUUUCUAUAAGCUAUUUAUUUUGAGCAUUAGUGAUCUUGUCUGGACUACUCCAAUUAUUGACGUAACUCCAGUGGCUGCAUCCACUGGAAAAAGUGGAUGAGAACAUUUUUUUUUUUCAUAAAGGUAACUACUCCAAUUAUUGACAUAAUUGAUGGUGCUUAAAUCAAUUUUUUUUUUUAAUUUAAAGAAUUUUGCUUUAAAAAAUAAUUAAUAUCAAAAUGCCUUCAAUGUUGUUACCGCCACAAGCCCAGUUAGAGGACUCAUUAAAAAUUUUAGAAUUUUUAGGCCUGGAAAGCGUAGUAUUAAACAUCAGAAAGCAAAGGUUGUUAUGUCGAAGAAUUGAUGUCGACAAAAUUUUAUUUUAGUUUUCGGAAAAAAAAAAAAAUUUGUUGACAAGCAAGAAAAUAUUUUUUAUACUUUACAAUCUGCUAUACAUAUUUUAUCAUAUUAAAGUAAUUUUAAUAAUAUAUGGAAACAUAAUAUUAUAAUAAAUAAAUUAAAAUUACUUUGAAUUAUUGAAUAUUACAAAAAGAUAAUUUUAAUAUUAUUAAUAGGAAAACAUUUUUAAUUGUAAAAUCUUUUUAAUACAAAAAUUCAUUUAAAAUCUUUAUAAUAAAUACAAAUAUAAAAUUAAAAAAAUAUCAUAAUUUAAAUUUUUUAAAAUUAUUUAAAUAUUAAAAAUACUUUAAUAUUAUUAGUCUACUACAUAAAAUAUAUUAUUUAUAUUAUAUUCGUAUUGAUUAAAACGUUUUAAAGUCAAAUUUUUAAUUAGUGUAUUCAAAGAUACAAAAGAUUUUAGUAUUAUUUUUAAAAAAUUUCAGGAUAUGAAUGAUAAUUUUUUCAAAUUUUAAAGAUGUAAGAAUCUUUUUUUCUGAUAAUUUAUUUCACUUUUGAGAGAAUCCGAAAACGUUAAUUUAACAUUCUUUACCUUUGUGAAAAAAGUGAAAAUCAAGAACUAUUCAAUUUUGUUUUUAUUUGUAAUUCAAAAACUUUAUUCAUUUUCGAUGCUUUUCAAAAGAGACUCCUCUAAAUCCUUUUGGUGUCUGCAGCUCCUGCAAUUCUCAUAAAUCUCCAUCCCACAUCUACACUAUCAAACAAGUUGAUGGAAAUUCUUAUCAAAAAAAAAAAAAAAAACAAGUCGAUGGAAAUUGAUCAAUUACUUUUUGAAGUGGACCCAUUGAGUCAUGUUCAUUUCUGGUCAUUGUCUACUCUUUCCAUCAGCCAUUUAUUUUGACCAUUUGCGAUCUUAAAGGAUAUGAGAACGUAGCUGAAGUGCUGAAGGGGCUAUUAAAGAAGAGUGUCACUUGAUCACAAUCACAUUGAUGCACAACUCACUCGUGGCAAAUUUCGACUAUACGUUCUGCAAAUUCAGCCAAACCAUACAUGCAUGAACAAAACUAAAAUGUAGUUCUAAUCACAACUGCAGUUAUAAUGUUUACCCCUCUGAUUUUUCUCCAAAACAAAUUCAGUUCAAAACAAUAAUUAAAUAGCCACAUUUUGUUCGUCAAAAUAAAUGCCCAAAUUUUCAAUUAACAAAUCAUCUUCUCUAAACUAAAAAUCCCACAUCUCUAAAAUCAAUCUACAUAAUGUUGGAGAUGAGGGGUGAAUUGUUAACUCAGUAAAAAAAACUCAUGCAUAAUAUUACUAAUAAUAUAAAAUAUAUAUUAAUCAUUAUAAAGAAUCAUAAUUAGAAAAAUUAAUCAUUUUAUAAUUUAUUACACAAGUAAGAUAAAUCUCAUAAUAAGUUAUAACAUAAAAAAAACGUUAUCAAUAUAUAAUCAUUUAAGAAGUCAUUUAACAAUAAAAUCGUUCUUUAAUCAGUUGGUCAUGUCACAUAGUGUCAUCUAUAUUUACGGUGAUAAUAUUAUUACUCAGUAUUAUCAAAAAACAUGAUUUAACAUUUAGAGGAAAUUCUUGCCUUUUAAAAAAAACAUGUAUGCAACAACUACCCAUGCUUUAUCUUACCAUGACAAAUAUUUUCUCAAUGAAAGAAAAUUUUUUAAAAAUUGAUUUAAUGCACAAAUAUGAUGAUUUUUCCAAAAAUUAGUUUUGGAAAACAUAGUGAGAGAAAAUAGUGACGAUUAUUGUUUAGAUGUAUAAAUAGCCUAAACAUAAUCCUUAAUACCAAUAUCCUAAUGCAUCUUAUCAUCUUUCAUGAUAUUCUUUCAUUUAUGUCCAUUGGUUCAAGAUUUGAAUUUGAUCAUUAAAUCAUGUUCAAUAAUAUUAGAGAUUCUAACAAAUGAGUACCAACUUAAAUCCCAAUGUUAUGUGUCAUUGACCAAUUUUGUGUCAUUUUGUUAUUAACUAGGUGAUGAAUUUGUAGUUGAUAAAAUCACUUAAAAAUAUCUUAAAAAUCAAACAAUAGUUUGCUUAAUUUUUCCAAGUUAACUGCUCAAGAUGCUCUAUUAUAAAUAAUAACCUAAUUAUAUUCAUAAAAAAUGAUAUUUUUUUUGUGGUGUUGAUAAUGAGAUUAUCAUUCAACAUUUUAAAAUGUGAAAACAUAUGGAAGAUGGUUGUAAAUUGAUUGAAUGAAAACAUUUCAGUGAAGUCUCAAAAAUUUGGUACUUGUUGUCUUAUCGAAAGUUUUCUAAAUUAUAUUCGUGGCACAGCCACUAUCCAAACCAUACAAGUCCAAAGCUAUCCAAACCAUACCUGCAAGUCCGGGGCUUAAAUGGAGUACUUCUAAGCAAAAAAACAUUGACUAAAAUAGAAUAUAUACAUACAGACACACAUACAUACCAGCAUAUUCAAAAUAGCAAAAGGAGUGCAAAAGUUCAAGUUUGUAGACAACAUUGCAACCAUAGCAUGUUUAUAGCAAAUCCUCAAAAUCUGCUAAAUAAAACAAUGCCCUGUCUCAUGAAUCAAUGCUGAAUUAAAAUUGAAACUGAAAGUCUGGAUGGUUUUGUUUGUUGAGAAUGUCAAAUAAAACGGCAUUGAAGGAAGUUUUCAAAGGCAGAAUCCGCACUUGUCAAAGGGAUGAUCUGCACUUGUCAAAGACACUAUCCGCGCCGAACGGAUCGACACAUUUCCUUCCGUAUUCACAUAUGUAAUCUUUGAAAAAAUAUAGCUUCUGCAUCUAUAAAUAACGCUCAGUGUAUAAUGUUUUAUUCAAGAAAUAAAAACAAGUUUCUACAUGGUAUCAGAGCCAUGAAUGCGCUCAAGUUUCUUCAAGUUUCGCUGCUCUGUUUGUCACAAAAACAGAGGAAACCAAUUAAAUUCGUCCCACAACCAUUUUUUCCACCAUUUUCUUCCUUAAAAUCAUUCCUAACAUUACAGAAAUCCAUGCCGAUCAAAAAACAUGAAAGACAAAUUACACAUGUGCAGUAACCAAUGAUCAUAUUUCGUUACUGUCAAACACAAUGCAUCUGAGCAAAACAUUGGAAGCCAACACCAGAAUACAUAUGAAUAAACAAUUAAAGAUAGAGAAAAAAGGCUUAAACCUUGGGGGGAAAAAGUGAAAAAACAUGAAAGACAAAUUACACAUGUGCAGUAGCCAUCGAACUUAUCAGUGACAGCUGCAUCCAUUACAUUGCUCCAACAACACAAUGGCAAACCACCAGUUUCAAAUUGAGGAUAGCUAUCGAGAAUGAGAAAGUGUCCAAAACGUCAUAAAUAGACAUGUUCCGAUUGUGCAUAAUUUACAUUAUAGGCAAAUAUUCUUAUACCAUCAAAGGCAAAACAUGACACUAACAAUUGAUCACCCCCCCCCCCCCCCCCCCAACAACAAAAAAAAGGAAAAAAACAAUACAGAAAAGAUUGAAACAGAUAAGGCUACACUGAGCACAGGAUGCCAUGAAACAUAAUCCAGGAACCAAAUUAAUAAAAAAGGAAGCCAAACCAUUAUUUAACAAUCUGUUUUGUAUUUGGGAAAGUCUGAUAAAAUCUACUUGGGGAUAAUUAGAGAACCUCAACUAUUAAUCACACCUCAUAAAUGAACUAACAUUAAACAUCUACCAUCCCAACGUCACACAAACAUUCUCUACACUUCUGAACCUAAUACUUCCAUCUUCAAUUGGGGUUUUUUUUUCUUUUUCUUUGGGGGGGGGGGGGGGGGGGAUUGAAAUGCUGAUUUCGAAUCACUAACAGUAAAAUUGGAAGCUCAUGAAAAAAUAGUUUUAUCUCAAAAUUACAUCUCGAUAUAAAUUCUCUUUUCAUUUCCUUCAACUUUCUAAUUAAGCUUAAAAAAUGUACCUUCAACCACAAAGGGGUUUAAAAUUUAAAAUAUAAAAAAUAAAUUCAGAUAACAAUAAUUAAUUUAAUUAAAAAUAUAAAUAGAGUUACAGAGAAAGAGAAAAUAGAGAAAGACGUAAUGUUGAGUCCUUUGGCGCAAGUCUCUUCAUAGGUCCGAACCAUUUCUUCGGGCGUGGGUUUCGGGUCUUUAGGAUACUCCAUAGUGAUAAGCCAGUGAUUGUAAUCGCAACCCUCGAACAGAAUCGUGUCGGGUGUGAUCUCGUCGCCGUCCUUAUACAAGUGGUACGUCUUGUUAACCGACGGCGUAGACGAGAGGGAGAUCGUCGGGGACGAUCUGAACGGCCGAGAUUGGAUAAUGAUGGAGGAGGAGAAGAUUAGCGAUGACGACGCCGAUGAAAUGGAAGGGUUUACCAGAGGAGUGGAUGCGAAGAAUGCAGGGACGGCCGCAAAGAGAGAGCGGCGGAGAGCGGCGACGGACGGUAGUGACCAGCGGAGGCGGAAAAUGGCGGUAUGGGCCAUUGCUUGCGCGUCGGUGAGUGUCUCGAGUGAGAGAGUGAAGGGUUUUGGGAAAUGAAAAAUGCAAAUGUUUGAUUUUGUUGCUAGAAACUUCUUCUGCCGCUGCCUUUUAUUUUCGCUAUAAUAAUAAUAAUUUGUUAAUCAAAUAUUUUCUUAAAAAAGAUAAAUUUCUACAACAAAAUUUAUAUUAAAUCAAAUUGUAAAAAUGUCUAUUAGGGUUAAUUUCUCCUUAAUAUUAUUAUUAGUAGAUGUAGAUUUUCGAAUUAGUCUUGAUAUAUUUCAGAGUUGUAUUAUAAAUGUAUAUGUAUCUGGAUUGCAAUUAUAUUUUUAAAAAAUAUAAUUUUUUUAAUUAUUGCACAAUAAAUGUAAAUAGUAUCUAUAAAAUAAUAUUAUUAGGACUACGAAAAAAAUAUUAUUUUAGAGAAGUUAUUUAUUUAUUAUUGAAUGAAUAAAAAAAUUAGUUUGGCAUUUUUAUAACCUCCUUGAAGGUUUUACGAUAAACAUAAAUCUACUGAGAAAGUGGGAAAAAAAAAAGAAAAUGCAUAUAAAAGUAUGAGUUAUCAGAUAAGAUUAAAACUCACCCAAUUCAAUCCAUCAGAUUCCGUAAGGAUAUAACUGGAUGUCAUACCGCCACUCCAUAUCCUCGAAAGUCCGUAGUCCUUGUCUCAACUGUGUCUGAGGCCAGUGUAAGUCCAAUUUGCGCAAGCUCUUUAUGCACCACAGCUCUUCUGGAAGCUUUCUCAAGUAAGCACAUGGGUUGACAAUUAAGCUUUCAAGUUUCGGCAUUGCUCCAGCCCCCAUCGUCCACUCAUCUAGCCAAUACAUUGAUUUCAGGUGCAAAACCUUAAGUUCGGGAAAGCUACUCAAGCCAACACAAGCAAGCUUUCUUCCUAAAUACGAGUUCUGCUUCAGUUUCAGCACUCGAAGGCGUGGAAGAUUUUCCAGAAUUGGCAUGGGAUCCUCCAUUAGCUCAGUAUUUGAUAAGCUCAGUUGGAUCAGACUUGGGGGAAAUUGGUAUUCAGACAGGACCAUCCGUGAGGGCUUGCUCUCAUUCACCAGCUUCAAGCAUUCAAGUUUGUGGAGUUCGCAAAGGCUUUUGGAAACCCCAGAUUGAUAGUAACUCAAAUCUCCAGAUAUCCGAAGAGUCUGAACACUAGGUAGUCUGCCCAAUAUAUCAGGAGUACAACUGCUACGGUUUAAAGCUGAUAUGAAAAUGAGAUUUUUCAGAGAGCUAGAAUAAUUUUUUGGAGGUGCGGGCAGAGUGAUAGAACCAAAGUUUAGAUGCAUGAGUUUUUGCAUCAUCCAAAUAUCCUCUGGUGACUGAUCUAUGUAGCUAAAUGGCAUUUCUAGUGUUUCAAGGUUUAAAAGGGUGCAUAGCAGUGAAGGAAGACAUUUGAGCGAAGGGAUAUUCAAUUUCAAAUACUUCAAAAGAUAUAAAUUUUCUAAUCCGGGCGGAUAUUGGUCCAGGACUGCAGAACCCAUGUUCAAUACCCGAAGGUGUUUGAACUUUUUACAAAAAUUCUCGCAAUCUAUCAGAGCGAGACGAUCGCUUUCUGAACUGUGAUUCAGAAAAGAUUGGAGACGCAUGUCAGAAUAUUCUAAAGGAAAGAAGUCAAUCAGACGUUCCACAAUGAAGCACCGUUUAACAUUUGCCACUGAUUCCUCUUCCAUGUCAGGCGUCCAGACAAAUCCCGCCUUCUUUGCCAGAAAAUACAAUGAAGUGUAUACAAAACUUGGAACAUAACACGCUUUAAUUGUGCCGCCGGCGCUUCUCUUACUCACUUGAAUGAAGCCGCGAUGGAUUAGUUCUUUCAAGAAAUGGUCGGCAGUUUCUUCACCGUUGUAUGGUACGAAACCUUCAGCUACCCACAACUGAUGUAAUUGCCUCCUGGAUAUCUCAAUACUUGGAGGGAAGACACACAAAUAGAUGAAGCAGACUUUCAAAUGAAAAGGUAACUCCAUCACAGAAAAAAUUUGUCUCCAAACUGUCGGAAUCGCUUCGCCUUGAAGAUAAUUUUCUAAUGGCAUACUUCCAUAGUGUAGGAUGAAAAAUUGCCAGGCUUCAUGCUUUAAUCUGAUCAAUGGUCCUCCAAAGAGCACUGAAUCACGCCGAAUCUUCUCUCCGUUUUCCAUUUCCAACGACGCAAGGAGGUCUGGAUUAGUGACUGUUAUCAAUACUCUGCUUCCAUUCUGCUUAUCAGGAAGAACUUCUUCAAGAUCAUCCCAUAUGUCACUGUCAUUGAAGACAUCAUCAAGCACAAUAAAGUACUUCUUGUUUGUCAGGUAAUCUCGAAGAAUAGAUUUCUUCAAGCGAUAAUCUUCACUGAUAAUUACCCUAGCCCGAGAUGGAGGCAUCAAAGAAUUGAUUAUGUCAUCCAAUAUCUUGCCAAAAUCGUAGGCUAUAGAAACCCUGACCCAAGAAAGACAGUCAAAAUAGAACUUGACAUGGUUAUUAUUGUAAGUAUCUGCAGCAAAAGCAGUCUUAUCGAAGCCACUGCUGUCGAGAAUUGCAACCACUGAAAGCCCAGAUGGUCCCUCAAUCAAUAGAUCAAAAAACUUCUCUCUGCCCCUUUCAAAUUCACUGAUAUCGAGCCGAGGUUGUCCCUCAUUCAAUAGGCGAAUGAUUUCGUUACUUUUUUCACUGAUAUCAAAACCAUUGUCGCCGGGUGGAAGUUGUUGCAUCCGAUUUCUAAUAUCAAUGAUUUUAGUGUGGAGUCCAACAAGAAGAGCCAUAUCAGUACUGCUUUCACUUUCGUUUUCACUGUUUUGCUGCUGCAUUAUGUUGAUGAAGAAUCUGUCAAUGGCUUCCUCAGAUUCAUGGACAACGGGAUUGAUGUCCUCCAGAAUUUCCAAAAUAUCUGCUGUUUCAACGUCUUCUUUAUCGCUUUCUUCUAAGUCCAACAGUUGCAAAAAAGGCAAUGAUAUUUUGGAGUCAUCGAAUUCUUCUCUAAUGAGUUGAAACAAAUGCCGAGCCAUGUCAGCUUCAUAUUUUCCCAGCAGAGUAGUAGCAAUAAUUUCGGACUCCGUAAGAAGGUUUUGAAAAAGUGGAGUUAAAUUUGUUGAAUCAGGCAAAGUUAACGUGCCUUCUUCACCUGCUAACACCCUUUUCAACCUCACACAAAACAGUCGGAGGUGGAGUUCCAGCAUAUCUCCUUCUCUCCGCAGCACUCAGAGGUAUAGUUGAAAGAUUAAACACCAUGGAAGAAUUUGAAAGGAAUAUGCCAAGAAACUGUGUAAGUGGCUAAAUUCCACAAAUGCGGCAUUAUUGCUCAUUUUUAACUCAAAAAAUUGAUACGCGUUCAUUUAGAGAAAAGUCCAAGACGCGUGCCUUUUGAAAAGAACAGGUAUCCCAAUCGGUAUCCAACCUCUAUCUUAUUUAAUUACUAUCAUGACAUAAUUGAUGGUGCUUAAAUCAAUUGUUUCUUUUUUAAUUUAAAGAAUUUUUCAUUAAAAAAAUAUUUUAAUAUCAAAUUGCCUUCAGUGGCGUAACUGCCUCAAGCCCAGUAACAGGACUAAUUAAAGAUUUUACAAUUUUUGGGCAUGGAAAUAGUAGUAUUAAAUAUUAGAAAGGUGAGGUUGUUCUGUUAAAGAAUUGAUCUUGACAUAAUUUUAUUUUGGUUUUCGUGGAAAAAUAAAAUUUGUUGACAAGCAAGAAAAUAUUUUUAUAUUUUAAAAUUUAUUAUGCAUAUUUUAUCAUAUUAAAGUAGUUUUAAUAAUAAAUAGAAACAUAAUAUUACGAUAAAUAAAUUAAAAUUUAACUUAUUUUGAAUAUUAUAAAAAAAAUUUUAAUAUUAUUAAUAGGAAGACAUUGUAUUAAUUUUAAAAUUUUUUAACCCAAAGGUUUAUUUAAAAUCUUUAUUAUAAAUACAAAUAUAAAAUUAAAUAUCAUAAUUUAAAAAUUUUAAUAUUAUUUUAAGUAUUAAAAAUAUUUUAAUGUUAUUAGUCUACUACAUAGAUCAUAUUACUUAUAUAAUAUUUGUAUUAUUAAAAAUUCUUAAAAUCAAAUUUUUAGUUAGUAUAUUCAUGAGGUAUUAUGGUUAAAAAAAAAAAAGACCUUAUUAUUACUUUUUAAAAAAUUGAGGGUCUGCGUGAUAAUUUUUUCAAAAAGAAAAUGCUUGGUAUGUAGGAGGGGUAGAGAAACAGGACUCCCAAAAUCUCUCACCCUUCUUUAAUUAAAAAUAAAUAAAAUAUUAAUAAAAAAUAAUAAAGAAAAUAGAAUUUUAUCUGCUCCUUACUCCAUUUUUGUAACUCUCUCACCAUCUCUGUCGAGCAGCCCUCUCUUUCGUUGUCUCUCACUAUUUCACGAUCUCUCUCUCACUCACACAGUCCUUUAAAAAAGCCCAAAAUAGGCCCAAUAAGCCCAUAAUUAAAAUAAUCGAAUCGAAUUAUUUUAAUUAAUCGAGUAUUUGAUUAUUUCGGUAAUUUAAUUAAUCGCAAUUAUGAUUUUAAAAUAAUCGUAAUCGAACGAUUAUGAAAAAUUUAGUAAAAAAACCGAACUGAACCGAACCGCACCCACCCCUACAUAAAAGAACAUCAAUUACUUGUCAUUUUCAAUUUUUUCUAUAAGCUAUUUAUUUUGAGCAUUAGUGAUCUUGUCUGGACUACUCCAAUUAUUGACGUAACUCCAGUGGCUGCAUCCACUGGAAAAAGUGGAUGAUAACAUUUUUUUUUUUUUCAUAAAGGUAACUACUCCAAUUAUUGACAUAAUUGAUGGUGCUUAAAUCAAUUUUUUUUUUAAUUUAAAGAAUUUUGCUUUAAAAAAUAAUUAAUAUCAAAAUGCCUUCAAUGUUGUUACCGCCACAAGCCCAGUUAGAGGACUCAUUAAAACUUUUAGAAUUUUUAGGCCUGGAAAGCAUAGUAUUAAACAUCAGAAAGCAAAGGUUGUUAUGUCGAAGAAUUGAUGUCGACAAAAUUUUAUUUUAGUUUUCGGAAAAAAAAAAUUUGUUGACAAGCAAGAAAAUAUUUUUUAUACUUUACAAUCUGCUAUACAUAUUUUAUCAUAUUAAAGUAAUUUUAAUAAUAUAUGGAAACAUAAUAUUAUAAUAAAUAAAUUAAAAUUAAAAUUACUUUGAAUUAUUAAAUAUUACAAAAAGAUAAUUUUAAUAUUAUUAAUAGGAAAACAUUUUUAAUUGUAAAAUCUUUUUAAUACAAAAAUUCAUUUAAAAUCUUUAUAAUAAAUACAAAUAUAAAAUUAAAAAUAUCAUAAUUUAAAAUUUUUAAUAUUAUUUUAAUAUUAAAAAUACUUUAAUAUUAUUAGUCUACUACAUAAAAUAUAUUAUUUAUAUUAUAUUCGUAUUGAUUAAAACGUUUUAAAGUCAAAUUUUUAAUUAUUGUAUUCAAAGGUACAAAAGAUUUUAGUAUUAUUUUUUAAAAAUUUUAGGAUAUGAAUGAUAAUUUUUUCGAAUUUUAAAGAUGUAAGAAUCUUUUUUUCUAAUAAUUUAUUUCACUUUUGAGAGAAUCCGAAAACGUUAAUUUAACAUUCUUUACCUUUGUGAAAAAAGUGAAAAUCAAGAACUAUUCAAUUUUGUUUUUAUUUGUAAUUCAAAAACUUUAUUCAUUUUCGAUGCUUUUCGAAAGAGAUUCCGUUAAAUCCUUUUGGUGUCGGCAGCUCCUGCUAUUCUCAUAAAUCUCCAUUCCACAUCUACACUAUCAAACAAGUUGAUGGAAAUUCUUAUAAAAAAAAAACAAGUCGAUGGAAAUUGAUCAAUUACUUUUUGAAGUGGACCCAUUGAGUCAUGUUCAUUUCUGGUCAUUGUCUACUCUUUCCAUCAGCCAUUUAUUUUGACCAUUUGCGAUCUUAAAGGAUAUGAGAACGUAGCUGAAGUGCUGAAGGGGCUAUUAAAGAAGAGUGUCACUUGAUCACAAUCACAUUGAUGCACAACUCACUCGUGGCAAAUUUCGACUAUACGUUCUGCAAAUUCAGCCAAACCAUACGUGCAUGAACAAAACUAAAAUGUAGUUCUAAUCACAACUCCAGUUAUGAUGUUUACCCCUCUGAUUUUUCUCCAAAACAAAUUCAGUUCAAAACAAUAAUCAAAAUAGCCACAUUUUGUUCGUCAAAAUAAAUGCCCAAAUUUUCAAUUAACAAAUCAUCUUCUCUAAACUAAAAAUCCCACAUCUCUAAAAUCAAUCUACAUAAUGUUGGAGAUGAGGGGUGAAUUGUUAACUCAGUAAAAAAAACUCAUGCAUAAUAUUACUAAUAAUAUAAAAUAUAUAUUAAUCAUUAUAAAGAAUCAUAAUUAGAAAAAUUAAUCAUUUUAUAAUUUAUUACACAAGUAAGAUAAAUCUCAUAAUAAGUUAUAACAUAAAAAAAACGUUAUCAAUAUAUAAUCAUUUAAGAAGUCAUUUAACAAUAAAAUCGUUCUUUAAUCAGUUGGUCAUGUCACAUAGUGUCAUCUAUAUUUACGGUGAUAAUAUUAUUACUCAGUAUUAUCAAAAAACAUGAUUUAACAUUUAGAGGAAAUUCUUGCCUUUUAAAAAAAAACAUGUAUGCAACAGCUACCCAUGCUUUAUCUUACCAUGACAAAUAUUUUCUCAAUGAAAGAAAAUUUUUUAAAAAUUGAUUUAAUGCACAAAUAUGAUGAUUUUUCCAAAAAUUAGUUUUGGAAAACAUAGUGAGAGAAAAUAGUGACGAUUAUUGUUUAGAUGUAUAAAUAGCCUAAACAUAAUCCUUAAUACCAAUAUCCUAAUGCAUCUUAUCAUCUUUCAUGAUAUUCUUUCAUUUAUGUCCAUUGGUUCAAGAUUUGAAUUUGAUCAUUAAAUCAUGUUCAAUAAUAUUAGAGAUUCUAACAAAUGAGUACCAACUUAAAUCCCAAUGUUAUGUGUCAUUGACCAAUUUUGUGUCAUUUUGUUAUUAACUAGGUGAUGAAUUUGUAGUUGAUAAAAUCACUUAAAAAUAUCUUAAAAAUCAAACAAUAGUUUGCUUAAUUUUUCCAAGUUAACUGCUCAAGAUGCUCUAUUAUAAAUAAUAACCUAAUUAUAUUCAUAAAAAAUGAUAUUUUUUUUGUGGUGUUGAUAAUGAGAUUAUCAUUCAACAUUUUAAAAUGUGAAAACAUAUGGAAGAUGGUUGUAAAUUGAUUGAAUGAAAACAUUUCAGUGAAGUCUCAAAAAUUUGGUACUUGUUGUCUUAUCGAAAGUUUUCUAAAUUAUAUUCGUGGCACAGCCACUAUCCAAACCAUACAAGUCCAAAGCUAUCCAAACCAUACCUGCAAGUCCGGGGCUUAAAUGGAGUACUUCUAAGCAAAAAAACAUUGACUAAAAUAGAAUAUAUACAUACAGACACACAUACAUACCAGCAUAUUCAAAAUAGCAAAAGGAGUGCAAAAGUUCAAGUUUGUAGACAACAUUGCAACCAUAGCAUGUUUAUAGCAAAUCCUCAAAAUCUGCUAAAUAAAACAAUGCCCUGUCUCAUGAAUCAAUGCUGAAUUAAAAUUGAAACUGAAAGUCUGGAUGGUUUUGUUUGUUGAGAAUGUCAAAUAAAACGGCAUUGAAGGAAGUUUUCAAAGGCAGAAUCCGCACUUGUCAAAGGGAUGACCUGCACUUGUCAAAGACACGAUCCGCGCCGAACGGAUCGACACAUUUCCUUCCGUAUUCACAUAUGUAAACUUUGAAAAAAUAUAGCUUCUGCAUCUAUAAAUAACGCUCAGUGUAUAAUGUUUUAUUCAAGAAAUAAAAACAAGUUUCUACAUGGUAUCAGAGCCAUGAAUGCGCUCAAGUUUCUUCAAGUUUCGCUGCUCUGUUUGUCACAAAAACAGAGGAAACCAAUUAAAUUCGUCCCACAACCAUUUUUUCCACCAUUUUCUUCCUUAAAAUCAUUCCUAACAUUACAGAAAUCCAUGCCGAUCAAAAACAUGAAAGACAAAUUACACAUGUGCAGUAACCAAUGAUCAUAUUUUGUUACUGUCAAACACAAUGCAUCUGAGCAAAACAUUGGAAGCCAACACCAGAAUACAUAUGAAUAAACAAUUAAAGAUAGAGAAAAAAGGCUUAAACCUUGGGGGAAAAAGUGAAAAAACAUGAAAGACAAAUUACACAUGUGCAGUAACCAUCGAACUUAUCAGUGACAGCUGCAUCUAUUACAUUGCUCCAACAACACAAGGGCAAACCACCAGUUUCAAAUUGAGGAUAGCUAUCGAGAAUGAGAAAGUGUCCAAAACGUCAUAAAUAGACAUGUUCCUAUUGUGCAUAAUUUACAUUAUAGGCAAAUAUUUUUAUACCAUCAAAGGCAAAACAUGACACUAACAAUUGAUCACCCCCCCCCCCCCCCCCCCCAACAACAAAAAAAAGGAAAAAACAAUACAGAAAAGAUUGAAACAGAUAAGGCUACACUGAGCACAGGAUGCCAUGAAACAUAAUCCAGGAACCAAAUUAAUAAAAAAGGAAGCCAAACCAUUAUUUAACAAUCUGUUUUGUAUUUGGGAAAGUCUGAUAAAAUCUACUUGGGGAUAAUUAGAGAACCUCAACUAUUAAUCACACCUCAUAAAUGAACUAACAUUAAACAUCUACCAUCCCAACGUCACACAAACAUUCUCUACACUUCUGAACCUAAUACUUCCAUCUUCAAUUGGGGGUUUUUUUUUUCUUUUUCUUUGGGGGGGGGGGGGGAUUGAAAUGCUGAUUUCGAAUCACUAACAGUAAAAUUGGAAGCUCAUGAAAAAAUAGUUUUAUCUCAAAAUUACAUCUCGAUAUAAAUUCUCUUUUCAUUUCCUUCAACUUUCUAAUUAAGCUUAAAAAAUGUACCUUCAACCACAAAGGGGUUUAAAAUUUAAAAUAUAAAAAAUAAAUUCAGAUAACAAUAAUUAAUUUAAUUAAAAAUAUAAAUAGAGUUACAGAGAAAGAGAAAAUAGAGAAAGACGUAAUGUUGAGUCCUUUGGCGCAAGUCUCUUCAUAGGUCCGAACCAUUUCUUCGGGCGUGGGUUUCGGGUCUUUAGGAUACUCCAUAGUGAUAAGCCAGUGAUUGUAAUCGCAACCCUCGAACAGAAUCGUGUCGGGUGUGAUCUCGUCGCCGUCCUUAUACAAGUGGUACGUCUUGUUAACCGACGGCGUAGACGAGAGGGAGAUCGUCGGGGACGAUCUGAACGGCCGAGAUUGGAUAAUGAUGGAGGAGGAGAAGAUUAGCGAUGACGACGCCGAUGAAAUGGAAGGGUUUACCAGAGGAGUGGAUGCGAAGAAUGCAGGGACGGCCGCAAAGAGAGAGCGGCGGAGAGCGGCGACGGACGGUAGUGACCGGCGGAGAGCGGAAGAUGGCGGUAUGGGCCAUUGCUUGCGCGUCAGUGAGUGUCUCGAGUGAGGAGUGAAGGGUUUUGUACUUUUGUUUAGGGUUUUGGGAAAUGAAAAAUGCAAAUGUUUGAUUUUGUUGCUAGAAACUUCUUCUGCCGCCGCUUUUUAUUUUCGCUAAAUAAUAAUAAUAAUUUGUUAAUAAAAUACUUUCUUAGAAAAGAUAAAUUUAUAGAACAAAAUUUAUAUUAAAUCAAAUUGUAAAAAUGUGGAAUAGGGCUAAUUUCUCCUGAAUAUUAUUAUUAGUAGAAGUAGAUUUUCGAAAUAGUCUUGAUAUAUUUCAAAGUUGUAUUAUAGAUGUACAUGUAUCUGGAUUGUAAUUAUAUUUUAAAAAAUAUACAUUUUUUUUCAUUAUUGCACAAUAAAUGUAGAAAGUGUCUAUAAAAUAAUAUUAUUAGAACUAUGAAAAUAUAUUAUUUUAGAGUAGUUAUUUAUUUAUUUUUGAAUAAAUAAUUUAUUAAUUUAUUAAUUUAUUGAUAAAUUAAUAAAUAUUAAUUUAAAGAGAGAUUUUUUUUUUUGGGGGUUUUUAAGAAGAGUUUUGUUGGUAUAUGUACAAACUUAUAAAGAAAUACAAAAAAUGCUUCCUCAAGUCAAUAGUAUUUACUUUAAUUCAUAAUAGUAUAGUUUAAUCAAGAAACUUAUAAUUAUACUAUAUCUUUCUUUCUUUGUUCUAUUUGGUGGGACAUUGUGAUAAAUCAUUGGAUUAAAAUGCAUUUCUAAAUGAAAACUUGUUAAAACCUAAUUUAUUUGGGAACGACAUUUUAUUUGUCAGUCGUAUUUCUCAACUUCGUAAGUUAUUUCUAAUUUAUCGGUCUCUAUUGGUUCUCUUAAGUACCUAUUUGGCAUGACUUAUUUAAUAGUAAUAAGUGCUUAUUUAAUCUCAUAAGUUUUUUCCCUCUCUGACAAUUGAGUUAGGGGGUCAAACUUGAAAGUAUCUUAAAAUUAGACAACAAUUUAACUAUUUUUUUUUUUUUAGAUAACUGCUAAUAUGCUCUAUUAGACAAUGAUGAGUGAUAACCUAGGUGUUUGCAUUUAAAGGGAUACUUUUUGUGGUGUUGAUAAAGAGGUUAAGUAUGAUUCAACAAUUUAAAAUAUGAAAACAUAUGGAAGACGGCCGCAAUUAAAUUAAUUGUAUGAAAAUAUUUCAAUGAAAUUUUAAAAAUUUAGUAUUUGUUAUCUUAUCGAGAGUUUUUUAAAAUUAUAUUACUACUUGAACUUGACUGCUUUUGUAUUUAAUUCCUACCGUUGCCAUUGCUUCUACUCAAAAGCCAUUUAAGUUUGUGUAAGCUACGUAUAGUUUGAACAACAAUUUACUCAUGAAUUGUUGUUCAUAAUAGCAUCAGUGCAUGCAUCAUUUUAAUGAGAAAGAAUAUUCUAAGAACGAAAUUGAACGUGGGAGGUAUCGGGAAGGAAUUGGAAUGGAAUAAUAUCGAUUCAUAUAGAUACAGAAGAAAAAGUUCUCUAUUGAUUCAAAUGCUGUGCCUAUGGGAUAAGGAUAGAGAAAGAGGAAAAAACCGAAGCCAGAAAUGUACACGCAUGAGGAACUUUUCCUAGAAGAUUGAUAUUUCUUUGACUAGCAAACCAUACAAGUCCAAAGCUAGCCAAACCAUACCUGCAAGUCGGGGGUUUAAAUGGAAUACUUCUAAGCAUAAAACAUUGAUUAAAACAGAAUACACACAUACAUACCAGCAAAUUCAAAAUAGCAAAAGGAGUGCAAAAGUUCAAGUUUGUAGACAACAUUGCAACCAUGGCAUGUUUAUAGCAAAUCCUCGAAAUCUGCUAAAUAAAACAAUGCCCUGUCUCAUGAAUCAAUGCUGAAUUAAAAUUGAAACUGAAAGUCCGGCUGGCGUUGUUUCCCUCUCCAAUUUUGCCUACAUAAGUGAAAAUAAGAAUAAUAAAUGAAAAUCUGCUUUUACGGUUCUUAUUAGAUAGAUAAAAGGGGGAUCUUUCUUUGUUUCUCUGCUGCAAUGUGUGGCUAUCCCACUCUGUUUUGCCACCCAAGCUGAGUCUAUGCUGAGACAUAAUUUUGACAUCAGAAGCAAUCUCAAUUAGUUUGGCACUUUUAAGCAAUCUCAUAUUUUGCUCACUUGAAGGUUUUACGAUAAACAUAAAUCUACAGAGAAAGUGGGAAAAAAAAAAGAAAAUGCAUAUAAAUAUAUGAGUUAUCAGAUAAGAUUAAAACUCACCCAAUUCAAUCCAUCAGAUUCCGUAAGGAUAUAACUGGAUGUCAUACCGCCACUCCAUAUCCUUGAAAGUCCGUAGUGUUUGUCUCAACUCUGUCUGAGGCCAAUGUAAAUUCAAUUUGCGCAAGCUCUUUAUGCACCACAGCUCUUCUGGAAGCUUUCUCAAGUAAGCACAUGGGUUGACAAUUAAGCUUUCAAGUUUCGGCAUUGCUCCAGCCCCCAUCGUCCACUCAUCUAGCCAAUACAUUGAUUUCAGGUGCAAAACCUUAAGUUCCGGAAAGCUACUCAAGCCAACACAAGCAAGCUUUCUUCCUAAAUACGAGUUCUGCUUCAGUUUCAGCACUCGAAGGCGUGGAAGAUUUUCCAGAAUUGGCAUGGGAUCCUCCAUUAGCUCAGUAUUUGAUAAGCUCAGUUGGAUCAGACUUGGGGGAAAUUGGUAUUCAGACAGGACCAUCCGUGAGGGCUUGCUCUCAUUCACCAGCUUCAAGCAUUCAAGUUUGUGGAGUUCGCAAAGGCUUUUGGAAACCGCAGAUUGAUAGUAACUCAAAUCUCCAGAUAUCCGAAGAGUCUGAACACUAGGUAGUCUGCCCAAUAUAUCAGGAGUACAACUACUAGGGUUUAAAGCUGAUAUGAAAAUGAGAUUUUUCAGAGAGCUGGAAUAAUUUUUUGGAGGUGCGGGCAGAGUGAUAGAACCAAAGUUUAGAUGCAUGAGUUUUUGCAUCAUCCAAAUAUCCUCUGGUGACUGAUCUAUGUAGCUAGAUGGCAUUUCUAGUGUUUCAAGGUUUAAAAGGGUGCAUAGCAGCGAAGGAAGGCGUUUGAGCAAAGGGAUAUUCAAUUUCAAAUACUUCAAAAGGAAUAAAUUUUCUAAUCCGGGUGGAAAUUGGUCGAGAACUGCAGAACCGAAGUUCAGUACCCGAAGGUGUUUGAACUUUUUACAAAAAUUCUCGCAAUCUAUCACAGCGAGAUGAUCGCCUUCUAAACUUUGAUUGAUAAAAGAUUGGAGAUAGAUCUCACCAUGUUCUAAAGAAAUGAAGUCAGUCAGAUGUUCCAAAAUGAUGUAGCGUUUAACAUUUGCAAAUGGUUCCGCUUCCAUUCCAGGCAUCCAGAGAAAUUUCGUCUUGUCUGCCACCAAACCCAAUGAAGUAUAUACAAAACUUGGAACAUAGCAAGCUUUAAUUGUGCCGCCGGCUCUUCUCUUACUCACUUGAAUGAAGCCGCGAUGGAUUAGUUCUUUCAAGUAAUGUUCGGCAGUUUCUUCACCGUUGUAUGGUAUGAAACCUUCAGCUACCCACAACUGAUAUAAUUGCUCCGUAGAUAUCUCCAUACUUGGAGGGAAGACCAACAAAUAGAUGCAGCAGACCUUCAAGUGAAAAGGUAACUCCAUCACAGAAAAAAUUUGUCUCCAAACUGUCGGAAUCGCUUCGCCUUGAAGAUAAUUUUCUAAUGGCAUACUUCCAUAGUGUAGGAUGAAAAAUUGCCAGGCUUCAUGCUUUAAUCUUAUCAAUGGUCCUCCAAUGAGCACUGAAUCACGCCGAAUUUCCUCUCCAUUUUCCAUUUCCAACGACACAAGGAGGUCUGGUUCAGUGACUGUUAUCAAUACUCUGCUUCCAUUCUCAUCAUCAGGGAGAACUUCUUCCAGAUCAUCCCAUAUCUCACAGUCAUCGAAGACGUCAUCAAGCACAAUAAAAUACUUCUUGUUUGUUAGGUAAUCUCGAAGAAUAGAUUCCUUGAAUUGAUAAUCUUCACCGAUAAUUACACUAACCCGAGAUGGAGGCAUCACAGACUUGAUUAUGUCAUCCAAUAUCUUGCGAAAAUCGUAGAGUAGAGAAACCCUGACCCAAGCAAGACAGUCAAAAUAGAACUUGACAUAGUUAUUAUUGUAAGUAUCUGCAGCAAAAGCAGUCUUAUCGAAGCCACUGCUGUCGAGAAUUGCAACCACUGAAAGCCCAGAUGGUCCCUCAAUCAAUAGAUCAAACAACUCCUCUCUGCCCCUUUCAAAUUCACUGAUAUCAAGCCGAGGAUGUCCCUCAUUCAAUAGGCGAAUCAUUUCGUUACUUUUUUCACUGAUAUCAAAACCAUUGUCGCCGGGUGGAAGUUGUUGCAUCCGAUUUCUAAUAUCAAUGAUUUCACUGUGGAGUCCAUCAGGAAGAGCCAUAUUAGUGCUGCUUUCACUUUCGUUUUCACUGUUUUGCUGCUGCAUGAUGUUGAUGAAGAAUGUGUCAAUGACUUCCUCAGAGUCACGGACAAAGUUAUUGAUGUCCUUCAGAAUUUCAAAAAUAUCUGCUGUUUCAACGUCUUCUUCAUCGCUUUCUUCUAAGUCCAACAGUUGCAAAAAAGGCAAAGAUAUUUUGGAGUCAUCGAUAUCUUCUCUAAGGAGUUGAAUCAAAUGCCGAGCCAUGUCGGCUUCAUAGUUUCCCAGAAGAGUAGUAGCAAUAAUUUCGGACUCCGUAAGAAGGUUUUGAAAAAGUGGAGUUAAAUUUGUUGAAUCUGGCAGAGGCAACGUGCCUUCUUCACCUGCUAACACCCUUUUCAACCUCUCACAAAACAGUCGGAGGUGGACGUCCAGCAUAUCUCCUUCUCUCUGUAGCACCCAGAGGUAUUGUUUUUUGCUCCAAGAAAUAUUAAAAGGAUUGGUUCUAUCUAAAAGUGGUUACUGGUGUAAAAUUAAACGCCAUGGGAGAAUUUGAAAGGAAGAUGCCAAGGAACUGGCGAAGUGGCUAAAUUCCACAAAUACGGCAUUAUUGCUCAUUUUUAACUCAAAAAAUUGAUACGCCUUCAUUUAGCGAAAAGUCCAAGACGCUUGCCUUUUGAAAAGAAGAGGUAUCCAUAGAUAUCCAACAUUUAUCUUAUUUUAAUUACUACCACGACAUGAUUGAUGGUUGUUAAAUCAAUUGUUUCUUUUUUAAUUUAAAGAAAUUUUCAUUAAAAAAUAGUUUAAUAGACACAUAAUAUUACAAUAAAUAAAGUAAAGUUUAAAUUAUUUUGAAUAUUAUAAAAAAUAAUUUUAAUAUUAUUAAUAGGAAGACAUUUUGUUAAUUUUAAAAUCUUUUUAACCCAAAGGUUUAUUUAAAAUCUUUAUUAUAAAUACAAAUAUAAAAUUAAAUAUCAUAAUUUAAAAUUUUUAAUAUUAUUUUAAGUAUUAAAAAUAUUUUAAUGUUAUUAGUCUACUACAUAGAUUUUAUUAUUUAUAUUAUAUCUGUAUUGAUUAAAAUUUUUUAAAGUCAAUUUUUUAGUCAAUAUAUUCAAGAGGUAUUAUAGUUAAAGAAAAGAUUUUGGUGUUAUUUUUUGAAAAUUUUAAGGUUUAAAUGAUUUUUUUUUUAAUUUUAAGGAUGUGGGUAUUAUUUUUCCGACAAUUUAUUUUAUUUUUGGGGAAUCCGAUGAGAAAUAUCAUGAGAGAAGGUUAAUUUUACAUUCUUUACCUUUAUGAAAAAAGUGGAAACCAAGAACUAUUCAAUUUUGUAUUUUUUGUUUGUAAUUCAAAAAAUGCAUCCACCAAACAAGCUUAUCUUGAUUUUCCCACUUUAUUCAUUUUCGAUCCUUUAAUCCAUCUAGCAUCUGCAGCCCCCGCUAUUUUCACAAAGAGUAAUGAUACAGCCACAAAUUCUUGUACAAAUUUAUUUUGUAUAAACUGACGUGGCAUGAUAAGAUUGGUUGAAUUAAAUAUCACUUGGCCCACAUGAUUUGUUUUUAUUAUUUUAUAUUUUUAUUCAACCAAUGAAUUAAUGCCACGUCAGUUUGUACAAAAUAAAUUUGUACAAGAGUUUGUGGCUGUAUCAUUACUCUGUCAAGAAUCUCCAUCCCACAGCUACACUAUCAAACAAGUUGAUGGAAAUUGAACAAUUGCUUUUUGAAGUGGACCCAUUAGGUUAUGUUCAUUACUGGUCAUUGUCUAUUCUUUCUAAGAGCCACUUAUUUUGAGCAUUAGCGAUCCUAUCUGGACUACUCCAAUUAUUGAUGUAACUCCAAUGGUUGCAUCAACAGUUGAAUGUAAGAUAGUGUCAGUUCUUUUUUGAGAAUAUAGAGGGAUCUUUAUUUGUUUCUCCGUUGCAGCGUAUUAGUAUAAAUUUCUUGACCUUACAGUUCCUACAGUCUUCCUGUUAAUGAAUUCGCUGAGGCAUUAUUGAUCCAAUCUCAGUGAAGUAAUUGUGGGUGAAAAAAAAAUAAAGGAUAAGAGAACGUAGCUCAAGUGCUGAAUUGACUAUUAAAGAAGAGCGUCACCUGAUCACAAUCACAUUGAUGCACAACUCACUCGAGGCAAAUUUCAUCUAUAUAUACUGCAAAUUCAGCCAAGCCAUGCAUGCAUGAACAAAACUAAAAUGAAGUUCAUAAUCACAACUGUAAUUAGAGCUACAAAAGGUGGCAAACCAUACAUGCAUGAACAAAAUUAGACAUAAAUUGAAGCCACAACAUUAAUUGAAGCCACAAAAGCCAGCAAAUCCAAAUGAAAACUUAAAAGGAAGAUCUUAUCGAAGUUUGUCCCCAAAAGACAGCGGAAAUGAAAAAUAUUGACUAUCGAGUGGAUCAAUGCUGAAUUACAUUUGACCUGGAAAGCUUGGCUGCAGUUGCGAUGUUCCCCCUCUGAUUUUCCCUAAAACAAAUUCAGUUGUAAACAAUAACUGGAGUAGCAACAAUUUAUUCAUUAUAGAAAAUACCUAAAUUUUCAACUAUCAAAUCCUCUUGUCUAAACUAAAAAACUCAUAUCUCUAAAAUCUAUAUACAAAAUGUCAUAAAUGAGGGUGAUCUCUCAAUUCGGUAAACAAAUUCAUGCAUAAUAUUACCAAUAAUGAUAAAUUACAUAAUAAUUAUUAUAAAGAAUCAUAAAUUGGAAACAUUAAUCAUUUUAAAAUCUAUUACAUAAUAAAAAUAAAUCUUAUAAUAAGUUACGUUAGAACAUAACAAAUAUUUAAAAUGAUAUAUAUAAUUAUUUAAGAAGUCUUUUAACAAUAAUUUUUUUUUUCUUUUUCAGUUGAUCAUGUCAUAGCGUUAUCUAAAAUGCUAGCGAUAUCAUUAUUCCCCACUUUUCUCAAAAAAAAGAAAAAGAUAAAGAAAAAAGAAAUAUGAUUAACGUUUGGAGAAAAGUCAUGCCUUUUAAAAAGAAUAUGUAUACAAUACCAAUUCAUACUUUAUCUUACCAUAAAAAAAUUGUUUAAAAUAGAUUUAAUGCACAAAUAUGAUGACUUUUGGCAGAAAUGAGUUUCGGAAAUAUUGGGAUGAAAACCAUAUUGGUUCAGACUUAAAAUUACUUAAUAAAAUUACUUAACUACCAUUUAAUAAAUAAAAAUCAUAUUAGUUGAAAGUUAAAUUAAGAUUUAAAUGUUGAGAUAUCUAACGUUACUCAAUCAGAAUAAACAAUAAUCAAUUCAAAUUAUGACUAUCAUGUAGAAGCAAAUGUUUAUGCUUGGGUCUUUUACUUCUUGAAUUUGAUUGGAAAAAUUUCUGAGACAGGGAAGUGAGUGUUUUGGAUAAUAUUUUUCGGGAUUGAAACCACAAGUUGGUCGAGGAAAAUAAUUUUGGACAAAUUUUUAUUAUAUUGUAGAACCUUUUUGGUUCCUUUUGUGUCGGCAGCCCCUCACUAUUCUCUUAACCCUGAGUUUUGAGAUAGAAAUUUCCCGAACUCCAACCCCACAUCCACAGACAAGUUGAUUGAAACAAUUGCUCUUGUAAUUAAGAGGAUGAGUUAGGGUUCAGUUCUUAUCAUUGUCUGUUAUUUCUUUGAAUCAUUAUCUUAGUUAAUUACAUCAAUUGUUUCUUUUCUUAAUUUAAAGAAUUUUUCUUUUAAAAAAAUAUUUUAAUAUCAAAAUGCGUUAAAUGGUAUUACUGCCGCAAUCCCAGUAACAGGAUUAAUUAAAAAAAUAUUCUUAGGAAGAUAUUUUGUUUAUUGUAAAAUCUUUUUAACCCAAAGGUUUAUUUAAAAUCGUUAUAAUAAAUAAAAAUAUAAAAAAAAAUAAAUAUCAUAAUUUAAAAUUUUAAUAUUAUUUUAAAUAUUAAAAAUACUUUAAUGCUAUUAGUCUACUACACAGGUUAUAUUACUUAUAUUAUAUUUGUAUAAAUUAAAACUUUUAAAGUUAAAUUUUUAAUUACUAUAUUGAAAAGGUAUUAUGGUUAAAAAAAGUUUUGGCAUUUGUUUUUUGAAAAUUUGAGGGUCUGCAUGACAAUUUGUCCAAAUCCUAGAGGUAUAGGUGUCUUUUUUUUUCGAUAAUUCAUUUUACUUUUGAGGGAAUCCGAUGAGAAAUAAGAUAAGAGAAACGUCAAUUUAACGUUCUCUAGGGAAAACCAAGAACUAUUCAAUUUUGUAUUUUUUGUUUGUAAAACAAAAAACAGUUUGCCAAAAAAGGUACCAAACAUAUCCUUAAUGUCUCACAUGAUUUCUUAUUAAGUCCAUACUCGAUAUAUUUAUACAUUUUAGGUAUUUUAGUUAUAAAAGAAGUUGGUCCUCCCUCUGUUUAUAAAAGGUAACUUUAUUUCGAGAUUACCACUAAAGUCUUACAAAGAAUUAGUGUAAUGUUAAGAGAGACUAACACAGUUUUCCAUUACCAUUUUGAAAAUAGAAAGAUAUGGAUGUGUGCAUUUAAUGGUGCGUUUACUUGCCGGAUUGGGGAAUCAGAAUCUGGAAUCAGAAUGAUUGAUGGUGUUUACUUCACAAAUAUGGAGCAGGAAUCGGAAUUGGAAUGGUGGGGCCCACCACUAUUUGGGAAUGGGAGAUUGAUUCCCAUGGGGGAAGGUGGGAAUGAGUCUCUCAUUCCCUGGAUUGACCAUUUUGCCCUCCCUCAAAAUUAAAAAUGCCUACUUUGUCCUCUUUUAUAAUUAAUUAAUAUAAUAUUAUAAUUAAUUAAUUAAUAUAUAAAUAUUUUAUUAACUAUAAUUAUUAAAAAUUAUAGUUCUUGAAUAAAUAAUCACAAUAAUUAAUUUAUUAUUAUUAUUGUUAAUGAAUUAAUAUAAUUAUUACUAUUAAUUAAUAUAUUAAUAUAUUAUUAACAAUAAUAUAUUAAUAAUUAUUGUUCGUGAAUAAAUAAUCACAAUAAUUAAUAUAUUAUUAUUGAAAUUAAUUAAUUAAUAUACUAUUAUAAUAAUUAUUAUAAUUAAUUCAUAUAUUAUUAUUAAUUAAUUAAUAAAAUUAAAAUUAUUAAUUAAAUAAAUAAUAUAAUUAUUACUACUAAUUAAUAUAUUAAUAUAUUAUUAAAAAUAAUUAUUAAUAAUUAUAAUUUUUGAAUAAAUAAUCACAAUAAUUAAUAUAUUAUUUUAAUUAAGUAAUUAAUAUUAAUAUUAUUAGUUAAUAUAUUUUUAUAAUAAUUUUUGAUAUAGUUAUUAUAAUUAAUUAAAAUUUUUUACAAUUAAUUAAUAUAUUAGUUAAUAAUAAUUAUGACAAUAAUUCAUUAAGUACUUUUUAGUAAUUUGUUACAAUCUAAUUCAUUCCGAUUCCGAUUUCAAGACAAAGUAAACACAUUAAUGGCAAUCUAGCUCAUUCCGAUUUCGAUUCUUACAGUUCAAGUAAACAACUUAUUUUGAUUCCCAUUACCUAUUCCCAUUCCAGCCCAUUCUCAUUUCUGCCCAUUUCAAUUCCAGCUCAUUCCGAUUCCAGUUUAGUAAACGCAGCAUAAGAGUUAUCAUGAAAAUCAUACAAUUUAAUUUCCUGAAAUAUAUAUUUUAUUCACAUGUGCCAAAAGAAUAAAUAGAUAGAAAGUAAAUUUACAAUCCUCACUCCCUCAUAAUUGUUAAAGUGAAUAUGCAUUACAACUGUGAACUGUCACUACUUUAGCCCUUUAUUUGUUUUUUCAAUUAUAGUGUGAUGGAGACAGUGAACAUUAAGGAUAAAGUGCUCUGCUGAAAGCCAAACUUCCUUUGGCUAAUUAAUUUAGAAGUAAAGCAGAGAAUAAAGUCCUUGAUGCCUUCUGAAAUUAGAAAUACAUUUUAUAUGCUUUAAUUAUGAUUAUUUGGUAGACUAUUGACCAAAAGACAUGUUAAAGUAUAAAACAGAGCGAUUAAAGAAAAAAAAAAGGAGCGUUUGUGACGUAGAAUAACAAUUUGUAAGCAAAGUCCUAAUUUGAGUUGUCAAAAAGCAAACAUAACAGAGAAGGUAAGAGAGAUGCAAAAACAGAAAACUAUUAGCUUAUCUUGAUUUUCCCACUAUAUUCAUUUUCGAUGCUUUUCAAACGAGAUUCUUUUAAUCCUUCUGGCGUCUGCAGCCCCUGCUCUUCUUAUAAAUCUCCUUCCCACAUCUGCACUACGAACAAGUUGACUAAAAUUAAAUAAUGUUGGAGACGAGGGGUGAGCCGUCAACUUAUUAAAAAAAACUCAUGUAUAAUAUUAUCAAUAAUAUAAAAUAUAUAAUAAUUAUUAUAAAGAAUCAUAAAUUAGAAAAAUUAAUUAUUUUACAAUUUAUUUCUUAAGUAAGAUAAAUCUCGUAAUAAGUUAAGUUUAAUGUAAAAAAUAUUUUCAAUUUAUAAUCAUUUAAGAAGUCAUUUAACAAUAAAAUCUUUUUUUUGAUCAGGUGGCCAUGCCAUAGAGUAUCAUCUAUAUUCGUGGUGAUAUUAUUAUUACUCAAUAUCCUCAAAAGACACUAUUUAACAUUUAGAGAAAAUUUCUGCCUUUUAAAAAGAACAUGUAUGCAAUAGCUAGCCACACUUUAUUUUACCACGACAAAAUUGAUAGUGAUUAAAUCAAUUUUCUCAAUUAAAGAAAUUUUUUUUAAAUUGAUUUAAUGCACAAAUAUGAUGAGUUUUUGCAAAAAUUAGUUUUGGAAAAUAUAGUGAGAGAGAAUGGUGACGAUUAUUUUUCAGAUGUGCAAAUAGCCUAAACAUAAUCUCUAAUACCAAUAUCCUUGUGCAUCUUAACACCUUUCAUGAUAUUCUUUCAUUCAUAACCAUUUGUUCAAUAUUUGAAUUUGAUUAUUAAAUUAUGUUCAAUAAUGUUAGAGACCCCAACAAUUGGGUACCAACUUAAAUCCCAAUGCUAUGUGUCAAUGUAACAUAGCAAAAUCCCAUUAACAAAUGUUGUGUCAUUUAUCAUUAUUGAAUGAAUAAUUCGUUAAUUUAUUGAUAAAUGAAAAUUUAUUAAUUUAAAGAGAGAUUUUUUUUUUUGGUUUUAAGAAGAGUUUUGUUGGUACAUGUACAUACUUAUAAAGGAAAAACUUGUAAUUAUACUAUAUCUUUCUUUCUUUGUUCAGUUUGGUGGGAUAUUGUGAUAAAUCAUUGGAUUAAAAUGCAUUUCUAAAUUGAAACUUGUUAAAAUCUAAUUUAUUUGGGAAACGCAUAUUAUUUGUCAGUCGUACUUCUCAACUUAGCAAGUUAUUUCUAACUUGUCGGUCUCUAUUGGUUCUCUUAAAACUAAUAGUCUCGUAUCUCCCGCAUUUGAUAUCUUGCCAUUACUGUUGGCAUUAACAUGUUACCUGAGAUUGGGAUUCAUUAAAAUCCUCAAUGUAAUCGGUGGAACGAAUGGAUUUCUUCUGUUCACCAAUCCACCAAAAUUUCUGUAAUUAAAUUCAAAAGUCAAGAUCUAUGCUUAUAAUCUAUUCAACAGCUAAUAUUCUAUUUUAUAUUUACUUAAAUAUGAAGAGCUAUGCUUGUAGUUAACUUCAAAUGUGAUCGAAGCAGCCUUACAUCUAUAUAUUACUUAUGCCCAACCUUUUUUUUUGACUUCAUAUACAUUCUUUUCAUGUUAUUUACUCUUUUUUCCCCCUCUCUGACAAUUGAGGUAGGGGGUCAAACUUGAAAGUAUCUUAAAAUCAGACAAUAAUUUUUUUUUUUUAAAGAUAGCUACUAAUAUGCUCUAUUAGACAAUGAUAAGUAAUAACCUAGUUGUUUGCAUUAGAAAUGAUAUUUUUUGUGGUGCUGAUAAAGAGGUUGAUUAUGAUUCAACAAUUUAAAAUAUGAAAACAUGUGGAAGACGGCCGCAAUUAAAUUGAUUGUAUGAAAAUAUUUCAAUGAAAUUUUAAAAGUUUAGUACUUGUUAUCUUAUCGAGAGUUUUUUUAAAUUAUAUUACUACUUGAACUUGACUGCUUUUGUAUUGAAUUCCUACCGUUGCCAUUGCUUCUACUCAAAAGCCAUUUAAGUUUGUGUAAGCUACCUAUAGUUUGAACAACAAUUUACUCAUGAAUUGUUGUUCAUAUUAGCAAUUUGAUUGAAAGUGCGGCUGCACUAAUUUUCUAGAUGAAUUUUUUCCUACAUGCUUGUUCUCGUAUGACCCAAAAUCCUACUACAUCAGUUGUAUUAGAAAUUAAUCAACUGGGUUACAAUUAUGCAUCCCCACCAAUAUUUAAGCAAUUUAAUUACAGAAAUAUUUCUUGAGGAAAGAAACUCAUAUCGCCACUAGGCUUGUAAUGAGGCUCAUUUUUAUGAAUCUGGAUGGCAUUAGAUAUCUCUACGAAUAUUGGUGGGAGUAGAUCGCAGAUCUCUGGGCUAUACUACAAAGUUUAUGUACGUUGACUCUCAAUAAAUACAAACGAUUCUCUGAUAUGAUUCAAACAUCAGUGCAUGCAUCAUUUUAAUGAGAAAGAAUAUUCUAAGAACGAAAUUGAAGGUGCAAUCAGCAGCUAAAAUGAAGCCAGAAAUGUACAUGCAUGAGGAAUUUUUCCUAGAAGAUUGAUAUUUCUUUGACUAGCAAACCAUACAAGUCCAAAGCUAGCCAAACCAUACCUGCAAGGUGGGGGUUUAAAUGGAAUACUUCUAAGCAUAAAACAUUGAUUAAAACAGAAUACACACAUACAUACCAGCAAAUUCAAAAUAGCAAGAGGAGUGCAAAAGUUCAAGUUUGUAGACAACAUUGCAACCAUGGCAAGUUUAUAGCAAAUCCUCGAAAUCUGCUAAAUAAAACAAUGCCCUGUCUCAUGAAUCAAUGCUUAAUUAAAAUUGAAACUGAAAGUCUGGCUGACGUUGUUUCCCUCUCCAAUUUUGCCUACAUAAGUGAAAAUAAGAAUAAUAAAUGAAAAUCUGCUUUUACAGUUCUUAUUAGAUAGAUAUAAAUGGAUCUUUCUUUGUUUCUCUGCUGUAUUUUGUGGCUAUCCCACUCUGUUUUGCCAGUCAAGCUGAGUCUAUGUUGAGACAUAAUUUUGACAUCAGAAGCAAUCUCAAUUAGUUUGGCACUUUUAUGACCUCCUUAAAGGUUUUACAAUAAACAUAAAUCUACUGAGAAAGUGGGAAAAAAAAGAAAAUGCAUAUAAAAAUAUGAGUUAUCAGAUAAGAUUAAAACUCACCCAAUUCAAUCCAUCAGAUUCCGUAAGGAUAUAACUGGAUGUCAUACCGCCACUCCAUAUCCUUGAAAGUCCGUAGUGUUUGUCUCAACUCUGUCUGAGGCCAAUGUAAAUUCAAUUUGCGCAAGCUCUUUAUGCACCACAGCUCUUCUGGAAGCUUUCUCAAGUAAGCACAUGGGUUGACGAUUAAGCUUUCAAGUUUCGGCAUUGCUCCAGCCCCCAUCGUCCACUCAUCUAGCCAAUACAUUGAUUUCAGGUGCAAAACCUUAAGUUCGGGAAAGCUACUCAAGCCAACACAAGCAAGCUUUCUUCCUAAAUACGAGUUCUGCUUCAGUUUCAGCACUCGAAGGCGUGGAAGAUUUUCCAGAAUUGGCAUGGGAUCCUCCAUUAGCUCAGUAUUUGAUAAGCUCAGUUGGAUCAGACUUGGGGGAAAUUGGUAUUCAGACAGGACCAUCCGUGAGGGCUUGCUCUCAUUCACCAGCUUCAAGCAUUCAAGUUUGUGGACUUCGCAAAGGCUUUUGGAAACCCCAGAUUGAUAGUAACUCAAAUCUCCAGAUAUCCGAAGAGUCUGAACACUAGGUAGUCUGCCCAAUAUUUCAGGAGUACAACUACUAGGGUUUAAAGCUGAUAUAAAAAUGAGUUUUUUCAGAGAGCUAGAAUAAUUUUUUGGAGGUGCGGGUAGAGUGAUAGAACCAAAGUUUAGAUGUAUGAGUUUUUGCAUCAUCCAAAUAUCCUCUGGUGACUGAUCUAUGUAGCUAGAUGGCAUUUCUAGUGUUUCAAGGUUUAAAAGGGUGCAUAGCAGUGGAGGAAGGCAUUUGAGCGAAGGGAUAUUCAUUUUCAAAUACUUCAAAAGAUAUAAAUUUUCUAAUCCAGGUGGAAAUUGGUCGAGAACUGCAGAACCGAAGUUCAGUACCCGAAGGUGUUUGAACUUUUUACAAAAAUUCUCGCAAUCUAUCACAGCGAGAUGAUCGCCUUCUGAACUUUGAUUGAUAAAAGAUUGGAGAUAGAUCUCACCAUGUUCUAAAGAAAUGAACUCAGUCAGAUGCUCCAAAAUGAUGUACCGUUUAACAUUUGCAAAUGGUUCCGCUUCCCUGUCAGGCAUCCAGAGAAAUUUCGUCUUGUCUGCCAUCAAACCCAAUGAAGUAUAUACAAAACUUGGAACAUAGCAAGCUGUAAUUGUGCCGCCGGCUCUUCUCUUACUCACAUGAAUGAAGCCGCGAUGGAUUAGCUCUUUUAAGUAAUGUUCGGCAGUUUCCUCACCGUUGUAUGGAAUAAAGCCUUCAGCUAUCCACAACUGACAUAAUUGCCUGGUAGAUAUCUCAAUGCCUGGACGGAAGACACACAAAUAAAGGCAGCAGACUUUCAAGUGAAAAGGUAACUCCAACACAGAACAAAUUCGACUCAAGAGUGUCAAAACCACUUUUUCAUCCAUAUAAUUUACUAAUGGGGCACUUCCAUAGUGUAGGAUGAAAAAUUUCCAGGCUUCAUGCUUUAAUCUGAUCAAUGGUCCUCCAACAGGCACUGAAUAAAGCGGAAUGAUCCCUCCAUGCUCCAAUUCAAAAAAGGUAAGGAGGAAUGGAUCAGUGACCAAUAUCAAUACUCUGCUUCCAUUCUGCUUAUCAGGAAGAACUUCUUCAAGAUCAUCCCAUAUGUCACUGUCAUUGAAGACAUCAUCAAGCACAAUAAAGUACUUCUUGUUUGUCAGGUAAUCUCGAAGAAUAGAUUUCUUCAAGUGAUAAUCUUCACCGAUAAUUACCCUAGCCCGAGAUGGAGGCAUUAAAGAAUUGAUUAUGUCAUCCAAUAUCUUGCCAAAAUAGUAGCCUAUAGAAACCCUUACCCAAGCAAGACAGUCAAAAUAGAACUUGACAUGAUUAUUAUUGUAAAUAUCUGCAGCAAAAACAGUCUUAUGGAAGCCAUUGCUGUCGAGAAUUGCAAUCACUGAAAGCCCAGAUGGUCCCUCAAUCAAUAGAUCAAACAACUCCUCUCUGCCCCUUUCAAAUUCACUGACAUCAAGCCAGUGUUGUCCCUUACUCAAUAGGCGAAUGAUUUUGUUACUUUGUUCAGUGAUAUCAAAACCAUUGUCGCUGGGUGGAAGUUGUUGCAUUCGAUCUCUAAUAUCAAUGAUUUUACUGUGGAGUCCAACAAGAAGAGCCAUAUUAGUACUGCUUUCACUUUCGUUUUCACUGUUUUGCUGCUGCAUGAUGUUGAUGAAGAAUGUGUCAAUCGCUUCAUCAGAUUCAUGGACAAAGUGAUUGAUGUCGUCCAGAAUUUCCAAAAUGUCCCGUCUUUUUACGUCUUCAUCAGUGUCUUCUAAGUCUAACAGUUGCAGACAAAGCCAAGCCAUUUCAGCUCCAUUGAGUUGUUCUCUAAUGAUGCGUCGAAUCACACGACGAGUCAUGUCACCUUCAUAGUUCCCGAGCAGAGUAGUAAUAAUUUCAGUCUCCGUAAAAAGGUUUUGAAAAAGCGGGGCUAAGUUUGUUGAAUCAGGCAACGUUAACGUGCCUUCUUCACCUGCUACCACCCUUUUCAACCUCUCACAAAAUAGUCGGAGGUGGACGUCCAGCAUAUCUCCUUCUCUCUGUGGCACCCAGAGGUAUUGUUAUUUGCUCCAAGAAAUGUUAAAAGGAUUGGUCCUAUCUCAAAGAGGUUAGUGGUGUAAAGUUAAACACAAUGGAAGAAUUUGAAAGGAAUAUACCAAGAAACUGUGUAAGUGGCUAAAUUCCACAAAUAUGGCAUUGUUGCUCAUUUUUAACUCAAAAAAAUACACGUUAAUUUAGCGAAAAGUCCAAGACACGUGCUUUUUGAAAAGAACAGGUAUCCCAAUAGGUAUCCAACCUUUAUCUUAAUCAAUUACUACCAUGACAUACUUGAUGGUGCUUAAAUCAAUUUUUCUUUUCUUAAUGUAAAGAUUUUAUUUUUUUAAAACAGAUUUUAAUAUCAAGAAAAAAUAUCACUCGUAUAUCCUUAAAUGACACUUGUAUCAAACGUACUACAACACUUUUAACAUGUAUCACUUGUAUACCUUAAGUUGACAAAUUGUGUCUACCAUCCACCAAACCGUUAGUUGCCGUUUGCAAGCGCUGACAUCAUAAAGGUAAUCUAGUCUUUUCAAAUGGAAGAAACUUUGAUUAAAAAAACGACAUGUCAUCCCAUUUACCUCGUAAAAAAUGACAUAUCAUAUGAUAUAUAUUGACAAAAAAUGACAUGUCAUCCCAUUUAUCGGAAGAUGAUGUCAUCUAUGUGAAACAACGUUGUUUCAACGGGACUAAAAAAAAAAUGAUACUCCACAACCGAAUCGACUCCUCCAAACUUUAACUUGAAUAUUUGAAGAUCUACUCAUCCAAGCUCCAACUGGAAUUUUUUAUGGUAUAAUAUGUUGUUAAUAAUUUUUUAUGGUAUAAUAUGGAUUAUUUUUUAUGGAUAAUUGUUAAUAAUACGUACCAUUAAUAAUUCAUUUUUUAAUAAAAAAUGUAUUGUUAAUAAAAAAUAAAAAAUAUAUUGAAAAUUUACGUUAAUUUUUUGGGCAAAUAUGUAUUUUUACCUUAUUUUGAGUUUCAAGGGCGAAAUAGUCAAUUUGUCAUAAUUCUGUUAACUUUCUAAUGGUAGCUAACAGUUUGGUGGACAGCAGACACAUUUUGUCAACUUAGGGUGUACGAGUAAUACAUGUUAAAAGUGCUGCAAUACGUUUGAUACAAGUGUCAUUUAAAGGUAUAUGAGUGAUACAUGUUAAAAGAGUUGUAGUACAUUUGAUACAAGUGUCAUUUAAGGGGAUAUAAGUGAUAUUUUCCCUAAUAUCAAAUUGCCUUCGAUGUUUUUACAGCUACAAGCUCAGUAACAGGAUUAAUUAAAAAGUUUAGAAUUGUUGGGCGUGCAAAGAGUAGUUUUAAACACCAGAAAGCAAAGGUUGUUAUUGACAUAAUUUUAUUUUUGUUUUCGAGGGAAUUUGUUUUUUUUGUUGACAAGAAAAUAGUAUUAUAUUUUACAAUCUAUUAUACAUAUUUUAUCAUAUUAAAGUAAUUUUAAUAUUAAAUGGAAACAUUAAAUUUAAAUUAAUUAAUUAAAAAUUGAAUUAUUUUGAAUAUUAUGUAAAAAAUUAUUUUAAUAUCAUUAAUAAGGAGAUAUUUUGUUAAUUGUAAAAUAUUUUUAACCCAAAUAUAUAUUAAAUUUUUUAUAAUAAAUACAAAUACAAAUAUAAAAAUAAAAUAAAUAUCAUAGUUUAAAAUUUUAAUGUUAUUUUAAAUAUUAAAAAUAAUUUAAUGCUAUUAGUCUAUUACACAGGUUAUAUUAUAUUUGCAUUAAUUAAAAGUUUUAAAGUCAAUUUUCCAGUUUCUAUAUUCAAAGGUAUAAUGGUUAAAAGAAAGUUCUUGGUGUUUCUUUUUAAAAAUUUGAGGGUCUUAAUGAUAAUUUUUCUAAAUCGUAAGGGUAUAGGUGUCUUUUUUUCCGAUAAUUUAUUUCACGGGUAUCCAAUAAGAAACAUGGUAAGAGAACGUCAAUUACUUAUCAUUUUCUAUUUUUUCUAUGAGUCAUUUAUUUUGAGCAUUAGUGAUCUUAUCUGGACUACUCCAACUAUUGAUGCAACUCCAGUGGCUGCAUCCACAGUUAAAUAUAUGAUAGUGUUAGCUCUUAUUUGAGAAUUUAGAGGGAUCUUUCUUUGUUUCUCUGUUGCAAUGUGCUAGUAUAAAUUUCUUUACCUUAAAAUUUAUAUAGUCUUGCAGUUAAAGAAUUCACUGAGGCAUUGUUGAUUCAAUUUCAGUGAAGCAAUUGUGGGUGAAAGAUAAAUGAAGGAAAAGAGAACAGAGCUGAAGUGCUAAAUUGGCUAUUGAAGAAGGAUGUCACAUGAUCACAAUCACAUUGAUGCACAACUCUCUGGAGGCAAAGUUUGUCUAUAUGUACUCUGAAUUCAGCCAAGCCAUACAUGCAUGAACAAAAAUUAAACCGUAGUUCUAAUCACAACAGUAAUUGAAGCUACAAAAGCCAGCAAAUCUGAACGAAGACUUAAAAGAAAGAUCUUAUUCAAGUUUGUCCCCAAAAGACAGCUGAAAUGAAAAAUAUUGACUGUUGAAUGGGCCAAUGCUGAAUUACAUUUCAAAUGGAAAGCUUGGCAGCAGUUACAAUGUUUCCCCCUCUGAUUUUCCUCCAAAACAAAUUCAGUUGUAAACAAUAACCGAAGUAGUAAUAAUUUAUUCAUCAAAGAAAAUGCCCCCAAGUUUUCAAUUAAAAAAUCCUCUUGUCCAAACUAAAAGAACUCAUAUCUCUAAAAUUUAUUUGCAAAAUGUUGGAAAUGAGGAGUGAUCCGUUAACUCUGUAAAUAAACUCAUGCAUAAUGUUAACAAUAAUGAUAAAUUACAUAAUAAUUAUUAUAGAGAAUCAUAAAUUGGAAACGCUAAUCAUUCUACUAUUAUAUAAGUAAGAUAAAUAUCAUAAUAAGUUAAGUUAUAAUGUAAUAAAUAUUUGCAAUAUAUAAUUAUUUAAGAAGUCAUUUAACAAUAAAAUAUUUUUUUAUCCAGUUGAUCAUAUAGCGUUAUCUAAACUCUUGACAAUAUUAUUAUUACUCACUUUUCUCAAAAAAACAUGAUUAACUUUUAGAGAAAGUCAUGUCUUUGAGAAAGAAUAUGUAUACAAGCUAUCCAUACUUUAUCUUACUGUGACAAAAUUGAUGGUGAUUAAUUGUAUUUUUUAAAAUAGAUUUAACGCACAAAUAAGAUGACUUUUGGCAAAAAUUAUUUUCGGAAGAUAUAGUGAUAGAAAAUAGUGAUGAUAAUUAUUGUUUAAAUGUGUAAAUAGCCUAAGCAUAGCCCGUAAUACCAAUAUUCAUUUGCACCUUGAAAGAAACUUAGUUCUAUAUUGUUUGGCAAGCAAGAAAGUAAAGGAAAAUGAAAGAGAACUCUAAAGAACCUUUUUUAUUAUACUCAGAUAUCUCAACUUAAUGAAUACUGAUUGACAUUUAUACUAAGCUACAAUCUUCACUACACACACGAGUUUGUAACAUCACAUAACCAUUUGCUGCAUAACUAACUUUACACAUCAGCUCAACCAGCUAACUAACUUUGACAGGUCAGCUCAGUGAGUUGAUCUGCUACAACCAGCUACACAGCAACAGCAUGCUCUGCUCCAGCUAUACAGCAACAUCAUGCUCUGUUCCAGCUUUAUCCGCUCUGCUUUGCUCUGCUCCAGCUUUGACAGGUCAGCUCAGUGAGUUGAUCUGCUACAACCAGCUACACAGCAACAACAUGCUCUGCUCCAGCUAUACAGCAACAUCAUGCUCUGCUCCAGCUUUAUCCAAUUCACUAACAUCCCCCCUCAAGCUAAAAUGUUUAGGAUGAACAUUCAGCUUGCUUCUGAAGUAACUGAAUUGUUUGAAAGUAAGAGCCUUAGUUAACACAUCUGCUGUUUGAUCUGGACUAGGCACAUAGCAUACUGCAACCUCUUUAGCAGUGACCUUAUCUCGGAUAAAAUGUAUAUCCAAUUCAACAUGCUUAGUCUUAGCAUGAUAAACUGGAUUAUAAGCUAAAGCAAUUGCUCCUUGAUUAUCACACCACAUUAUAGGAGUGGAGCUUAAUGUGAUACUAAGUUCACCAAGUAAGGAUUUAAUCCAGGUAACCUCUGAAGCAGCAUGGGCAAGAGAUCUAUACUCAGCUUCUGUGCUGGAUCUGGAAACAACAACUUGUUUCUUUGACGACCAGGAAACAAGAUUAGGACCUAGAUAAACAGCAAAGCCAGCCACUGACUUCCUAUCAUCAUGAUCACAAGCCCAAUCAGAAUCUGAAAAACAAUGUAAUUGCAGAGCUCCUUGAUUGUAGAAAUGCAGCCCCAGAUGGAUAGUGCCUUUUAAGUACCUCAAUAACCUUUUACAUGCUUCCCAAUGUUGAGUUCUAGGACUGGAAAGGAACUGACUUAACUUGUUUACAGAGAAGGCAAUGUCAGGUCUGGUAAGAGUAACAUAUUGAAGAGCUCCUAUAACACUUCGAUAUUGAGAAACAUUUUCAAGUGGCUCUCCUGAGUCUUUGGUGAGAUAAAAGCCUGUAGACAUUGGAGUUGGCACAGGACUGCAGUCUGUCAUGCCAUGUUUAUCCAGAAUAUUAGCAAUGUACUUUGCUUGUGUCAAGGAAACCCCUUGUGAAGAUUUGCUGACUUCAAUCCCCAGAAAAUAGUGAAGUUCCCCCAGGUCUUUUAAAGCAAAAGCUUGAUGCAUAUGCUGGAUAACUUGUUGAAUUAUGGAUGGACUGGAACCAGUGAUGAUAAUAUCAUCAACAUAGACCAAAACAACAGUUAGAUGACCACUGUUCCAGGCAUAAAAGAGAGAGUUAUCAGACCUGGAAUGCUGAAAAUGCCACUUGGAGAUCAUUGCAUCCUUAAACCUAUCAAACCAGGCUCUAGGAGCUUGUUUUAAGCCAUACAAAGCCUUAUUUAGCUUGCAGAUAUGAUUAGGUUUAGUUGAAUCAACAAAACCUUGAGGUUGAGCCAUGUACACAUCUUCAAUUAAAAUGCCAUUUAGAAAGGCAUUGUUAACAUCCACCUGCCUUACAACCCAGUGACUCAAUACUGCUAAGCUAAGAAUAACUCUAACAGUGGAGGACUUAACCACUGGACUGAAGGUUUCUGUGUAGUCAAUCCCAUGUGUCUGAUGAAACCCUUUAGCCACAAGCCUGGCUUUAUACCUUGAAACUGAACCAUCUGAGUUAUACUUUACUCGAAAUACCCACUUGUUGCCAACUAUCUUCACUGGAGUAGCAGGUAAGACUAAAUCCCAGGUGUGAUUGGUUUUAAGAGCUAGAUACUCUUCUUGCAUAGCUUUAUACCACAUAGGAUCAGAAAGUGCUUUGGAAACAGAGGUUGGUUCUGACUUCUGAGCUAGUAAAGCUGACAAGUAGAUCUUGGGCUUGAAGAUACCUGCUUUUGACCUGGUUAUCAUUGGAUGACCAGAUGAUGCAGGUUGUGACAAGGUAUGUGGAGGUGAAUGAUGGGAUGGUGAAGAAGGAGAAGAAGAAGUGGAAUUGAAAUUAUCAGAAAAGUAAACUGGAGUAGAAUUUGGGAAGGAAAUAGAAGCAUGUGACUGAGAAUCAUUAAGAAGAUAUUCUGAUGAUGCUGCUAAAGGUGCUUGUAACUGAGUAACAAAAGGAGUAGAAGAAUUAAAAGAAGACUCAGAAUGAGUUGAUGACUGACAGUUUGAAGAAACUGAAGAAAAAUCUGUUCCUGACUCAUAAGGAAAAGAACGUUCAUAAAAGGUUACAUGAUUUGAAAUAUAGACCCUCCCAGAAGAGUGAAGACACUGAUAUCCCUUGUGUUGUGAACUGUAGCCAAUGAAUAUACAUCUAGCUGUUCUGAAAUCAAACUUAUGUCUAUUGUAUGGUCUGAGUGUUGGAUAACAAGCACAGCCGAAAAUUUUAAGUGUUGAAUAAUCUGGUUGGGAAUGAAACAACUUUUGAAAAGGAGAAAUGCUGUUUAGAACUGGAGUUGGAAGUCUGUUUAUCAAGUAGACAGCUGUAUGGAAUGCAUUCCACCAAAAUUUGAGUGGUAAAUGUGCUUGAGCUAAUAAAGUCAGUCCUACAUCAACUAUGUGUCUAUGUUUCCUCUCAAUUUUUCCAUUUUGAUGAUGAAUGUGGGGGCAAGGAUGUCGAAAAUGGAUGCCAGAAGUGGUGAGUAAUGAUGAAAAUGUUCUGAACUCCCCUCCCCAGUCAGUUUGGACAGUUUUGAUGGAAAGUUGAAGAUGCUUCUCAAUGAAUAUUUUGAAAUUGGUAAAAACUUCAAGAGCAUCAGAUUUUGCUGAUAAGGGAAAAAUCCAGGUAAACCUACUGUAAUCAUCUAGGAUUGACAAGUAGUAAUUAUAUCCUUGGGUAGAACAAACAUGAGAAGGGCCCCAAAGAUCUGCAUAUAUCAGUUGUAAAGGUGCUGAAGUUUUUGUUUCUACUGAAUCAAAAUGCAGCAUGUGAUUUUUACCAUAUUGGCAUGCUGAACAAAAUUUCAAACUGUCAACUUUAUUAAAAGCAGUAGAGUUGUUACAAGCUUUGAGAAUGGUUUUGAGAGUAUAAGAUGCUGGGUGUCAUAAUCUUCUAUGAAGAAGAUUUACAUCAAUAGAACCCUUUACAACAACUGACAGACAUGACUUUUUAUUCAACUCAUAAGAGCUAACAGUAGAGAGCUGAGCAGAAUUAAAAACAGGAGAACAAGCAAAAAGAGACUGAAUUUUGUUUUGACCAACUGAACUGAGAAAGACUGAAUGAACAGCAGCAUGAGAAGAGACUUUAUACAAGCUGUUGUGCAAAUUUUAAUGUACUCGCAAGCGCACGAAUCUAUUAUAGUAUAGAUCAAUGGUGACGAGUGUCGAUCCCACGAGGAGGUAGAUUUUAAUUGUGUAUAGAAUUAAUUUUGCAAAUGGUUGAUUGGAUUUGUAGUGGAAAUGAUUAGGAAUAUGCUAAAACUUAAAUUAAAAUGGCGAGAAUAAAUUCUAAAAUUGGAAUUGCAAUGGCGAGAAUAAAUUGAAGAGAAAUGUAUUGAAAUGACGUACUUGGGUAUCUGGAUCCGUAUCAACAUGCAUCAUGGGCUAAAUAAUCCGUAUUAAUGCCAAUUAAAUCAUGAGGGGGGAAUCCACACCUCAUGAACCACGCUCUAAUCAAUAUGGUGCUAAGGGCUUAUCGUGCCAAAUAAUAAUAACCUUAUACUAGAGAGCCGGUGUAACCAAGGCGGUAUCUAGACAAGAUCAGUAUUAUUUGUCGACGAUAAGUCAAAUCAUCCACAAAAACUAGAGGGGAAAAGAAAAUAAAUUUACCAAAUAAAGCCCAUGACACAUGUUGAGACUUCACCUUCAACCCAAGCUUGAAAGGAAAUUAGCUACUCAUAAUUGAACUAGGGGCAAAAUGGGAAUUUAUUAAAAUACAAAGAAAAUACAAGAUGGAGAGGGAAUUACAGAAAAUGGAUCCCAAAAAUGGAUUCAGAGAUAUCAAAUUAGGGGGGGAGGCCCAUUUUUUAUAGAUACAUGGAGUAAAUCAUGGCCAUCGGAUUAAAAACAGUUUGGACGCUCAGGAUUGCGCCACGUCAUCAGUCAACAGUCAACGGUUUGACCACGCGGAUGAACAGUAACAUGGUUUGGUUGAAAAUAAUCCUGUGUGAUGCAUACACCGUACGCGAGAUUUUUCGUCCACUGAUAUGCUGCCACGUCACCAUCAACAGUACAUAAGAAUUUUAGUCCAACAGGAUCGUGACACCUCAUCAGUCAAUGCCACAUCAUCGGUCAAUGCCACGUCAUCGAUCCGUCUAUGUGAACAGUGUCGUGAACAGUAACGUAGACAGUACCGUAUACGUGAAUAGUACCGUACAUGUGAAUAGUGCCAUUUUUCCUUUUAUGCUCCUCCUAAGGUUUUCGACCGUCCUGAGUUCAAAAGUGAUGUCCGUUUUGCCGUCUGAUCUCUCCUUUAUUGUGAAAUGACUAUAAUGCCCCUAAAAUACAUAAAAUACUUAAUUAAAAUAACACACACGUAAUUACAUCACAAGAGGGUUAAAUACAUAAAAGUAAGGGUUGUUAGUAAGACUUGAAACGUAAAAUGACGGUUUUCUCCUUUAUAAAUAUGCAUUUUCUAACACUCAACACAAGCCACCUUUAGCAACACCUUCAAGUAAAAUUUUCCCUGUGUUCCUGGCCUUUAUAAAACACAAAUUACCAAGAAAUUCAACAGUAACUGGAUUGUCAGCCAACAAUUUUGAGAUGCUAAGCAAAUUCUUAGUAAUAAAAGGGACAUGAAGAACAUGGUUAAGAAAUAAGGAUUGAGAAGCUGAAGUAUUUAGCACAACUGACCCUACAUGUGUAAUAGCUAAUGCAUUUCCAUCUCCAACAAAUAACCUUUCAGUACCAGUGUAAACUUUUGAAUCCAGAAGCUUACCUAGAUCAUUGGUAAUAUGAUUUGUUGCUCCACUAUCAAUAUACCAGGAAGGAUCUUCAAUGUGUUCAGGUGGGAGUGAAGAAGACAUAGCAGAGGAGGAGGAAGCACUUGACUGUUCCAGAUUAUUAUGUCCUAGACAGAAACAAAAUUAGAUGAUCCAGGGUUGAAUGAGAAAUAAGCAGAUGGGUUGCUUUCUGGAUAUACUAUAUUUCCUUGAUAGCCAAAACCCCUGGGGGCAUUACCAAAACCAACAUUUUGUCCAAAACCAGCAUUUGAACCAAAACCUCCAAAACCUCUUCCACUAUUACCAUUAAAGGCUCUUCCUCGACCAUAUUGCCCUUGAUUAAAACCUCUGCCACCAUUCAUAUUACCUCUACCAUGGUUCCUCUGUGGAACAAAAGAUGAGUUGUACCUAUUUCUGCAUUUAUAGGCUGCAUGACCAGGUAUGAAGCAAAUUUGGCAAACAACUUCAGAGAAAUUACUAUUAUUAUUAAACUGACCAUAUCCAUAUCCAGAAUUAUUACCACCUCCAGAGUUAUUUCCAUACUGUUUCUGAAAAUUUCCAUUAUUCUUUCCAGCAUAUGAGUUCUUCUGAACAAUAUUUGCUGUCAUGUUAUGCAUCACAUCACCAGCAAUUUUUCCUUUCUUUUGCUCAACUCUAUUUUCAUGAUUCAACAGCAAAGAAUAUAGUUCAUCUAAUGUUAUCUUUUCACCUCGAGCUAACACAGCAGUGACUAAAGAUUCAUAAUCUGAUGAAUCAAGACCAGUUAAUACAUGCAUCACAAGAUCAUUUAACUCAACAGGUUUUCCAGCUAGAGCUAAAGUAUCAGCUAUACGUUUUACUUUUACAAAGUAAUCAGACAUAUGCAUUGCACCUUUCUUAAUAGUUUGAAUCUGCAUUCUAAGUGUUUGAAUUCUAGCUUGUGAUUGAGAGAUAAACAUACUAGCAAGAGUCUCCCAAAGCUGUUUUGAGGUUGUUGAGUCAAUCACAGUAGCAAGCAGAUUUUGUUGUAUCAAUGACAUCAUCCAACUCAGCAGAAGUUGAUCAGCCUUCAUCCAAGCUACGAACUCUGGAUUAACAGAUCUGGAUCCAGAUUCAGUAACAGAUCUGGAUCCAGAUUCAAUUAAGAUUUCAGCUCCAUUGUUGUUGCCAGAAGAAAGAAACUGCUCAGGACAUUCUCGAUCACCAUUGAUAAAACCUUCCAAACCAUUUCCUUUGAUCGAAGCUAGAAUUUGUGUGCGCCACAAAAUAUAGUUGUUUUGAUCUAGCUUUACAGGCGUAACAAAACUAAAAGAGUUGUUGUUUUGAACUGUAUUUGCCAUUUAUGGCUCUGAUACCAUGAAAGAAACUUAGUUCUAUAUUGUUUGGCAAGCAAGAAAGUAAAGGAAAAUGAAAGAGAACUCUAAAGAACCUUUUUUAUUAUACUCAGAUAUCUCAACUUAAUGAAUAUUGAUUGACAUUUAUACUAAGCUACAAUCUUCACUACACACACGAGUUUGUUACAUCACAUAACCAUUUGCUGCAUAACUAACUUUACACAUCAGCUCAACCAGCUAACUAACUUUGAUAGGUCAGCUCAGUGAGUUGAUCUGCUACAACCAGCUACACAGCAACAGCAUGCUCUGCUCCAGCUAUACAGCAACAUCAUGCUCUGCUCCAGCUUUAUCCGCUCUGCUCUGCUCUGCUCCAGCUUUGACAGGUCAGCUCAGUGAGUUGAUCUGCUACAACCAGCUACACAGCAACAGCAUGCUCUGCUCCAGCUAUACAGCAACAUCAUGCUCUGCUCCGGCUUUAUCCAAUUCACUAACACACCUUCAUUUGUGUUAUCACAUUUCAUGAUAUUCUUUCAUUUAUGACCAUUGUUCAAGAUUUUAAUUUGAUUAUAAACUAAGUUGCAAGGGAGCUUACUUCAGUUUCUAAGCUUUUCAAUCGUGAUUCCUGCAUGCCAAACGUAACUGACCUUAUAAUUGGUCUGUAUAAGAAAUCAAGCCCUUUCAGGAUCGUUUUCUUUUUCUCCCUAUUGUAGUAGUCAACUAAAUAAAGAAUGAACAACUAAACUUGGUCUAUUUCGAGGAAGACUAAGGCUUCCAAUACUAGAUGAACUUUGAAGAAAAUUAAUCCGUUGUUUUUAUUCAUCUUUGGACUAUGAAUUUAUACAAAGACUUUAACAGAAAAUAACAAAGACACAGCUAAAUGAUAGCAAUAAGUGCUGACUUGGUGGACCACUUCUGCAAGUAAAUAAAAACUAAAUAUUUAUUUUGACUAUAACAACAACUACGCUGAUGAAUAGGAUUUCACAGCAGCCACGUGACAACUAAUUUCUCCUUAAUAUUAUUAUUAGUAGAAGUAGAUUUUAAAACUAGUCUUGAUAUAUUUCAAAGUUGUAUUAUCAAUGUAUAUGUGUCUAGAUUGUAACUAUAUUUUAAAAAAUAUAAAAUUUUUAAUUAUUGCACAGUAUAUGUAGCAAAAUAUCUAUAGAAUGAUAUUAUUAGGACUAAGAUUUUUUUUUAUUUUAGAUAAGUUAUUUAUUUAUUAUCGAAUGAAUAAUUUAUUAAUUUACUGAUAAAUGAAUAUUUAUUAAUUUAAAGAGAGAUUUUUUUGGUUUUAACAAGAGUUUGUUUGGUAAAUGUACACACUUAUAAAGAAACAUAAAAAGUGGUUCCUCAAGUCAAUAGUAUUUGCUUCAAUCGCAAUGGUUCAUAAUAAUAUAGCAUAGUUAGGAAAUUUGUAAUUAUAUUAUGGCUCUGUUUGGUAGUAAAACUCAUUUAAGUAGAGUUGUUGUUAAUAGAGCUUUUAUAAAUAAAGCUUUUACUAAAAAAAAUUUAGUUGUUUGCUUGUCAAUGUCCAAAUUGAUAAACUUUUGUUCUUUUGUUAAGAUAUGUUUGUUUUACUUAAUAAUAGCAUCGGCAAGAGUUUUCGAUUGUUGCAACUUGCAAUGCACGCGGUGAGAGAAAAUGAGAAUCUUGUUUAAUUGUCAAUAUAUAAUGACAAACCUAAUCCUUUCAUUAGGAGUAAUUUAAUAAUCGUUUGUUAUAACUGAAUAUGUAUAAAGAAAGGAAAAUUCUAUUCAUAAAUUUCGACUUAUUUUUUGUUUAAAGUAAUUAAUCAUUCAACCAUCUUCAUUUGCCUCUGGCCAAUGCCCUUGUAGAUUAGUUUACUUAAUUAUGAUUAUAUACAUUUUCAUAUAGCAAGUGGCAUUGUAGAUCUAAACUAAGUUGCUAUUUCAAUACCAGCAAAUUCAAAAUAGAAAAGGAGUGCAACUAUUCAACUUUGUAGACAAUAUUGCAACCAUGGCAUAUUUAUAGCAAAUCAUUGAAAUCUGCUAAAGAAAACAAUGCCCUGUCUCAUGAAUCGAUGCUCAAUUAAAAUUUAAAUUGAAAGUCCGGCUGGUGUUGUUUUCCUCUCCAGCGAAAUAAGAAUCAUAAGUGAAAAUAGGCUUUGACAGGUCUUAUUUCUUUGUUUCUCUGCUGCAAUGUGUGGUUAUCCCACUCUGUUUUGCCACUCAAGCUGAGUCUACGUUGAGACAUUAUUUCAGUAUUGAGGUAACAAUAAUUUCGGACUCCGUAAGAAGGUUUUGAAAAAGUGGAGUCACAUUUGUUGAAUCAGGCAACGUCAACGUGCCUUCUUCACCUGCUAACACCCUUUUCAACCUCUCACAAAAUAGUCGGAGGUGGACGUCCAGCAUAUCUCAUUCACAUUUGUUGAAUUUGCAUGGAAUUUGCAAGGAGUAUGCCAAAGAAUUUGCAAGGAAUAUGCCAAGAAUUUGCAAGGAAUAUGCCAAGAAACUGGCCAACCCGCUUAGCUUAAUUCCACAAAUAUGACGUUAUUGCUCAUUUUUCUCUCAAGCACAUAAUACACGUUCUUCGAGACGCGUGCCUUCUGAAAAGGACAGGUAUCCAACCUCAUCUUAAUUACUACCAUGACAUAAUUGAUGGUUGCUUAAAUCAAUUUUUUCUUCUUUUUUUUUUUUAAUUUAAAGAAUUUUCCCUUAAAAAAAAUUUAAUAUCAAAAUGCCUUCAAUGUUAUUACUGCCGAAAGCCAAACUUCCUUUGGGUAAUUAAUUUAGAAGUGAAGCAGAGAAUAAAGUCCUAGAUGCCUUUUGAAAUUAGAAAUACAUUUUAUAUGCUUUAAUUAAUCAAUUCACUGAGGCAUUAUUGAUCCAAUCCCAGUGAAGUAAUUGUGGGUGAAAAAAAAAUAAAGUGCUGAAUUGGCUACUAAGAAAGAGUGUCACUUGAUCACAAUCACAUUGAUCCACAACUCACUCGAGGCAAAUUUCAUCUAUGUGUACUGCAAAUUUAGCCAAACCAUACAUGCAUGAACAAAAUUAGGCCGUAGUCCUCAUCACAACAUUAAUUGAAGCCACAAAAGCCAGCAAAUCCAAACAAAAACUUAAAAGAAAAUGCUUGGUAUAGAGAAGCACGAGAGAAAGACGAGAAAAACAAUGAAGAAAGUGGUAGAGAGAGAGUGAGUGGGUAGAGAGAGAGCAAAAUUCUCUCGUCUUUCUCUCGUGCUUCUCUCUCUCUAUCACUACUCAAACUUAAAAGGAAGAUCUUAUUCAAGUUUGUCCCCAAAAGACAGCUGAAAUGAAAAAUAUUGACUAUUGAGUGGGUCGAUGCUGAAUUACAUUUGACAUGGAAAGCUUGGCUGCAGUUGCGAUGUUCCCCCUUCUGAUUUUCCUCCAAAACAAAUUCAUUUGUAAACAAUAACGGAAGUAGCAACAAUUUAUUCAUUAUAGAAAAUACCUAAAUUUUCAACUAUCAAAUCCUCUUGUCUAAACUAAAAAACUCAUAUCUCUAAAAUCUAUAUACAAAAUGUCAAAAACGGGUGAUCUCUCAAUUCGAUAAAUAAAUUCAUGCAUAAUGUUACUAGUAAUGAUAAAUUACAUAAUAAUUAUUAUAAAGAAUCAUAAAUUGGAAACAUUAAUCAUUUUACAAUAUAUUACAUAAUAAAGAUAAAUUUUAUAACAAGUUAAGUUAGAACAUAUCAAAUAUUUUCAAUAUAUAUAAUUAUUUAAGAAGUCUUUUAACAAUAAUUUUUUUCUUUUUCAGUUAAUCAUGUCAUAUACCGUUAUCUAAAAUGCUGGCGAUAUUAUUAUUCCUCACUUUUCUCAAACAAAAAAGAAAAGAAAAAAGAAACAUGAUUAACGUUUAGAGAAAAGUCACGCCUUUUAAAAACAAUAUGUAUACAAUAGCAAUCCAUACUUUAUAAAAUUGAUGGUGAUUACAAAGAAAAAUUGUUUAAAAUAGAUUUAAUGCACAAAUAUGAUGACUUUUGGCAAAAAUUAGUUUCGGAAAUGUUGGGAUGAAAACCAUAUUAAUUGAGAAUUAAAAUUACUUAAUAAAAUUACUUAACUACCAUCUAAUAGAUGAAAACCAUAUCAAUUGGGACUUAAAUUAAGAUUUAAAUGUUGAAAUAUCUAGCAUUACUCACAAUAACCAAUUCAAAUUAUGACUAUCAUGUAGAAGCAAAUGUUUAUGCUUGGGUUUUUUACUUCUUGAAUUUGAUUGGAAAAAUUUCUGAGAUAGAGAAGUGUUUUGGAUAAUUUUUUCGGGAUUGAAACCACAAAUUGGUAGAGGAAAUUAAUUUUGGACAAAUUUUUCUUAUAUUGUAGGACCUUCUAGUUGGAGUAGUGAUGGCUUUGUCUUCAUUUUUGGUUCCUUUUGUGUCAGCAACCCCUUACUAUUCUCUUGACCCUGAGUUUGAGAUAGAAAUUUAUCAACCUCCAACCCCACAUCCACAAACAAGUUGAUUGAAACAAUUACUCUUUUAAUUAAGAGGACCCAAAUGAUUUAGGUUUCAGUUCUUAUCAUUUGUCUAUUAUUUCUUUGAAACAUUUAUUUUGAGCGUUACUGAUCUUAAUUAUCUGUAUUUCUCCAAUUAUUGAAGAAUUUCAAGUGGCCACUUUUUCUCCUUUUUAUAUAUGUUUAUUUUUUGGAGUGAUCAAACGGGUGAAAAAUCAAGUAUUCGCUGGUCUGUAGUUUAGCCAACGAUGGCUGAUCCACACAGUUGAUUAUAUGAUACUAUUAGCUCUCAAAAUCUUUCUUAUUUGAGAACAUAAAUUGCCCAUUGAAGUUAAACUAUGUUACCCAGCUCCAUGCACAUACAUUAAAUGUUUAGGUAGUUUUACAAAAUGAUAACAGCAUGCCAAAACUUGAUGUUGUCAUAUUCGACAUUUCAAAUUGAAAAAUAUGCAAGCAAUCUUCAGUGACCAUUACGUUUUUAUUGAAUAAUUUAAAUGGCCAGUAAAUCAACAGUCCGUGAGUUUUAAAUCUGUUAUGACUUAAUGUAUCUUUCUGUAUUCGUACACAGGUUAUAUUAUCAUAGUUUAAAAUUUUAAUAUUAUUUUAAAUGUUAUAAAUACUUUAAUGCUAUUAGUCUACUACACAGGUUAUAUUAUUUAUAUUAUAUUUGUAUUAAUUAAAACUUUUAAUGUCAACUUUCUAAUUACUAUAUUGAAAAGGUAUUAUGGUUAAGAAAAAGUUUUGGCAUUUCUUCUAAAAAAUUUGAGGGUAUGCAUGACAACACUACAAGAAAAAUGACCUACCAUGACAGUCCUCUGUGUGACAGUUUUUGGUCUGCAGAGCUACUACGAUAGAUGGAUGAUAAAUUUUUUUUCUAUCAUUCAUUUAUGACAUACUUGUGAUAGAAAUUUCAUCUAUCAAGCACUUAUGAUAGACUGAUGAUAAAUUAUUUGGUUAUCAAGAAGUAAUGACAAGUUUGUGAUAUAAUUUAGAUCAUCAAGUAGCUUUUUUAUUUUGACUUUAUUUCACAAGGUUGACUGAAAAUUUUAAAAUGAAUGAAAAAAAUAAAUAAAGAAUAAACGGUACCGUUUGGAUUAAAAGUUUCUCUUUGGACAAGAAACGACACCGUUUAGAUUGAAGCUAAAUAAAAACAAAACCCUCUUCAGUUUUCACUAAUCGAAUUUUUUUUCCCUAAGUGUCGGCACUCUCACUCACUCUCGUCUCUCGCUCAGUCAUUCUCGUCAAUCUCACACUCACAAAGCCCUUUUCACCCGAAAUCCUUGCAUGGGCACUGAACCACUGCCGCCAUUCUCUUGUAUUUGACUAUCAAUUUUGGCUCUCACCGAGAACUAUAUGGAAUACCCACCAAACGCAUGUGCUUCUACUAUUGAAUUUCAAUACCCUAACUGAGAGCCCACGCUCACCCACUAUUGUAACCGUUCGAUCAAUACAGGUAAAUAAUAUUUCUAGUGUUGUGUUCCAUUUCAAUUUUAAUGUUCUUGUCAAACUCGAACCCUAUAUAUGUAAACUUAAAAACCCUAGAUGUGUUCUUGUCAAAUUCGAACCCUACACACCUAAAUCUUGUAAAACCUAGAUGUUUUCUUGUCAAAUUUGAACCCUGUACGUGUAAAACUUGAAAAUCCUAGGUGUGCUCUUGUUAAAUUUGGAUCUAUUUGAUUGGUCUUCUAUGUUUCUUUAUUUAUGGAAUUUUAAACAUUUAUUUGAUUUUUUUGGAAUUUAAUUAUUAUAGUUUUAUUGUUAAAUUAAUUUGAUUUAGGCUGUAAAGAUCCUUGCCAAUUUAAUCGUGAUGGGUGUUGGGAUAUUGUCUAGGCUGCUUUAUCUUUGGGGUUUUCUAAUAACUAAUUUUUUUUUUUCACUUUUUUGUGGAUGCAUGGAACUAUAUAUAUAGAUAAUUCUCAAAUUCGUUCACUGUGAUGCAAAGUCUUUUUUUUUUCAAUUUCAUUGGUUAAAUUCACUAAUUCGUUGAAAUUAGUGGUGAUUGUGGGCCGAGUCGCAUGUGCAGGAAGUGGUGUCAGGUCUGGGCGCACAUUGAGUCAUGCACUUGGUGGGCAAUUGGUAUUGUUUCUAUUGUGUGUGUUGGAAAUAAUGUCAAUAUCAUCCAACCAAUGUGUGUUUCUAGUGGCUGUUUUUGCACCGAGCAGAUAAUUUAUUAUUACAUCAGAGUUCCCCAUCCCUUGUUUCUCUUUUGGGUAAUGCAGGUAUUGACUAGUUCAUUUCCAUUUUCAUUUGUCUUGAGGGAAUGUUAUCAAUUUUUCGAUCUUACAAGAUAUUGAUUGAUACAUAUGUGUACAAUACAUUAAAAAUCAUUAAACAUUUUGCUCUUAGUUACAAUUUUGAAUGAAUGUCACAUGGAAAGAUCCUCUAAGAAUAUCAAUAGUAUUGUGGUUUCUACUCAAUUUCCACUCUCCGCACUCAUAUGAGCAUGGUUUGAAUCUCAAGCCUUUUGUACCAUUCAAAAAUUUAUACCAAUUAACAACAUAGCUUGCUAGCACCACAAAUUGUUUCAACUCCAAGGCAGAGAAUUCCUAGAAGAUAUAUACAUAUUGAUAUAUACUUGCAUGUAGCCGUAUGCUCACUACCUUCGAAUUGGGGAUAUAGUCACUAUUUUUGUAUUCCCUCCAAGUGUUUGAUAAAAAGCAUGAAUGAAUCUUGGCUCUUUAAUUGUUGCAGGCCAUUUCUACCUAUGAGGAGCAAAGGAAUAUGAAGCUUAUUAUAUUCAUUCACAAAGCAAAGCUGAUAUAAUUCAUGGCAAAGCUUGAUGAGGUGUUGUAUUUAAUCUUGCUCAUGAGAUCAAUUACCUAUCUUGUUGGACUUUAUUCUUGUAAUUAAGGUCCAUCCAAAGUUGAUGGCUUGUUUGUCAGAAAGAUAAUCUGAAGGCUAUGAUUGAUUACUUGCGGGCCGAUGGAAAUGUCUCCAUGAUUGGUUUAUGAGGUUGUUAAAUUACUAAAUAGGUAUAUUUACUUUUCAUGAGCUUUAUCUUCGUUUUUCCAUUAUGGAAAUGUCUCUAUGAUUGUAACUUUUAACACGUGGAACUCUUGAACCCUAUGUUUAGUUAUAUACUUAUAUUGGGACUUGUAUAAAUUAAUAUGAUGGUUUUAUUAUUAUUAUUAUUAGUAGUAGUAGUAGUAGUAGUAGCAGCUACAAAAGAUCAAAAGAACUUAAAGGUGUGGCUUGUGGCUUUCUUGCUGUUUGGGCUUUAACUGCUGCCUCACUUGUCAUUGUUGCUAAUCUGGUGUGCCACGUCCAUUUCAGUGUAAUUACAUAAGUUAGUUUGCUUGAUUAAUUAAUUAAUUAGUUAGCGGAUUGAAUAGCCAGAGUACUACAUUUUGCAUAGGUCUGAUGCUGGAUGAAUUUUCAUGUCUUGGCUUUGGGGCUGCUGGAUUUUGCUGCUGGAAGACUAGAUUUUGCAAUUUUGUUGCUGGAAGACUACAUUUUGUGUAGGUUUGUUGCUGGAUGUUGCUGAAUGCGGAGUACUUUGCUUGGUUUUGGAUUGGCCUUUGUUGUCUAUUGGCUCGACUUUGGAAUAUGGAUUAACUAAUGUAAUGUACUUUGGAUAUUUUUAUGGUUAAUAAAGUUCACUAAUUUAGUUCAUUAGUUUUGGAUUUAAUUGCAUUUAGUAAUUUAUUUUCUUUCAUAUAAUUUUAAUAAUUUUAAUAAUUUUAAUUUUUAAAUUUCAUAAUUUUUAUUUUAAAUUAAUAAAUAAAAUAAAUAAUCAAUUUUUUCAAAAAAAAUGUGAUAGAAAAUACUAGUCAUACACACAAUUGAUAUCCCAAAAAAAAAUACAAUCCAAAAAUUUCUAAAAAAAUGAAAAUAUAAAAUAAAAAAAUAAUUUCCCUCUUCUAAGUAGUAUGACAUAAUUAUGAUAGGUAAAAUCUAUCACAACUUGUGACGCGAUUUUAUCUGUCAUCUUUUCUUGACGCUGACUAUAAUGACAGUAAGGAUAACCGUCAUCUACCCCCUAAGAUGACAGUUUUUACCUAUCAUAAUAGGUCAUUUUUCUUGUAGUGCAAUUUUUCCAAUUCUAAGGGUAUAGGUUUGAAAAUUUAACGUUAUUUAACUUAAUGAAACAAAAGGGGAAACCAAGAACUAUUCAAUUUUGUAUUUUUUGUUUGUAAUUCAAAAAAUACAUCCACCAAACAAGUUUUACACAUUAAUGCUGUCAUAAAACGAAAAACAGUUUGCCAAAAAAUGGUACCGUCACAUGAUUUCUUAGUAAGUCCAUAUUAGAUAUAUUUAUACAUUUUAGGUAUUUUAGUUAUAAAAGAAGUUGGUCCUCCCCCUAUUUAUAAAAGAUAACUUUGUUUCGAUAUUACCACUAAACUCUUACAUAGAAUUAGUGUAAUGUUAAGAGAGAGUAAUGCGGUUUUCCAUUACCAUCUUUGAAAAUAGAAAGAUAUGGAUGCGUGCAUUUAAGAGUCAUCGUGAAAAUCAUACAAUUCAAUUUCCUGACAUAUAUAUUUAUGCACGUAUGCCAAAAGAAUAAAUAGACAGAAAGUAAAUUUAUAGUCCUCACUUCCUCACAAUUGUUAACGUGGAGAUGCAUUACAACUGUGAACUGUCACUACUUUAGCCUUUUUUUUUUUUAAUUAUAGUGUGAUGGAGACAUUAAGGAUGAGCAUAAUAGUUAAAGAUGACUCAUUUCUCAUUUUCUUUUUAAAGUGCUCUGCUGAAAGCCAAACUUCCUUUGGCUAAUUAAUUUAGAAGUAAAGCAGAGAAUAAAGUCCUAGAUGCCUUCUGAAAUUAGAAAUACAUUUUAUAUGCUUUAAUUAUGAUUAUUUGGUAGACUAAAGACCUAAAAGAUAUGUCAAAAGUAUAAAACAGAGCGAUUAAAGAAAAAAGAAAAAAAAAACAGAGUAUUUGUGACGUAGAAUAACAAUUGGUAAAUAAAUCCUAAAUAUUUGAGUUGUUAAAAGCAAAUAUAACAGAGACGGUAAGAGAGAUGCUGAAACAGAAAACUAUUAGCUUAUCUUGAUUUUCCCACUAUAUUCAUUUUCGAUGCUUUUCAAACGAGAUUCUUUUAAUUCUUCUGGUGUCUCUUAUAGAUCUCCAUCCCACAUCUGCACUACGAACAAGUUGAUUAAAAUUAAAUACUGUUGGAGAUGUGGGGUGAGCGGUCAACUUGGUAAAAAAACUAUGUAUAAUAUUGUUAAUAAUAUAAAAUAUAAAAUAAUAAUUACAAAGAAUCAUAAAUUAGAAAAAUUAUUUAUUUUACAAUCUAUUUCUUAAGUAAGAUAAAUCUCGUAAUAAGUUAAGUUAUAAUGUAAAAAAUAUUUUCAAUUUAUAAUCAUUUAAGGAGUCAUUUAACAAUAAAAUCUUUCUUUUUUUGAUCAAUUGGUCAUGCUACAGAGCAUCAUCUAUUCGUGGUGAUAUUAUUAUUACUCCGUAUUCUCAAAAAACACGAUUUAACAUUUAGAGAAAGUUCCUACCUUUUAAAAAGAACAUGUAUGCAACAACUACCCAUACUUUAUCUUACCACGACAAAACUAAUAGUGACUAAAUCAAUUUUCUCGAAUAAAGAAAAAUUUCUUAAAAUUAAUUUAAUAUACAAAUAUGAUGACUUUUUGCAAAAAUUAGUUUUGGAAAAUUAGUGACAGAAAAUAGUAACGAUUAUUGUUUAGAUGUGUAAAUAGCCUAAACAUGAUCCCUAAUACCAAUAUCCACGUGCAUCUUAACACCUUUCGUCAUAUUCUUUCAUUCAUGGUCACUGGUUCAAGAUUUGAAUUUGAUCAUUAAAUCAUGUUCAAUAAUAUUAGAGAUCCCAACAAUUGAGUACCAACUUAAAUCCCAAUGCUAUGUGUCAUUAACAAAUGUUGUGUCAUUUAUAAUUAUUGAAUGAAUAAUUCGUUAAUUUAUUGAUAAAUGAAAAUUUAUUAAUUUAAAGAGAGAUAUUUUUUUUUUGGGUUUUAAGAAGAGUUUUGUUGGUACAUGUACAUACUUAUAAAGAAAUAAACUUGUAAUUAUACUAUAUCUUUCUUUCUUUAUUCAGUUUGGUGGGAUAUUGUGAUAAAUCAUUGGAUUAAAAUGCAUUUCUAAAUUAAAACUUGUUAAAAUCUAAUUUAUUUGGGAAGCGCAUAUUAUUUGUCAGUCGUACUUCUCAAGUCUCAACUUAGCAAGUUAUUUCUAACUUGUCAGUCUCUAUUUGUUCUCUAAAAGCUAAUAGUCUCGAAUCUCCCGCAUUUGAUAUCUUGCCAUUAUUGUUGGCAUUAACAUGUUACCUGAGAUUGGGAUUCAUUAAAAUCCUCAAUGUAAUCGGUGGAACGAAUGGAUUUCUUCUGUUCACCAAUCCACCAAAAUUUCUGUAAUUAAAUUCAAGAGUCAAGAUCUAUGCUUAUAAUCUAUUCUAACAGCUAAUAUUCUAUUUUAUAUUUACUUAAAUAUGAAGAGCUAUGCUUGUCAUUAACUUCAAAUGUGAUCGAAGCAGCCAUACAUCUGUAUAUUACUUAUUCCCAACCUUUUUUUUUGACUUCAUAUACUUUCUUUUCAUGUUAUUUACUCUUUUUUUCCCCUCUCUGACAAUUGAGGUAGGGGGUCAAACUUGAAAGUAUCUUAAAAUCAGACAAUUUUUUUUUUUUUUAAGAUAGCUGCUAAUAUGCUCUAUUAGACAAUGAUAAGUAAUAACCUAGUUGUUUGCAUUAGAAAUGAUAUUUUUUGUGGUGCUGAUAAAGAGGUUGAUUAUGAUUCAACAAUUUAAAAUAUGAAAACAUGUGGAAGACGGCCGCAAUUAAAUUGAUUGUAUGAAAAUAUUUCAAUGAAAUUUUAAAAAUUUAGUACUUGUUAUCUUAUCGAGAGUUUUUUUAAAUUAUAUUACUACUUGAACUUGGGUACUUGUUAUCUUAUCGAGAGUUUUUUUAAAUUAUAUUACUACUUGAACUUGGCUGCUUUUGUAUUGAAUUCCUAGCGUUGCCAUUGCUUCUACUCAAAAGCCAUUUAAGUUUGUGUAAGCUACCUAUAGUUUGAACAACAAUUUACUCAUGAAUUGUUGUUCAUAAUAGCAAUUUGAUUGAAAGUGCGGCUGCACUAAUUUUCUAGAUGAAUUUUUUCCUACAUGCUUGUUCUCGUAUGACCCAAAAUCCUGCUACAUCAGUUGUAUUAGAAAUUAAUACUGGGUUACAAUUAUGCAUCCCCACCAAUAUUUAAGCAAUUUAAUUACAGGAACAUUUCUUGAGGAAAGAAACUCAUAUCGCCCCUAGGCUUUUAAUGAGGCUCAUUUUUAUGAAUCUGGAUGGCAUUAGAUAUCUCUCCGAAUAUUGGUGGGAGUAUAUCGCAGAUCUCUGGGCUAUACUACAAAGUGUAUGUACGUUGACUCUCAAUAAAUACAAACGAUUCUCUGAUAUGAUUCAAAACAUCAGUGCACGCAUCAUUUUAACGAGAGAGAAUAUUCUAAGAACGAAAUUGAAGGUGCAAUCAACAACUAAAAUGAAGCCAGAAAUGUACACGCAUGAGGAAGUUUUCCUAGAAGAUUGAUAUUUCUUUAACUAGCAAACAAUACAAGUCCAAAGCUAACCAAACCAUACCUGCAAGUCCGGGGCUUAAAUGGAGUACUUGUAAGCAUAAAACAUUAAUCAAAACACAGUAUAGACACACACACACACCCCUACAUACAUACCAGCAAAUUCGAAAUAGAAAAAGGAGUGCAACUAUUCAAGUUUGUUGACAAUAUUGCAACCAUGGCAUAUUAAAGCAAAUCCUUAAAAUCAGCUAAACGAAACAAUUCCCUGUCUCAUGAAUCGAUGCUCAAUUAAAAUUGAAAUUGAAAGUCCGGCUGGUGUUGUUUCCCUCUCCAGGUUUGCCUACAUAAGUAAAGGGAAAUGAGAAUCAUAAAUGAAAAUCUGCUUCGAUCACUGUUCACAAAUCACUGUUCACAAAUCCCUAAUUCAAAAAUUACUGUUGAUUAUCGUUUUACAGCAGCGCCUCAGCUCCAGCCUUCACCCCGCAACGCAAGCAGCAGCCAGCGCGAACCAGUCGCGCCCAACGCAAGCCCCAGCAACCCAGAUUGUUAGCUCCAGCCGCGCGCAACGUAGCUGAGCAGCAGCAGACCAGCAGCGCGAACCAGCUCUCGCGCGCAACACAACGCGAACGCAGCAGUGCGUAGAUGCAGCCCAGCAACGCAGCGCGAACCAGCAAUGCAGCCUCACCAGCGCGCAACGCAAGCCCCCGCACGCGCAGCACCAGCAUCCCGUUUCUCGCAGCGCAGCAGCGCGCAACGCAGCGCAGCACCCGCAAAGCAAGCCUCACCAGCGCGCAACGCAAGCCCGCAACGCAGCAACGAGCACGCCCUGCAACGCAACCAGCUUACGCCUUGUAUUCCAGCCGGGUAAAUCGAAAUCCGUGAGUACAAUUAUUGUAACAAUGCCGAAGAGGAAAGCAUCCACUUCCAAGUCAUCGAAAAAGACACCCAUCGCAAAGAAAUCUAAGAUUGCCGCUCCCACUACGGUUCCAUGGAACACAAUUUCAGAUUCACGCCAAGCCGUGAGACAAAGAUCGAAGCAUGGAAAAGGCAUGAGUAUUUUGCCACUUGCGGAAUCCAAUCUCGAAGGGUGCCUUGCAUUCGCGACUCAACAAGAGAAAGAGAGGUACAAAGAUAUUUCCACGGGCAAAAUACUUCCAGCUAAGAAUUUUUGGAUAUGUCUAUGUUUGAAAGAACAUGUGUGGUUGAAUUCAAGGAGGGGAGAUUUCAGUUUACUGAACCAGGACCCACUCAACUUCCGAAGAAGCUUUAUGCUAGGAGUGGUGCUACCUCUGAUGACGAGUUUGACGACGACACUGCUGCCCCGCCAACUAUUCCUUCUACAUCCGCACCACCUUUGAGCAUUCAAUUAGAGAAAAUGGAGCACAAGCUGAACAAGAUGGAGCAGAAUUUGGCCGCAUACUUCGAGAGUGUGGGAUUUACCCCACCAUUUCCGCCAAGCCCAUAGACGUUAUGUGGAUCAAAGCUCACAAUUCAGGGAAGUUUCUUUUUGCCCUUAAUCCUUUAUCCUUACGCUUUAAUUUUUAUGUGAGCUUUGAUUAUCUUACAUUGGGGACAAUGUAAGUUCUUGGUGUGGGGGAGGGAUUUUUGCAUUAUUGAUGUCUGGAAUUAUUGUUUUCACUCUACUUAUUUUUUUUUUUCACUCUACUCAUCCUUAAAUGAUUUUGGAGUUAGUAUGCUUUAUAUAUUAUUAUUUUUUCUUUUCUUUUAUUUCUCACAACUUUUUUUUUCCCAUCUAUCUCAAAUUAUUUACAUCUAUUUUUAUUCUAUCAUACUGUUUCAUCGCUCACAUUUUAUCUUUCACUUUUCAUCUUUCUCACUUCUUAUCAUUUUUACCUUUCCUUUUAUAUAUCACCCAUACCUUCUUCUCAUUCUACACCACUAUUGAUGGUUGAUUCAUUUGAAGAGUGUACAUGAUUUGAUGGCAAAUUUACCAACUUUGUGAGGAUUUGAGCCUAUGAGCAACCACUUUGCUCUAAUAUUUUUGUUAUGUGAAUAUCAAUCUUAGUUUGUUUAUUCUAGAACUUGCUUUGUUAUGCAUGUUGAAGCCGCAUUACGGGAUUUUAUGCACUAAAAUGAUAAGGGCAAACCCUUUUCCAUUUUUCUAUUCUCGCAUUUUUUUUCUCUACCCGAAGAUCUUUAUUUGCUAUCUUUGUUUGAGCCUUAACAAUUACCCAUCUAAUUCUCUCCGUCUACUUAACCAUUUUUCUUCUUUUUUUUGAGCCUCAAUUUAAGGAGAUUUUUGGACUCAUUGUGUGGAUAUAUUUUGUUGCUUUUUCUACCUUGUAAUAAAGUUUCUCAAUUAGAUCAACAAGCAUUAUGCUUGAAUUAAAUUGUGCAAGGUUCGUUUCUUUUGUUUGAUUCAAAAACAAAAACAAAAAAAAAAAAACAAAAAACAAAAAAAAAAAAGAAAAAAAAAGAAAAAAAAAAAGAAAAAGAAAAAUCACAAAAAAAAAACAAAAAAAAAUGUUUACAUUCUUGGUGACUUAAGUAGAAAUAAGCAUUUUGAUAUCAUAAGUUCAUUCAAUGAGUUCAUUUUUCUCGUUUUAAUCUCUUUUUCUUUCGUAAACCUUUCUUUUUCAUUUAACCCAUUUAACCCCAUUACAACCCUCUUAAGACCCUUAGAUUUUUGCAUUUUAUUCAUGUUUUGUGGAUUGAGAUGUGAUAUAUGAGCAAGCUUAUGGUAAUAGCAUUCUUUGAUUUGAUUUGAGUGGAUAAAUGACACCCUAAAAACUUUGAGUGCAUGGAGUGAAGUUAUUGAGAGGGCUAUUAAAUCUUGUUGCACUUGAAUUUUGAAUGGAUCUCCUUGGUGGUUGAAUGUUCUUAUUCUAUCUUAUGAAAUUCUAUGCUUUAAAAUCCUUGUCUCUCGAAUGUUAAUCGACUUAAUUUCUUGAGGUAUGCUUUCUUAAAAUUGUUUUUGGAUGAGUUGAGAUGAGAAUUGAGUGGAGAUUUGAGAUUAAUCUUGAGUUAUAUGCUUGAGGACAAGCAUCAUCUUGGUGUGGGGGAAUUUGUUAGAGUGCAAUUUAUGCACUAGUUUUGCAUUGUUUACUUCCCUUAAUAUCGAUGUUUUACACUUAAUAAUAAUGUUUUACUUGUGUUUUACUUUUGUAGGUGCAAUUCUAUUGAUUGGUGAUAAAAUUGAGCUAAAAGAUGAUGUUUAAGGAGGAUUGUUCUCUUGGAGAAAUUAUGAGCGUCGAAAGAACUUUGUUGAUAAGGCGUGGGCGCGUGCUGUCAACUGCGGACCUGCAGUUUUUAGUUUAACGUGUUUUGUAUUUUUGGUUAUUUUUGUAAUUACGAAUUUAAUAUUUCAGAUAUUAGUAUUUUAUUUUAAAUAGAAUUCUAAAAGAGAAGAGAGAGAGAGUAUUUAAGGGAGGAAUCUAUUGUGAAAAGGGGGAUUUGGAUUGGAGAAAAAGAAAGAAACCCUAGAUCUAAUUUUUCUCUUCUCUCUAUGAAGAACUAAACCUAUUUUUCUGGUUGAAGGAUAAUGACGCUUUGAUUCAUCACUACUGUGAGAUUUUUCUUAUGCUUUAAUUGUUUUAUUACUUUUUGGGUAUUUGUUUAUUCUCUGAAUUAGUUUCAUGAUUAUGUUUGUUAAUUAGGUAAUUGUCCACUAUUUAAUUAUCAACUUAAUCUAUUGUCAAUUAAAGGAUUCAUCGUAUGAAGAAUUUAAUGUUUGUGACAAAUAACAUAGCAGAGAGUUGUGUUGUGAGAAUAAACAAUCUAAUUUAAAUGAAUCAUCAUAUGUGUUGAUUAGGAUUUGGGUCUCUCUGGUUUUUCAGGCUGUCAAUUGAUUAAAUCCUAUGAUCGUAUCAAGGGUUGUCUAUUGAUUAGGGAAAUAUCCAACGGUCGUACCUUGGUUAUCGACUAGUUAAGGAGAGAUUGGCUAUUAGAGGGUCUCAAUAGCUAUAACCGGUCUAUUCAUAAGUAAUAAUAAUAUAUAUUUGAAUCAAUGAUCAGUAGUCGAAUCAAGCUGAGUUAAUUCCUUCAACCAGAGCUUUCUCCAAUUUGAAUUACAACUUUAAUUUGCAUUUUGUAUUUAAUUUGAUUUUUAUUAUUGUCUACAAUUCCCCCAUUUUAUGUUUUACGUUUCAAAAGGAUUUAAAUAAUUACCGAUCUCUGUGGACACGACCCUGCUCAAUCACUAUACACAAUUUAUUUAGAGUAGGAAUUUAUUUUUGUUGGCUUCGACACCCAUCAGUUGAUUUGUGUUGUUUAUUGCUAGAUUUCGCAUAAUUGUUUGCUGAUUACUAGAACUGGCUCUGUUUGGAUCUGAUACCAUGUUUAAAAACAUAAAAAAUCACUGAUCAGUUUGUUUGGUUGCUAAGAAAAUUUGCUCUGUUUGCUGAGAAAGUUUCAAAGAAGAUUCUCGAUUUUUUUUAUUUCAUCUUUCUUACUUCACGAAUGAUUACAAACACACCUUUUAUACACAACUCAACUAGCUAACAGAAAGAAAGCUACAAAACAGAAUCUCAGUAAGCUUAACUAAUUUUGCUGAGCUGGCAUUACACACUUAACUAACUUCGGCUAACUAAAUUCUCACAUGUGCUAAGCAUGAGCAGACUGUUUGUACACAUUAUGUGCUUCUUUAACACAAUGGAGUUUUAAAAAUUUGGUACUUGUUAUCUUAUCGAAAGUUUUCAAAAUUAUAUGAAUGUUCAAACUUAGCCCCUCCCGGCACUGCCACUGCUUCUACGUGAAAGUCAUUUAAGUUUGUGUUAGCUGCCUAUAGAUUGAAUAACAAUUUUACUCCGGAUUUUUUGUCCAUUAUGAAAAUUUGAUUGAAAGUGCGGCUGCACUAAUUUUCUAGAUGAACUUCCCUACAUGUUUUUUCUCAUAUGACCCAGAAUACUGCUAUAACAAUUGUAUUGGAAACUAUUCAACUGGGUUACUAUUCUACAUCCCCACCAAAAUUUAAACAGUCGACAUUGUGGAAAGAAACUCAUUUCGCCACUAGGCUUUUAGUGAGGCUAAUUUCUCUGAAUUUGGACAGAGUAGAUUUCUAAGCUAAUGCUUGGAAGAUCUCUGGCGAUAUUACAAAGUGCAUGUACAUUGAGUCUUAAUAAAUAUAAACGAUUCUCUAAUAUGAUUCAAAACAUCACUACAUGCAUAAGUUAAUAAGAGAAAAAAUUAUAAGAUUAUUUAUGCAUCACCAUUUAUAGUUGCACCCUCUCUAAUGAAAUUGAAGGUGCAGCCAGCAAUUAAAAUGAAGCAGAAAUGUACAUUGACCCUUAAUAAAUAGAAACUAAGGCGUUAUCGAUUCAACUUCAGUUGAUCAAUUGCGGGUGAAAGAUAAAUAAAGGAUAAGAGAAUAGAGCUGGAGUGCUAAAUUGGCUAUUGAAGAAGGGUGUCACAUGAUCACAAUCACAUUGACGCACAACUCUUUGGAGGCAAAUUUUGUCUAUGUGUACUCUAAAUUCAGCCAAACCAUACAUGUAUGAACAGAAUUUAAACCGUAGUUCUCAUCACAAUAGUAAUUGAAGCUACAAAAGCCAGAAAAUCUGAACAAAAACUUAAAAGGAAGAUUUUAUUCAAGUUUGCCCCCAAAAGACAGUUGAAAUGAAAAAUAUUGACUAUUGAAUGGGUCAAUGCUGAAUUACAUUUCAAAUGGAAAGCUUGGCAACAGUUACAAUGUUUCCCCUCUGAUUUUCCUCCAAAACAAAUUCAGUUAUAAACAAUAACUGAAGUAGGAAUAAUUUAUUCAUCAAAGAAAAUACCCUAGUUUUCAACUAACAAAUCCUGCUAUCCAAAUUAAAAAAACUCGCAUCUCUAAAAUUUAUUUGUAAACUGUUGGAAAUGAGGAGUGAUCUGUCAACUCCGUAAAUAAACUCAGGCAUAAUAUUAAUAAUAAUUAUAAAUUACAUAAUAAUUAUUAUAAAGAAUCAUAAAUUGGAAACGCUAAUCAUUCUACAAUCUAUUAUAUAAGUAAGAUAAGUCUCAUAAUAAGUUAAGUUAUAAUGUAAUAAAUACUUUCAAUAUAUAAUUAUUUAAGAAGGCAUUUAACAAUAAAAUAUUUUUUUUUCUAUUCGGUUGAUCAUAUAGUGUUAUCUAAACUCUUGACGAUAUUAUUAUUACUCACUUUUCUAAAAAAAAAACAUGAUUAACGUUUAGAGAAAAGUCAUGCCCCUUAAAAAUAAUAUGUAUACAAGCUAUCCAUACUUUAUCUUACCAUGACAAAAUUGAUGGUGAUUAAAUCUACUUUUAAAAUAGAUUUAAUGCACAGAUAUUAUGACUUCUGGCAAAAAUUAGUUUUGGAAGACAUAAUGGUAGAAAAUAGUGAUGAUCAUUAUUUAAAUGUGUAAAUAGCCUAGGCAUAGCCUGUAAUACCAAUAUCCAUUUGCCUUUAUUUGGAUUAUCACAUUUCAUGAUAUUCUUAUAUUUAUGACCAUUGUUCGAGAUUUGAACUUGAUCAUAAAUUAAGCUGCAAGAGAUUUUACUUCAGUUUCUAAGCUUUUCAAUCGUGAUUCAUCCAUGCCUUUCUUGGAUACCAUUAUGUUACGUGCCAAUGUAACUGACCUUGUAAUUGGUGUGUAUAAGGAAACAUGCCCUUUCAAGAUUGUUUUCUUUUGUUUCCUUAUUGUAGUAGUCAAAUAAAUAAAGAACGAACAAUUGAACUUGGUCUACUUCGAGGAAAACCAAGGCCUGCAAUAUUAGAUGAACUUUGAACAAAAUUAAUCUACUGCUUUUAUUCAUCUUUGGACUAUGAAUUUAUACAAAGACUUUAACAAAAAAUAACAAAGACACAACUGAAUGAUAGCAACAAGUGCUGACUUAGCGGACUACUGCAACAACUAAAUAAAAACUAAAUAUUUAUUUUGACUGUAACAACAAUUGCCCUGAUGAAUAGGACUCCACAGCAGCCACGUGACAACUAAUUUCUCCUUAAUAUUAUUAUUAGUAGAAGUAGAUUUUCAAACUAGUCUUGAUAUAUUUCGAAGUUGUAUUAUUAUCAAUGUAUAUGUAUCUAGAUUGUAACUAUAUUUUAAAAAAUAUAAUUUUUUUAAUUAUUGCACAGUAAAUGUAGAAAAAUAUCUAUAAAAUAAUAUUAUUAGGACUAAGAAAAAAAUAUUAUUUUAUAUAAGUUAUUUAUUUAUUAUUGAAUGAAUAAUUUAUUAAUUUAUUGAUAAACGAAUAUUUAUUAAUUUAAAGAGAGAUUAUUUUGGUUUUAAGAAGAGUUUGUUUGGUACAUGUACACACUUAUAAAGAAACACAAAAGGUGCUUCCUCAAGUUAAUAGUAUUUGCUUUAAUCGCUAUAGUUCACAAUAAUAUAGCAUAGUUUGGAAAAUUGUAAUUAUACUAUGUCUACGUUUGGUACAAUUUUUCAAGAAGAACUUAUUUAAAUAGAGUUUUUGUUAGUAGAACAUUUAUAAAUAAAAUUUUUACUGAAAAAAUUUAAGUUAUUUGGUUGUCAUUGUCAAAAUUGAUGAACUUUUGAUCUUUUGUUAACAUGUGUUUUUUUUACUAAAUAAUAAAUGUUAGGUUACAAUUAUUUUCAAUAGUUUUUGAAGGAAUCAAGUUAUGAAAUUUUUAUCAAUGAACUUUCAAUAUGUCAGCAUAUGGUCUGUAAAAUUUGAGAGUUUUCCAAUGAGGGAAUAAUUUAUUAAAAAUAAGAGAAUAUGGAUUGUUCUGUUUUAAGGGCCGAUUAUUGAGGACAUUUGAGGUUGAGCUUAGGAGAUGUUUAAAUUGAGAUAUUUGAGGACAUUAUGUUAGCCUAAAGGGCUACACAUAAUGUAAUUUUGAUGAUAACAAACAUGUGUCUUAAGUAAAAAUAAUAAAUAUUGUAUUUCACAUUUUCACUAGUUUUUGAAGGAUAAUAUUUAUGCAAGUGAAUCAAGUGAAAUCAAGAUUGAAGAUACUCAACGGACAACGGCGACAUCAAGAAUAUAGUUUAGAGCUCAAUGAACAAAUUAGUGCGAUAAAUUCUUGUAAAGCCGGUAUGAUUUAAUUGAUGCAUGAUUUAGCAUUUGAGAAGCUCAAGAGAUUAAUUUAAUUAAAUACUUUUCAUAAACUAAAAGGUUUUAUUUUUAUAAAGUAAAGUAUUUUGUGGAUUUGAGUAAUUUGGACUUAAAUGCUAAGAUUUGAAAUCUUUGAUUUUAAUAAGUAUUAAAUUUCGGAGUUGGACGUUUUGAUAAACAUUUGAAAUGUUUUGGGUCAUACUAUAAUUUAUAAAUAUUUUGGACUAAAGUGAAAGGUUUUGAGAACUUUGAAAAAUAUGGGUAUUAUGUUGAAAAGGACCUUUGUGCGAACUAAAAAUUUCUUUGGGGCCAUAUCAUAAUUUCAGAAAGUUUGGGAAGACAACUACUCUUAGGAAGUUCUGAAAUUGGACCUAUUUGCAAAGUUUUAUGACAUUUUGAGCCAUAGUAUAAUUAUAGAAAGUUUUGAGCCAAAGUAUAAUUUUAGUGAACAGUGUUACUAUAGCAAUUCAAAAAUAACGGUAAUAUCACUGUUCCUGAGCGGCUAGCCGGAUAAAUCAAGCGGCUAACUGCUUGGGCGAGGGAAUUUGCCUAUAACGGCUAGUUUUCAGGCUUUAACUAUAAAAACUCAGCUCAAACUUCAUUCUAAGUACUAAUGCAUGCAAAUAUAAGAUCAUACAACAUAUAUUGAGCUUCCAAAAUGCAAAUCAUCAUUGAUUGAAUCAUUGUUGAGCUAUUAGUUGCAUAUCCACUCUUAAAGAGAGUUUUUGUUGUAAUUUUCAUUUCUUAUCAAAUUGUGAGUGUGUGAGUGUGUAAGUGUGGGAAACACUUGGGGUGAAGAGAUUGGGGAGAUAAUCUCUUGGUUGUAAAGGUUCAUUGACACCUUGGAAGUCAAUUGUAAAAACUUGAACCCUUGAGAGGCUUGGAUAGUGAAAUCCUCGAGCAUGGUUGGCUUGGAGGCGUGGACGUAAGCAGGGAUUGCCGAACCACGUAAAAAUCCGCGUGUUUGUUUCUCUCUUCCCUUGCUCUUUUAUUUUUACGCUUGUUUGAAUUUAUUGUUCUCUAUUUCAUUAAGGCGUUAGAUUGAUUUAUUGUGCGAAUUGUAUUGCAUUAUUUUUAAAAACUCAAUUCACCCUCCCUCUUGGGUUGCAUUACUUGCAUUUACAUUAGAGUUUAUGAUUGAGACUCGAUUAUAUCUUAUGAGAAAUUUAUUGAUGAUUUUAGGUUGAUGAUAACAGUACGCAUUUGUUACAUGAGGAUGCCAAGAGGUAAGUAAACUAGACUUAAAAACGAAUCACAAUAAACAAUAUAUAUGUUUGACUUGUAUGAAAAGUCUAUUUUGAUAUGUACGAAUAUAGAUUUAUAUGUCUCUACUCAUGUGUUUAUGUGAUGUGUUGUUAUGUAUUGGGCGUGAUUAUGUACAUAGGCAUAUGUAUGUGUGAUGGUUCAUUGUCAUGAGCACGAAAAUGCAUUGAGUUUUCUAUGAAUGAAAAGUGGAUUUUAGCAAAUGAGAUUUCUCUUUUAUGAGAUUUUGCAUUGGGGGCCACCUCUUGAGGGCCAGAGUGCCGCAAAGUACCACGCACAACACAAAGUGCCACAUUGCAGGAUACGUAUUUUAUUGAAAGGAAAUAUGAAAGUUUGAAAGCGACAGAAAGAGAUUUUUAUGAAUUUGUUUUACAGUAUUUCCAAAAGAUCAUGGCAUAGCAUCCAUCUACAUUAUGUAUAAGUAUGCAUGUUUGCUUAUUGAGUUUUGUACUCAUUAUAGUUUAUUAUGAUUCAGUUUCCAGAAGUCAGGAUUGAUUCGUGAUGAGUGAGAAGAUGAAUUUAAAUUGAGGAUGGUAGAUGGUUUGGCUAAAUUUUUAAGUUAUUCCGCUGGCUUUUGUAUUCGAGGCUCGAAUUUUAUCGGUUGUAAAGAGUUAUUUAAAUUCAUAUGUGAGUUGUAGUCAGAUUUGCCCUCGGAGUUCGGGUUGGGGCGUUACAGAUGCAGAAACAGAAAACUAUUAGCUUAUCUUGAUUUUCCCACUAUAUUCAUUUUCGAUGCUUUUCAAACGAGAUUCUUUUAAUCCUUCUGGCGUAUGCAGCCCUUGCUCUUCUUAUAAAUCUCCAUCCGACAUCUGCACUAGGAACAAGUUGAUUGAAAUUAAAUAACAUUAGAGAUGACGGACGGUUGAGCCGUUAACUCGGUAAAAAAACUCAUAUAUAAUAUUACUAAUAAAAAAAAAUAUAAUAAUCAUUACUAAGAAUCAUAAAUUAGAAAAAUUAAUUAUUUUACAAUCUAUUUCGCAAGUAAGAUAAAUCUCAUAAUAAGUUAAGUUAUAACGUAAAAAACAUUUUCAAUUUAUAAUCGUUUAAGAAGUCAUUUAACAAUAAAAUCUUUCUUUUGGUCAGUUGGCCAUGCCACAGAGUAUCAUCUAUAUUCGUGGUGAUAUUAUUAUUACUCCGUAUUCUCAAAAAACUUGAUUUAACAUUUAGAGAAAAUUCCUACCAUUUAAAAAGAACAUGUAUGCAGCAGCUACCCAUACUUUAUCUUACCCCGACAAAAUUAAUGGUGACUAAAUCAAUUUUCUCGAUUAAAGCAAAAUUUUCUUAAAAACGAUUUAAUGCACAAAUAUGAUGACUUUUUGCAAAAAUUAGUUUUGGAAAAUAUAGUGAGAGAAAAUAGUGACGAUUAUUGUUUAGAUGUGUAAAUAGCCUAAACAUAAUUGCUAAUACCAACAUCCACGUGCAUCUUAACACCUUUCGUGAUAAUCUUUCAUUCAUGGUCACUGGUUCAAGAUUUGAAUUUGAUCAUUAAAUCAUGUUCAAGAAUAUUAGAGAUCCCAACAAUUGAGUUCCAACUUAAAUCCUAAUGCUAUGUGUCAUUGACCAAUAUUGUGUCAUUUUUUGUUAACUGGGUGAUGAAUUUCUAGUUGAUAAAAUUACUUAAAAAUAUCUUAAAAAUCAGAUAAUAGUUAGCUUAAUUUUUUGAAGCUAACUGCUCAAGAUGCUCUAUUAGAAAUGAUAACCUAAUUAUAUAAAAAAAAAAAUGAUGUAUUUUUUUCGGUGUUGAUAGUGAGAUUAUCAUUCAACAUGUUAAAAUAUGAAAACAUAUGGAAGAAGGUUGUAAAUUGAUUGAAUGAAAAUAUUUCAGUGAAGUCUAAAAAAUUUGGUACUUGUUAUCUUAUCGAAAGUUUUCUAAAUUACAUUCGUGGCACUGCCACUGCUUCCAUGUGAAGGUCAUUAAAAUUUGUGUUAGUUACCUAUAUGUUGAAUAAUAAUUUUAUUCAUGAAUUGUUGCUCAAUAUAGCAGUUUCUAGAUGAAUUUUCCUACAUGUUUGUCCUCAUAUGACCUAGAAUGCUGCCAUAUCAAUUGUAUUGGAAAUUAUUCAAGUGGGUUUGUGCUCUAUACCCCCACCAAAAUUUAAGCAAUCUACAGAACAUUCCUUGUGGAAAGAAACUUAUUUCGCUACUAGGUGGGAGUAGAUUUCUAAGCUAAUGCUCGGCAGAUCUCUAGGCUAUACUAAAAAGUGUAUGCACUUUGACUCUCAAUAUAUACGAGUGAUUCUAUGAUAUGACUGAAAACAUCAGUACAUGCAUGAUUUUAUAAGAAAGAAUAUUCUAAAAUUAUUUAUGUAUCACCAUUUGAAGUUGUACCCUCUCGAAUGAAGGUGCAAUCAGCAACUAAAAUGAAGCCCGAAAUGUACACGCGUGAAGCAGUUUUUCUAGAAGAUUGAUAUUUCUCAAACUAGCAAACCGUACAAGUCCAAAGCUAGAAAAAGGAGUGCUUCUAAGCAGAAAACAUUGAUUAAAACAGAAUGCACACAAACAUACCAGCAAAUUCAAAAUAGAAAAAGGAGUGCAACUGUUCAAGUUUGUGGACAAUAUUGCAACCGUGGCAUAUUUAUAGCAAAUCCUUGAAAUCUGCUAAAUAAACAAUGCCCUGUCUCAUGAAUCAAAGCCGAAUUAAAAUUGAAAUUGAAAGUCCGGCUGGUGUUGUUUCCCUCUCCAGUUUUGCCCACAUAAGUGAAGGGAAAUGAGAAUCAUAAACUAAAAUCUGCUUUUACAGUUCUUAUUAGAUAGAUAUAAAGGGAUCUUUCUUUGUUUCUCUGCUGCAAUUUGUGGCUAUCCCACUCUGUUUUGCCACUCAAGCUUAGUCUACGUUGAGACACAAUUUUGACAUCAGAAGCAACCUCAAUUAGUUUGGCAUUUUUAUGACCUCCUUGUACGUUUUACGAUAAACAUAAAUCUACUGAGAAAGUGGGAAAAAAAGAAAAUGCAUAUAAAAGUAUGAGUUAUCAGACAUGAUUAAAACUCACCCAAUUCAAUCCAUUAGAUUCCGUAAGGAUAUAACUGGAUGUCAUACCGCCAUUCCAUAUCCUCGAAAGUCCGUAGCCUCUGUCUCAACUCUGUCUGAGGCCAAUGUAAAUCCAAUAUGCGCAAGCUCUUUAUGCACCACAGCUCUUCUGGAAGCUUUCUCAAGUAAGCACAAGGGUUGACAAUUAAGCUUUCAAGUUUUGGCAUUGCUCCAGCCCCCAUCGUCCACUCAUCUAGCCAAAACAUUGAUUUCAGGUGCAAAACCUUACGUUCCGGAAAGCAACCAGGGCCAACGCAGGCCAGCUUUCUUCCUAAAUACGAGUUUUGCUUCAGUUUCAGCACUUGAAGGCGUGGAAGCUUUUCCAGCAUUGGCAUGGGAUCCUCCAUUAGCUCAGUAUUCGAUAAGCUCAGAUGGCUCAGACUUGGAGGAAAUUGGUAUUCAGACAGGAUAAUCCGUGAGGGCUUGCUCUCAUUCACCAGCUUCAAGCAUUCAAGUUUGUGCAGUUCGCAUAGGCUUUUGGAAACCCCGGAUUGAUAGUAACUCAAAUCUCCAGAUAUUCUUAGACUUUGGACAAGAUAUUCUUAGACUUUGGACAUUUGGUAGUCUGCCCAAUAUAGCUGGACUGCAACUACUAGGAUGUAAGGCUGAUAAGAAAAUGAGAUUUUUCAGAGAGCUUCAAUAAUUUUUUGGAGGUGCGGGCAGAGUGAUGCAACCGAAGUUUAGAUGCAUGAGUUUUUGCAUCAUCCAAAUAUCCUCUGGUGAAUGAUCUAUGUAGCUAGAUGGCAUUUCUAGCGUUUGAAGGUUUAAAAGGGAGCAUAGCAGUGAAGGAAUGCAUUUGAGCGAAGGGAUAUUCAAUUUCAAAUACUUCAAAAGGAAUAAAUUUUCUAAUCCGGCUGGAUAUUGGUCGAGAACUGCAGAACCCAAGUUCAAUACCCGAAGGUAUUUGAACUUGUCGCAAUCUAUCAGAGCGAGAUGAUCGCUUGCCGAACUGUUAUUCAGAAAAGAUUGGAGAUACAUGUCAGAAUGUCCUAAAGAUAAAAACCCAGUCAGAUCUUGGGCAAUGACGCACCGUUUAACAUUUGCCACUGGCUCCUCUUCCCUGUCACGCAUCCAUACAAAUUCCGUCUUCUCUGCCACCGAGCACAGUAAAGUAAAUUCAAAACCUGGAACAUAAAACGCUUUAAUUGUGCCGCCGGCUCCUCUUACUCACUUGAAUGAAGCCGCAAUGGAUUAGUUCUUUCAAGUAAUGUUCUGCCGUCUCCUCACUGUUGUAUGGUAUGAAACCUUCAGCUACCCACAACUGAUAUAAUUGUCUCGUAGAUAUCUCAAUGUCUGGACGGAAGACAAACAAAUAGGUGUAGCAGACUUUCAAGUGAAAAGGUAACUCCAUCACAGAAUAAAUUUGUCUCCAAAUUGUCCGAAUCGCUUAGGCUUGAAGAUAAUUUUCUAAUGGCAUACUUCCAUAGUGUAGGAUGAAAAAUUGCCAGGCCUCAUACUUUAAUCUGAUCAAUGGUCCUCCAACGAGCACAGAAUCAGGCCGAAUCUUCUCUCCAUUUUCCAUUUCCAACGACACAAGGAGUUCUGGAUCAGUGACUGUUAUCAAUACUCUGCUUCCAUUCUCAUUAUCAGGGAGACCUUCUUCGAGAUCAUCCCAUAUCUCACUGUUAUCGAAGACAUCAUCAAGCACAAUAAAGUACUUCUUGUUUGUUAGGUAAUCUCGAAGAAUAGAUUUCUUCAAUUGAUAAUUGAAAGAGUUUGUAUAUAGUGUUUGGUUUAAGAGAAACUAACAAGAAAAUAAAAGAAAAUCAUAAAGAACCAGAUCUGAAAAUGAUCAUAUUCUCAUUUUUUGACUAAUGAUUACAACUUGUUAUUUAUAGUAAAGAUCAGAGGCGUCACGUAGCUUGUCAGUUUGUUGGAUCUAAUAUGCAUGCAGUACAGUUCGUUAUCUUUGCUGCUGAGCUGGAUAACUAACUCAACACACGUAAGCAUCAGCAGCUCCAUUUAAUCAGAUGCUCUCAUCUAUACCAUAUUAUCAUACUCUAUAACAUCCUCCCUCAAGCUGAACUGACCUGGAUGGACAUUCAGCUUGCUUCUUAGAUAGUGAAACUGAUUGAAGGUUAGUGCCUUGGUAAGAACAUCGGCAUUUUGGUCUUCACUGGGAAUGAACUGAACUGUAAUUUGCUUAGCUGUUACUUUGUCUCUGAUGAAGUGAAUAUCAAGCUCAACAUGCUUAGUUUUAGCAUGAUAAACAGGAUUGUGAGCUAAAGCUAUGGCACUUUGAUUAUCACACCACAUUAUGGGGGCUGUGACAAGAUGAAUAUGUAGCUCUUUCAGUAAGGACUGAAUCCAAGUAACCUCAGCUGUAGCUUGAGCCAAAGCUCUGUAUUCAGCUUCAGUGCUUGAUCUGGAAACUACUGCCUGUUUCUUAGACGACCAAGAAACCAAAUUUGAACCAAGAUAAACAGCAUAACCAGCCACUGAUUUGCGAUCAUCCUUAUCACAUGCCCAAUCUGAGUCACUAAAACAAUUUAUCUGCAUAGUGCCGUAAUGAUAAAAAUGUAAUCCAAAAUGAAUUGUUCCUUUCAAAUAUCUAAGAAGCCUCUUACAAGCCUCCCAGUGCUCUGCUGUUGGUGAAGCUAAAAACUGACUAAGUUUGUUUACAGAGAAAGCUAUUUCUGGCCUAGUGAGAGUCACAUAUUGUAAAGCUCCAACUGCACUUCUAUAUUGAGAACUAUUUGAAAUAACACUUCCUGACCCCUUUGUAAGAUAAUGACCAGUGGCCAUGGGAGUAGGAACUGGACUGCAGUCAGCCAUAUUGUGUUUGGCUAGAAUAUCAGCUAUGUAUUUAGAUUGAGAGAGAUAAAUUCCAGAUGCUGUUUUGGUAACUUCUAUCCCAAGAAAAUAACUCAAUUUGCCCAGAUCCUUCAAAGCAAAAGCAUUUUGCAUAUUGGUAAUCACUUGCUGCACCAUUUGAUCACUUGAGCCUGUUAUGAUUAUAUCAUCCACAUAGACAAGAACAAAAAUUACUUGAUCACCUAUCCACUUGUAGAAAAGGGAGUUGUCUGACCUUGAAUUUUGGAAACCCCAUUUCACAACCAUAGCAUCUUUCAGUCUCUCAAACCAUGCCCUGGGGGCUUGUUUUAAACCGUAGAGAGCCUUUUUCAACUUACAGACAUGAAGAGGUCGAGAUGGAUCAAUGAAGCCCUCUGGCUGCCCCAUGUACACAUCUUCAACUAAUAUGCCAUUCAAAAAGGCAUUAUUCACAUCCACUUGUCUGAGCUCCCAUUUAUUCAUAACUGCCAAACUUAAAAUAACUCUGACUGUGGAUGCUUUAACAACUGGACUGAAUGUUUCUGUGUAAUCAACUCCUUGUGUCUGAUGAAACCCCUUAGCCACUAACCUGGCUUUGUAUCUAGAAAUGGUUCCAUCAGCAUGAUAUUUUAUCUUGAAUAUCCAUUUGUUACCAACUACCUUAACUGGUUCACUUGGCAAAACCAGAUCCCAUGUAUGAUUAUUCUGAAGUGCUUGAAAUUCUUCUUGCAUUGCCUUAAACCAUUUUGGAUUAGAUAAAGCAGCUGAAACAGAAGUAGGUUCUGAAGGUAUGGCUAGUAAAGCAGCUAAAUAAGAUUUAGGCUUAAAUAUACCAGCCUUGGAUCUGGUUAUCAUGGGAUGACCUAUAGGUGGUGCAGCAGGUAAUAUAUGAGGAGGAGAUUGUGUAUGAUGUAUAGGAUGUGUAUGUGAUGUCAAAGUAGAAGAUGAAGAGGAGGUUGAAGAAGGAGAGAAUACCUGUGGAGUGUCAGCAGGUAGGUAAUCACUUGCUAGAGAUUGUUGCAGGGGGGAUUGUACUUGUGGGAUUGGAACAAGAGUAACUUUGGACUCUGAAGAAAUAUCUGAGGGACUGCAAGACUGAGCAAUGGAAGAGAAGUCUAAUCCAGAUACAUAUGGAAAAGAUUGUUCAUCAAAGAUGACAUGAUUGGACACAUACACACGACCAGAUGAAUGAAGACACUGAUACCCUUUAUGAGAAGAGCUAUACCCAAUAAAAACACAUCUGUUUGAUCUAAAACUGAGCUUGUGUCUGUUAUAAGGUCUGAGAUAAGGAAAGCAAGCACAACCAAAGACCCUAAGAGAGACAUAAUCUGGUACUUGCUGAAAAAGUUUUUGGUAAGGUGAAAUGUAUUCAAAGUUGGUGUGGGUAGUCUGUUAAUAAGGAAUACAACAGUAUGAAAGGCAUUCCACCAGAACUUAAGUGGUAAAUUAGCUUGAGCUAACAGAGUGAGGCCAAUGUCCACUAUGUGUCUAUGUUUUCUCUCAAUUCUUCCAUUUUGAUGAUGGAUAUGUGGACAAGGAUGCCUGAACUGAAUUCCAAACUGAGUGAGAUAUGAUGCAAAGGUUCUAAACUCCCCUCCCCAAUCUGUUUGAACUGUUUUGAUGUGUUGUUGUAAGUGUUUUUCAAUAAAAGAUUUGAAUUCUGUGAAAACUUGGAGUGCAUCUGAUUUGGCAGUCAAAGGAAAAAUCCAUGUGAAUCUGCUAAAAUCAUCUAAAAUGGACAAAUAAUAUAUAUAGCCUUGAGUGGAUGCAACAUGUGAUGGUCCCCACAAAUCAGCAUAUAUAAGUUGUAAUGGUGCUGUUGUUUUUGUUGGAAUAGAUCCAAAAUGUAAAAGGUGACUUUUACCAUGUUGACAGGCAUUGCAAAAGUUUGGAGUUUUAUUGAGUACAUUGAAACUAUUACAAGCUUUCAAUACAGAUUUGAGUGUGUGUAAGGCAGGAUGUCCUAGCCUUUUAUGGAAAACAUUGACAUCGACUGAGCUAGUAUUGACAGCCAAGGCUGAUUUACACAGCAAAUGAUGAGACAAAGUACUCUUACUUAUUUCAGGAGAAAUAUCACUAGACAAAGGAGAAUGAAAAGCAAACAAAGACUGAGGUUUAUUGGAAGAAAGUUGACAAGACAAGGCUGAGCUAGUUUCAGAGACUUGAGCUGCAGAUUGGACUUGAUACAAUCCCCCUGUUGCAAUUCCUCUAAGCAAAGUGAUCCCUGAGUUCCUGGCCUUGACAACACAGACAUUUGCAAAAAACUCAAGUGUCACAUUAUUAUCUACUAAGAGCUUUGAAACACUGAGUAAAUUUUUCUUAAUAUUUGGAACAUGAAGAACAUGGUUUAAACACAAGGGUUUAUUUGCAGUAGUAGCUAGCAAUACUGAUCCAAUAUGCUGAAUAUGCAAUGCAGAACCAUUCCCAACAAGCAAUUUGUCAGUUCCAACAUAUGGCUUGAGAUCCAGUAAUUUACCUGGGUCAUUUGUGAUGUGGUUAGUAGCACCACUGUCAAUGUACCAAGCUGGAUCUUCAAUCAUCUCAGGUGCAUGAGCUGGAACAGGGACUGAAGGAGAUCCAGAGUAAUCUCCAGUAGGAGCAAAAGCAUGAGCAGGAGAGUAACCACCAUGAGAAUUAGAUGGUUGAUAAACAUUGAAAGCAGCUGGAUCUGAAUACAUCAAAUGGCCUUGAUAACCAGGUGCUCUUGGUAUGUUGAAAUUACCAAACUGAGAGUUACCAAUUCCAGCACCAUAUUGAGGAUUAAGAUUUCUACCAAAAUUACCAAAAUUUCCAUAAGCCAUAGAAGACCUAUUGCCAUUAGCAUAGCCAAAACCUCUACCAUACUGCCUCUGACCAGGCCUAAAAUUUCCAUUAAAACCACCUCUUCCUUGAUUUCUUGAAGGAACAAAAGCUGAGUUAAACCUAUUCCUGCAUUUAUUGGCACCAUGACCAGGAAUGAAAUAGAUCUGACAUACAAUUUGUGAGAAGUUACCAUCACUAGAUCCAGCUCCAGAAUUAUAACUUCCUCCAUACGAUCCAAUGUUAAACUUCUGAUUACCACUAGUGUUUUUACUAGGAUUGAACUGCUUUUGAGCAACAUUAGCUGACAAGUUAUGUGUAACAUCACUUGCAAUUUUUCCUCUCUUUUGUUCCACAUGAUUUUCAUGACUCAAUAACAAUGAAUAAAACUCAUCAAGACUGAUAUUAUCUCCUCUAGCUAACACAGUAGUAACUAGUGAUUCAUAAUCAGAGGAAUCCAAUCCAGUCAAAACAUGUUGAACGAAAUCAUUCACUUCAACAGGUUUUCCAGCUAAAGCCAAGCUAUCAGAUAUCCUUUUCAUUUUUGCAAAAUAAUCAGUUAUGGACAUCGAGCCUUUUUUAAGAGUUUGGAUUUGCAUUUUUAGAGGCAUUAUUCUAGCUUGUGACUGGGAAACAAACAUACUUGUAAGUGUAUCCAGCAGCUCCUUUGCAGUUGAGCAGUGGAUCACAGUUGUCAACAGAUUCGGCUGAAUAGAUGAGAGCAUCCAGCUCAGAAUCAAUUGAUCCGUCUUUAUCCACAUUGUGUAAGCUGGAUUGAUCUCUUGAUUCUCUGUUCCAGUUGAGAAACCAGCAGCAGAGCUUAUAGCAGAGAAAAAUUUUCCCGGACAGACUUGAUUUCCAUUGAUGAAAUCUUCUAAACCAUUUCCUUUAAUGGAUAUGAGAAUCUGAGUUCGCCAAACAAUGAAGUUAUUAUGAUCUAGUUUUAUCGGAGUAAUAAAACUAUAGGAUCCAGAAUUUUGAUUCGAAUUUGCCAUUUGUUAGCUCUGAUACCAUGAAAGAGUUUGUAUAUAGUGUUUGGUUUAAGAGAAACUAACAAGAAAAUAAAAGAAAAUCAUAAAGAACCAGAUCUGAAAAUGAUCAUAUUCUCAUUUUUUGACUAAUGAUUACAACUUGUUAUUUAUAGUAAAUAUCAGAGGCGUCACGUAGCUUGUCAGUUUGUUGGAUCUAAUAUGCAUGCAAUACAGUUCGUUAUCUUUGCUGCUGAGCUGGAUAACUAACUCAACACACGUAAGCAUCAGCAGCUCCAUUUAAUCAGAUGCUCUCAUCUGUACCAUAUUAUCAUACUCUAUAACAUCCUCCCUCAAGCUGAACUGACCUGGAUGGACAUUCAGCUUGCUUCUUAGAUAGUGAAACUGAUUGAAGGUUAGUGCCUUGGUAAGAACAUCGGCAUUUUGGUCUUCACUGGGAAUGAACUGAACUGUAAUUUGCUUAGCUGUUACUUUGUCUCUGAUGAAGUGAAUAUCAAGCUCAACAUGCUUAGUUUUAGCAUGAUAAACAGGAUUGUGAGCUAAAGCUAUGGCACUUUGAUUAUCACACCACAUUAUGGGGGCUGUGACAAGAUGAAUAUGUAGCUCUUUCAGUAAGGACUGAAUCCAAGUAACCUCAGCUGUAGCUUGAGCCAAAGCUCUGUAUUCAGCUUCAGUGCUUGAUCUGGAAACUACUGCCUGUUUCUUAGACGACCAAGAAACCAAAUUUGAACCAAGAUAAACAGCAUAACCAGCCACUGAUUUGCGAUCAUCCUUAUCACAUGCCCAAUCUGAGUCACUAAAACAAUUUAUCUGCAUAGUGCCGUAAUGAUAAAAAUGUAAUCCAAAAUGAAUUGUUCCUUUCAAAUAUCUAAGAAGCCUCUUACAAGCCUCCCAGUGCUCUGCUGUUGGUGAAGCUAAAAACUGACUAAGUUUGUUUACAGAGAAAGCUAUUUCUGGCCUAGUGAGAGUCACAUAUUGUAAAGCUCCAACUGCACUUCUAUAUUGAGAACUAUUUGAAAUAACACUUCCUGACCCCUUUGUAAGAUAAUGACCAGUGGCCAUGGGAGUAGGAACUGGACUGCAGUCAGCCAUAUUGUGUUUGGCUAGAAUAUCAGCUAUGUAUUUAGAUUGAGAGAGAUAAAUUCCAGAUGCUGUUUUGGUAACUUCUAUCCCAAGAAAAUAACUCAAUUUGCCCAGAUCCUUCAAAGCAAAAGCAUUUUGCAUAUUGGUAAUCACUUGCUGCACCAUUUGAUCACUUGAGCCUGUUAUGAUUAUAUCAUCCACAUAGACAAGAACAAAAAUUACUUGAUCACCUAUCCACUUGUAGAAAAGGGAGUUGUCUGACCUUGAAUUUUGGAAACCCCAUUUCACAACCAUAGCAUCUUUCAGUCUCUCAAACCAUGCCCUGGGGGCUUGUUUUAAACCGUAGAGAGCCUUUUUCAACUUACAGACAUGAAGAGGUCGAGAUGGAUCAAUGAAGCCCUCUGGCUGCCCCAUGUACACAUCUUCAACUAAUAUGCCAUUCAAAAAGGCAUUAUUCACAUCCACUUGUCUGAGCUCCCAUUUAUUCAUAACUGCCAAACUUAAAAUAACUCUGACUGUGGAUGCUUUAACAACUGGACUGAAUGUUUCUGUGUAAUCAACUCCUUGUGUCUGAUGAAACCCCUUAGCCACUAACCUGGCUUUGUAUCUAGAAAUGGUUCCAUCAGCAUGAUAUUUUAUCUUGAAUAUCCAUUUGUUACCAACUACCUUAACUGGUUCACUUGGCAAAACCAGAUCCCAUGUAUGAUUAUUCUGAAGUGCUUGAAAUUCUUCUUGCAUUGCCUUAAACCAUUUUGGAUCAGAUAAAGCAGUUGAAACAGAAGUAGGUUCUGAAGGUAUGGCUAGUAAAGCAGCUAAAUAAGAUUUAGGCUUAAAUAUACCAGUCUUGGAUCUGGUUAUCAUGGGAUGACCUAUAGGUGGUGCAGCAGGUAAUAUAUGAGGAGGAGAUUGUGUACACACUGAUCCAUGUACAACACAUCUCUUGAUUAUCUGUGUGUGUGCUGCUCAUCAAUGAUUAACAAGAUACAGUAGUUUUGUGAAGUCUCAUGUCUUGUGUUACAAAAUUUUGUGAUGGAAAGAAGGAAUAAUUCAACUAAAAAAAAAAAACACACGCGCGCAGCACACACACAGAGGGCCGCAACUAGCCCUUGAACCCCUAUUGAACUCGCACAAGAUACUAUUGAACUAAAUUCAAAAACAGCUGUUAAUAGCAUCUUAAAAUAUGGGUUCUAUCCAUACUCCCACCUGAAUCAUUUCUUGCGGCAUGACUCAAAAAUAACAAUAAGCCUGUCGCACCGAUAACUCAUUAGUGCAAUUUUUUUAACUCAAAAAAUUGAUACGCGUUCAUUUAGCGAAAAGUCCAAGACGCUUGCCUUUUGAAAAGAAGAGGUAUCCAAUAGAUAUCCAACCUUUAUCUUAUUUAAUUACUACCACGACAUGAUUGAUGGUGCUUAAAUCGAUUGUUUCUUUUUUAAUUUAAAGAAUUUUUCAUUAAAAAAUAUUUUAAUAUCAAAUUGCCUUCAAUAGCGUAACUGCCGCAGGCCCAGUAACAAGAUUAAUUAAAAUUUUUUGAAUUUUUGGGCAUGGAAAGAGUAGUAUUAGACUUCAGAAAGCUUAAGGUUGUUAUGUUAAAGAAUUGAUAUUGACAUAAUUUUAUUUUGGUUUUCGGGAAACAAAUUAUUUGUUGACAAGCAAGAAAAUAUUUUUGUAUUUUACAAUUUAUUAUACAUAUUUUAUCAUAUUAAAGUAAUUUUAAUAAUAAAUAGACACAUAAUAUUACAACAAAUAAAGUAAAGUUUAAAUUAUUUUGAAUAUUAUAAAAAUAAUUUUAAUAUUAUUAAUAGGAAGACAUUUUGUUAAUUUUAAAAUCUUUUUAACCUAAAGGUUUAUUUAAAAUCUUUAGAAAUCUCCAUCCCACAUCUACCCUAUUAAACAAGUUGAUGGAAAUUGAACAAUUGCUUUUUGAAGUGGACCCAUUGAGUUAUGUUCAUUACUGGUCAUUGUCUAUUCUUUCUAAGAGCCACUUGUUUUGAGCAUUAGCAAUCCUAUCUGGACUACUCCAAUUAUUGAUGUAACUCCAAUGGUUGCAUCAACAGUUGAAUGUAAGAUAGUGUUAGUUCUUUUUUGAGAAUAUAGAGGGAUCUUUAUUUGUUUCUCCGUUGUAGCGUAUUAGUAUAAAUUUCUUUACCUUACAGUUCCUACAGUCUUCCUGUUAAUGAAUUCGCUGAGGCAUUAUUGAUCCAAUCUCAGUGAAGUAAUUGUGGGUGAAAAAAAAAAAUAAAGGAUAAGAGAACGUAGCUGAAGUGCUGAAUUGACUAUUAAAGAAGAGCGUCACCUGAUCACAAUCACAUUGAUGCACAACUCACUCAGAUCAUUACAACGUCCUUUUCGCUAAUUAAUUAUGAUUAUAUACAUUUUCAUAUGGCAAGUGGCAUUGUAGAUCUAAACUACGUUGCUAUUUCAUUACGUUAAUUAAGUGAUUCUCCUCAUUGUCAUCAGCGCUUUUUGGGCAUGGAAAGAGUAGUAUUAAACAUUAGAAAGCAAAGGUUGUUCUGUCAAAGAAUUGAUAUUGGCAUAAUUUUAUUUUUGCUUUCGAGUAAAAAAAAAAAAAUUGUUGACAAGCAAGAUACUGUUUUUAUAUUUUACAGUCAGUUAUACAUAUUUUAUCAUAUUAAAGUAAUUUUAAUAAUAAAUGGAAACAUAACAUUACAAUAAAUCAAUUAAAGUUUAAAUUAUUUUGAAUAUUAUAAAAAAUAAUUUUAAUAUUAUUAAUAGGAAGAUAUUUUGUUUAUUGUAAAAUCUUUUUAACCCAAAGGUUUAUUUAAAAUCGUUAUAAUAAAUAAAAAUAUAAAAACAAAAUAAAUAUCAUAAUUUAAAAUUUUAAUAUUAUUUUAAAUAUUAAAAAUACUUUAAUGCUAUUAGUCUACUACCCAGGUUAUAUUACGUAUAUUAUAUUUGUAUAAAUUAAAACUUUUAAAGUUAAAUUUUUAAUUACUAUAUUGAAAAGUUAUUAUGGUUAAAAAAAGUUUUGGCAUUUCUUUUUGAAAAUUUGAGGGUCUGCAUGACAAUUUGUCCAAAUCCUAGAGGUAUAGGUGUCUUUUUUUUUUUUCGAUAAUCAUUUUACUUUUGAGGGAAUCCGAUGAGAAAUAAGAUAAGAGAAACGUCAAUUUAAGGUUCUCUAGGGAAAACCAAGAACUAUUCAAUUUUGUAUUUUUUGUUUGUAAAACGAAAAACAGUUUGCCAAAAAAGGUACCAAACAUAUCCUUAAUGUCUCACAUGAUUUCUUAUUAAGUCCAUACUCGAUAUAUUUAUACAUUUUAGGUAUUUUAGUUAUAAAAGAAGUUGGUCCUCCCUUUGUUUAUAAAAGGUAACUUUAUUUCGAGAUUACCACUAAAGUCUUGCAAAGAAUUAGUGUAAUGUUAAGAGAGAAUAACACAGUUUUCCAUUACCAUUUUGAAAAUAGAAAGAUGUGGAUGUGUGCAUUUAAUAUUGCGUUUACUUGCUGGAUUGAGGAAUCGGAAUCUAGAAUCGGAAUGAUUGAUGGUGUUUACUUUGCAAAUAUGGAGCAGGAAUCGGAAUUGGAAUGGUGGGGGCCACCACUAUUUGGGAAUGGGAGAUUGAUUCUCAUGGGGGAAGGUGGGAAUGAGUCUCCCAUUCCCUGGAUUGACCAUUUUGCCCUCCCUCAAAAUUAAAAAUGCCUACUUUGUCCUCUUUUAUAAUUAAUUAAUAUAAUAUUAUAAUUACUUAAUUAAUAUAUAAAUAUUUUAUUAACUAUAAUUAUUAAAAAUUAUAGUUCUUGAAUAAAUAAUCACAAUAAUUAAUUUAUUAUUAUUAUUGUUAUUUUAAUUAAUUAAUUAAUAUACUAUUAUAAUAAUUAUUAAUAUAAUUAAUUUAUAUAUUAUUAUUAUUAUUAAUGAAUUAAUAUAAUUAUUACUAUUAAUUAAUAUAUUAAUAUAUUAUUAACAAUAAUAUAUUAAUAAUUAUUGUUCGUGAAUAAAUAAUCACAAUAAUUAAUAUAUUAUUAUUGUAAUUAAUUAAUUAAUAUACUAUUAUAAUAAUUAUUAAUAUAAUUAUUAUAAUUAAUUCAUAUAUUAUUAUUAAUUAAAUUAAUAUUAUUAAAUAAAUAAAUAAUAUAAUUAUUACUACUAAUUAAUAUAUUAAUAUAUUAUUAAAAAAUAUUAAUAAUUAUAAUUUUUGAAUAAAUAAUCACAAUAAUUAAUAUAUUAUUUUAAUUAAGUAAUUAAUAUUAAUAUUAAUAUUAUUAGUUAAUAUAUUUUUAUAAUAAUUUUUAAUAUAGUUAUUAUAAUUAAUUAAUUUUUUUUACAAUUAAUUAAUAUAUUAGUUAAUAAUAAUUAUGACAAUAAUCCAUUAAGUACUUUUUAGUAAUUUGUUACAAUCUAAUUCAUUCCGAUUCCGAUUUCAAGACAAAGUAAACACAUUAAUGGCAAUUUAGCUCAUUCUGAUUUUGAUUCCUACAGUUCAAGUAAACAACUUAUUUUGAUUCCUAUUACAUAUUCCCAUUCCAACCCAUUCUCAUUUCUGUCCAUUCUCAUUUCUGCCCAUUCCGAUUUUAGCUCAUUCCGAUUUCAGUUUAGUAAACGCAGUAUAAGAGUUAUCAUGAAAAUCAUACAAUUCAAUUUCCUGAAAUAUAUAUUUUAUUCACAUGUGCCAAAAGAAUAAAUAGAUAGAAAGUAAAUUUACAAUCCUCACUCCCUCACAAUUGUUAAAGUGAAUAUGCAUUACAACUGUGAACUGUCACUACUUUAGCCCUUUUUUUUUUUUCAAUUAUAGUGUGAUGGAGACAGUGAACAUUAAGGAUAAAGUGCUCUGCUGAAAGCCAAACUUCCUUUGGCUAAUUAAUUUAGAAGUAAAGCAGAGAAUAAAGUCCUAGAUGCCUUCUGAAAUUAGAAAUACAUUUUAUAUGCUUUAAUUAUGAUUAUUUGGCAGACUAAAGACCUAAAAGAUAUGUCAAAAGUAUGAAACAGAGAGAUUAAAGAAAAAAGAAAAAAAAAAAAAAACAGAGUAUUUGUGACGUAGAAUAACAAUUGGUAAAUAAAUCCUAAAUAUUUGAGUUGUUAAAAGCAAAUAUAACAGAGACGGUAAGAGAGAUGCAGAAACAGAAAACUAUUAGCUUAUCUUGAUUUUCCCACUAUAUUCAUUUUCGAUGCUUUUCAAUCGAGAUUCUUUUAAUUCUUCUGGUGUCUGCAGCCCCGGCUCUUCUUAUAAAUCUCCAUCCCACAUCUGCACUACGAACAAGUUGACUGAAAUUAAAUAAUGUUGGAGAUGAGGGGUGAGCCGUCAACUUGUUAAAAAAAACUCAUGUAUAAUAUUAUCAAUAAUAUAAAAUAUAUAAUAAUUGUUACAAAGAAUCAUAAAUUAGAAAAAUUAAUUAUUUUACAAUCUAUUUCUUAAGUAAGAUAAAUCUUGUAAUAAGUUAAGUUAUAACGUAAAAAAUAUUUUCAAUUUAUAAUCAUUUAAGAAGUCAUUUAACAAUAAAAUCUUUCUUUUGAUCAUGUGGGCAUGCCAUAGAGUAUCAUCUAUAUUCGUGAUGAUAUUAUUAUUACUCAGUAUCCUAAAAAAAACACGAUUUAACAUUUAGAGAAAAUUCCUGCCUUUUAAAAAGAACAUGUAUGCAAUAGCUAGCCAUACUUUAUUUUACCACAACAAAAUUGAUGGUGAUUAAAUCAAUUUUCUCAAUUAAAGCAAAAUUUUAAAAAUUGAUUUAAUGCACAAAUAUGAUGAGUUUUUGUAAAAAUUAGUUUUGGAAAAUAUAGUGAGAGAAAAUGGUGACGAUUAUUUUCAGAUGUGCAAAUAGCCUAAACAUAAUCUCUAAUACCAAUAUCCAUGUGCAUCUUAAUACCUUUCAUGAUAUUCUUUCAUUCAUGGCCAUUUGUUCAAGAUUUGAAUUUGAUUAUUAAAUCAUGUUCAAUAAUGUUAGAGAUCCCAACAAUUGAAUACCAACUUAAAUCCCAAUGCUAUGUGUCAUUAACAAAUGUUGUGUCAUUUAUAAUUAUUGAAUGAAUAAUUCGUUAAUUUAUUGAUAAAUAAAAAUUUAUUAAUUUAAAGAGAGAUACUUCUUCUUUUUUUGUUUUAAGAAGAGUUUUGUUGGUACAUGUACAUACUUAUAAAGAAAUAAACUUGUAAUUAUACUAUAUCUUUCUUUCUUUGUUCAGUUUGGUGGGAUAUUGUGAUAAAUCAUUGGAUUAAAAUACAUUUCUAAAUUAAAACUUGUUAAAAUCUAAUUUAUUUGGGAAACGCAUAUUAUUUGUCAGUUGUACUUCUCAACUUAGCAAGUUAUUUCUAACUUGUCAGUCUCUAUUGGUUCUCUAAAAGCUAAUAGUCUCGAAUCUCCCGCAUUUGAUAUCUUGCCAUUACUGUUGGCAUUUGUUAAGUAUAGCUGAAGCUGGUGACGUGUAUAAGCUGCUGAUGAAGCUGCUGAGUUGGCUGGCUGGUGAUGUGUAUAAACUGAAGGUGCUGAGCUGGAUUGGGUUGUUGUUCACACCAACUAAAGAUGUAACAGAUUAUCCAGCUGGCUUGUUAUGAUUGGAAGUUAGAUUAGUUUGUUAAUACAGCAAACAAUGAGCUCUGUUUUGGUAGUUAGUUUUGAGUGUAACUAUAAAUACUGGCUAACAUGUUUUCAGUGUUAAGCUUGAGUUUUAAUCAAUAAAAAUCAAUUCAGUUAAAGUUUCUUUGUUAACUUUCUUUCACUUUCUCACUUGCCAAACAACCUAUUAAUUCUAAAAUGGUAUCAGAGCUUGCACCUAUGUCAGGAUCUAAUCAUAUAGCUUCCUCAUCACUUUCAUUCAAUUUUGUUCAACCUAUAAAACUCGAUAGAUCAAACUACUUGGUGUGGAAAGCUCAAGUUAGAACAUCGAUCAUUGCUAAUGGACUUGAGAGCUUCAUCAAUGGUGAGAGUGUAUGUCCAAAAUGUUAUCUCAUUGAUUCUAUUCAAGAACUUCAAAGAUCUGGAGCUGAAACAUCACAGAAGCAGGAAAAUCCAGAGUAUAUCUUAUGGAUGAAAACUGACAAACUUCUGCAGAGCUGGAUGCUUUCGUCAAUGGUGGACAAUGUAUUAAUCAUGGUGAUCAAUUGUGAAACAUCACUUGAACUUUCGGAGAUGCUUGCUAGAAUCUUCAUGUCACAAUCCAAAGCGAGAUAUCUGCCUUUGAAGAUGCAGAUUCAAUCAACAAAUAAAGGAUCUCUCUCCAUCAGUGAUUACUUCAAAAGGAUGAAGAAAAUUGCUGAUAGCUUGGCCAUUGGAGGUAAUCCAAUUACUUCGAAUGAACUGAUUAUUCACUUGCUUACUAGAUUGGAUGAAAACUAUGAAUCCAUAGUCACAAAUAUACUUACUAGACUGGAAAAAGAGAGACUUACUGCUGAAGAGGUGUACUCUAUGUUACUUAGUCAUGAAACUAGGUUGGAAAUGAGCAAAGGAAAAUCACAUAAUGAACCUCUGCAUGAUAUGACAUCAAAUUUUGCUCAGAAAGGCCAAGGUUAUAAUACUGGUCCUGGAAGAGAUGUUGUGUGUCAAAUCUGUUACAUUCCAGGCCAUGGAGCUUAUAAGUGUAAACAUAGAUUCAAUCAAGGGUUUAUUCCUAGAAACAAAGGCUUUGGUGGUUUCAGGCCAAGAGGUGGAGGUCAGAAUUAUAGAGGAUUCCCUAGAAAUAAUCAGAAUUAUUUUGGUAGAGGUUCUGGAUACAAUAGUUCUGCUUUUGGAUCUGGAUUCAGACCUAACUUUCCCAGGCAAGCCGGACCUACUGGACCUUUCUUUGGCUAUGUUGCCUAUCAGAAUCCAGGAUUCAUGAAUCCUCAAGGUGCCUUUGACUUUCCAAGUGCAAAUGGUGAUUAUACUGGUGUUCCAACAGCAAACAUGUAUGUUGGAAAUUAUGGCAUUCCUCAUAAUGUCUCUCCCUCUGCACAAUUGGCAAACUUCAGCAAUGUAGCUGAUUCAGCCUGGUACCUUGACUCUAGAGCAACAAAUCACAUUGCUCAAGAUGCAGGUAUACUUUCUAAGUGCUCAACUUACCAUGGCCUUGAAAAACUACAUGUAGGAAAUGGUAUGGGGCUGCCUGUUCAUAAUGUUGGUUUUGUUGCUGUUAAAACCUUGACUACAACACCUAUAUACCUAAAUCAUGUUCUGCAUGUCCCUAAAAUUACUAAAAACCUUAUCAGUGUUUCCAAAUUGCUUGCUGAUAACAAUGUUUUUAUUGAGUUUUACAACCAUGUUUGUUUUGUUAAGGACAAGAAUUCAAGAAUCACAUUGCUCAAGGGGAUUGUUAGAGGAGGUCUUUAUCAAGUUUCAAGCUUAAAUACAGUCUGUGAUAACUCCAGUUCAGUGUUCCCAGUGUCAACCACUUCUGAGUUUGUUUUUACUUCAAUAAGUACAUUCCCAGCAACUCCAGUGUCUAUGUUUACUCAACUAAGUUCAUUUGAUACUAAGUUUCACUCUUGUAUGCUUGUAAAUAAUUCUCAAAUCAAUAAGAAUGUCCCUGUGGCUCACUUUGCUUCAUAUAACAAGCCUAUUGAUUAUAGUUUACUGCACAAAAGAAUGGGUCAUCCAACUACUCAUGCUUUAAAACAGAUCAUGAAAUGCCUGAACUCAAAUUUUAUUCUUCCCAAAGAUUUCACAACACAGUUCUGUGAUGCCUGUCAACUAGGCAAGUGCCAUACGCAGCAUUUUCCCUCCAUAGAAACUUCAACCACUCAGCCCCUUGAAUUACUACAUGCUGACCUUUGGGGACCAGCUCCCAUUACCUCUUCACAAGGUUACACCUACUAUCUAUCUAUCUUAGAUGACUACACUCGAUACACUUGGAUUUUUCCUCUCAUUGCCAAAUCCAAAACCUUGUCAGCCUUUAUUGAAUUCAAAAACAUGAUUGAAAACUGCCUGAACUUGAAAAUUAAAUGUUUACAAACUGAUUGGGGUGGAGAAUUCAGGCCUUUUGUGUCAUAUCUUUCUAACCAGGGUAUACAAUUUUGACAUCCCUGCCCUUAUAUCCAUCAUCAACAUAUUACCUGAGAUUGGGAUUCAUUAAAAUCCUCAAUGUAAUCGGUGGAACGAAUGGAUUUCUUCUGUUCACCAAUCCACCAAAAUUUCUGUAAUUAAAUUCAAGAGUCAAGAUCUAUGCUUAUAAUCUAUUCAACAGCUAAUAUUCUAUUUUAUAUUUACUUAAAUAUGAAGAGCUAUGCUUGUCAUUAACUUCAAAUGUGAUCGAAGCAGCCUUACAUCUGUAUAUUACGUAUUCCCAACUUUUUUUUGACUUCAUUUACUUUCUUUUCAUGUUAUUUACUCUUUUUUCCCCCUCUCUGACAAUUGAGGUAGGGGGUCAAACUUGAAAGUAUCUUAAAAUCAAACAAUUUUUUUUUUAAGAUAGCUGCUAAUAUGCUCUAUUAGACAAUGAUAAGUAAUAACCUAGUUGUUUGCAUUAGAAAUGAUAUUUUUUGUGGUGCUGAUAAAGAGGUUGAUUAUGAUUCAACAAUUUAAAAUAUGAAAACAUGUGGAAGACGGCCGCAAUUAAAUUGAUUGUAUGAAAAUAUUUCAAUGAAAUUUUAAAAAUUUAGUACUUGUUAUCUUAUCGAGAGUUUUUUAAAUUUUUCUACUUGAACUUGACUGCUUUUGUAUUGAAUUCCUAGCGUUGCCAUUGCUUCUACUCAAAAGCCAUUUAGUUACUCAUGAAUUGUUGUUCAUAAUAGCAAUUUGAUUGAAAGUGCGGCUGCACUAAUUUUCUAGAUGAAUUUUUUCCUACAUGCUUGUUCUCGUAUGACCCAAAAUCCUGCUACAUCAGUUGUAUUAGAAAUUAAUCAACUGGGUUACAAUUAUGCAUCCCCACCAAUAUUUAAGCAAUUUAAUUACAGAAACAUUUCUUGAGGAAAGAAACUCAUAUCGCCACUAGGCUUUUAAUGAGGCUCAUUUUUAUGAAUCUGGAUGGCAUUAGAUAUCUCUCCGAAUAUUGGUGGGAGUAGAUAUGCUACAAAGUGUAUGUACGUUGACUCUCAAUAAAUACAAACGAUUCUCUGAUCUGAUUCAAAACAUCAGUACAUGCAUCAUUUUAAUGAGAAAGAAUAUUCUAAGAACGAAAUUGAAGGUGCAAUCAGCAGCUAAAAUGAAGCCAGAAAUGUACACGCAUGAGGAAGUUUUCCAAGAAGAUUGAUAUUUCUUUGACUAGCAAACCAUACAAGUCCAAAGCUAGCUAAACCAUACCUGCAAGUCGGGGGUUUAAAUGGAGUACUUCUAAGCAUAAAACAUUGAUUAAAACAGAAUACACACAUACAUACCAGCAAAUUCAAUAUAGCAAAAGGAGUGCAAAAGUUCAAGUUUGUAGACAACAUUGCAACCAUGGCAUGUUUAUAGCAAAUCCUCGAAAUCUGCUAAAUAAAACAAUGCCCUGUCUCAUGAAUCAAUGCUGAAUUAAAAUUGAAACUGAAAGUCUGGCUGGCGGUGUUUCCCUCUCCAAUUUUGCCUACAUAAGUGAAAAUAAGAAUAAUAAAUGGAAAUCUGCUUUUACAGUUCUUAUUAGAUAGAUAUAAAGGGAUCUUUCUUUGUUUCUCUGCUGUAAUUUGUGGCUAUGCCACUCUGUUUUUCCAGUCAAGCUGAGUCUACGUUGAGACAUAAUUUUGACAUCAGAAGCAACCUCAAUUAGUUUGGCAUUUUCAUGACCUCCUUGAAGGUUUUAUGAUAAACAUAAAUCCACUGAGAAAGUGGGAAAAAAAGAAAAUGCAUAUAAAAGUAUGAGUUAUCAGAUAAGAUUAAAACUCACCCAAUUCAAUCCAUCAGAUUCCGUAAGGAUAUAACUGGAUGUCAUACCGCCACUCCAUAUCCUCGAAAGUCCGUAGUCCUUGUCUCAACUGUGUCUGGGGCCAGUGUAAGUCCAAUUUGCGCAAGCUCUUUAUGCACCACAGCUCUUCUGGAAGCUUUCUCAAGUAAGCACAUGGGUUGACAAUUAAGCUUUCAAGUUUCGGCAUUGCUCCAGCCGCCAUCGUCCACUCAUCUAGCCAAUACAUUGAUUUCAGGUGCAAAACCUUAAGUUCGGGAAAGCUACUCAAGCCAACACAAGCAAGCUUUCUUCCUAAAUACGAGUUCUGCUUCAGUUUCAGCACUCGAAGGCGUGGAAGAUUUUCCAGAAUUGGCAUGGGAUCCUCCAUUAGCUCAGUAUUUGAUAAGCUCAGUUGGAUCAGACUUGGGGGAAAUUGGUAUUCAGACAGGACCAUCCGUGAGGGCUUGCUCUCAUUCACCAGCUUCAAGCAUUCAAGUUUGUGGAGUUCGCAAAGGCUUUUGGAAACCCCAGAUUGAUAGUAACUCAAAUCUCCAGAUAUCCGAAGAGUCCGAACACUAGGUAGUCUGCCCAAUAUAUCAGGAGUACAACUACUAGGGUUUAAAGCUGAUAUGAAAAUGAGAUUUUUCAGAGAGCUAGAAUAAUUUUUUGGAGGUGCGGGCAGAGUGAUGCAACCGAAGUUUAGAUGCAUGAGUUUUUGCAUCAUCCAAAUAUCCUCUGGUGACUGAUCUAUGUAGCUAGAUGGCAUUUCUAGUGUUUCAAGGUUUAAAAGGGUGCAUAGCAGUGAAGGAAGGCAUUUGAGCGAAGGGAUAUUCAAUUUCAAAUACUUCAAAAGAUAUAAAUUUUCUAAUCCGGGUGGAUAUUGGUCCAGGACUGCAGAACCCAUGUUCAAUACCCGAAGGUAUUUGAACCUUUUAAAAAAAUUCUCGCAAUCUUUCGGAUUAAGAUGAUUGCUUUUUGAACUGUGAUUCAGAAAAGAUUGGAGACACAUGUCAGAAUGUUCUAAAGAAAAGAACUCAAUCAGAUCAUCGUCAAUGACGCACCGUUUAACAUUUGCCACUGAUUCCUCUUCCACGUCAUGCAUCCAGACAAAUCCCGUCUUCAUUGCCACAAUAUACAAUGAAGUGUAUACAAAACUUGGAACAUAACACGCUUUAAUUGUGCCUCUGGCUCUUCUCUUACUCACUUGAAUGAAGCCGCGAUGGAUUAGUUCUUUCAAGUAAUGUUCGGCAGUUUCUUCACCGUUGUAUGGUAUGAAACCUUCAGCUACCCACAACUGAUAUAAUUGCUCCGUAGAUAUCUCAAUACUUGGAGGGAAGACAUACAAAUAGAUGCAGCAGACUUUCAAGUGAAAAGGCAACUCCAUCACAGAAAAAAUUUGUCUCCAAACUGUCAGAACCACUUCGCCUUGAAGAUAAUUUUCUAAUGGCAUACUUCCAUAGUGUAGGAUGAAAAAUUGCCAGGCCUCAUGCUUUAAUCUGAUCAAUGGUCCUCCAAAGAGCACUGAAUCACGCCGAAUCUUCUCUUCAUUUUCCAUUUCCAACGACGCAAUGAGGCCCGGAUCAGUGACUGUUAUCAAUACUCUGCUUCCAUUCUCAUCACCAGGAAGAAGUUCUUCGAGAUCACUCCAUAUCUCACUGUUAUCGAAGACAUCAUCAAGCAAAAUAAAGUACUUCUUGUUUGUUAGGUAAUCUCGAAGAAUAGAUUUCUUCAAUUGAUAAUCUUCACCGAUAAUUACACUAACCCGAGAUGGAGGCAUCACAGACUUGAUUAUGUCAUCCAACAUCUUGCCAAAAUCAUAGAAUAUAGAAACCCUGACCCAAGCAAGACAGUCAAAAUAGAACUUGACAUGGUUAUUAUUGUAAGUAUCUUCUGCAAAAGCAGUCUUAUCGAAGCCACUGCUGUCGAGAAUUGUAACCACUGCAAGCCGAGGGCGUCCUUCAAUCAAUAAAUCAAACAACUCCUCCCUGCCCCUUUCAAAUUCAUUGAUAUCAAGCCGAGGUUGUCCCUCACUCAAUAGGUGAAUGAUUUCGUUACUUUUUUUACUGAUAUCAAAACCAUUGUCGCCGGGUGGAAGUUGUUGCAUCCGAUUACUAAUAUCAAUGAUUUUACUGUGGAGACCAGCAAGAAGAGCCAUAUUAGUACUGCUUUCACUUUCGUUUUCACUGUUUUGCUGCUGCAUAAUGUUGAUGAAGAAUGUGUCAAUGGCUUCCUCAGAUUCAUGGACAAAGUCAUUGAUGUCCUUCACAAUGCCCAAAAGGUCCGCUCUUUCAACUUCUUCUUCAUCGCUUUCUUCUAAGUCCAACAGUUGCAAAAAAGGCAAAGAUAUUUUGGAGUCAUCGAAUUCUUCUCUAAUGAGUUGAAAGAAAUGCCGAGCCAUGUCAGCUUCAUAUUUUCCCAGCAGGGUAGUAGCAAUAAUUUCGGACUCCGUAAGAAGGUUUUGAAAAAGUGGGGUUAAAUUUGUUGAAUCAGGCAGCGUUAACGGGCCUUCUUCACCUGCUAACACCCUUUUCAACCUCUCACAAAACAGUCGGAGGUGGAAUUCCAGCAUAUCUCCUUCUCUCCGUAGCACUCAGAGGUAUAGCUGAAAGAUUAAACACCAUGGAAGAAUUUGAAAGGAAAAUGCCAAGACAUUAUUGCUCAUUUUUUAACUCAAAAGAUUGAUACGCGUUCAUUUAGAGAAAAGUCCAAGACGCGUGCCUUUUGAAAAGAACAGGUAUCCCAAUCGGUAUCCGACCGAUAUCUUAUUAAAUUACAACCAUGACAUAAUUGAUGGUGCUUAAAUCAAUUGUUUCUUUUUUAAUUUAAAGAAUUUUUCAUUAAAAAAAUAUUUUAAUAUCAAAUUGCUUUCAGUGGCGUAACUGCCUCAAGCCCAGUAACAGGACUAAUUAAAAAUUUUACAAUUUUUGGGCAUGGAAAUAGUAGUAUUAAACAUUAGAAAGGUAAGGUCGUUCUGUUAAAGAAUUGAUAUUGACAUAAUUUUUUUUGGUUUUCGGGGGAAAAAAAAUUGUUGACAAGCAAGAAAAUAUUUUUAUAUUUUAUAAUUUAUUAUACAUAUUUUAUCUUAUUAAAGUAAUUUUAAUAAUAAAUAGAAACAUAAUAUUACGAUAAAUAAAUUAAAGUUGAACUUAUUUUGAAUAUUAUAAAAAAUAAUUUUAAUAUUAUUAAUAGGAAGACAUUGUAUUAAUUUUAAACUUUUUUAACCCAAAGGUUUAUUUAAAAUCUUUAUUAGAAAUACAAAUAUAAAAUUAAAUAUCAUAAUUUAAAAUUUUUAAUAUUAUUUUAAGUAUUAAAAAUAUUUUAAUGUUAUUAGUCUACUACAUAGAUCAUAUUACUUAUAUAAUAUUUGUAUUAUUAAAAAUUGUUAAAAUCAAAUUUUUAGUUAGUAUAUUCAUGAGCUAUUAUGGUUAAAAAAAAAAAGACCUUAUUAUUACUUUUUUAAAAAUUGAGGGCCUGCGUGAUAAUUUUUUCAAAAAGAAAAUGCUUGGUAUGUAGGAGGGGUACAGAAACAGGACUCCCAAAAUCUCUCACCCUUUUUUAAUUAAAAAAAAAAAUUAAAAUAUCAAUAAAAAGUAAUAAAGAAAAUAGAAUUUUAUCUGCUCCUUACUCCAUUUUUGCAACUCUCUCACCAUCCCUAUCGAGCAGCCCUCUCUCUCACUGUCUCACUCACACAGUCCUUUUCACGAUUUGAAAUUCUUUGGCCCUCUGCAUUACAAGAAAUUAACGCUUUGGUUCUCCCAAGGGUAGAUUGGUUUUAUUGGGAAGCUAUUAAUUUUUUUUUUUUUUGAAUACUGAUUAAUCAUCAGAUUACUGCAUUACACAGAUAUUUACAACAACUGCUAUUGUAGCAGAGAUAUUAUACUGAUAUUUACAAUCAGAUAUACAUAAUUGGGACUUAUAUUAUGACAUUGAAUUCUAUGAAGUACAUGCCCAAACAAAUAACCCCUCACAGGAGAGGGAUGUCCAUACUCCACUCGCAUUUCGCAAGGGAGAAUGAUUUUUUGGAAGUAUAAAGAACAUUUAGCCCCCACAAUACUUUUGUGGGGGCUAGAACCGCUGCAGCAUUGUGAGGGCAGCAGCCCACCACUUCGGCCUUGGCCGAAGUGGCGGGAAGCUAUUAAUUAGAAGGAGGAAAAAGGACUAUAUUUAGAAUAUGAUUUGUUGGAGAAUCUCAGAGUUAGUCAAUUUUCAAGCCACACUUUCAAUAGCCAAUUGAUUUAGUAACCAUUAAUUACUUUAAUUUCCAUAAAUUGUAAUGACAGUGCAAAUGCAUCUGGUUGUGAUAGCUAAGGGUUAGCUUGAAGAAUUAAAUUUCAUAAGAUAUUACUGGAAAAUGCUUUGCAGAUAACGUGCUGCUUCCUUUGCUAGACUACAAUUUCAAAAAUCUCACGAGUUUUCCAUUGUUGUCACAAACCGAGAAAUUAUAAAAUACAUGGCCUGGUUCUUUGGCAAUGACCAUCUCAUCGUCGGCGGUCGUGUCGUCAUUGUCACUGUUCUUGCUCGACCGAGACAGUGAGAGAGAGGUUUGUUAGAUGGAGUUAGUGAGAGAGAGUUGUAAAGAUGGAAUGAUGAUAAAAGGAUUCUAUUUGUUUUUAUUGUUUUUUAUUAAUAUUUUAAUUUUUUAAAUUAAAAUGUGCUGCCGUUUCUCUAGCCUUUUUAGCUGCUUAACUUAACAGUAUUCUUUUCAAAAUUUAAGAAUGUAGUAGGUGUCCUUUUCUCUAAUAAUUUAUUUCAUUUUUAGGGAAUCCAAUGAGAAAUAUGAUAAAAGAACGUCAAUUACUUGUCGUUUUCAAUUUUUUCUAUAAGCUAUUUAUUUUGAGCAUUAGUGAUCUUGUCUGGACUACCCCAAUUAUUGACGUAACUCCAGUGGCUGCAUCCACUGGAAAAAGUGGAUGAGACCAUUUUUUUUUUCAUAAAGGUAACUACUCCAAUUAUUGACAUAAUUGAUGGUGCUUAAAUCAAUUUUUUCUUUCUUUUUUUUAAUUUAAAGAAUUUUGCUUUAAAAAAUAAUUAAUAUCAAAAUGCCUUCAAUGUUGUUACCGCCACAAGCCCAGUUAGAGGACUCAUUAAAAAUUUUAGAAUUUUUAGGCCUGGAAAGCAUAGUAUUAAACAUCAGAAAGCAAAGGUUGUUAUGUCGAAGAAUUGAUGUCGACAAAAUUUUAAUUUUGUUUUCGGAAAAAAAAAAAAAUUUUGUUGACAAGCAAGAAAAUAUUUUUUAUACUUUACAAUCUGCUAUACAUAUUUUAUCAUAUUAAAGUAAUUUUAAUAAUAUAUGGAAACAUAAUAUUAUAAUAAAUAAAUUAAAAUUACUUUGUAUUAUUGAAUAUUACAAAAAGAUAAUUUUAAUAUUAUUAAUAGGAAAACAUUUUUUAAUUGUAAAAUCUUUUUAAUACAAAAAUUCGUUUAAAAUCUUUAUAAUAAAUACAAAUAUAAAAUUAAAAAAUAUCAUAAUUUAAAAUUUUUAAUAUUAUUUAAAUAUUAAAAAUACUUUAAUGUUAUUAGUCUACUACAUAAAAUAUAUUAUUUAUAUUAUAUUCGUAUUGAUUAAAACGUUUUAAAGUCAAAUUUUUAAUUAGUGUAUUCAAAGGUACAAAAGAUUUAAGUAUUAUUUUUUAAAAAUUUCAAGAUACGAAUGAUAAUUUUUUCAAAUUUUAAAGAUGUAAAAAUCUUUUUUUCUGAUAAUUUAUUUCACUUUUGAGAGAAUCCGAAAACGUUAAUUUAACAUUCUUUACCUUUGUAAAAAAAGUGAAAAUCAAGAACUAUUCAAUUUUGUUUUUAUUUGUAAUUCAAAAACUUUAUUCAUUUUCGAUGCUUUUCAAAAGAGAUUCCUUUAAAUGUCUGCAGCUCCUGCUUUUCUCAUAAAUCUCCAUCCCACAUCUACACUAUCAAGUAUCAAACAAGUUGAUGGAAAUUCUUAUAAAAAAAAAAAAAAAAUUGAUGGAAAUUGAUCAAUUGCUUUUUGAAGUGGACCCAUUGAGUCAUGUUCAUUUCUGGUCAUUGUCUACUCUUUCUAUCAGCCAUUUAUUUUGACCAUUUGCGAUCUUAUCUGGACCUACUCCAAUUAUUGUUGUAACUCCGAUGGUUGUAUCUACAGUGGAAUGUAAGAUAGUGAAAGCUCUUUCUUUGAGAAAAUAGAGGGACCUUUCUCUGUUUCUCCGUUGCAACGUGCUCGUAUAAAUUUCUCUACCUUACAGUUUAUACGGUCUUGCUGUUAAUGAAUUCGCUGAGGCAUUAUUGAUCCAAUCUGAGUGAAGUAAUUGUGGGUGAAAAAUAAAUAAAGGAUAUGAGAACGUAGCUGAAGUGCUGAAGGGGCUAUUAAAGAAGAGUGUCACUUGAUCACAAUCACAUUGAUGCACAACUCACUCGUGGCAAAUUUCGACUAUACGUUCUGCAAAUUCAGCCAAACCAUACAUGCAUGAACAAAACUAAAAUGUAGUUCUAAUCACAACUGCAGUUAUGAUGUUUACCUCUCUGAUUUUUCUCCAAAACAAAUUCAGUUCAAAACAAUAAUCAAAAUAGCCACAUUUUGUUCGUCAAAAUAAAUGCCCAAAUUUUCAAUUAACAAAUCAUCUUCUCUAAACUAAAAAGCCCACAUCUCUAAAAUCAAUCUACAUAAUGUUGGAGAUGAGGGUUGAAUUGUUAACUCAGUAAAAAAAAAAAAACUCAUGCAUAAGAUUACUAAUAAUAUAAAUUAUAUAUUAAUCAUUAUAAAGAAUCAUAAAUUAGAAAAAUUAAUCAUUUUAUAAUUUAUUACACAAGUAAGAUAAAUCUCAUAAUAAGUUAUAACAUAAAAAACGUUAUCAAUAUAUAAUCAUUUAAGAAGUCAUUUAACAAUAAAAUCGUUCUUUGAUCAGUUGGCCAUGUCACAUAGUAUCAUCUAUAUUUAUGGUGAUACUAUUAUUACUCAGUAUUCUCAAAAAACAUGAUUUAACAUUUAGAGGAAAUUCUUGCCUUAAAAAAAAAACAUGUAUGCAACAGCUACCCAUGCUUUAUCUUACCAUGACAAAUAUUUUCUCAAUGAAAGAAAUUUUUUAAAAAAUUGAUUUAAUGCACAAAUAUGAUGAUUUUUGCAAAAAUUAGUUUUGGAAAACAUAGUGAGAGAAAAUAGUGACGAUUAUUGUUUAAAUGUAUAAAUAGCCUAAACAUAAUCCUUAAUACCAAUAUCCAUAUGCAUCUUAUCAUCUUUCAUGAUAUUCUUUCAUUUAUGUCCAUUGGUUCAAGAUUUGAAUUUGAUCAUUAAAUCAUGUUCAAUAAUAUUAGAGAUUCCAACAAUUGAGUACCAACUUAAAUCCCAAUGUUAUGUGUCAUUGACCAAUUUUGUGUCAUUGACCAAUUUUGUUAUUAACUAGGUGAUGAAUUUCUAGUUGAUAAAAUCACUUAAAAAUAUCUUAAAAAUUAGACAAUAGUUUGCUUAAUUUUUCCAAGUUAACUGCUCAAGAUGCUCUAUUAGAAAUGAUAACCUAAUUAUAUACAUAAAAAAUGAUGGAAAUUGAACAAUUGCUUUUUGAAGUGGACCCAUUGAGUUAUGUUCAUUACUGGUCAUUGUCUAUUCUUUCUAAGAGCCACUUGUUUUGAGCAUUAGCAAUCCUAUCUGGACUACUCCAAUUAGGAUAGUGUUAGUUCUUUUUUGAGAAUUUCUUUAUUUGUUUCUCCGUUGCAGCGUAUUAGUAUAAAUUUCUUUACCUUACAGUUCCUACAGUCUUCCUGUUAAUGAAUUCGCUGAGGCAUUAUUGAUCCAAUCUCGGUGAAGUAAUUGUGGGUGAAAAAAAAAAAAAAGGAUAAGAGAACGUAGCUCAAGUGCUGAAUUGACUAUUAAAGAAGAGCGUCACCUGAUCACAAUCACAUUGAUGCACAACUCACUCGAGGCAAAUUUCAUCUAUAAAUAAAAGAUCCCUUACUAUUCUCUUAACCCUGAGUUUUGAGAUAGAAAUUUCCCGAACUCCAACCCCACAUCCACAGACAAGUUGAUUGAAACAAUUGCUCUUGUAAUUAAGAGGAUGGGUUAGGGUUCAGUUCUUAUCAUUGUCUGUUAUUUCUUUGAAUCAUUAUCUUAAUUAAUUACAUCAAUUGUUUCUUUUUUUUAAUUUAAAGAAUUUUUCUUUAAAAAAAUAUAUUUUAAUAUCAAAAUGCCUUAAAUGGUAUUACUGCCGCAAUCCCAGUAACAGGAUUAAUUAAAAAUUUUAGAAUUUUUGGGCAUGGAAAGAGUAGUAUUAAAUAUCAGAAAGCUAAGGUUGUUCUGUCAAAGAAUUCAUAUUGGCAUAAUUUUAUUUUUGCUUUCGAGUAAAAAAAUAUAUAUAUAUAUAUUUGUUGACAAGCAAAAUACUGUUUUUAUAUUUUACAAUCAGUUAUACAUAUUUUAUCAUAUUAAAGUAAUUUUAAUAAUAAAUGGAAACAUAACAUUACAAUAAAUCAAUUAAAGUUUAAAUUAUUUGGAAAAUUAUAAAAAAUAAUUUUAAUAUUAUUUAUAGGAAGAUAUUUUGUUUAUUGUAAAAUCUUUUUAACCCAAAGGUUUAUUUAAAAUUGUUAUAAUAAAUAAAAUAUAAAAACAAAAUAAAUAUCAUAAUUUAAAAUUUUAAUAUUAUUUUAAAUAUUAAAAAUACUUUAAUGCUAUUAGUCUACUACAAAGGUUAUAUUACUUAUAUUAUAUUUGUAUAAAUUAAAACUUUUAAAGUUAAAUUUUUAAUUACUAUAUUGAAAAGGUAUUAUGGUUAAAAUAUGUUUUGGCAUUUCUUUUUAAAAAUUUGAGGGUCUGCAUGACAAUUUGUCCAAAUCCUAGAGGUAUAGGUGUCUUUUUUUUUCGAUAAUUCAUUUUACUUUUGAGGGAAUCCGAUGAGAAAUAAGAUAAGAGAAACGUCAAUUUAACGUUCUCUAUGGAAAACCAAGAACUAUUCAAUUUUGUAUUUUUUGUUUGUAAAACGAAAAACAGUUUGCCAAAAAAGGUACCAAACAUAUCCUUAAUGUCUCACAUGAUUUCUUAUUAAGUCCAUACUCGAUAUAUUUAUACAUUUUAGGUAUUUUAGUUAUAAAAGAAGUUGGUCCUCCCUCUAUUUAUAAAAGGUAACUUUAUUUCGAGAUUACCACUAAAGUCUUACAAAGAAUUAGUGUAAUGUUAACAGAGAGUAACAUAGUUUUCCAUUACCAUUUUGAAAAUAGAAAGAUAUGGAUGUGUGCAUUUAAUGGUGUGUUUACUUACCGGAUUGAGGAAUCAGAAUCUGGAAUUAGAAUGAUUGAUGGUGUUUACUUCGCAAAUAUGGAGCAGGAAUCGGAACUGGAAUGGUGGGGCCCACCACUAUUUGGGAAUGAGAGAUUGAUUCCCAUGGGGGAAGGUGGGAACGAGUCUCCCAUUCCCUGGACUGACCAUUUUGCCCUCCCUCAAAAUUAAAAAUGCCUACUUUGUCCUCUUUUAUAAUUAAUUAAUAUAUAAAUAUUUUAAUAACUAUAAUUAUUAAAAAUUAUAGUUCUUGAAUAAAUAAUCACAAUAAUUAAUUUAUUAUUUUUAUUUUUAUUUUAAUUAAUUAAUAUACUAUUAUAAUAAUUAUAAAUAUAAUUAAUUUAUAUAUUAUUAUUAUUAUUAAUGAAUUAAUAUAAUUAUUACUAUUAAUUAAUAUAUUAAUAUAUUAUUAAAAAUAAUAUAUUAAUAAUUAUUGUUCGUGAACAAAUAAUCACAAUAAUUAAUAUACUAUUAUUUUAAUUAAUUAAUAUAAUUAAUUUAUAUAUUAUUAUUAUUAUUAAUGAAUUAAUAUAAUUAUUACUAUUAAUUAAUAUAUUAAUAUAUUAUUAAAAAUAAUAUAUUAAUAAUUAUUGUUCGUGAACAAAUAAUCACAAUAAUUAAUAUACUAUUAUUUUAAUUAAUUAAUAUACUAUUAUAAUAAUUAUUAAUAUAAUUACUAUAAUUAAUUCAUAUAUUAUUAUAAUUAAUUAAUUAAAUUAAUAUUAUUAAAUAAAUAAAUAAUAUAAUUAUUACUACUAAUUAGUAUAUUAAUAUAUUAUUAAAAAUAAUUAUAAUUUUUGAAUAAAUAAUCACAAUAAUUAAUAUAUUAUUUUAAUUAAGUAAUUAAUAUUAAUAUUAUUAGUUAAUAUAUUUUUAUAAUAAUUUUUAAUAUAGUUAUUAUAAUUAAUUAAAUUUUGUUACAAUUAAUUAAUAUAUUAGUUAAUAAUAAUUAUGACAAUAAUCCACUAAGUAUUUUUGAGUAAUUUGUUACAAUCUAAUUCAUUUUGAUUCCGAUUUCAAGACAAAGUAAACACAUUAAUGACAAUCUAGCUCAUUCCGAUUUCGAUUCCUACAGUUCAAGUAAACAACUUAUUUUGAUUUUCAUUACCUAUUUACAUUCCAGCCCAUUCUCAUUUCUUCCCAUUCUCAUUUCUGCCAAUUCCAAUUCCAGCUCAUUCCGAUUCCAGUUUAGUAAACGCAGCAUAAGAGUUAUCAUGAAAAUCAUACAAUUCAAUUUCCUGAAAUAUAUAUUUUAUUCACAUGUGCCAAAAGAAUAAAUAGAUAGAAAGUAAAUUUACAAUCCUCACUCCCUCACAAUUGUUAAAGUGAAUAUGCAUUACAACUGUGAACUGUCACUACUUUAGCCCCUUUUUUUUUUUCAAUUAUAGUGUGAUGGAGACAGUGAACAUCAAGGAUAAAGUGCUCUGCUGAAAGCGGAACUUCCUCUGGCUAAUUAAUUUGGAAGUAAAACAGAGAAUAAAGUCCUACAUGCCUUCUGAAAUUAGAAAUACAUUUUAUAUGCUUUAAUUAUGAUUAUUUGGUAGACUAUUGACCAAAAGACAUGUUAAAGUAUAAAACAGAGCGAUUAAAGAAAAAAAAAGGAGUGUUUGUGACGUAGAAUAACAAUUUGUAAGUAAAGUCCUAAUUUGAGUUGUCAAAAAGCAAAUAUAACAGGGAAGGUAAGAGGGAUGCAGAAACAGAAAACUAUUAGCUUAUCUUGAUUUUCCCACUAUAUUCAUUUUCGAUGCUUUUCAAACGAGAUUCUUUUAAUCCUUCUGGCGUCUGCAGCCCCUGGUCUUCUUAUAAAUUUCCAUCCCACAUCUGCACUAGGAACAAGUUGAUUGAAAUUAAAUAACAUUGGAGAUGACGGACAGAUGAGCCGUCAACUUGGUAAAAAAACUAUGUUAAUAUUGUUAAUAAUAAAAAAAAAUAUAAUAAUCAUUACAAAGAAUCAUAAAUUAGAAAAAUUAAUUAUUUUACAAUCUAUUUCGUAAGUAAGAUAAAUCUUGUAAUAAGUUAAGUUAUAACGUAAAAAAUAUUUUCAAUUUAUAAUCAUUUAAGAACUCAUUUAACAAUAAAAUCUUUCUUUUGAUCAAUUGGUCAUGCCACAGAGUAUCAUCUAUAUUCGUGGUGAUAUUAUUAUUACUCCGUAUUCUCAAAAAACACGAUUUAACAUUUAGAGAAAAUUCCUACCUUUUAAAAAGAACAUGUAUGCAACAGCUACCCAUACUUUAUCUUACCACGACAAAACUAAUGGUGACUAAAUCAAUUUUCUCGAAUAAAGCAAAAUUUCUUAAAAUUAAUUUAAUAUACAAAUAUGAUGACAUUUUGCAAAAAUUAGUUUUGGAAAAUAUAGUGACAAAAAAUAGUAAUGAUUAUUGUUUAGAUGUGUAAAUAGCCUAAACAUGAUCCCUAAUACCAAUAUCCACGUACAUCUUAACACCUUUCGUGAUAUUCUUUCAUUCAUGGUCACUGGUUCAAGAUUUGAAUUUGAUCAUUAAAUCAUGUUCAAUAAUAUUAGAGAUCCCAACAAUUAAGUACCAACUUAAAUCCUAAUGCUAUGUGUCAUUGACAAAUGUUGUGUCAUUUUUUGUUAACUGAGUGAUGAAUUUCUAGUUGAUAAAAUUACUUAAAAAUAUCUUAAAAAUCAGACAAUAGUUUGCUUAAUUUUUUGAAGCUAACUGCUCAAGAUGCUCUAUUAGAAAUGAUAACCUAAUUAUAUACAUAAAAAAUGAUGUAUUUUUUGCGGUGUUGAUAGUGAGAUUAUCAUUCAACAUGUUAAAAUAUGAAAACAUAUGGAAGAAGGUUGUAAAUUGAUUGAAUGAAAAUAUUUCAGUGAAGUCUAAAAAAUUUGGUACUUGUUAUCUUAUCGAAAGUUUUCUAAAUUACAUUCGUGGCACUGCCACUGCUUCCAUGUGAAGGUCAUUAAAAUUUGUGUUAGUUACCUAUAUGUUGAAUAAUAAUUUUAUUCAUGAAUUGUUGCUCAAUAUAGCAGUUUCUAGAUGAAUUUUCCUACAUGUUUGUCCUCAUAUGACCUAGAAUGCUGCUAUAUCAAUUGUAUUGGAAAUUAUUCAAGUGGGUUUGUGCUCUAUACCCCCACCAAAAUUUAAGCAAUCUACAGAACAUUCCUUGUGGAAAGAAACUUAUUUCGCUACUAGGUGGGAGUAGAUUUCUAAGCUAAUGCUCGGCAGAUCUCUAGGCUAUACUAAAAAGUGUAUGCACUUUGACUCUCAAUAUAUACGAGUGAUUCUAUGAUGACUGAAAACAUCAGUACAUGCAUGAUUUUAUAAGAAAGAAUAUUCUAAAAUUAUUUAUGUAUCACCAUUUGUAGUUGUACCCUCUCGAAUGAAGGUGCAAUCAGCAACUAAAAUGAAGCCCGAAAUGUACACGCGUGAGGCAGUUUUUCUAGAAGAUUGAUACUUCUCAAACUAGCAAACCGUACAAGUCCAAAGCUAGAAAAGGAGUGCUUCUAAGCAGAAAACAUUGAUUAAAACAGAAUACACACACACAUACCAGUAAAUUCAAAAUAGAAAAAGGAGUUCAACUGUUCAAGUUUGUGGACAAUAUUGCAACCGUGGCAUAUUUAUAGCAAAUCCUUGAAAUCUGCUAAAUAAACAAUGCCCUGUCUCAUGAAUCAAAGCCGAAUUAAAAUUGAAAUUGAAAGUCCGGCUGGUGUUGUUUCCCUCUCCAGUUUUGCCCACAUAAGUGAAGGGAAAUGAGAAUCAUAAAUUAAAAUCUGCUUUUACAGUUUUUUAUUAGAUAGAUAUAAAGGGAUCUUUUUUGUUUCUCUGCUGCAAUUUGUGGCUAUCCCACUCUGUUUUGCCACUCAAGCUUAGUCUACGUUGAGACAUAAUUUUGACAUCAGAAGCAACCUCAAUUAGUUUGGCAUUUUUAUGACCUCCUUGUACGUUUUACGAUAAACAUAAAUCUACUGAGAAAGUGUGAAAAAAAGAAAAUGCAUAUAAAAGUAUGAGUUAUCAGACAUGAUUAAAACUCACCCAAUUCAAUCCAUUAGAUUCCGUAAGGAUAUAACUGGAUGUCAUACCGCCACUCCAUAUCCUCGAAAGUCCGUAGUCUUUGUCUCAACUCUGUCUGAGGCCAAUGUAAAUCCAAUUUGCGCAAGCUCUUUAUGCACCACAGCUCUUCUGGAAGCUUUCUCAAGUAAGCACAUGGGUUGACAAUUAAGCUUUCAAGUUUUGGCAUUGCUCCAGCCCCCAUCGUCCACUCAUCUAGCCAAUACAUUGAUUUCAGGUGCAAAACCCUAAGUUCCAGAAAGCAACCAGAGCCAACGCAGGCCAGCUUUCUUCCUAAAUACGAGUUCUGUUUCAGUUUCAGCACUUGAAGGCUUGGAAGCUUUUCCAGCAUUGGCAUGGGAUCCUCCAUUAGCUCAGUAUUCGAUAAGCUCAGAUGGCUCAGACUUGGAGGAAAUUGGUAUUCAGACAGGACAAUCCGUGAGCGCUUGCUCUCAUUCACCAGCUUCAAGCAUUCAAGUUUGUGGAGUUCGCAUAGGCUUUUGGAAACCCCAGAGUGAUAGCAACUCAAAUCUCCAGAUAUCCGAAGAGUUUGAACAUUAGGCAGUCUGCCCAAUAUAUCUGGAGUACAACUACUAGGGUGUAAGGCUGAUAUGAAAAUGAGAUUUUUCAGAGAGCUGCAAUAAUUUUUUGGAGGUGCAGGCAGAGUGAUGGAACCGAAGUUUAGAUGCAUGAGUUUUUGCAUCAUCCAAAUAUCCUCUGGUGAAUGAUCUAUGUAGCUUGAUGGCAUUUGUAGUGUUUGAAGGUUUAAAAGGGUGCAUAGCAUUGAAGGAAGGCAUUUGAGCGAAGGGAUAUUCAAUUUCAAAUACUUCAAAAGGAAUAAAUUUUCUAAUCCGGGUGGAAAUUGGUCGAGAACUGCAGAACCGAAGUUCAGUACCCGAAGGUGUUUGAACUUUUUACAAAAAUUCUCGCAAUCUAUAAGAGCGAGAUGAUCGCUUUCUGAACUGUGAUUCAGAAAAGAUUGGAGAUACAUGUCAGAAUAUUCUAAAGAAAGGAACUCAAUCAGAUCUUCCAAAAUGAAGCACCGUUUAACAUUUGCCAGUGAUUCCUCUUCCAUGUCAGGCGUCCAGACAAAUCUCGUCUUCUCUACUACCAAAGCCAAUAACGUAUAUACAAAACUUGGAACAUAACACGCUUUAAUUGUGCCGCCGGCGCUUCUCUUACUCACUUGAAUGAAGCCGCGAUGGAUUAGUUCUUUCAAGUAAUGUUCGGCAGUUUCUUCACCGUUGUAUGGUAUGAAACCUUCAGCUACCCACAACUGAUAUAAUUGCCUCGUUGAUAUCUCAUUGCAUGAAAGGAAGACACACAAAUAGAUGCAGCAGAUUUUCAAGUGAAAAGGUAACUCCAUCACAGAAAAAAGUUGUCUCCAAACUGUCGGAAUCGUUUCGCCUUGAAGAUAAUUUUCUAAGGGCAUACUUCCAUAGUGUAGGAUGAAAAAUUGCCAGGCCUCAUGCUUUAAUCUGAUCAAUGGUCCUCCUACGAUCACUGAAUCAAGCCGAAUCUUCUCUCCGUUUUCCAUUUCCAACAGCGUAAGGAGGUGUGGAUUAGUGACCAAUAUCAAUACUCUGCUUCCAUUCUGAUUAUCAGGAAGAACUUCUUCAAGAUCACUCCAUAUCUCACUGUCAUCGAAGACAUCAUCAAGCACAAUAAAGUACUUCCUGUUUGUUAGGUAAUCUCGAAGAAUAGAUUUCUUCAAUUGAUAAUCUUCCCCGAUAAUUACACUAACCCGAGAUGGAGGCAUCACAGACUUGAUUAUGUCAUCCAAUAUCUUGCGAAAAUCGUAGGCUACAGAAACCCUUACCCAAGCAUGACAGUCAAAAUAGAACUUGAUAUGGUUAUUAUUGUAAGUAUCUGCAGCAAAAGCAGUCUUAUCGAAGCCACUGCUGUCGAGAAUUGUAACCACUGCAAGCCGACGAUGUCCUAAAUCAAUAAAUCAAACAACUCCUCUCUGCCACUUUCAAAUUCAUUGAUAUCAAGCCGAGGUUGUCCCUCACUCAAUAGGCGAAUGAUUUUGUUUCUUUGUUCACUGACAUCAAAACCAUUGUCGCCGGGUGGAAGUUGUUGCAUCCGAUUACUAAUAUCAAUGAUUUUACUCUGGAGUCCAUCAAGAAGAGCCAUAUUAGUGCUGCUUUUACUUUCGUUUUCACUGUUUUGCUGCUGCAUGAUGUUGAUGAAGAAUCUGUCAAUGGCUUCCUCAGAUUCAUGGACAAAGCGAUUGAUGUCCUCCAGAAUUUCCAAAAUAUCUGGUCUUUUAACGUCUUCUUCAUCGCUUUCUUCUAAGUCCAACAGUUGCAAAAGAGGCAAAGAUAUUUUGGAGUCAUCGAAUUCUUCUCUAAUGAGUUGAAAGAAAUGCCGAGCCAUGUCAGAUUCAUAUUUUCCCAGCAGAGUAGUUGCAAUAAUUUCGGACUCCGUAAGAAGGUUUUGAAAAAGUGGGGUUAAAUUUGUUGAAUCAGGCAGUGUUAACGUGCCUUCUUCUCCUACUACCACCCUUUUCAACCUCUCACAAAAUAAUCGGAGGUGGGCGUCCAGCAUAUCUCCUCCUGUCUGUAGCAGCCAGAGGUAUUGUUAUUUGCUCCAAGAAAUGUUAAAAGGAUUGGUCCUACCUCAAAGUGGUUAGUGGUGUAAAAUUAAACACCAUGGGAGAAUUUGAAAGGAAGAUGCCAAGAAACUGGCAAAGUGGCUAAAUUCCACAAAUACGGCAUUAUUGCUCAUUUUUAACUCAACAAAUUGAUACGCGUUCAUUUAGAGAAAAGUCGAAGACGCGUGCCUUUUGAAAAGAACAAGUAUCCAAUAGGUAUCCAACCUUUAUCUUAUUUAAUUACUACCAUGACAUGAUUGAUGGUGCUUAAAUCAAUUGUUUCUUUUUUAAUUUAAAGAUUUUUUCAUUAAAAAAUAAUUUAAUAUCACAUUGCCUUCAAUGGCGUAACGGCCGCAAGCCCAGUAACUAGAUUAAUUAAAAUGAAAUUAUGAUUGCACUACUUUUUUAUUUAUUUAUUUAUCUAAUCACUAUAAAAUUUUAACAUAUUUUAUUUACUAUAUUUUUUUUAAAUUUGCAUCAAUUAGUCACUUUUACACUAAUACCGUUAAAUAAUUUAAACGGAAUGAUAAUUUUACCCCUAAAUAAAAUUAAAAGUUCAUUUUAUUUUAUAAAAACUUUGAAAAUAAAAAAUUAUAAUUAUAAAAUAUCCCUAAAUUUAAUAAAGAAAUAAAUCCCAAAAUUAGAAUGUUUAUUUUUAAUAAAAAUUAUUUUAAUAAAAAAUUAUAAUUAGAAAAAUAAUUACAAAAUUUUGGGAUUUAAUAAAAAUCCCCUAAAUGAUUAAAAUUUUAGGAUUUAUUUUUUAAUAAAUAAAUUCAGUUAUUUUAAUAAAAUUUUGCAAAAUUAUAAUUUUUAAUAAAUAAAUUCACUUAUUUUUAUUAUAAUUUUAAAAAAAUUUAAAUUUUUAAUAAAAAUAAUUAUUAAAAUUUUACAACAUCUAAAUUGAAUAAAAAUCAGCUGAGCACCUAUAUUUUGUAUUUAUUUUUAUUAAAUUUAGGGGUAUUUUUAUAAUUAUAAUUUUUUAUUUUUCAAAGCUUUAUAAGAUAAAAUGGUCUUUUAAUUUAUUUAGGGGUAAAAUUAUCAUUUCGUUUUAAUUAUUUAACGGUGUUAGUGCAAAAGUGGCUAAUUGAUACAAAUUUGAAAAGAAAUGUGGCGCAGAGAACAUAUUAAAAUUUUGUGGUGGUUGGAUGAACAUAAGGCAACAGAAAGGUGGUGCAAUAAUAAUUUCCCUAAUUAAAAUUUUAGAAUUUUUGGGCAUGGAUAGAGUAGUUUUAAUUAUGUUAAAGAAUUGAUAUUGACAUAAUUUUAUUUUGGUUUUCAACGAAAAAAAAUUUGUUGACAAGUAAGAAAAUAUUUUUUUUUUACUUUACAAUCGGUUAUACAUGUUUUAUCAUAUUAAAGUAAUUUUAAUAAUAAAUAGAAACAUAAUAUUACAAUAAAUAAAUUAAAGUUUAAGUUAUUUUGAAUAUUAAAAAAAUAAUUUUAAUAUUAUUAAUAGGGAGGCAUUUUGUUAAUUGUAAAAUCUUGUUAACCCAAAGGUUAUUUAAAAUCUUUCUAAUAAAUACAAAUAUAAAAUUAAAUAUCAUAAUUUAAAAUAUUUAAUACUAUAUUCAAUGUAAAAAUAUUUUAAUGUUGUUAAUAUACUACAUAGAUUAUAUUACUUAUAUUAUAUUUAUAUUGAUUAAAAAUUUUUAAAAUUAAUUUUCUAGUUACUAUAUUCAUAAGGUAUUCUGGUUAAAGAAAAUAUCUUGAUAUUACUUUUUGAAAAUUUGAGAGCCUGCAUGACAAUUUUUUCAAAUUUUAAGGAUGUAAUUAUCCUUUUUUCCAUAAUUUAUUUCAAUUUUGAGGGAAUCCAAUAAGAAAUAUGGCAGGAGAAUGUCAAUAGGCGAAUGAUUUUGUUACUUUGUUCACUGAUCUCAAAACCAUCGUCGCCGGGUGGAAGUUGUUGCAUCCGAUUACUAAUAUCAAUGAUUUUACUGUGGAGUCCAUCAAGAAGAGCCAUAUUAGUACUGCUUUCACUUUCGUUUUCACUGGUUUGCUGCUGCUUGUUGUUGAUGAAGAAUGUGUCAAUGGACAAAGUUAUUGAUGUCCUCCAGAAUUCCAAAAAUAUCUGCUGUUUCAACGUCUUCUUCAUCGCUUUCUUCUAAGUCCAACAGUUGCAAAAAAGGCAAAGAUAUUUUGGAGUCAUCGAAUUCUUCUCUAAUGAGUUGAAACAAAAGCCGAGCCAUGUCAGCUUCAUAGUUUCCCACCAGAGUAGUAGCAAUGAUUUCUGACUCCGUAAGAAGGUUUUGAAAAAGUGGUGUCAAAUUUGUUGAAUCUGGCAACGGCAACGCGCCUUCUUCACCUGCCAACACCCUUUUCAACCUCUCACAAAACAGUCGGAGGUGGAAUUCCAGCAUAUCUCCUUCUCUCCGUAGCACUCAGAGGUAUAGUUGAAAGAUUAAACACCAUGGAAGAAUUUGAAAGGAAUAUGCCAAGAAACUGUGUAAGUGGCUAAAUUCCACAAAUAUGACAUUAUUGCUCUUUUUUGAACUCAAAAAAAUGGUACGCGUUCAUUUAGAGAAAAGAACAGGUAUCCCAAUCGAUAUCCAACCUUUAUCUUAUUUAAUUACUACCAUGACAUGAUUGAUGAUGCUUAAAUCAAUUGUUUCUUUUUUAAUUUAAAGAAUUUUUCAUUAAAAAAAUAUUUUGAUAUCUAAUACCCUUCAAUGGCAUAUCUGCCGCAAGCCCAGAACAGGAUUAAUGAAUUUUUUUUUUAAUUUUUUGGGCAUGGAAAGAGCAGUAUUAAACAUCAGAAAGCUAAGGUUGUUCUGUUAAAAAAUUGAUAUUGACAUAAUUUUAUUUUGGUUUCGGGGAAAAAAAUAUUUUCUGAAAAGCAAGAAAAUAUUUUUAUAUUUUACAAUUUAUUAUACAUAUUUUAUCGUAUUAAAUUAAUUUUAAUAAUAAAUAGAAACAAAAUAUUACGAUAAAUAAAUUAAAGUUUAAAUUGUUUUGAAUAUUAUAAAAAAUAAUUAUAAUAUUAUUAAUAGGAAGACAUUUUGUUAAUUUUAAAUUUUUUUAACCCAAAGGUUUAUUUAAAAUCUUUAUUAUAAAUACAAAUAUAAAAUUAAAUAUCAUAAUUUAAAAAAUUUAAUAUUAUUUUAAGUAUUAAAAAUAAUUUAAUGUUAUUAGUCUACUAUAUAGAUCACAUUACUUAUAUUAUAUUUGUAAUGAUUAAAAAAUUUUUAAAUCAAUUUUCUAGUUAAUAUAUUCACGAGGUAUUAUGGUUAAAGAAAAGACCUUGGUGUUACUUUUUAAAAAUUUGAGCGCAUGCAUGAUAAUUUUUUCAAAAUUUAAGAAUGUAUGUGUCCUUUUCUCCAAUAAUUUAUUUCACUUUUGAGGGGAAUCCAAUGAGAAAUAUGAUAAGAGAAUGUCAAUUACUUGUCAUUUUCUAUUUUUUCUGUAAGGUAUUUAUUUUGAGCAUUGGUGAUCUUGUCUGGACUACUCCAAUUAUUGAUGGAACUCCAAUGGCUGCAUCCACAGUUGAAUAUAUGAUGGUGUUAGCUCUUACUUGAGAAUUCAGAGGGAUCUUUCUAUGUUUCUCAAUUGCAAUGUGCUAGUAUAAAUUUCUUUACCUUACAGUUUAUAUAGUCUUGCUGUUAAUGAACUCACUGAGGCAUUAUUGAUUCAAUUUCAGUGGAGCAAUCGCGGGUGAAGGAUAAAUAAAGGAUAACAGAACAGAGCUGAAGUGCUAAAUUGGCUAUUGAAGAAGGUUUUCACAUGAUCACAAUUAUGUAAAAUAAUCAUUUUUCUGAAAUUGUGUUUCCUAAAAUUAAUAAAUUUCCUUUUUUUUAAAAAAAAAAAAAAACUCUUCUACGACGUGGUUGCACAGCAAAUUAGAGAAUUAUAGGGUCUCUAAUCAAUACUCCAACCAAUAAUGAUAUGUGCACAAAAAAUAGUAUCAAUCACAACAAGAUUAAAAUUAAAAAAAGUAACUAUAAGAUGGAAAAAAAAAUUAUUACAAGAAAAUAAUUUUUUUGUCUUUUCUAUCUUUUAUACUAUUUUUGUUUAUAUGUACUCUAAAUUCAGCCAAACCAUACAUGCAUGAACAAAAAUUAAACCGUCGUUCUAAUCACAACAGUAAUUGAAGCUACAAAAGCCAGCAAAUCUGAACGAAGACUUAAAAGAAAGAUCUUAUUCAAGUUUGUCCCCAAAAGACAGCUGAAAUGAAAAAUAUUGACUAUUGAAUGGGUCAAUGCCGAAUUACAUUUCAAAUGGAAAGCUUGGCAGCAGUUACAAUGUUUCCCCCUCUGAUUUUCCUCCAAAACAAAUUCAGUUGUAAACAAUAACCGAAGUAGUAAUAAUUUAUUCAUCAAAGAAAAUACCCCCAAGUUUUCAACUAAAAAAUCCUCUUGUCCAAACUAAAAGAACUCAUAUCUCUAAAAUCUAUCUGCAAAAUGUUGGGAAUGAGGAGUGAUCUGUCAACUCCGUAAAUAAACUCAUGCAUAAUGUUAACAAUAAUGAUAAAUUACAUAAUAAUUAUUAUAAAGAAUCAUAAAUUGGAAACACUAAUCAUUCUACAAUCUAUUAUAUAAGCAAGAUAAAUCUCAUAAUAAGUUAAGUUAUAAUGUAAUAAAUAUUUUCAAUAUAUAAUUAUUUAAGAAGUCAUUUAACAAUAAAAUAAUUUUUUUAAAUCAGUUGAUCAUACAGCGUUAUCUAAACUCCUGACGAUAUUAUUAUUACUCACUUUUCUCAAAAAAAUAUGAUUAAUGUUUAGAGAAAAGUCAUGCAUUUUAGAAAAAAUAUGUAUACUAGCUAUCCGUACUUUAUCUUACCGUGACAAAAUUGAUGGUGAUUAAAUCUAUUUUUAAAAUAGAUUUAAUUCACAAAUAUGGUGACUUUUGGCAAAAAUUAUUUUCAGAAGAUAUAGUGGCAGAAAAUAGUGAUAAUUAUUGUUUAAAUGUGUAAAUAGCCUAAGUAUAGCCCAUAAUACCAAUAUCCAUUUGCACCUUCAUUUGGUUUAUCACAUUUCAUGAUAUUCUUUCAUUCAUGACCAUUGUUCAAGAUUUUAAUUUGAUUAUAAAUUAAGUUGCAAGGGAGCUUACUUCAGUCUCUAAGCUUUUCAAUCGUGAUUCCUGCAUGCCAACGUAACUGACCUUAUAAUUGGUCUGUAUAAGAAAUCAAGCCCUUUCAGGAUCGUUUUCUUUUUCUCCCUAUUGUAGUAGUCAACUAAAUAAAGAAUGAACAACUAAACUUGGUCUAUUUCGAGGAAGACUAAGGCUUCCAAUACUAGAUGAACUUUGAAGAAAAUUAAUCCGUUGUUUUUAUUCAUCUUUGGACUAUGAAUAUAUACAAAGACUUUAACAGAAAAUAACAAAGACACAGCUAAAUGCACUACUAAAAAAAUGAGUUUUACUGACACUAAUUUAGCGUCAGUAAUUACUUUUAUUGACACUUGUUAAUUGUGUCAGUGUUGCUCAAGCCAGAACACACUGACACUAAUUUUUGAUGUCAAUAAUUUUUGUGUCAGUAAUUUGUUUCACUAUAGUAUCACUAAAAUAAUGACACGAUGAUGUUGGUAUUUAAUAAUACUAUUUACACGUCAGUAAUUUAUGUGACUAUAGUAUCAAAAACUGACUCGAUAAUAUAAAAAAUUCUUAUUGUUAUUUUAAAUAUGUAGUGUCAGUAUUUAGUAAUGUUAUGCUGCUUUUGGUUAAUAGUAUAUUUUUUAUUUUAAUUAUAUUUUUCGUGUUUGUUGUACAACCAAAAGAAAACUCGAAAUAUAUUUAUUAUUAAAUAUCUUGCAACACAAUUCAUAUAAUAAACAUCUCAAAUACAUCACUUAAAUUCACACAAUUCAACUACAUCACUAUGUGUAAAAGACUUAACAUAAGUAUCAAAUUAAAUUUUCAACAAUCUCUAAACAACAAGUGCUAACUACUACUCAAUUAAGUUUCCAACCCAAAAGAAAAAAAAAAAAGCACAAGGUCACUCAAUAUCCAUCCACGGCUUCAUUUUGUUCCCACCUACAAAUGCAUAAAAUCAAUUAGUAUACUGUGAAAAAUAAAUCUUAGUUAUUUUGAAGCAAAAAUACUCAUAAAUUACUUCAACAUGGAAGAGUAGGAUUAAAAGAAGCAAGUUAAGGAAUCAGAAAAAGAAAUUGUAGAAUCUACACGUUCCCAAGUUAAUUACAGCCUGCAAUCAUGAUACCACAAAUUGCUUCACCAAAAGUAUUCUAUCAAGUAUUAAAGAGAACACUUAAUAAGUACAUCAAUAUUUAGUAAUGAUGACAUGAACAAUGGUGUCUACAACUUGACAAGCAUAAGUUAUUUUUUUUGUAAUCUAUUUCAUUGUCUAAAUUUAAAGUAAACAAUGCUAUAAUAUAUGAUCAAGUACAUUAAGUUAACAAGCACUAUAACAUUUAUUUAGCCCACAUUCAACGAUGAUCAGUUGGACCGAAAGCCAUAAAUUGAAAAACAAAAGAUAUUUAAUGAGCUUAAAGAGGAAAAAUAAAAGUUAACAAAAUUUAAACGACUAAUGAAGAAAUUAACCAAGCCGAGAUGAAAAACAGAAAUAGAAGGCCACUAUAAGCCAAACAUUACAAAUCAGGUUGCUUUUUAAGACACGAACCCAGUUUCCAAUUACAGUACUUUGCAAUUCUUUAAAAAAAAAAGGGUUUCCCAAUUACUAAAUCUUUUUAGGUUUGAAGUGGAUUGAUAAUUAAAUUGAUGAAAGAAAGGAAAGUGAAGCAAAAAUUAGAUUCAAGUAUGGGUCAAGUAAAAAAGUAAAAGAUAAAAAUCAGAUUCAGUGCAAACCUGGGUUUCAAAUGAUUAGCAAAGGAACAACUUCUUCUUUCUUCAAUCUAAUAUUCUUCUUCGAACAUGGAAUACUAACAAAAUACAAUUAGUAAUUCAUAAACAUAUAGUAAAAUGAGAUAGGUAUUUUUUGAGAGGAGAUUGAGAAAUACAUAUUUGAUUGAAGAAAGAAAACACAACAAAAAAAAAGGACCAGGUCUCCUCAAAGAAAAGCAAAAUGGGAAAAUAGGGGAAUAGUCUAUACAAAAGCCAACCCACCACCCUUGGAGGACCAUCCUUCUUCUGAGCAAAAAUCUAUACAAGAUUAGCCCAAACCUCCAAUAUAGUAAAAUGGGUUCGACAGACUAUUUCUAAUCUGUCAUUUGCAAAGUAAAGCUAAAAUUAGAAUUGUCUACUAACAACCUUCCUAUAGUUUGUCCACUAUAUUAUUACUAUAUUAUUAGAUGUAAAAUGCCCACUAUAAAAGGUAAUUAAUAGAGAAACUUCUCUGUAGUAUUUUCAUACCUGUGCCAAAACAGAGAAGAGAAAGAAAUGGUGUCUGACCUCGGUGGUAAAGGAACCGCUAUGGUAAAGGAUCGAACAUGGAUGAAAAAUAAACUUGUGCAAAUGGAGCCACCAGCAUUUUGCAAGAAUUAAAGAUUUUGGGUGAAAUCCUCUCUUAUAAACACUUAUUUGUAUUGGGAGCAUGCAUACUUCCGAGUAUGAUAUAAUUCUAUAAAAUUUAGACUCCUGAUAGAUAGAUAGAUAACACGUAUUAGCAUUAAUUAAAUGGAAGCAUCAACAAUAAUCAAUAAAUCAUUAUAGAAAAAAAAUUAAAAAUGAAAGGAGCUGAGGCACACCAUUGUGAUGCAAGAUUGACAAUCAAAAGAACCUUUCCUUUGUAGAUGCUAAGAUCAACAUCCUGUCCCUUCGCAUCCUGCAAAUAAGAUAAAUUUUUAUAAAAAUUAAAAAAUAUAUCUGUCAAAUCCCAAAUUGAAUUAAAAAUCAAAACAAGGGAAAGAAAAUGAAAGGAACAUGUCAUCAAAUUGUAGGUGGCUGGUGGUGCUUUUUAGUGAAGUGUUUGUAGAACUGUUAGAUGUAACCAUUCUUUACGCAUCAACUUCGCUAGUGAUUUGAUUUGAUGAAGAGGAUCUUUCCUUAUCUAGUUAUCUUCUUGUGUAGAUCCAUGUAGGAUUCCUUCACGAUUUCUUUUUUUUUUUUUUGGGGGGGGGGGGGGGGAGGUUUAAUUAACAAAACAAUAAGAGUAAAUGAGGAAUCAAUCCCUAAUUUAAGGCCUUCUAAGAUUGCUGAAGCUCUGCAUAAUCAAUGUCUCCAAGAAAAAGGUUUAUUUGCAGGCUGUAGCAGCAAUUUUCUUCCCCAUGAAAUCCAACUGAUCCAUUUGUAUUGAAUUUAAGCACACGCCUGAGGCUGGAAAAGACAAAGAAAUUAAUGAAAACAGGCUAUGUAUCUUUUUUACUUAUCAUUGCUCUAUGAAUUAAUUAUGCUACUAAUCACGACGCCGUUUAAAUCUUAGAACAAUAAUAAUCUUUUAGCAACAAAUAUGACGGUUCAAUAAUAUGUUCCGACUAGGGAUGUCAUAUUGUGAGGGCUGUUAAGUUUAAGAAACGAUCAAAUCUAAUUUUGUGUUCCAAAAACUCAUUGGCUUAACAGAUUAACUCCUCUGUAGUAUUUUCAUACCUGUGCCAAAAGAGAGAAGAGAAAGAAAUGGUUCUUGAUCUCGACGGUAAAGGAGCGGUGGCUGGCUGGGCUGAAGUUGAUGUGACGGCAUAAAAGCGGUAGCAGCGACAUACUGAAAGGUGGCUAGCUAGUCGUAGGUGGCUGAAGCUUGACAACAGUAGAGCAAAGGCGGCAGUGACGUCAAGGAACGGCGGCCGACAGCAGUGAAAGUCGAGGAGCAGCGGCCGGCAGCAGUGAAAGUCGAGGAGCAGCGGCCGGCAGCAGUGAAAGCCGAGGAGCAGCGGCCGGCAGUAGUGAAAGUCGAGGAGCAGGGGAGCGGUCGGCAGCAGUGAAAGUCGAGGAGCAGGGGAGCGGCGGCAGCAACUUAAGAAGUGGUGUGUUUGAUUCGGUUAGAUUUAGGGUUUCUUAUUUUCAUUUUAUACUUUGAAAAAUUAUACAGUGUAAUUGUUCGCAUUGUAAUUUAAUAAAACAACAAACUACAAGUCAACAUGUGGUCAAGUAAAAUUAUUAUUAUUAACAACGAAUUACAAGUUGACAUGUGGCAAAAUAAAAAAUAUUAUUCUCAAAACUAUUAUUAUUAUUAUUAUUAUUAUUAUUAUUAUUAUUAUUAUUAUUAUUAUUAUUAUUAUUAUUGUCCACAAAGUAAUUGUGUAAAAUUUAAUUAAAUAAAAAAAUUAAUCAAAUUGAAAAUUUAAAAACACAUGCAUCAAUGGUUUGCACUCUAAACUUACAAAUUUUAAGUUUAGAGAUCUUGAGUUCGAGUUCAAAUUAAAACAAAAUUAAUAUUAUUAUUUUUUUAUCACUGAUGCUUUAGUAUCAAUAAUCAUUGAAUUUUAAGCUACUGACACCUUAGUAUCAAUGAUUUAUGAUACAUACUUGUUAAAGGCGGAAAAUGGUCCAAACGUACACCAUUUCUGACACUUUUUACUAAGUGUCAGAAACAAAGUGUCAGUAAAUGUCAUUUUUGUAGUAGUGAUGAUAGCAAUAAGUGCUGACUUAGACACUUAGUGGACCGCUUCUACAAGUAAAUAAAAACUAAAUAUUUAUUUUGACUAUAACAACAACUACGCUGAUGAAUAGGAUUUCACAGCAGCCACGUGAGAACUAAUUUCUCCUUAAUAUUAUUAUUAGUAGAAGUAGAUUUUCAAACUAGUCUUGAUAUAUUUCAAAGUUGUAUUAUCAAUGUAUAUGUGUCUAGAUUGUAACUAUACUUUAAAAAAUAUAAAAUUUUUAAUUAUUGCACAAUAUAUGUAGAAAAAUAUCUAUAAAAUGAUAUUAUUAGGACUAAGAAUUUUUUAUUUUAUUUUAGAUAAGUUAUUUAUUUAUUAUCGAAUGAAUAAUUUAUUAAUUUAUUGAUAAAUGAAUAUUUAUUAAUUUAAAGAGAGAUUUUUUUGGUUUUAACAAGAGUUUGUUUGGUAAAUGUACACACUUAUAAAGAAACAUAAAAAGUGGUUCCUCAAGUCAAUAGUGUUUGCUUCAAUCGCAACGGUUCAUAAUAAUAUAGCUUAGUUAGGAAAUUUGUAAUUAUACUAUAACUUUGUUUGGUACAACUUUUCAAGUAAAACUUAUUUAAGUAGAGUUGUUAUUAGUAGAGCUUUUAUAAAUAAAGCUUUUACUAAAAAAAAUUUAAUUGUUUGGUUGUCAAUGUCCAAAUUGAUAAACUUUUGUUCUUUUGUUAAGAUAUGUUUGUUUUACUUAAUAAUAGCAUCGGCAAGAGUUUUCGAUUGUUGCAACUUGCAAUGCACGCGGUGAGAGAAAAUGAGAAUCUUGUUUAAUUGUCAAUAAUGACAAACCUAAUCCUUUCAUUAGGAGUAAUUUAAUAAUCGUUUGUUAUAACUGAAUAUGUAUAAAGAAAGGAAAAUUCUAUUCAUAGAUUUCGACUUAUUUUUUGUUUAAAGUAAUUAAUCAUUCAACCAUCUUCAUUUGCCUCUGGCCAAUGCCCUUGUAGAUUAGUUGAAGCGUUAAUUACUUAAUUAUGAUUAUAUACAUUUUCAUAUAGCAAGUGGCAUUGUAGAUCUAAACUAAGUUGCUAUUUCAAUACCAGCAAAUUCAAAAUAGAAAAGGAGUGCAACUAUUUAACUUUGUAGACAAUAUUGCAACCAUGGCAUAUUUAUAGCAAAUCCUUGAAAUCUGCUAAACAAAACAAUGCCCUGUCUCAUGAAUCGAUGCUCAAUUAAAAUUUAAAUUGAAAGUCCGGCUGGUGUUGUUUUCCUCUCCAGUUUUGCCUACAUAAGUAAAGGGAAAUAAGAAUCAUAAGUGAAAAUAUGCUUUGACAGGUCUUAUUUCUUUGUUUCUCUACUGCAGUUUUGCCUACUCAAGCUGAGUCUACGUUGAGACAUAAUUUCAGUAUUGAGGUAACAAUAAUUUCGGACUCCGUAAGAAGGUUUUGAAAAAGUGGAGUCACAUUUGUUGAAUCAGGCAACGUCAACGUGCCUUCUUCACCUGCUAACACCCUUUUCAACCUCUCACAAAAUAGUCGGAGGUGGACGUCCAGCAUAUCUCCUUCUCUCUGUAGCACCCAGAGGUAACAGGAUUAAUUAAAAAUUUUAGAAUUGUUGGGCGUGGAAAGAGUAGUAUUAAACAUCAGAAAGCAAGGUUGUUCUGCUAAAGAAUUGAUUUGUUGACAUAAUUUUUUUUUUUUUUUUUUGGUUUUCGAGGAAAAAGGCAUAUUUGUUGACAAGCAAGAAAAUGUUUUUGUAUUUUACAAUCUGUUAUACAUAUUUCAUCAUAUUAAAGUAAUUUUAAUAAUAAAUAGAAACAUAAUAUUAUGAUAAAUAAAUUAAAGUUUAAAUUAUUUUGAAUAUUAUAAAAAAAUAAUUCUAAUAUUGUUAAUAGGAACAUAUUUUGUUAAUUGUAAAAUCUUUUUAAUCCAAAGAUUUAUUUAAAAUCUUUAUAAUAAAUACAAAUAUAAAAUUAAAAUAAAUAUCAUAAUUUAAAAUUUUUAAUAUUAUUUUCAAUAUUAAAAUAUUUUAAUGUUAUUAGUCUACUAUGUAAGGUAUCAGAGCCAUACCCAUCCUUGAAUGGGUCAAUGCUGAAUUACACUUGAAAUGGAAAGCUUGCUGCAGUUACGAUAUUUCCCCCUCUGAUUUUUCUCCAAAACAAAUUCAGUUGUAAACAAUAACCGAAGUAGCAAUAAUUCAUUCAUCAAAGAAAAUACUCAAAUUUUCAACUAACAAAUCCUCUUAUCUAAACUAAUUAAAAAAAACUCAUAUCUCAAAAAUCUAUCUACAAAAUGUUGGAAAUAAAGGGUGAUCCGUCAACUCGAUAAAUAUACUCAUGCAUAAUGCUAACAAUAUGAUAAAUUACAUCAUAACUAUUAUAAAGAAUCAUAAAUUGGAAACACUAAUCAUUCUACAAUCUAUUAUAUAACUAAGAUAAAUCUUAUAAUAAGUUAAGUUAGAACAUAAUAAAUAUUUUCAAUAUAUAUAAUUAUUUAAGAAGUCUUUUAACAAUAAAUUUUUUUUCUUUUUCAGUUGAUCAUGUCAUAUAGCGUUAAUGGUGAUUAGUGACUGAUUACAAAGCAAAAUUGUUUAAAAUAGAUUUAAUGCACAAAUAUGAUGAAUUUUGGCAAAAAUUAGUUUCGGAAAUGUUGGGAUGAAAACCAUAUUAGUUGAGACUUAAAGUUACUUAAUAAAAUUAUAUCACUACCAUUCAAUGGAUGAAAACUAUUUUAGUUGAGACUUAAAUUUAGAUUUAAAUGUUGAGAUAUCUAGUAUUACUCAAUCAGAAUAAACAAGAACCAAUUCUGACUAUCAUGUAGAAGCAAAUAUUUAUGCUUGGAUUUUUUACUUCUUGAAUUUGAUUGGAAAAGUUUCUGAGACAGAGAAGUGUUUUGGAUAAUCUUUUUCGGGAUUGAAACCACAAAUUGGUCGAGGAAAUUAAUUUUGGACAAAUUUUUAUUGAGUUGUGCUAAACAUCAAGAAGGGCGAGAGAAUGCUGAGAGAAACGGCAGCUUUGUGCUGCUGUUUCGACUUCUCACUCUCUCGCCAUUCUAAUAAUUUUUUAUUAUUAAAAAUAAAAAAGCGGAGAAAAUGAUAGCAGACAACCCACAUCUACCAAAUCUCCAUCACUCCAUCACUCUCUUUCUCUCUCUCCCUCUCUUGAUUUUCAUCCUCUCUCUGGCUUCCUCACUCUCUACGGCUCCCCAUCAAGCUUCCUCAGUCUCUUCGGCCUCACUAUCUCUAGCCUCACUCUCUCCAGAUUCUUUCAUUUUCUCCUUUUUUUUAUAUUUUUAACAAUAAAAAAUUAGCAUUCUGCUGAGAAAGAGAGUGGUACACGACUCUUGAACAAUUUUUUUUCUGUCGUGAUCGUCUAUCAAACCACCUAAAAAUGAGCCAAGGGGGUUCUCAGCCCUAGCAGCUCACGUACUUUCAAGAUUUAGAGUAUGGUUCCAGUCCAAGCUAUUUAAUUAGUAUUGGGAUUCGAUUUAGUUGUUCUUCUAAUUUAAUAGGAUAAAGAAUUUAAUUGGAGAAAUGUCAUUAAUAUCAUAGGAGCAUAUAUAUUGUUUUGAUUUAAAUAUUGCUAUUUUUUUAUUGUUGAAAAAAAAAACACUAGAAAAUGGGAAGCCAAAAUCUUAGCCCUGUGUUUUUACUUUUACUUUUCUCUUAAACAUUUUAAAGAUGUAAAGGAAAAUGCUCAGAAUGGUGAGAGAGUGAUGGACGUGAUGGGCUAUCUUCUAUCCUUUUUUUAAUAAAUUUUUAAGAAUAAAAAAUUUAUUAAAACAGUAAGAGAGCGAAACCAAAACGGCAGCUUGUGCUGUCGUUUCUCUUAACAUUCUCUCGUCAUUCUUGAUGUUAAGCAUUUUCCAUUUUUAUUAUGUUGUAGCACCUUUUUGGUUCCUUUUGUGUCGGCAGCCCCUUACUAUUCUCUUAACCCUGAGUUUGAGAUAGAAAUUUCCCGAACUCCAACCCCACAUCCACAGACAAGUUGAUUCAAACAAUUGCUCUUUUAAUUAAGAGAAUGAGUUAGGUUUCAGUUCUUAUUGUUGUCUGUUAUUUCUCUGAAUCAUUAAUUUUGAGCAUUACUGAUCUUAGUUAUCUGUAUUUCUCCAAUUAUUGAAGAAUUUAUUAUUGAAUGAAUAAUUUAUUAAUUUAUUGAUAAAUGAAUAUUUAUUAAUUUAAAGAGAGAUUAUUUUGGUUUUAAGAAGAGUUUAUUUGGCACAUGUACACACUUAUAAAGAAACACAAAAAGUGCCUGCUCAAGUCAAUAGUUUUGGUACAUUUACACACUUAUAAAGAAACACAAAAAGUGCUUGCUCAAGUCAAUAGUAUUUGCUUUAAUCGCUAUAGUUCAUAAUAAUAUAGCUUAGUUAGGAAAUUUGUAAUUAUACUAUGGCUCCGAUUGGUACAACUUUUUAAGUAGAACUUAUUUAAUUAGAGUUUUUAUUAGUAGAGUUUUUAUAAAUAGAGAUUUUACUAAAAUAAAAUUUAGUUAUUUAGUUGUCAAUGUCCAAAUUGAUGAAAUAUUGUUCUUGUUAACAUAUGUUUGUUUUACUUAAAAAUAAAAGUUUAGUUUACAAUUACACCAGUAUAAAAUCAGCAGAGCAUUUUUGCUUAAAUAUUUAUUAAUUUAAAGAGAGCUUAUUUAAAUAGAGUUUUUGUUAGCAAAACUUUUAUAAAUAAAACUUUGCUUAAAAAAAUUUAAUUAUUUAAUUGUUAAUGUCCAAAUUGAUGAACUUUUGUUCUUUUGUUAACAUGUGUUUCUUUUACCUAAUAAUAAAAAUUAGUUUACAAUAACACUGGUGUCAAAUCAGCAGAGAUAUUUUCCAGCCAGUCACAUUAUACAUACGGGAGCCUCUAUGUUACAUUGAAUGUACCAUACACAACUAAUAAGAACCACAUAAAUUGUGGGACCCACAUAAUUGUGUGGUUCUUAUUGGUUGUGUAUGGUACAUUCAAUGUAACAUAGCAAAAUCCUAUACAUUAUACUAAUAGCAUCGGCAAGAGUUUUCGAUUGUUACAACUUGCAAUGCACGCGGUGAGAGAAAAUGAGAAUCUUGUUUAAUUGUCAAUAAUGACAAACCUAAUCCUUUCAUUAGUAGUAAUUUAAUAAUCGUUUAUUAUAAUUGAAUAUGUAUAAAGAAAGGAAAAUUCUAUUCAUAAAUUUCGACUUAUUUUUUGUUUAAAGUAAUUAAUCAUUCAACCAUCUUCAUUUGCCUCUGGCCAAUGCCCUUGUAGAUUAGUUGCAGCGUUAAUUACUUAAUUAUGAUUAUAUACAUUUUCAUAUAGCAAGUGGCAUUGUAGAUCUAAACUAAGUUGCUAUUUCAAUACCAGCAAAUUCAAAAUAGAAAAGGAGUGCAACUGUUCAACUUUGUAGACAAUAUUGCAAGUUGCAACCAUCCAAAGGUGAAGAUCUAUGCUUAUUAUCUAUUUAACAGCUAAUAUAUAUAUAUAUAUAUUUAUUUAAAUAUCAAGAGCUAUGCUUUUAAAUAAGUUCAAAUGGGAUGAGAACAGACUUAUAUUUAUUUAUUUAAAUAUGACCCAGGCUAAUUUCUCUGAAUUUGGACAGAGUAGAUUUCUAAGCUAAUGCUUGGCAUAUCUCUGGCGAUACUACAAAGUGCAUGUACAUUGACUCUUAAUAAAUAUAAACGAUUCUCUGAUAUGAUUCAAAACAUCACUACAUGCAUAAGUUAAUAAGAGACAAUAUUCUAAGAUUAUUUAUGCAUCACCAUUUAUAGUUGUACCCUCUCUAAUGAAAUUGAAGGUGCAGCCAGCAACUAAAAUGAAGCAGAAAUGUACACGCAUGAGGCAGUUUUUCUAGAAGAUUGAUAUUUCUUUAACUAGAAAACCAUACAAGUCCACAACUAGCCAAACUGUACCUGCAUGUGUCUAGGGCUUAAAUGGAGCACUUCUAAGCAUAAAACAGUAACUAAAACACAUACACAAACAUACAUACCAAAAAAUUCAGAAAAUAGAGAAAGGAAUACAACUAUUCUUGUUUGUAGACAAUAUUGCAACCAUGGCAUCAGUUAUAGCAAAUCCUUGAAAUCUACUAAACAAAAUAAUGUCCUGUCUCAUGAAUCAAUGUUGAAUUACAGCUGAAAUUGAAAGUCUGGCAUCAGUUAUAGGAAAUAUUGAAUUACAAUAUUUCCCUUGCCGAUUUUGUCUACACAAGUAAAAUGGAAAUAAGAAUCAUAGAUGAAAAUCAACUUUUACAGUUCUAAUUAUUAGAUAGAUACAGAAUGAUCUAUCUUUGUGAGUUUGUUUUUCUGCUGCAAUGUGCGAUCCCACUCUGUUUUGAUACUCAAAUUGAGUCUAUGUUGAGACAUAAUUUUGACAUUGCAAGCAAUCCCAAUUAGUUUGGCAUUUGUAUGACCCUUUGAAGGUUUUACAAUAGAUGCAAAUCUACUGAGAAAAUGGUAAAAAAGGUGCAUAUAAAAUGAGGCAAGUAACAGAAGUAUGAGUUAUCAGAUUAGAUUAAAAGUCACCCAAUUCAAUCUAUCAGAUUCCGUAAGGAUAUAACUGGAUGUCAUAUCGCCACUCCAUAUCCUCGAAAGUCCGUAGUCUUUGUCUCAACUCUGUCUGAGGCCAAUGUAAAUCCAAUUUGCACAAGCUCUUUAUGCACCAUAGCUCUUCUGGAAGCUUUCUCAAGUAAGCACAUGGGUUGACAAUUAAGCUUUCAAGUUUUGGCAUUGCUCUUGCCCCCAUCGUCCACUCGUCUAGCCAAUACAUCGACUUCAAGUGCAAAAUCUUAAGUUCCGGAAAGCCACCAGAGCCAACGCAGGCCAGCUUUCUUCCUAAAUAUGAGUUCUGCUUCAGUUUCAGCACUUGAAGGCGUGGAAGCUUUUCCAGCAUUGGCAUGGGAUCCUCCAUUAGCUCAGUAUUUGAUAAGCUCAGUUGGAUCAGGCUUGGAGGAAAUUGGUAUUCAGACAGGACCAUCCGUGAGAGCUUGCUCUCAUUCACCAACUUCAAGCAUUCAACUUUGUGGAGUUCGCAUACGCUUUUGGAAACCCCAGAGUGAUAGCAACUCAAAUCUCCAGACACUCUAAGAGUUUGAAGAUUAGGUAGUCUGCACAAUAUAUCUGGCGUGCAACUACUAGGGUGUAAGGCUGAUAUGAAAAUAAGAUUUUUCAGAGAGCUGGAAUAAUUUUUUGGAGGUGCAGGCAGAGUGAUGGAACCAAAGUUCAGAUGCAUGAGUUUUUGCAUCUUCCAAAUAUCCUCUGGUGUUUGAUCUACGUAGCUAGAUGGCAUGUCUAGUGUUUGAAGGUUUGAAAGGGUGCAUAGCAGUGAAGGAAGACAUUUGAGCGAAGGGAUAUUCAAUUUCAAAUACUUCAAAUGGAAUAAAUUUUCUAAUCCGGGUGGAUAUUGGUCCAGGACUGCAGAACCCAUGUUCAAUACCCGAAGGUGUUUGAACAUUUUACAAAAAUUCUCGCAAUCUAUCGGAUUAAGAUGAUCGCUUUCUGAACUGUGAUUCAGAAAAGAUUGGAGGUACAUGUCAGAAUGUUUCAAAGAAAAGAACUCAAUCAGAUCAUCGACAAUGAUGUACCGUUUGGCAUUUGCCAUUGAUUCCUCUUCCAAUCCAGGCGACCAAAAAAAUCCCGUCAAUGCUGCCGGCAAAAGUAACGCAACAUAUGCAAAAGUUGGAACAUAGCACGCCUUAAUUGUGCCUCCGGCUCUUCUCUUAUUCACUUGAAUGAAGCCACGAUCGAUUAGUUCAUUCAAGUAAUGCUCGGCAGUUUCCUCACUGUUGUGUGGUAUGAAACCUUCAGCUACCCACAACCAAUAUAAUUGCCUGGUAGAUAUCUCAAUGCCUGGAUGGAACAAACACAAAUAGAGGCAGCAGAUUUUCAAGUGAACAGGUAACUGCAACACAGAAUAAAUUGUACUCCAAGCUGUCAGAAACGCUUUUUCUCCCAUGUAAAUUCUUAAUGUCGUUUUUCCAUAGUGUAGGAUGAAAAAUUGCCAGGCUUCAUGCUUUAAUCUGAUCAAUGGUCCUCCAACGAGAACUGAAUCAGGAUGAAUCGUCUGUCCAUUUUCCAAUUCGAACGAGGAAAGGAAGUCUGGAUCAGUGACCGUCAUUAAUACUCUGCUUCCAUUCUGAUUCUCAGGAAGGACUUCUUCAAGAUCAUCCAAUACAUCGUCACUCUCUUCACAGUAAUCAUCAAGCACAAUAAAGUACUUCUUGUUUGUUAGGUAAUCUCGAAGAAUAGAUUUCUUCAAUUGAUAAUCUUCACCGAUAACUACACUAACCCGAGAUGGAGGCAUCACAGACUUGAUUAUGUCAUCCAAUAUCAUGCGAAAAUCGUAGGCUAUAGAAACCCUGACCCAAGCAUGACAGUCAAAAUAGAACUUGACAUGAUUAUUGUUGUAAGUAUCAGCAGCAAAAGCAGUCUUAUCAAAGCCACUGCUGUCGAGAAUUGCAACCACUGAAAGCUGAGGUUGUCCCUCGAUCAGUAAAUCAAACAACGCCUCUCUGCCGCUUUCAAAUUCACUCUUAUCAAGCUGAAAUUGUCCCUCAAUCAAUAAGUGAGUGAAUUCGUUCCUUCGCUCUUUGAAAUCAAAACCAUUGCCUCCAGGUGGAAGUUGUUGCAACCGAUUUCUAAUAUCAAUGAUUUUACUGUGGAUUCCGACAAGAAGAGCAAUGCAAGUAGUGCUCUCACUUUCACUGUUUUGCUGCUGCGUGAUGUUGAUGAAGAAUGUGUCAAUAGCUUUCUCAGAUUCACGGACAAAGUAAUUGAUGUCUUUCAGAAGUUCCCAAAUGUCUGUUCUUUUAACAUUUUCUAAGUGCAAGAGCUGCCGAUAACGCGAAGGCAUUUCGUCUUCAUCGAAUUGUUCUCUAAUGAGUUGAAUUAAAACUCGAGCCAUGUCAACUUCAUAUUUUCCCAGCAGAGUAGUAGCAAUAAUUUCGGACUCCGUAAGAAGGUUUUGAUAAAGUGGAGUUAAAUUUGUUGAAUCAGGCAACGUUAACGCGCCUUCUUCACCUGCUAACACCCUUUUCAACCUCUCACAAAAUAGUCGUAGGUGGACGUCCAGCAUAUCUCCUUCUGUCAGUAGCACCCAGAUGUAUUGUCAUUUGCUUCAAGAAAUGUUGAAAGGAUUGGUUCUAUCUCAAAGUGUUUAGUGGUGUAAAAUUAAUUAAUUAAACACCAUGGAAGAAUUUGCAAGGAAGAUGCCAAGAAACUGGCGAAGUGGCUAAAUUCCACAAUUAUGACAUUAUUGCUCAUUUUCAACUCAAAAAAAUGAUACGCGUUCAUUUAGAGAAAAGUCCAAGACGCGUUCCUUUCGGAAAGAACAAUUAUCCAAUAGAGAUCCAACCUUUAUCUUAUUCAAUUACUACCCUGACAUGAUUGAUGGUGCUUAAAUCAAUUGUUUCUUUUUUAAUUUAAAGAAUUUUUCAUUCAAAUUUUUUUUAAUAUUAAAUUGCCUUCAAUGGCAUUACUGCAGCAAGCCCAGUAACACGAUUAAUUAAAAAGUUUAGAAUUUUUGGGCCUGGAAAGAGUAGUAUUAAACAUCAGCAAGCUAAGGUUGAUAUGUUAAAGAGUUGAUAUUGACAUAAUUUUUAUUUUGGUUUUCGGGGAAAAAAAAUUGUUGACAAGCAAGAAAAUAUUUAUAUAUUUUACAAUUUAUUAUACAUAUUUUAUCAUAUUAAAAUAAUUUUAAUAAUUAAUGAAAAACAAAAUAUUGCAAUAAAUAAAUUAAUGUUUAAAUUAUUUUGAAUAUAAUAAAAAUAAUUUUAAUAUUAUUAAUAGGAAGACAUUUUGUUAAUUUUAAAAUCUUUUUAACCCAAAGGUUUAUUUAAAGUCUUUAUUAUAAAUUAAAUAUCAUAAUCUAAAAUUUUUAAUAUUAUUUUAAGUAUUAAAAAUAUUUUAAUGUUAUUAGUCUACUACAUAGAUCAUAUUACUUAUGUUAUAUUUGUAUUGAUUAAAAAUUUUUAAAAUCAAUUUUCUAGUUACUACAUUCACGAGGCAUUAUGGUUAAAGAAAAGAUCUUGAUGUUACUUUUAAAAAAUUUGAGGGCCUGCAUGAUAAUUUUUUCAAAAUUUAAGGAUGUAGGUGUCCUUCUCAAAUAAUUUAGGGUGAGGCUAUUUGAAUCCACCAAUCUACUCACUACACCCAUUUACUAAAUAAACCCGCACUUAAGUUUUGAAAUUUUAAAUUUUACUCAACAAACCGACCUAAAUGUCCAAUAUACCCUUAUUGAACCCAAUUAUUAUAAUAAUAUGUUUUUGCUAAUUAAACCCAUUUAAUUCAUUUAAAGUUAAUAAAUGAUUAUAUUUAUUAAAUUGAAAACUAAAAGAUUAUACAAAACAUAAACAAUACUCUCAAUUAUAUAUUUUGGAGCAAAAAUUCCAAAGUGUAGUAAGCAAAGCCAAUGCAAAAUGGCUGGAGCAGCUAAUAAUGGUAAAAGUCAGAGCCUAGUAAUGUGGUACCGCUACUUGACUUUGGGAAAGAAGUGAUAAUUAUAUCAAUUUCUUCAACUUGGAAGUUGGAAGUGCUGUUGAAAGCGGUUGAUGCCAGAAAAAUAAUUAGAUAUCUGUCAAAAAAAAACUUUGGUAUUUUUAGAAAUAAAAUCCUAUAUCCAGUAUUUCAAUAUGAAAAGUCUCUAGUAUUUCUUUCAAUUGAUUCUUCCUUUGUCUUCUUCGACUCCAUGAAGGUUUAAUUAUGAUGAGAAAGCCAAGGGGAAUCAAUAAAGAAUAUCAAUUUAGGGUUUAAGAAAAAUAUCAUAAAGUUGAAUGUAAAAUGGAUUCAAAGAGUAAAUUUUAUUUUUAAAACUAUAUUUUAAUGUCUAAAAUUGUAAUUUAAUUUAGGGAUAUUUUAAUAAUUACAAUUUAUUUUUAAAAGUGAGUUUAUUAAGUAGUUUGAUGGGUUCAAAUAGUCCCAUCCAAUAAUUUAUUUCACUGUUAAGGGAAUCCAAUGAGAAAAAUAAUAAGAUAUCGUCAAUGACUUGUCAUUUUCUAUUUUUUCUAUGAGCUAAUUAUUUUGAGCAUUAGUGAUCUUGUCAGGACUACUCCAAUUAUUGAUGCAACUCCAGCGGCUGCAUCCACAGUGGCUACUCCAAUUAUUCAUGCCUUUUAAAAAGAAUAUGUAUACAAUAGCAAUCCAUACUUUAUCUUACAUUGAUUUUUUUCAAUUAAUGGUGAUUGCAUUGAUUUUUUUCAAUUAAAGAAAAAUUGUUUAAAAUAGAUUUAAUGCACAAAUACGAUGACUUUUGGCAAAAAUUAGUUUCGGAAAUGUUGGGAUGAAAACCAUAUUAGUUGAGACUUAAAUUAAGAUUUAAAUGUUGAGAUAGUAUUGCUCAGUCAGAAUAAACAAUAACCAAUUCAAAUUAUGACUAUCACGUAAAAACAAAUGUUUAUGCUUGGGUUUUUUACUUCUUGAAUUUGAUUGGAAAAAUUUCUGAGACAGAGAAGUGUUUUGGAUAAUUGUUUUGGGGAUUGAAACCACAAAUUGGUCGAGGAAAUUAAUUUUGGACAAAUUUUUAUUAUAUUGUAGCACCUUUUUGGUUCCUUUUCGGCGGCCCCAUACUAUUCUCUUAACCCUGAGUUUUUUUUUUUUUUUUUUUUUGAAAAGUCUUAACCCUGAGUUUGAGAUAGAAAUUUCCCGAACUCCAACCUCACAUCCAGGGACAAGUUGAUUGAAACAAUUGCUCUUUCAAUUAAGAGGAUGAGUUAGGUUUCAGUUCUUAUCAUUGUCUGUUAUUUCUUUGAAUCAUUAAUUUUGAGCAUUACUGAUCUUAGUUAUCUGUAUUUCUCCAAUUAUUGAAGAAUUUCAUGUGGCCACUUUUUCUCCUUUUCAUAUAUGUUUCGUUUUUGGACUGAUCAAACGGUGCAAAACCAAGUAUUUGCUGGUCCUUAGUUUAGCCAAUGAUGGCUGAUCCACAGUUGAAUAUAUGAUACUAUUAGCUCUUAUUUGAGAAUGUAAAGGGAUCUUUCUUAUUUGAGAAUACAAGUUGCCCAAUAGAGUUGAACUAUGUUACCCAACUCCAUGCUCAUACAUUAAAUGUUUAGGUAGUUUUACAAAAUGAUAGCAGCAUGCCAAAACUUGUUGUUGUCAUUUUCGACAUUUCAAAUUGAAAAAUAUGCAAGCAAUCUUCAGUGAACAUUACGUUUUUAUUGAAUAAUUUAAAUGGCCAGCAAAUCAACAGUCCGUGAGUUUUAAAUCUAUUAUGACUUAAUGUAUCUUUCUGUAUUCGUACACAGGUUAUAUUAUCAUAGUUUAAAAUUUUAAUAUUAUUUUAAAUGUUAAAAAUACUUUAAUGCUAUUAGUCUACUACACAGGUUAUAUUAUUUAUAUUAUAUUUGUAUUAAUUAAAACUUUUAAUGUCAAUUUUCUAAUUACUAUAUUGAAAAGGUAUUAUGGUUAAGAAAAAGUUUUGGCAUUUCUUCUUGAAAAUUUGAGGGUCUGCAUGACAAUUUUUCCAAAUUCUAAGGGUAUAGGUUUGAAAAUUUAAUGUUCUUUAACUUAAUGAAACAAAAGGGGGAAACCAAGAACUAUUCAAUUUUGUAUUUUUUGUUUGUAAUUCAAAAAAUGCAUCCACCAAACAAGUUUUACGCAUUAAUGCUGUCAUAAAACAAAAAACAGUUUGCCAAAAAAUGGUACCAAACAUAUCCUUAAUGUCUCACAUGAUUUCUUAGUAAGCCCAUAUUAGAUAUAUUUAUACAUUUUAGGUAUUUUAAUUAUAAAAGAAGUUGGUCCUCCCUCUGUUUAUAAAAGAUAACGUUAUUUCGAGAUUACCACUAAACUCUUACAUAGAAUUAGUGUAAUGUUAAGAGAGAGUAACACAAUUUUCCGUUACCAUCUUUGAAAAUAGAAAGAUAUGGAUGCGUGCAUUUAAGGGUUAUCGUGAAAAUCAUACAAUUCAAUUUCCUGACAUAUAUAUUCGUGCACAUAUGCCAAAAGAAUAAAUAGACAGAAAGUAAAUUUACAGUCCUCACUUCCUCACAAUUGUUAACGUGGAGACAUUAAGGAUGAGCAUAAAAGUUAAAGAUGACUCAUUUCUCAUUUUCUUUUUAAAGUGCUCUGCUGAAAGCCAAACUUCCUUUGGCUAAUUAAUUUAGAAGUAAAGCAGAGAAUAAAGUCCUAGAUGCCUUCUGAAAUUAGAAAUACAUUUUAUAUGCUUUAAUUAUGAUUAUUUGGUAGACUAAAGACCUAAAAGAUAUGUCCAAAGUAUAAAACAGAACGAUUAAAGGAAAAAGAAAAAAAACAGAGUAUUUGUGACGUAGAAUAACAAUUGGUAACUAAAAUCCUAAAUAUUUGAGUUGUUAAAAGCAAAUAUAACAGAGAAGGUAAGAGAGAUGCAGAAACAGAAAACUAUUAGCUUAUCUUGAUUUCCCACUAUAUUCAUUUUCGAUGCUUUUCAAACGAGAUUCUUUUAAUCCUUCUGGCGUCCGCAGCCCUUGCUCUUCUUACAAAUCUCCAGUCCACAUCUGCACUACGAACAAGUUGAUUGAAAUUAAAUAAUGUUGGAGAUGAGGGGUGAGCCGUCAACUUGGUAAAAAAAUUCAUGUAUAAUAUUAUCAAUAAUAUAAAAUAUAUAAUAAUUAUUACAAAGAAUCAUAAAUUAAAAAAUUAAUUAUUUUACAAUCUAUUUCUUAAGUAAGAUAAAUCUCGUAAUAAGUUAAGUUAUAACGUAAAAAAUAUUUUCAAUUUAUAAUCAUUUAAGAAGUCAUUUAACAAUAUAUUUUUUUUAUCAGCAGGCCAUGCCACAAAGUAUCAUCUAUAUUCGUGGUGAUAUUAUUAUUACUCCGUAUUCUCAAAAAACAUGAUUUAACAUUUAGAGAAAAUUCCUGCCUUUUAAAAAGAACAUGUAUGCAACAACUACCAAUACUUUAUCUUACCACAACAAAACCAAUGGUGACUAAAUCAAUUUUCUUGAUUAAAGCUAAAUUUCUUAAAAUUGAUUUAAUGCACAAAUAUGAUGACUUUUUGCAAAAAUUAGUUUUGGAAAAUAUAGUGAGAGAAAAUAGUGACGAUUAUUGUUUAGAUGUGUAAAUAGUCUAAACAUAAUCGCUAAUACCAAUAUCCAAGUGCAUCUUAACACCUUUCGUGAUAUUCUUUCAUUCAUGGUCACUGGUUCAAUAUUUGAAUUUAAUCAGUAAAUCAUGUUCAAUAAUAUUAGAGAUCCCAACAAUUGAGUACCAAUUUAAAUCCUAAUGCUAUAUGUCAUUGACCAAUAUUGUGUCAUUUUUUGUUAACUGGGUGAUGAAUUUCUAGUUGAUAAAAUUACUUUAAAAUAUCUUAAAAAUUAGACAAUAGUUUGCUUAAUUUUUUUAAGCUAACCGCUCAAGAUGCUCUAUUAGAAAUGAUAACCUAAUUAUAUACAUAAAAAAUGAUGUAUUUUUUGCAAUGUUGAUAGUGAGAUUAUCAUUCAACAUGUUAAAAUAUGAAAACAUAUGGAAGAUGGUUGUAAAUUGAUUGAAUGAAAAUAUUUCAGUGAAGUCUCAAAAAUUUGGUACUUGUUAUCUUAUCGAAAGUUUUCUAAAUUAUAUUCGUGGCACUGCCACUGCUUCUAUGUGAAGGUCAUUAAAAUUUGUGUUAGUUACCUAUAGGUUGAAUAACAAUUUUAUUCAUCAAUUGUUGCUCAAUAUAGCAAUUUGAUUGAAAGUGCCGCUGCACUAAUUUUCUAGAUGAACUUUCCUAAAUGUUUGUCCUCAUAUGACCUAGAAUGCUGCGAUAUCAAUUGUAUUGGAAAUUAUUCAAGUGGGUUAGUGCUCUACAUCCCCACCAAAAUUUAAGCAAUCAACAAAACAUUCCUUGUGGAAAUAAACUUAUUUCGCUACUAGACUUCUAAUGAGGCCCAUUUUCCAGAAUCUGGAUACGAGUUAGAUGUCUCCCAAAAUAUUGGUGGGAGUAGACUAUACUAGCACUCGACAACAUACUAACGACGCUAUGGUCCACCAGAAAGACCGGUCUCCGGUCAGCCGAAAAAUCUCACGUUCAGUCUCUUCUCAAUCUCCCUUCUCCCAGCCAAGUCGAUCCCGUAACAUGAUACUAAUCCACAGUUGAAUACAUGAUACUAUUAGCUCUUAUUUGAGAAUAUAAAGGGAUCUUUCUUAUUUGAGAACAUAAAUUGCCCAAUAAAGUUGAACUACGUUACCCCGCUCCAUGCACAUACAUUAAAUGUUAACAGCAUGCCAAAACUUGAUGUUGUCAUAUUCGACAUUUCAAAUUAAUAUGCAAGCAAUCUUCGGUGAACAUUACGUUUUUAUUGAAUAAUUUAAAUGGCUAGUAAAUCUAGAGUUCUUGAGCUUUAAUCUAAAUCAAAUCUAUUAUGACUCAAUGUAUUUUUUUGUGUUCGUACCAGUAAUGCAGGGGAUUAUUUACGCAACUCUUAUUAUUGACUGAGAUGUUCACCUUCAUCCAAUUAGAGAAAGAGUGACUGUAGAGGUGGCAAAAAUACCCGCCCGGUCCGGACCCGGACCGUACCCAUUACCUGGUCCGGGUAUGAAGCCGGGUCGGUCUUGGGCAUCACUUGAUAAACCUGGAACCCGGAUUUUAUUAAAAAAAUUAUAAAAUAUAUAUUAUUUUAAAUAUUUUAUAUUUAUUUGACUCAUUUAUUAUACAUAUAUAAAGUUUUAAACACUUAAAGUUUAUAUUUUCAUGUCAAAUUUUAUUGAAAUAAAUUUAAAACUUAUAAAAUUACUAAAAAAUAAAAAAUAUAUACACAUAAAAUAUUAAAAAAUAUAAAAUUCGGAUACCCGGAUUAAAACCCGGCCCGAACCCGGACCCAGACCGGUUGCAUCCGGGUAGGGUCCAGUCAUGGCAAUACUCGGACCUGGUCCGGGGUUUUGCCAUCUCUAAGUGACUGGGUUCCUAUAAAGGGACUCUUAACCAUUACGAGAGUAUUCAGACUACAAAUCUUUGUAAUUAAAUUCAAAGGUGAAGAUCUAUGCCUAUUAUCUAUUUAACAACUAAUAUAUAGUUAUCUAUUCAUUUAAAUAUCAAGGGCUAUGCUAAUAAUUAAGUUGAAAUGUUGAUGAAAGUAGCCUUACAUCUGUGUAUUACUCAUCUACUCUAAUCUUUUUUUUUUUUAACUUAAUGUACUUUUUCUAAUGUUGUUUACUCUUCCCCCCCCCCCCCCCCCCCCCCCCCCCCCCCCCCCCCCCCCCCCCCCACCUCUCUGACAAAAUAAUAAGAGUUUAGACUUGAAAAUAUCUUAAAGAUCAAACAGUAAUUUACCUAAUUUUUUGAAGCUAACUGCCAAAGAUAUUCUAUUAGACAUUGAUAACGUAGUUAUAUACAUUUAAAAUGAUAUUUUUUUGUGGAAAGGGAUUAUCAUUCAACAUCUUAAAAUAUGAAAACAUAUGGAAGAUGAUUGUAAAUUGAUUGAAUGAAAAUAUUUCAAUGAAGAUGGUUGUAAAUUGUUAUCUUAUUGAAAGUUUUCUAAAUUUACUACUAUUUGAACUUAGCCCUCCUGGUACCGCCACCAUUUCUGCUUGAAAGUCAUUUAAGUUUGUGUUAGCUGCCUAAAGCUUUUUUUUUUUUUUUUUUCUUUUUCUUUUUGAAAAGAGCUGCCUAUAGCUUGAAUAACUAUUUUGCUCACGAAUUGUUGUCCAUUAUAGCAAUUUAUUUAAUUGAAAGUGCGGCUGCAAUAAUUUUCUUGAUGAACUAUUCCACAUGUUUGUUCUCAUGUGAGGCAGUUUUUCUAGAAGAUUGAUAUUUCUUUAAGUCUUUAACUAGCAAAGCAUACCAGUCCAAAGCUAGCCAAACCAUACCUGCUGGUCCAGGGCUUAAAUGGAGUACUUCUAAGCAUAAAACAGUAACAAAAACACAAUAUAUGCAUACAUACAUACACACAUACAUACAUACCAGCAAAUUCAAAAUAGAAAAAAGAGUGCAACUAUUCAAGAAAUUGGUUAUUGUAGACAAACACACAUACAAACACAUACCAGAAAAUUCAAAAAAUAGAGAAAGGAGGCCAACUAUUCAAGUUUGUAGACAAUAUUGCAAUCAUGGCAUUACUUAUAGCAAGUCCUUGAAAUCUACUAAACAAAACAAUGCUCUGUCUCAUGAAUCAAUGUUGAAUUACAGACGAAAAUGAAAGUCUAGCAGGUGUUGUUUCCCUCUUCGAUUUUGCCUACACAAGUAAAGGGAAAUAAGAAUCAUAAAUGAAAAUCAGCUUUUACAGUUGUAAUUAUUAGAUAGAUCUAGAACGAUCUUUCUUUGUUUCUCUGCUGCAAUGUGCUAUCCCACUCUGUUUUGCUACUAAAAUUGAGUCUAUGUUGAGACAUAAUUUCGACACUAGGAGCAACCGCAAUUAGUUUGGCAUUGCAUUACCCCUUGAAGGUUUUACAAUAGUUGUAAACUUACCGAGAAAGUGGAAAAAAAAGGGCAUAGGGAAUUAGGCAAGUAACUAAAGUAUGAGUCAUCAGAUAUGAUUAAAACUCACCCAAUUCAAUCCAUCAGAUUCCGUAAGGAUAUAACUGGAUGUCAUAACGCCACUCCAUAUCCUCGAAAGUCCGUAGCCUUUGCCUCAACUCUGUCUGGGGCCAGUGUAAGUCCAAUUUGCGCAAGCUCUUUAUGCACCAUAGCUCUUCUGGAAGCUUCCUCAAGUAAGCACAUGGGUUGACAAUUAAGCUUUCAAGUUUUGGCAUUGCUCCUGCCCCCAUCGUCCACUCAUCUAGCCAAUACAUUGACUUCAGGUGCAAAAUCUUAAGUUCCGGAAAGCCACCAGAGUCAUCACAGGCCAACUUUCUUCCUAAAUACGAGUUCUUCUUCAGUUUCAGCACUUGAAGGCGUGGAAGCUUUUCCAGCAUUGGCAUGGGAUCCUCCAUUAGCUCAGUAUUUGAUAAGCUCAGAUGGCUCAGACUUAAAGGAAAUUCGUAUUCAGACAGGGCAAUCCGUGAGAGCUUGCUCUCAUUCACUAGUUCCAAGCAUUCAAUUUUGUGGAGUUCGCAUACGCUUUUGGAAACCCCAGAGUGAUAGCAACUCAAAUCUCCAGAUAUCUGAAGAGUUUGAACAUUAGGUAGUCUGCACAAUAUAUCUGGCGUGCAACUACUAGGGUGUAAGGAUGAUAUGAAAAUAAGAUUUUUCAGAGAGCUGGAAUAAUUUUUUGGAGGUGCAGGCAGAGUGAUGGAACCAAAGUUCAGAUGCAUGAGUUUUUGCAUCUUCCAAAUAUCCUCUGGUGUUUGAUCUACGUAGCUAGAUGGCAUGUCUAGUGUUUGAAGGUUUGAAAGGGUGCAUAGCUGUGAAGGAAGACAUUUGAGCGAAGGGAUAUUCAAUUUCAAAUACUUCAAAUGGAAUAAAUUAUCUAAUCCGGGUGGAUAUUGGUCCAGGACUGCAGAACCCAUGUUCAAUACCCGAAGGUGUUUGAACAUUUUACAAAAAUUCUCGCAAUCUAUCGGAUUAAGAUGAUCGCUUUCUGAACUGUAAUUCAGAAAAGAUUGAUUAGUUCUUUCAAGUAAUGUUCGGCCGUCCCCUCACUGUUGUAUGGUAUGAAACCUUCAGCUACCCACAACUGAUAUAAUUGCCUCGUGGAUAUCUCAAUACUUGGAGGGAAGACAAACAAAUAGAUGCAGCAGACUUUCAAGUGAAAAGGUAACUCCAUCACAGAAUAAAUUUGUCUCCAAGCUGUCGGAAUCGCUUCGCCUUGAAAAUAAUUUUCUAAUGGCAUACGUCCGUAGUGUAGGACGAAAAAUUGCAAGCCUUCAUACUUUAUUCUAAUCAGUGGUCCUCCAACGAGCACUGAAUCAAGCCGAAUCUCCUCUGCGUUUUCCAUUUCCAACGAUGUAAGGAGUCUUGGAUCAGCGACCAAUAUCAAUACUCUGCUUCCAUUCUGAUUAUCAGGAAGAACUUCUUCAAGAUCAUCCCAUAUCUCACUCUCAUCGAAGAAGCACAAUAAAGUACUUAUUGUUUGUUAGGUAAUCUCGAAGACUAGAUUUCUUCAAUUGAUAACUUCACCGAGGCAUCACAGACUUGAUUAUGUCAUCCAAUAUCUUGCCAAAAUCGUAGGCUAUAGAAACCCUGACCCAAGCAAGACAGUCAAAAUAGAACUUGACAUGAUUAUUGUUAAAAGUAUCUGCAGCAAAAGCAGUCUUAUCGAAGCCACUGCUGUCGAAAAUUGCAACCACUGAUAUCGAUAGAUCAAACAACUUCUCUCUGCCCUUUUCAAAUUCACUGAUAUCGAGCCGAGGUUGUCCCUCAUUCAAUAGGCGAAUGAUUUUGUUACUUUGUUCACUGAUAUCAAAACCAUUGUCGCCGGGUGGAAGUUGUUGCAUCUGAUUUCUAAUAUCAAAGUGAAAAAUUGCUGCUUUCACUUUCGUUUUCACUGUUUUGCUGCUGCAUGAUGUUGAUAUUGACAUAAUUUUAUUUUAGUUUUUGGGGAUAAAAAUAUUUGUUGACAAAUAUUUUUAUAUUUUACAAUUUAUUAUACAUAUUUUAUCAUUUUAAAGUAAUUUUAAUAAUAAAUAGAAACAUAAUAUUACGAUAAAUAAAUUAAAGUUUAAAUUAUUUUAAAUAUUAUAAAAAUAAUUCUAAUAUUAUUAAUAGGAAGACAUUUUGUUAAUUUUAAAAUUUUUUAACCCAAAGGUUUAUUUAAAAUUUUUAUUAUAAAUAAAAAUAUAAAAUUAAAUAUCAUAAAGUGUAUGCACGUUGACUCUCAAUAUAUACAAACGACUCUCUGGUAUGAUUCAAAGCACCAGUAUAUGCAUCAUUUUAAUGAGAAAGGAUAUUCUAAGAUUAUUUAUGCAUCACCAUUUUUAGUUGUACCGGCUCUAAUGAAAUUGAAGGUGCAAUCAGCAGCUAAAAUGAAGCCAGAAAUUGAAGGUGCAUGAGGAAAUUUUCCUAGAAGAUUGAUAUUUCUUCGACUAGCAAACCAUACAAGUCAAAGCUAGCCAAACCAUAUCUGCAAGUCCGGGGCUUAAAUGGAGUACUUCUACGCAAAAAACAUUAAUCAAAACACAAUAUGAGCACACCCCCGUCAACCCACCCCCCCCCAACACACAUACCGGCAAAUUCAAAAUAGAAAAAGGAGUGCAACUAUUCAAGUUUGUAGACAAUAUUGCAACCAUGGGAUAUUAAAGAAUAUCUUUGAAAUCCGCUAAACAAAACAAUGCCCUGUCUCAUGAUUCGAUGCUCAAUUAGAAUUGAAAUUGAAAGUCCGGCUGUUGCUGUUUCUCUCUCCAGUUUUGCCUACAUAAGUAAAGGGAAAUAAGAAUCAUAAAUUAAAAUCUGCUUUUACAAUUCUUAUUAGAUAGAUAUAAAGGGAUCUUUCGUUGUUUCUCUGCUGCAAUGUGUUGCUAUCCCACUCUGAGAAAGAUCUUUCGUUGUUUCUCUAUGUUGAGACAUAAUUUUGACAUCAGAAGGUUUUAUGACCUCCUUGAAGGUUUUACGAUAAACAUAAAUCUACUGAGAAAGUGGGAAAAAACGAAAAUGCAUAUAAAAGUAUGAGUUAUCAGAUAUGAUUAAAACUCACCUAACAUCAGAUUCCAUAAGGAUAUAACUGGAUGUCAUACCGCCACUCCAUAUCCUUGAAAGUCCGUAGUCUUUGUCUCAACUCUGUCUGAGGCCAAUGUAAAUCUAAUUUGCGCAAGCUCUUUAUGCACCAUAGCUCUUCUGGAAGCUUUCUCAAGUAAGCACAUGGAUUGACAAUUAAGCUUUCAAGUUUGGGCAUUGCUCCAGCCCCCAUCGUCCACUCAUCUAGCCAAUACAUUGACUUCAGGUGCAAAACCUUAAGUUCCGGAAAGCCACCAGAGCCAACACAGGCCAUCUUUCUUCCUAAAUUCGAGUUCUGCUUCAGUUUCAGCACUUGAAGGUGUGGAAGCUUUUCCAGCGUUGGCAUGGGAUCCUCCAUUAGCUCAGUAUUCGAUAAGCUCAGAUGGGUCAGACUUGGGGGAAAUUGGUAUUCAGACAGGAACAUCCGUGAGCGCUUGCUUUCAUUCACCAGCUUCAAGCAUUCAAGUUUGUGCAGUUCGCAUAGGCUUUUGGAAAUCCCAGAUUGAUAAUAACUCAAAUCUCCGGAUAUUCUAAGAGUUUGAAUAUUUGGUAGUCUGCCCAAUAUAGCUGGAGUGCAACUACUAGGGUGUAAGGCUGAUAUGAAAAUGAGAUUCUUCAAAGAGCUGGAAUAAUUUUUUGGAGGUGCAGGGAGAGUGAUGCAACUGAAGUUUAGAUGCAUGAGUUUUUGCAUCAUCCAAAUAUUCUCUGGUGAAUGAUCUAUGUAGCUAGAUGGCAUUUCUAGUGUUUGAAGGUUUAAAAGGGUGUAUAGCAGCGAAGGAAGGCAUUUGAGCAAGGGGAUAUUCAAUUUCAAAUACUUCAAAAGGAAUAAAUUUUCUAAUCCGGGUGGAAAUUGGUCGAGAACUGCAGAACCCAAAUUCAAUACCCGAAGGUGUUUGAAAUUUUUACAAAAAUUCUCACAAUCUAUCAGAGCGAGACGAUCGCUUUCUGAACUGUGAUUCAGAAAAGAUUGGAGAUACAUGUCAGAAUAUUCUAAAGGAAAGAAGUGAAUCAGACCUUUCAAAAUGAAGCACCGUUUAACAUUUGCCAGUGAUUCCUCUUCCAUUUCAGGCAUCCAGACAAAUCCCGUCUUCUCUGCCACCAAACCCAAUGAAGUACAUACAAAACUUGGAACAUAACGCGCUUUAAUUGUGCCUCCGGCUCUUCUCUUACUCACUUGAAUGAAGCCGCGAUGGAUUAGUUCUUUCAAGUAGUGUUCGGCAGUUUCUUCACCGUUGUAUGGUAUGAAACCUUCAGCUACCCACAACUGAUAUAAUUGCAUCGUGGAUAUCUCAAUGCCUGGAGGGAAGACCAACAAAUAGAUGCAGCAGACUUUCAAGUGAAAAGGUAACUCCAUCACAGAAAAAAAUUGUCUCCAAACUGUCGGAAUCGCUUCGCCUUGAAGAUAAUUUUCUAAUGGCAUACUUCCGUAGUGUAGGAUGAAAAAUUGCCAGGCUUCAUGCUUUAAUCUGAUCAAUGGUCCUCCAAAGAGCACUGAAUCACGCCGAAUCUUCUCUCCAUUUUCCAUUUCCAACGACGCAAGGAGGUCUGGAUCAGUGACUGUUAUCAAUACUCUGCUUCCAUUCUCAUCAUCAGGAAGAAGUUCUUCGAGAUCACUCCAUAUCUCACUGUUAUCGAAGACAUCAUCAAGCACAAUAAAGUACUUCUUGUUUGUUAGGUAAUCUCGAAGAAUAGAUUUCUUCAAUUGAUAAUCUUCACCGAUAAUUACACUAACCCGAGAUUGAUGUCCUCCAGAAUUCCAAAAAUAUCUGCUGUUUCAACGUCUUCUUCAUCGCUUUCUUCUAAGUCCAACAGUUCCAAAAAAGGCAAAGAUAUUUUGGAGUCAUCGAAUUCUUCUCUAAUGAGUUGAAACAAAUGCCGAGCCAUGUCAGCUUCAUAGUUUCCCAGAAGAGUAGUAGCAAUAAUUUCGGACUCCGUAAGAAGGUUUUGAAAAAGUGGGGUUAAAUUUGUUGAAUCUGGCAGUGGCAACGUGCCUUCUACACCUGCUAACACCCUUUUCAACCUCUCACAAAACAGUCGGAGGUGGAAUUCCAGCAUAUCUCCUUCUCUCCGUAGCACUCAGAGGUAUAGUUGAAAGAUUAAACACCAUGGAAUAAUUUGAAAGGAAAAUGCCAAGAAACUGUGUAAGUGGCUAAAUUCCACAAAUAUUACAUUAUUGCUCAUUUUUUAACUCAAAAAAAUGGUACGCGUUCAUUUAGAGAAGAGUCCAAGCCCAGUAACAGGAAUAUUUUAUUUACUGGUGCUUAAAUCAAUUGUUUCUUUUUUAAUUUAAAGAUUUUUUCAUUAAAAAAUAUUUUAAUAUCAAAAUGCCUUCAAUGGCAUUACUGCCGCAAGCCCAGUAACAGGAUUAAUUAAAAAGUUCAGAAUUUUUGGGCAUGGAAACUGGAAAGAGUAUUAAACAUCAGAAAGCUAAGGUUUGUUCUGUUAAAGAAUUGAUAUUGACAUAAUAUUUUUUUUUUUGAGGAAAAAAAACAUAUUGGUUGACAAGCAAGGAAAUGUUUUUGUAUUUUACAAUCUGUUAUUAAAUAUUUUAUCAUAUUAAAGUAAUUUUAAUAACAAAUAGAAACAUAAUAUUACAAUAAAUAAAUUAAAGUUUAAAUUAUUUUGAAUAUUAUAAAAAAUAAUGUUAAUAUUAUUAAUAGGAAGACAUUUUGUUAAUUUUAAAAUCUUUUUAAUCCUAAGGUUUAUUUAAAAUCUCUAUAAUAAAUCCAAAUAUAAGAUUAAAAUAAAAAUCAUAAUUUGAAAAUUUUAAUAUUAUUUUAAAUGUUAAAUAUACUUUAAUGUUAUUAGCCUACUACGUAGAUUUUAUUAUUUAUAUUAUAUUCGUAUUGAUUAAAAUUUUUUAAAGUCAAUUUUUUAGUUAGUACAUUCAAGAGGUAUCAUAGUUAAAGAAAAGAUUUUGGUGCAACUGUUUUAAAAUUUCAGAGUGUAAAUGAUAAUUUUUUUUAAGUUUUAAGGAAGUAGGUAUUAUUUUUCCGACAAUUUAUUUUAUUUUGAGGGAAAUCCGAUGAGAAAUAUCAUCAGAGAACAUUAAUUUAACAUUCUUUAUCUUUGUGAAAAAAGUGGAAACCAAGAACUAUUCAAAAUUUUUUUUUUUUUGUAAUUCAAAAAAUGCAUUCACCAAACAAGCUUAUCUUAAUUUUCCCACUUUAUUCAUUUUCGAUGCUUUUCAAAAGAGGUUCCUUUAAUCCAUCUCCAUCCCACAUCUACACUAUCAAACAAGUUGAUGGAAAUUGGAACACAUUAAGUUAUGUUCAUUACUGGUCUUUGUCUUUCUAUGAGCCACUUAUUUUGAGCAUUAGCGAUCUUAUAAGGAAUCAUGCCUUUUCAGGAUCGUUUUCUUUCAUUUCCUUAUUGUAGUAGUUAAUUAAAUAAAGAACGAACAGCUGAACUUGGUCUUUUUGGAGGAAGAACAAGGUUUCCAAUACUAGAGGAACUUUGAAGAAAAUUAAUUGGAAGCCUUUAUUCAUCUUUGAAGAAAAUUACCACACUUUAAAUCCUGGAUAAAAAAAAUUUUAUUCAUCUUCGGACUAUGAAUUUAUAAAAUAAUAUUGUUAGGACUAAGAAAAAAUAUUAUUUUAGAUAAGUUAUUUAUUUAUUAUUGAAUGAAAAAUUUAUCAUGAUAAAUAAAUAUUUAUUAAUUUAAAGAGAGAUUUUUUUUUGGUUUUAAGAAGAGUUUUUUUGGUACAUGCACACAUUAAUAAAGAAACACAAAAAGUGCUUCCUCAAGUCAAUAGUAUUUGCUUUAAUCGCUAAGGUGCAUAAUAAUGUAGCUUAGUUAGGAAAUUUGUAAUUAUAUUAUGGCUCUAUUUGGUAUAACUUUUUAAUUAGAACUUAUUUAAGGAGAAUUUUUAUUAGUAGAGUUUUUAUAAAUAGAGAUUUUACUAAAAAAAAAUUAUAGUUAUUUAGUUGUCAAUGACCAAAUUGAUUAACUAUUGUUCUUUUUGUUAACAUGUGUUUGUUUUACUUAAUAAUAAAAGUUUAUUUUACAAUUACACCGGUGUCAAAUCAGCAGAGCACCGGCAAGAGUUUUCGAUUGUUGCAAUUUGCAAUGCACACGGUGAGGGAAAAUGAGAAUCUUGUUUAAUUGUGAAUAAUGACAAACCUAAUCCUUUCAUUAGGAGUAAAUUAAUAAUCGUUUGUUAUAAUUGAAUAUGUAUAAAGAAAGGAAAAUUAUAUUCAUAGAUUUGACUUAUUUUUUGUUUAACGUAACUAAUCAUUCAACCAUCUUCAUUUGCCUCUGGCCAAUGCCCUUGUAGAUUAGUUGAAGCGUUAAUUACAUAAUUCAGAUAAUUACAACGUCCUUUUCGCUAAUUAAUUAUGAUUAUGUACAUUUUCAUAUAGCAAGUGGCAUUGUAGAUCUAAACUACGUUGCUAUUUCAAUACGUUAAUUAAGUGAUUCUCCUCAUUGUCAUCAGCGUUAUAAACAGGAAUUGUGCAAACAGUACACAAUGCUGCGGCAAGGCGUGGGUGGCUAGAGUUUUGCAACCACCCUCGAGAUCCUGUGCUGCCAGUAGUAAAAGAAUUUUACACCAAUUUGGUAAGCCUUGGUCAGCACAACAUUUGGAUAAGAAACUCACUUGUUCCAUUAGACUCUCGAGUUAUAAAUUUUUUUUAUAAUUUACCUGCCGAAAUUAAUUGUGAGUAUGCCAAGUUGCUUGACAAAUUGACCUCGCAACAAUGGAACAUAAUUUUCACGACACUUACAGUAGAGGGUGCAUCGUGGGCUAAUGAGGAGGAGCGUGUAAUUAACAGGAUAGAUUUAAAACUCAUUGCUAAGGUGUGGGUGAAAUUUCUGAAAUCUAGGCUUAUGCCAACCACCCACACCACUACUGUUUCACAGGAAAGGUUGGUGUUGUUAUAUGCUAUUGUUAGAGGGCUUCCCAUAGAUGUGGGAAGUAUUAUCGAAAAAGAAAUUCGAGAUUGUGCCAUGAAAAACCACAAGGCUGCUGCCUUGUUAUUUCCUUCACUCAUAACCAGCAUAUGUGUAGUAUCAGGUGUUCAUCUUGAUGCAAAGGAUGAAAUUUGUAAUUAUAUUAUGGCUCCAUUUCGUAUAACUUUUUAAUUCGAACUUAUUUAAGGAGAAUUUUUAUUAGUAGAGUUUUUUAUAAAUAGAGAUUUUACUAAAAAAAAAUUAUAAUUAUUUAGUUGUCAAUGUCGAAAUUGAUGAACUAUUGUUCUUUUUGUUAACAUGUGUUUGUUUUACUUAAUAAUAAAAGUUAAGUUCACAAUUACACCGGUGUCAAAUCAGCAGAGCAUUUUUCCAGCCAGUCACAUUAUACAUUUUUGCAACUUGCAAUGCAAGCGAUGAGAGAAAAUGAGAAUCUUGUUUAAUUGUCAAUAAUGACAAACCUAAUCGUUUCAUUAGGUGUAAUUGCAUAAUCGUUUGUUAUAAUUGACUCUGUAUAAAGAAAGGAAAAUUAUAUUCGUAGAUUCGACUUUUUUUUUUUUAAGGUAAUUAAUCAUUCAACCAUCUUCAUUUGCCCCUGGCCACUGCCCUUGUAGAUUAGUUGAAGCGUUAAUUACUUAAUUCAGAUAAUUACAACGUCCUUUUCGCUAAUUAAUUAUGAUUAUAUACGUUUUCAUAUAGCAAGUGGCAUUGUAGAUCUAAAUUAUGUUGCUAUUUCAAUACGUUAAUUAAGUGAUUCUCCUCAUUGUCAUUAAGUGGAAAAUAGCUCAAUUGUUUCCCUGCAUCGAUUUUCAUUGGUAAGUGAUUUCUUAUGAUAUUCGUUUGAGCUUUCCUUAUUAAAAAAGCUUGAGCCUUGAUCACCUAAUACUGAUAUCAAUUUACUUGUGAACGAUUUUGUAAUGAAAUUAGGAGUUAAAUAUACAAGAUUUUUACCUGAUGAAUUUUGAUUUUUUUAAUUUUUUGAUGUAGUCAAUUUGCGAAUUUUAUAUAUUUCAUAUUCAACGGAAUUUGGGCACGGAAAGUUUGGAUUCUAAUAUUUAUAGAGUAAUGAUACAGCCACAAACUCUUGUACAAAAUUGAUGUGGCGUUAAUUCAUUAGUUGAAUUAAAUAUCUUUUUGCCCACAUGAUUUUUUUUUUUAUUUUUUUUUUUCAUUCAAUCAAUGAAUUAAUGCCACAUCAGUUUGUACAAAAUAAGUUUGUACAAGAGUUUGUGGUUAUAUCAUUAUAUUUAUAUAUUUAGCUUUAAUCAGUUUGACUUUAGCAAUCUUUUUCCCUCAUCAUUAAGGGAUUCAGAAUUAGAGAAACGCUAGGAAGAGGAAGAAAAUAACUUUGGAAAUAAGUAAGAGGGAAAAAAUUAUGAAAUUUUGAAUUAUUUUUUGUAAAGUAUGUUGCGUUUACUAAACUUGAAUUAGAAUGAGCUGAAAUCAGAAUGAAUAGGAAUGCGAAUGUGCUGAAAUCGGAAUAGGUAAUGAGAAUAAGAAUAAGUUGUUUACUUGAACUGUAAAAAUCAAAAUCGAAAUGAGCUGAAUUGCAAUUACUUUGUCUUGGAAGCGGAAUUAGAAUCGGAAUGAGUUAGAUUGUAACAAAUUACUAAAAAGUACUUAAUGAAUUAUUGUCAUAAUUAUUAUUUUAUAUUUUAAUUAUAGUGAUUAUUUAUUCAAAAAUUAUUAUUAUUAAUUAUUUUCAAUAAUAUAUUAAUAUGUUAAUUAAUUUUAAAAAUUAUUAAUUAAUUAAUUAUAAUAAUAUACUAAUUAAUUAUAAUAAUUAUAAAAAUAUAUUAAUAAUAAAAUUACUAAUUUAAUUAUAAUAAUAUAUGAAUUAAUUAUAAUAAUUAUAUUAGUAAUUAUUAUAAUAGUAUAUUAAUUAAUUAUAAUAAUAAAAAUAUAUUAAUUAUGUGAUUAUUUAUUCAAAAAUUAUAAUUAUUAAUAAUUAUUGUUAAUAAUGUAUCAAUAUAUUACUUAAUUAUAAUAAUAUAUUAAUUAAGUAUAAAUGAGGACAAAGGGGGUAUUUUUAAUUUCACGUAGGGGCAAAAUGGUCAAUUCUAGUAAUGGGAGACUCACUCCGACCCUCUCCCUUGGGAAUGAGUCUCCCAUUCCUCAUUCCCAAAUUGUGGUGGGCCCCAUAAUUUUGACUCUGAUUUUUGACUCAAUUUUGCGAAGUAAACGCUACCAAUGAUUCUGAUUUCGGAUUCUGAUUCACUUAUCCGAGAAGUAAAAGCAACAUAAAUGUGUAUGAAUAAUUGAUACCUAUGAAUAGUUUUGGGAGUUUUAGUUAGGAGUCGUUUAUUGAAGAUGUUUAGCAAUUAAAGAUCUCUGUCUCAGCAGUUUUCCCAAUCAAAAUCAAGAAGCAAAACAACUUGCCAUUUUUCUACUUGAUAAUUAAUUGAAAUUUAAGAAAAUACAAUGGCAUUUCAAUUAGAAAUGGUAAUUGUUUAUCUUUUUUCAUUGAUCAAAUUCUAAUCGUGAUCCAAUAGUUAUGGAUGAAGGAAAUAUUAUGAGAGGCGAUAGGCCAAGUGAAGACGUACCAGCAAAUUCAAAAUAGUCGGGAGGUGGACGUCCAGCAUAUCUCCUCUCUGUAGCACCCAGAUGUAUUGUUAUUUGCUCCAAGAAAUGUUAAAAGGAUUGGCCCUAUCUCAAUGUGGUUAGUGGUGAAAAAUUAAACACCAUGGAAGGAUUUGCAAGGAAUAUGCCAAGAAACUGGCUAAGUUCCACAAAUAUGGCAUUAUUGCUCUUUUUUUUUAAAGAAAAAUUAUACACGUUAAUUUAGCAAAAAGUCUAAGACACAUGCCUUUUGAAAAGAACAGCUAUUACCAUGACACAAUCGAUGCGGCUGAAACCAAAAUUUUCUUUUCUUAAUGUAAAGAUUUUUUUUAAAUAGAUUUUAAUAUCAAAAUGCCCUUCGAUGUUAUUACUGUCACAAGCCCUGUAACAGGAGUAAUAAAAAAUUUUAGAAUUUUUGGGCAUGAAAAAAGUAGUAUUAAGCAUCAGCAAGCAAAGGUUGUUCUGUUAAAGAAUUGAUAUUUUCGUGAUUUUAUUUUGGUUAUCGAGAAAAAAAAAUAUAUAUUUGUUGACAAGUAAGAAAAUAUUAUUAUAUUUUACAAUCUAUUAUACAUAUUUUAUUAUAUUAAAUAAUACUAAAUAGAAACAUAAAAUUAGAAUAAAAUAAAUUAAAAUUAAAAUUAUUUUGAAUAUUAUGUAAAAAAUAAUGUUAAUAUCAUUGUUACUUCUAAAAUAUAUUUAGCCCAAAGAUUUAUUUAAAAUUUUAUAAUAAAUAAAAAUAUAAAAAUAAAUUAAAUAUCAUAGUUUAAAAUCUUAAUAUUAUUUUAAAUAUUAAAAAUACUUUAAUGUUAUUAUUCUACUACACAUGUUAUAUUAUUUAUAUUAUAUUUGUAUUAAUUAAAAAUUUUAAAGUCAACUUUCUAGUAACUAUAUUCAAAGGUAUUAUGGUUAAAUAAAGGUCUUAGUGUUUCUUUUUCAAAAUUUGAGGGUCUACAUGAUAAUUUUUCCAAAUCCUAAGGUAUAGGUGUCCUUUUUGUCAAUAAUUUGAGAGAAUACGAUGAGAAAUAAGAUCAGAGAAAUGUCAAUUUAAUGUUCUCUAGCUUAAUGAAAAAAAAAAUGGAAACCAAGAACUAUUCAAUUUUGUAUUUUUUGUUUGUAAUUCAAAAAAUCCAUCCACCAAACAAGUUUCACGCAUUUAUGUUGUCAUAAAACAAAAAAACAGUUUGUGAAAAAAUGGCACCAAACAUACCCUUAAUGUCCCACAUGAUUUCUUAUGAAGCCCAUAUUAGAUAUAUUUAUACAUUUUACUGCAUUUAGGACAUAUUUGAUAGCCUGCAUUAUAUAGGAUAAAAACACAAUUUUGUAUUAAAUUAAUGCACACUCACGUUUGGCGCUAAAAGUAACUCCAGCCGCAUUGCAUUAAUGGGCUGCUAAUGCGGCAAUUGCCGCACUAGCUUGCCUCUUUUUCUUUUUAAUUUUAUUUAUAAUAAUAAUAAUAAUAAUAAUAAUAAUAAUAAUAAUAAUAAUAAUAACAUAAUAUAACUUUUUAUUUUAAUAUAAUAUUAUAUAAUAUUAAGUAUAAUUUUUAUUUUUACAUUAUAAUUAUUGAUAUAAAUUAAUAAAUGUAUUAUUUAUUAUUCAAUAAUAUUAUAUUAUAUAUUUUUAUUUUUACAUUAUAAUUUAUUAGUAAAUUUAUAAUUUAAUAUAAUUAAUAAUAAUAGAAAAUAUCAUUACAUGUACUACAAAACUCUUACUUUGAUUAUUUAACACAAUUUAUUUUAUUCGUGAAUAUGUUAUAACAAUUGUAUCACUUUAUUAUUUUGUUAUUAUUUUGUGGUAUGUAUAAAUUUUUAUUCUAUUAUCCUAGGAUGACUUUGAACUAAUGUUAUAGGUUUUAACUAUUUAUUUAUGUUGUUAUAUUAUUAGAGAUUAUUUGAUUAAAUUAUUUGCUUCGAUCUUUAUUUUGCAGGUCAUAUAUUUAGAAAUUGCUGAAAAAUAAAUGUUAUACUUCAAAAAAUUUAAGGCUAUAAGCUCGAUCUUUAUGAAGAAUUGUGAUAUUUUUUAACAUUUACACCAAAAAAAAUUGUUAAAUUUCUAAAAUUUAAGACUUCUAUAUUUAGUAUUUUUCUAAUUACUAAUAAGUAUUAUUUUCUAAAUAUAUAAUUUAAAUUAAUCACAAAAAAUUAAUACAGUACAGUGCAAUAUCAAAUAUAGUAUAAUAAAAAUUAUACAGUAUAAUGUAACACCAAAUAUUAUAUAAUAUUAUUAUAAUAUAGUACUAAUAUAAUAUAAUAUAAUACAAUAUAGUGUGCCAAACGCACCCUUAGAGUGUGUUUGGAACAUGGGAUUAUAGGGUAUUAAAACACUAUUCUUAUUAGCUUAAUACCAAUAUCAUGUUUGGAAAGAAAUUUUAAGGGAUUAAAGGGGGGUGAGCUAAUGCCAUAACUGCGGCAGUAGUGUCUUGGUUUUUUUUUUUAAAUAAUAAUAAAAAAUAUAAAUUUCUAAUUUUAUGUAAUAUUAUAUAAUAUUAAUUUUGAUUUUCUUUGAUCUUUACAUUAUAAUUAUUAAUAUAAGUUAAUACAUUUGUAAUUUAUUAUUCAUAUUUUAAUUUUUAUUAUAUUAAAAAUAUAACUAAAUAAUUUAAUUUUAAUUAUAUAAUAAUUAAUGUAUAAAAUUGAUUAAUAUUUAAUAAGUUAAUACAACUAGUAAUAAGUGCUUAAAUAAUACAUAAAAAUAAAAAUAUAACAUAAUAUUACAUUAUUUAAUUAUAUUACAAUAACUAAUAUAUAAAAAUUGAUUAUUAUUUAACAAUUUAAUAUAGCUAAUAAUAGAUACUUAAAUAAUAAUUUAAUAUAACUAAUAAUGAAUAUAUUUAAAUAAUAUUAAUUUAAAAUUAAUACCAAUAUAUAUAAUAAUAUAAAAUAUUAUUACAUGUACUGUAGUAUUCUUACUUGGAUUAUUUAGCGCAAUUUAUUUUAUUAGUGAAUAUGUUACAACUAUUGUAUCACUUUAUUAUUUAAAUUAAUCAAAAAAAUUAAUACAGUACAAGAUAAUACUAAAUAUUGUACAACAUUAUUAAAAUACAGUAUUAAUUCAAUACAAUAUAAGACAAUAUAUCUAUAUUAAAAUAAAAUAAUAUAAUUUAAUAUAAUACAAUAUGUCAAACGCACCCCGUGUAUUUUAAUUUCAAAAGAAGUUGGUCCUUCCUUUAUUUAUAAAAGAUAACUUUAUUUUCAGAUUACCACUAAACUCUGAAGUAGAAUUAGUGUAAUGUUAAGAGAGAGUGACACAGUUUUCCAUUACCAUCUAUGAAAAUAGAAAGAUAUGGAUCAGUGUAUUUAAGAGUUAUCGUGAAAAUCAUACAAUUCAAUUCCCUGACACAUAUAUUUAUGAGCAUAUGCCAAAAGAAUAAAUAGAUAGAAAGUAAAUUUACAAUCCUCACUUCCUCACAAUUGUUAAAAUGAAGACGCAUUACAACUGUGAACUGUCACUACUUUAUCCUUUUUUAUUUUUUAUUUUUUAUUUUUAGUUAUAGUGUGAUGGAGACAGUGAACAUCAAGGAUGAGAAUAAAAGUUAAAGAUGACCCACCCACUUUCUUUUUAAAGUGCUCUGCUGAAAGCCAAAGUUCCUCUGGCUAAUUAAUUUAGAUGUGAAGAGAGAAUAACGAUAUGUUAGAUUAUUUGGUAGACUAUAGACCUAAAAGUUCCUUCUGAAAUUAGAAAUACAUUUUAUAUGCUUUAAUUAUGAUUAUUUGGUAGACUAUAGACCUAAAAGACAUGUUAGAUUAUAAAAUAGUGCGAUUAAAAAAAAAAGAGUAUUUGUCACGUCAAAUAACAAUUGGUAACUAAAAUCCAAAAUAUUUCAGUUGUUAAAAUCAAAUAAAAAAAAAGAAGGUAAGAGUGAUGCAGAAACACAAUAUUAGCUUAUCUUGAUUUUCCCACUUUAUUCAUUCUCGAUGCUUUUCAAAAGAUAUUCUUCUACUCCUUCUGGUGUCUGCAGCCCCUUGUCACGGGAUGAGAGGUUUCGAGCCCGUGCGGCACUCUCACAUCCCAUACUACGAGAGUAAACCUAGUGGAAGUGGCACAAUAUCGACUAGUUUCGCCCUGCCUUGGGCUCAUCAGGAGAACGGCUCCAGUUCCCAACCAGUGUGUGUAGGGCUCUGAUACCAAAUUGAAGUUUAACCAAGCUAUUUAUGCUUGUUUGGUUGCAGAGAAAAUGAAGGAAAAUUCAAUGAGUAAUAAGAGAAACUAUAAGAGAAAUGGAUCGAAUCUUAUUCAAUGAAUUAUGAAUACAGAGGUUGACCUUAUAUACUAAGAUCCAGAACCUUCUGUAUUGCUCACACACGUGUUGAGAGUGAGCUGUGAUUAACAAACUUCUCAGCUCUAUAACAAACUUACAAACUAACAAUAACAGCCUUGCUUACUCAGCUACCACAUCAGCAGAAUCAUUACAAAAAUAUUCUUUAUAUUUAUAACUCUAACAUCCCCCCUCAAGCUUGCUGCGCAAAUAAGCAAACUGAUCAAAACAGAGGGGCUUAGUAAGAACAUCUGCUAAUUGAUCUGAACUGGGAACAUAAGUGACUGAAAGCUGCUGUUGAGCAAUAUGCUCUCUGAGAAAAUGAAGAUCAAGCUCAAUAUGUUUAGUACGAGCAUGAUAUUUAGGAUUACUGGCCAAAGCUUCAGCACUCUUGUUAUCACAAUGCAGAAGAGGAAUCUGAUCAAAAGAUAUGUUAAGCUCUUGAAAUAAGUAUGUAAUCCAGAGAACUUCAGAGGUAGCCAUAGCAAGAGCUCUAUACUCUGACUCAGCUGAUGAUCUGGACACAAUGGGCUGCUUCUUAGAGGACCAAGAGAUGAGAUUGGAACCUAAAAACACACAAUAACCUCCAACAGAUCUGCGAUCAUCAGGAUAUGCUCCCCAAUCAGCAUCAGAGUAGGCAGUUAACUUUAAAGAACCAGAACUGAAAAACUGAAGACCAUAAUCAGCUGUACUUUGAAGAUACCGUAACACCCUCUUGCAAGUUUGCCAAUGAAGAAUGGUGGGAGCUGAUAAAAACUGACUAAGCUUGUUGACUGUGAAAGCUAAGUCUGGUCGAGUUAACAGAACAUAUUGAAGAGAUCUCAUAAUGCUUCUGUAUAAGGAUGGAUUUUCAAAUGCAGCACCUGUAUCCUUGUGCAGCUUCUCAGAAGUACUCAUAGGUGUAACACAACCUUUACUGUCCAGCAUAUUUGCCCUUUUAAGAAUAUCACCAAUGUACUUAGUUUGAGAUAGAUGAAUACCUUGAACAGAUGGAGUAACUUCAAUACCAAGAAAGUAAUGAAAAUUCCCCAGCUCCUUCAAGGAAAACUCAGAAUGUAAUUGCUGAAUAACAUUUCCUAUGAGCUUUGAAUCUGAACCCGUGACUAAAAUAUCAUCCACAUAAAUGAGAAUGAGCAAGAUAUCUUUCCCUGCAUGCUUAAUGAACAGAGAAGUGUCAGAUUUGGAGACCUGAAAACCCCAUUAAAUUAAUGACUCCUUUAAUCAAUCAUACCAGGCUCUUGGAGCCUGUUUGAGACCAUAUAAGGCCUUGUUAAGCUUACAAACAUAAGAAGGGUAAGUGGAAUCAACAAACCCUUGUGGUUGAUGCAUGUACACAUCUUCAGUAAGAAUGCCAUUGAGGAAAGCAUUGUUUACAUCCAGCUGCUUAAUAGGCCAGUGAUGCAUGACUGCUAGGCUUAAAAUGAUUCUGACAGUACAAGGCUUGAUCACAGGGCUAAAUGUCUCAAAGAAAUCAACCCCAUAAGUUUGAUGAUAUCCCUUGGCAACCAACCGAGCUUUAUACCGAGAGAUACUGCCAUCAGCAUUAUACUUAACUCUGUAAACCCACUUGUUGCCAACAAUUUUCCCAGCUGAUUCAGGAGGCACUAAAGUCCAGGUUUGAUUUCUUUGGAGAGCUUCAAAUUCUUCAUUCAUAGCUGAGUACCACCUAGGAUCUGUCAAUGCUGCUUUGACAUUGGAUGGUUCAAGGUCUUGAGAAACAGCUAAGUAGGUUUUGGGUUUGUAGAUACCAGCUUUAGAUCUGGUAACCAUAGGAUGAGUAGAGAUUACUGGUGGAGAAGAAUUUGAAGAUCUUGAGGGUUGAUCUAGAGAUUGUGAAUGAACAGAAUGUGGCAAGGAAUGAGACUCUGAUGCAGGAGACAGAGCAGGACUAGAGACUGCAGCUGAUGGCUCUUCAUUGCUACUGUGACUAAGAACAGGUGUUUGAGGAAGAAAGAAAUGAACUGAAGAUGGAGUGGAGGUAGCAGAAUGAGAUAAGGUGUUGGACUUGUUUUUCAAAAACAGUUCAGAAUACAGAAAUUCCAGUUCAUUGAAAGUAACAUGUCUAGCAACAAAGACUUUCCCAGUUCGAUCAAGACACUUGUAGCCCUUAUAAAUGGGGCUAUAACCAAUGAAGACACACUUUUGAGUAUGAAAAUCUAGCUUGUGAUGAUGAUAAGGUUGAAGAAAAGGAAAACAAGAACAGCCAAACACUUUAGGAAACUUGUAAUCUGGAAGCUGAUUGUAUAGUUUUUGAAAAGGAGAUAAAUUAUUUAGAACAUGUGUUGGCAUUCUAUUCACUAAGUAAGUGGCUGUAUGAAAAGCUUCCCACCAAAAAGAGAGAGGUAAAUGAGCUUGAGCUAAGAGUGUGAGUCCAGUUUCAACAACAUGCCUAUGCUUCCUUUCCACCACACCAUUUUGAUGGUGAGUGUGGGGGCAACUAUAUCUAAAUUGAAUACCCUCUUGUUGGAGAAAUGAUCUGAAGGCUAUAAACUCACCCCCCAUAUCAGUUUGUAGUGUUUGGAUGGAUAAAGAAAACUAUUUUUCGACAAGAGACUUGAAAUAUUUGAAGGUGUCAAAUGCCUCAGAUUUGAGUGUGAGUGGAAAUACCCAACAAUAUCUUGUGAAAUCAUCAACAAAAGAAAUAUAGUACUUGUAUCCAUCCAUAGACAACACAGAAGCUGGACCCCAUAAGUCAGCAUAUAAGAGUUGGAGAGGAAAUUUUGAUUUUAUAUCAGUGACUGGAAAAUGGAAUUGAUGUAAUUUGCCAUAUUGACAAGCAUCACAAAAAUUAAGAGAUUGAGAAUAUGUUGAAUGCAUAGGAAGACUUUUCAUUAUUGUUUGCAAGACAUGUUUGGUUGGAUGACCAAACCUAUUGUGUAGCAACUGCAUAGACUCACUACUGGAAGCUAGAAAACUGACAGAAUUCUCAUUAUUGGAAUUGAUCAAAUUUGAACAGACAUUUGUUUGGUGAUUCAACUCUUUCAAAGAGUGUACAUUCUCUUUAUUUGAAAAAACAGACAACAUUGAACUAGGUUUGAGACCCAAGGCUUUAGAAUCAGAAAAAGGUGUAUCUUGAGUCAGUAGCUUAAAGAGACCAUCCUCAGCAAUCCCCUGUGCCAGCAAAGUUCCUUGCAUCUUGUCCUUAAUGAAACAAAGAUUAGAAACAAAUUUAAUGAUUAUAUGAUUGUCAGAGAGAAGUUUAGAUAAGCUAAUCAGAUUCUUGGUAAUUUUGGGAACACAUAGAACAUUGGAAAGGUUUAAUUGAUUACCAAAGGAUGUAAAGAGACAUAUAUUGCCUAUGGAAGUAAUUCUAAGACCUUGUCCAUUACCAACUAACAGCAACUGAGAUCCAAGAUAAGGUUUACCUUCAGCUAGGUUCUCCAUAUUGUUUGUGAGAUGAUGUGUUGCUCCACUAUCCAGAUACCAUCCUUGGUCAGCAACUCCUUCUGAUGUAGCCAUGAAGGCAGCUCUGGAAGUUUGAUUCUGAUCUGAAAAAUUUCCUUGCACAGAAAAAUUAGGAACAAAAUUUCUAUUAAAUAUGUCUUUGCAAUCAGCUGCAGUAUGAUUGUGCUUGAAACAAAUCUGACAAACAAUAUUUCCUCUGCCUCCUCCUCUUCCAAAUCCAUUAUAGCCACCAGGAAAUCUACCAGAAAAAUUUCCAGCAGCACCAGCAAAAUUGCCUCUACCCUGAUUUCCAUUCCAGUUAUUCCAAUUAUUAUUCCAUUGUCCUCUACCUGAAUUUUGUCCCCUUCCUGGAUUGAAACCUCCUCUAUUUGUAAAGUUUCCAUUCCAGUUAUGAAAUCCAGGUUUGUUUCCAGUGUUUCCAUUCCAGCCUCCUUGACUAUCAUUAUUCAAGCCUCCCUGAUUGUUAACUUUCUUUUGAUUAUUCCCAGCCUGAGCUAAGUUAGCAGCAUAGUUCUGUUUCACUUCCUUGAAAGAAUUAGAUUGAUUGCUUUCUAAACGUGCCUCAUGUGUCAACAACAUUGAAUAAGCCUCAUUAAUACUCAUUUUUAGAACAUUUGCUUCAAUAUACACAACUACUGGAUAAUAAGGCUGACCUAAUCCAGAGAUGAGAUGAGUUAUAAAAUCCAAAGAACUAACAGGACUUCCAGCAAUAGCAAGCUCAUCUAUAACUGACUUCAACUUACUAAAAUAUUCUGUCAUAGUCAUAGAUCAUUUCUUUAGAUUAUUCAACAUCAUUUUGAGAUGAACUUUCUUAGCAGCAGUUUCAGAUCCAAAUUGUUGCUCUAAACUAGACCACAGUUCAUAAGAGGUUUUAGAGUUUACCACAAGGCUGAGGAUUUCAAUGUUGAUAGAGGAUAGCAGCCAGCUCAGCAGCAUCUGAUCUUGCUUUCUCCACACAUGAAACUCAGGAUUCUCUUGUGAAGCAACAGUUGAACUUGCAGAAGUAUUGAACAUAGCAUCUGAAUUUCCUUGAGUGCUUGAGAGAAAUUGAUCUGGACAGAUUCUGGAUCCAUCAAGCAAACUCUCAAGCUCAUUUGCUCGAACUGAGGAUAGAAUUUGAGAUUUCCAGAUUAAGUAAUUUGAUCGAUCAAGUUUUAUUGGAGUUGUAAAAGUAAAGGUUGUUGCUGAAGAAGAGAUGUUUGUGGUCAAGCUUGAUAAUGCCAUGAGAUUAGACUAGACGUGGCUCUGAUACCAAAUUGAAGUUUAACCAAGCUAUUUAUGCUUGUUUGGUUGCAGAGAAAAUGAAGGAAAAUUCAAUGAGUAAUACGAGAAACUAUAAGAAAAAUAGAUCGAAUCUUAUUCAAUGAAUUAUGAAUACAGAGGUUGACCUUAUAUACUAAGAUCUAGAACCUUCUGUAUUGCUCACACACGUGUUGAGAGUGAGCUGUGAUUAACAAACUUCUCAGCUCUAUAACAAACUUACAAACUAACAAUAACAGCCUUGCUUACUCAGUUGCCACAUCAGCAGAAUCAUUACAAAAAUAUUCUUUAUAUUUAUAACUCUAACACGCUUAGUCUCCUCUUCAACGUUAAGUCCUCGACUAGCAACAAGCUCCCCAAACUCAACUGGGUUGGCCUGCCUGAACUCCAAGAAAUCUAGGAUCAUUGUAUUCCCCACACACACGCCCCUGAAGCACGUCUCCUACAAUUAGCACAACUAUUAUCGAUGCAAGUGUACAAGCACAUAUCUUCGGCAUCACAAUUGCAGUCCGUGACACCCUGCUCUUCUUAUAAAACUCCACCCCAAAUCUACACUACAAACAAGUUGAUUGAAAUUAAACAAUUGCUUUUUCAAGUGGACCCAUUGAGUCGUGGUCAUUACUCAUCAUUGUCUAUUUUUUCUAUGAGCCAUUUAUUUUGAGCAAUAGUGAGCUUCUCUGAACUACUCCAAUUAUUGAUGUAACUCCAGUGGCUGCAUCCAUAGUUGAAUAUAUGACAGUAUUAGCUCUUAUGUGAGAAUAUAGGGGGAUCUUUCUUUGUUUCUUUACGUAGCUAGAUGGCAUGUCCAGUGUUUGAAGGUUUGAAAGGGUGCAUAGCGGUGAAGGAAGACAUUUGAGCGAAGGGAUAUUCAAUUUCAAAUACUUCAAAUGGAAUAAAUUAUCUAAUCCGGGUGGAUAUUGGUCCAGGACUGCAGAAUCCAUGUUCAAUACCCGAAGGUGUUUGAACAUUUUACAAAAAUUCUCGCAAUCUAUCGGAUUAAGAUGAUCGCUUUCUGAACUGUGAUUCAGAAAAGAUUGGAGAUACAUGUCCGAAUGUUUCAAAGAAAAGAAUUCAAUCGGAUCAUCGAAAAUGAUGUACCGUUUGGUAUUUGCCAAUGAUUCCUCUUCGAAGUCAGGCGUCCGGACAAAUCCCAUCAUUGCUGCCGUCCCAACUAACGCAGCAUAUGCAAAAGUUGGAACAUAACACGCCUUAAUUGUGCCUCCGGCUCUUCUCUUAUUCACUUGAAUGAAGCCACGAUCGAUUAGUUCGUUCAAGUAAUGCUCGGCAGUUUCCUCACUGUUGUAUGGUAUGAAACCUUCAGCUACCCACAACUGAUAUAAUUGCCUGGUAGAUAUCUCAAUGCCUGGAUGGAACACACACAAAUAGAGGCAGCAGAUUUUCAGGUGAGCAGAUAACUCCAACACAGAAUACAUUCGACUCCAAGUUGUCAGAAACGCUUUUUCUCCCGUGUAAAUUCUUAAUGUCGUUUUUCCAUAGUAUAGGAUGAAAAAUUGCCAGGAUUCAUGCUUUAAUCUGAUCAAUGGUCCUCCAACGAGAACUGAAUCAGGACGAAUCGGCUCUCCAUUUUCUAAUUCGAACGAGCAAAGGAAGCCUGAAUCCGUGACCGUUAUCAAUACUCUGCUUCCAUUCUGAUUCUCAGGAAGUACUUCUUCAAGAUCAUCCAAUACAUCGUCACUCUCUUCACAGUAAUCAUCAAGCACAAUAAAGUACUUCUUGUUUGUUAGGUAAUCUCGAAGAAUAGAUUUCUUCAAUUGAUAAUCUUCACCGAUAACUACACUAACCCGAGAUGGAGGCAUCACAGACUUGAUUAUGUCAUCCAAUAUCAUGCGAAAAUCGUAGGCUAUAGAAACCCUGACCCAAGCAUGACAGUCAAAAUAGAACUUGACAUGAUUAUUGUUGUAAGUAUCAGCAGCAAAAGCAGUCUUAUCAAAGCCACUGCUGUCGAGAAUUGCAACCACUGAAAGCCGAGGUUGUCCCUCGAUCAGUAAAUCAAACAACUCCUCUCUGCCGCUUUCAAAUUCACUCUUAUCAAACUGAAAUUGUCCCUCAAUCAAUAAGUGAGUGAAUUCGUUCCUUCGCUCUUUGAAAUCAAAACCAUUUUCUCUAGGCGGAAUUUGUUGCAACCGAUUUCUAAUAUCAAUGAUUUUACUGUGGAUUCCGACAAGAAGAGCAAUGCAAGUAGUGCUUUCACUUUCACUGCAUUGCUGCUGCGUGAUGUUGAUGAAGAAUGUGUCAAUAGCUUUCUCUGAUUCAUCGACAAAGUAAUUGAUGUCUUUCAGAAGUUCCCAAAUGUCUGUUCUUUUAACAUUUUCUAAGUGCAAGAGUUGCCGAUAACGCGAAGGUAUUUCGUCUUCAUCGAAAUGUUCUCUAAUGAGUUGAAUCAAAACCCGAGCCAUGUCAGCUUCAUAGUUUACCUUCUUCACCUGCUAACACCCUUUUCAACCUCACACCAAAUAGUGUGAGGUUAAUUUCCAUAUCUUUCCCUCUGUCAGUAGUACUCAGAGGUACGUAUUGUUAUUUGUUAGUGUUGAUGACGAAAGCUGAAUAUCAAAGGAUAUAAAUCAAACAAAAGUUUUUGUAGAUUGAGAAUGGAUGGAUGCAAAGAAUGACUGAUGUUAAAUGAUUCUAUAAAUGAGAUAUGCAAAGAAUGAAUGAUAUUAAGUGAACAUCAAGGAUGGGAACAAAAUUUAAAGGUAAUUUUUUUUUUUAAGUACUCUGUUGAAAGCCAAAGUUCCUUUGGCCAGUUAAUUUAGAAGUGAAGGAAUGAAUAAAGUUAGUCCUCGACGUCUUUUGAAAUUAGAAAUACAUUUUGAAUGCUUUAAUAGAUGCAGAGCAAACUGGCUCGAUAUCUAACUAUUUUAAGAGCUAAAAUCAUUUAUUAGAAGUUGUAGCAUUAAAAAAAAGGGCUUGAUAUCCAAUUUUGUUAUUGAAUAUGUCUCACGUGAGAGUAUAUAACUGUUGUGUUACUGGCAGAUGGCUACGCUAGGUUUUAUUGCUCCCUGAAUUUGAUUGAAAAAUUAUUGAGACGGACAAGUUUGGACCGUCGUUCGAGACUGAAACUACAUAUCAGUCUUAGAAAAUUGUAAUUUUGUUGGCUUAUCAUGAUUUUCAUCGCCCCAUAUUGAUUUUCCUAUGAUGUCUCUGUAGAGUGGCUAUGCUUACAUUUUUAGGUAUUUACUUCUAAAGGUUAACUUAUUAGAUGGAGGGACCAAUUCUACCUAUAAAUCCAAGUGGCUUCCCUUUACUAACUCAUAUGAGACACAACAAUAAUUUUCUUUGGACAAAACCAUUGUUGGAAGGUUAUUUUCGUUCAACAUACAUGAGUUGUUCCACCGCUAUAUUUUGAGGGUUUGCUUUGGAUACGACUUGGGGGAGCUAAUGCUAAGAUUUCUAAGUAUCAACAUAAAAACCUUGCCUAUUAGGUGGAAGGACCAAUCCUACUUUAAAGUCUAAAUGACUAAUUCUUGAGGACACAACUCAACAGACCAAUAUAAAAUUUUGACGUCCCAUUUUAUUACUUUCCAGUGCUUUUACUUUUGCUGUCUAGAGCCCUACUAUUCUAUUAAGCAGAAAAUAUUUCAAGGCACUCUCGGUCUAGUAGAUAACUUUGGUAUUUAUUAUCUAUUGGGAAAAUGACACAGACACCCCCAACGUUUAGUAAAGGGACACAAAACUCCCUAAUGUUUGAAAAAAGACAUACAGACCCCCAUUUCAUGACGGAAACAGUUUCGUUAAAUCAGUCAAAGGUUAAUAUCGUAAUUGCACAUUAACAACAAAUGAAUUGACCAAAAACCCACACACGAACAAAACGCUUAACACACGCACUGACACUGCUCCUUCCAGAUCUUGACAAAAUCCUUAACGGACACACUCACACGGUUCGCCGGAAACUGCUGGAAUUGCUGGGGUUGCCGGAAGUCGCUGGAACUGCUGGGCCUGCCGGAAGUCGCUGGAACUGCUAGGGCUGCCGCAAGUCGCUGGAACUGCUAGGGCUGCCGCAAGUCGCUGGAUCUGCUCGCGCUGCCGCAAGCUGCUGGAUCUGCUCGCGCUGCCGCAAGCUGCUGGAUCUGCUCGCGCUGCCGCUGCGUUGAUCGAGACCGCAUCUGGCUGCUGCUCGUUCGUGUGGCUGCUGCUCGUGCGUGGUUGCUGCUCGUUCACGUGGUUGCUGCUCAUGCAUCUUCAAUCCACGGUUCACUUAUCUUAAACUAGCUUUUCCCUCUUUAAUUUUCUUUUUUUUUUACUAAAUUAACUUUAUUUCUUUUUAUUAUCAUUCAAAAUCCACCAGAAUUUUUGAGAAUUUUUGGACAAUUAAUUAAUUUUGGAGAAUUUUAGACAAUUAAUUUCACCGAAGAAGUGAGCUUACCAUGGGCAUAAUGCCAAAAAAGCUUGUACUGGUUUAUUGGAGAUUUAUUGUGCUUAAUUUAUCAAUGAAAAGCUUGUACUGGUUUGCAUAUGGUAACAAAUAAAAGCAGGCAAUACUACAACGACGUCCCAACAAGCUAUGAGAGGAAGUUCACAAGCUAGGAGCCAGAGUUGUCAUACAAAUUUGUGAAUAAAUAAUGUUUUUUUCUCAAAAAAAUAUUAUGGUUAUUGUUGUAAUGAUUACCAGUAUCAAUUUGAUACAAUAUUAUGAUAUAAGGAUUAUUUGUUAUGUUUAUUGGUGGUUUUUUAUGUCUAUUUGAUAUGUUAUUUAGUACAAUUAAGAUGUUGUUAACCAGUUUUUUUUUUAAAUUUUUUUUAUUAUACUGGUUUAAAUGAUUGACAUAUGAAGAAUUGUUAUUUUUAUAGUAUUAAUAAUUAAUUUUAUUUAUUUUUAUUCUUGAAUAAUGGAUUAAAAUUAUUUAGCUUGUAGAGAAUUUGAUAAAAAAUUAUUAAUGAUUUUAUUAUAAAAAAUUUAAUAGAGAAAUUGGAUAAUGAUGGUAUAUUCGUAAUUUUAUUAAUAAUAUAUGGGUAAAAUAGACAUUGAACAAUUUUUUUUUAAUGCUAAAAGGAUAUAACGGUAAUUACAUGUUAAAAUUAUAAUUUCCGUUACUAACGGUUUUCGUUAAGAAAUUGAGGUCUGUAUGUCUUUUUUCAAACAUUAGGGAGUUUUGUGUUCCUUUACUAAACGUUGGGGAUGUCUGUGUCCUUUUCCCUUAUCUAUUUUCGUUCCGUUUUAUGUAUACCCCGAUCUUUACCUCUGAUUGGUUGUAGAUUCUUUUGUUGCUUUGGGGUUAGGGGAUGGUUUUCAUAACUAUUAAGUUAAUCAAUGCAGAAAAUCUCCAUCAACAAAUGAUAAAGGAUUGUUAGUUCUGUCUGACAAACAACAUUAAUAUGAAGGAUGAUGAUUGUUCUGUUCAAGAGUUUAUAAUGACAUAAUUCUACUUUGGUCUUUUAAAAAAAGUAAGUUAGAAACGAGGAGUAUGUGAGUGAUGAUUUUUACAAAAUAAAUUGCAUGCAUGGUGAUGAUUUUGACACAUGAAAAUGAAAAAAGAAAUAUAAAUUGUGAAUAAUAAUUGAAGUACCUGCUAUUGUUAUAUUGAGUAAUCAAGGACUUCAAUAUUCGGACGAUAUAAGCAACACAAUCAAAUAUUAGUUGGAAGGCAUAGCAAAAUUAGAAUGUAGAACAAACUGGGUAUUGAUAAAUGGAUGGUUUUGGAAGAAUUGAAAAUGAUGGCAUAAGUAAACCAGAGUUAAAAGAAAAGAGAAAGAGCAUUUGAACUUUACUUGUAAGUAAAGGCAAAUUUCUUGGUUCAAGAAAAGAUAAGAGAUAUCAAACUAGCAAUAGGAAAAAGGAGGAAGGUUAAGACAGCAUCUCAACAAAAGCUAAAGAAAAGAAAAACUUAGUUCAAGCAAAGAACAAUGUGCUAAUGUCUGUGUAAUCUUGUUUAAUUUCUUUUUCUUCUCACAUUUUCCAGGGCUUAAAUAAUACAAUAUACAUUUUCAAGCAAAGAACAAUAUGCAAUUGCAGUACUUCUGAGCACACAACAACAAAUAAAUAAUACAAUAUACAUACCCACUAAAUUAAAAAAAAAUAUUAUUCAAGUUUGUGGACAAUACUGUAGCCAUGACGUCGUCGAAAUCUGCUGACAGCUGAAACAAAGAAAGAAUGGAUGAAUGCUGGAUCACAGUUGAAAUUGAAGGUCUGGUAGGUGAUGUUUCCCUCUCUGAUUUUACCUAAACAAAUACAAGAAAAUAAGAAUCACAAAUGAAAAUCUGCUAUUACACUGUUCUUACUUAUUAAAAUACAGAGGUUUCUUUGUUUCUCUGCAGCAAUGUCCAUGGCUAUUAGAAACAAGAACAAUUAGACCAGCAUUUGCAAGAGUCCUUUAAGGUAUUACUGCAGAUAUAAAUCAAGACUGAGGAAAUGGAAAAAUUGAAUACCAAAUUAGGCAAGUUAACUGAAGAUUGAGUUAUCAUAGAAGAAUAAAACUCAUCCAAUUCAAUCCAUCAAAUUCCAUAAGGAUACAACUGGAUGUCAUACUGCUGCUCCAUUUCCUCAAAAGCCCGUAGAUUUUGCCUCAACACUGGCUGAGGCCAAUGUAACUCCAAUUUGCAAAAGCUCUUUAUGCACCAUAGCUCUUCAGGAAGCUUUCUCAAGUAAGCACAAGGGUUGCCAAUUAAGCUUCCAAGUUUUGGCAUUGCUCCAGCCCCUAUCAUCCAAUCCUCUAGCCAAUACAUUGAUUUCAGGUGCAAUACCUUGAGCUCCGGGAAACCACAAGAGCAAACACAAGACAGUUUUCUUCCUGAAUAUGAGUUCUGCCUCAAUUUCAGCACUUGAAGGUGUGGAAGCUUGUCUAGUGUUAGCAUGGUAUCCUCCAAUAACUCAGUAUUUGAUAAGCUUAGAUGGAUCAGACUUGGAGAAGCUGGUAUUUAGACAGGGCCAUACGUGAGAACUACCACCUCUUGGUUUCGUUCACCAGCUUCAAGCAUUCAAGUUUGUGUAGUUCGCAUAGGCUUUUGGAAACCCCAGAACAAUCAUAAUUCAAAUCUCCAGAUACUACGAGUUUGAAGAUUAGGUAGUCUGCCUGUUAAAGUAGCUCACUAUGCCGAACAAAAGAAGGAGAAAGCUAAAGUGAAGAAAAUACAGAGCAAGAGUAUUAGCUGUGCCAGUUCAACUGAUAGCUCAGCAAAAUCAGUUAAAUUUUGUUACAAGCCCACUGUGCAUUGUGCUGAAGAUUAGUUAGUUUAAUAAUGAUUAGUUUUAGAUUAGUUAAAAUGUAAUCAUGAUUAAGAUAUAUAUAUAUAUAUAGCUGCUGUACUGAUAUCAUGGAUUAAGUUGUUGAGAAAUAAAAUUCAUUAAGCAUUUCCAGAACAGUUGAUUUUCUUUCUCAGUAGCCAAACAACUUCAAUCUCGUUUUUUUUCAACAAUGAGUUCUCAAACCACUCAAGUAUCAUUUUCAGAGAUUCUUGGCCUUAUACUCACCAUCAAAAUGGAUUGGUUGAGAGAAAACAUAGGCAUAUUGUUGAAUUAGGUUUGACUCUGUUGGCUCAAGCUCAACUUCCUUUUAAAUUCUGGUGGGAUGCAUUCCAUACUGCUCUAUAUCACAUCAAUAGAUUACCAUCUUCUGUUUUCAAACUUUUGACCCCAUAUGAGAAGAUAUUCAAGCACAAACCUGAUUAUGAUUUUCUCAAAUGUUUUGGUUGUAUUUGUUAUCCUUACUUGAGAGACUAUAACAAAAAUAAGUUUGCCUAUCAUUCCAGAACGUGUAUAUUCAUUGGUUAUAGUCCUUCACAAAAGGGUUAUAAAUGCUUACAUUCUUCAGGUCAAGUCUAUGUGGCAAGACAUGUUAUCUUUGAUGAGUCAACCUUUCCUUAUGCUACUGAAUCUGUUUUUCAUAGUCACACAAAUUCUGAUUCUCAUUCUUCAAAUUUAUUUCUCCACAGCAUGUCUAUUAUCUUUCUACUUUACCUGUCAUACCAGUAUUUCUAAAUAACAACACUGACAAUCUAAACUCUACAAAACUAAAAUGCCAGCUUUUUGGUGUUAGCGAUAAGAAACAACUUACCACAACCAUUAAUUAUCCAUAAUUUCAUUGUUUAUCCUCAGUUUUCUUCAUAAAUGUUACAGCGUUCUUCACAACAAAGUGCAAGGGCAUCUCAAAAGUUCUAAAAUAAUACCUCAAUUCUAUUGCAAAAAUAAAUAAUCUCAAACAAGAACCAAUAAUCAUAUGAAUAAACAAUUAAAGAUAGAGAAAAAAGGCUUAAACCUUGGGGAAAAAAAGUGAAAAAACAUGAAAGACAAAUUACACAUGUGCAGUAACCAUCGAACUUAUCAAUGACAGCUGCAUCCAUUACAUUGCUCCAACAACACAAUGGCAAACCACCAGUUUCAAAUUGAGGAUAGCUAUCGAGAAUGAGAAAGUGUCCAAAACGUCAUCAAUAGACAUGUUCCUAUUGUGCAUAAUUUACAUUAUAGGCAAAUAUUCUUAUACCAUCAAAGGCAAAACAUGACACUAACAAUUGAUCCCCCCCCCCCCCCCCCGUCCCCCCAACAACAAAAAAAAAAGGAAAAAACAACACAGAAAAGAUUGAAACAGAUAAGGCUACACUGAGCACAGGAUGCCAUGAAACAUAAUCCAGGAACCAAAUUAAUAAAAAAGGAAGCCAAACCAUUAUUUAACAAUCUGUUUUGUAUUUGGGAAAGUCUGAUAAAAUCUACUUAGGGAUAAUUAGAGAACCUCAACUAUUAAUCACACCUCAUAAAUGAACUAACAUUAACCAUCCCCACAUCACACAAACAUUCUAACCUAAUACUUCCAUCUUCAAUUGGGGGUUUUUUUUCUUUUUUUUUUGUUGGGGGGGGGAGCUUGCUUAGCUUCUGUGUGGGAUUGAAAUGCUGAUUUCGAAUCACUAACAGUAAAAUUGGAAUCUCAUGAAAAAACAGUUUUAUCUUAAAAUUACAUCUCGAUAUAAAUUCUCUUUUCAUUUCCUUCAACUUUCUAAUUAAGCUUAAAAAAUGUACCUUCAACCACAAAGGGGUUUAAAAUUUAAAAUAUAAAAAAUAAAUUCAGAUAACAAUAAUUAAUUUAAUUAAAAAUAUAAAUAGAGUUACAGAGAAAGAGAAAAUAGAGAAAGACCUAAUGUUGAGUCCUUUGGCGCAAGUCUCUUCAUAGGUCCGAACCAUUUCUUCGGGCGUGGGUUUCGGGUCUUUAGGAAACUCCAUAGUGAUAAGCCAGUGAUUGUAAUCGCAACCCUCGAACAGAAUCCUGUCGGGUGUGAUCUCGUCGCCGUCCUUAUACAAGUGGUACGUCUUGUUACCCGACGGCGUAGACGAGAGGGAGAUCGUCGGGGACGAUCUGAACGGCCGACGCCGAUGAAAUGGAAGGGUUUACCAGAGGAGUGGAUGCGAAGAGUGCAGGGACGGCCGCAGAGAGAGGGCGGCGGAGAGCGGCGACGGACGGUAGUGACCAGCGGAGGCGGAAGAUGGCGAUAUGGGCCAUUGCUUGCGCGUCAGUGAGUGUCUCGAGUGAGAGAGUGAAGGGUUUUGUUUAGGGUUUUGGGAAAUGAAAAAUGCAAAUGUUUGAUUUUGUUGCUAGAAACUUCUUCUGCCGCUGCCUUUUAUUUUCGCUAUAAUAAUAAUAAUUUAUUAAUCAAAUAUUUUCUUAAAAAAGAUAAAUUUCUACAACAAAAUUUAUAUUAAAUCAAAUUGUAAAAAUGUCUAUUAGGGUUAAUUUCUCCUUAAUAUUAUUAUUAGUAGAAGUAGAUUUUCGAAUUAGUCUUGAUAUAUUUCAGAGUUGUAUUAUAAAUGUAUAUGUAUCUGGAUUGCAAUUAUAUUUUUAAAAAAUAUAAUUUUUUUAAUUAUUGCACAAUAAAUGUAGAAAGUAUCUAUAAAAUAAUAUUAUUAGGACUACGAAAAAAAUAUUAUUUUAGAGAAGUUAUUUAUUUAUUAUUGAAUGAAUAAUUUAUUGGUAAAUGAAUAUUUAUUAAUUUAAAGAGAGAUUUUUUUUUUUUGGUUUGAAGAAGAGUUUUGUUGGUACAUAUACAUACUUAUAAAGAAACACAAAAAGUAGUUCCUCAAGUCAAUUGUAUUUGCUUUAAUUCAUAAUAAUAUAUCUUAAUCAAGAAACUUGUAAUUAUACUAUAUCUUUGUUUCUUUGUUCAGUUUGGUGGGACAUUGUGAUAAAUCAUUGGAUUAAAAUGCAUUUCUAAAUGAAAACUAGUUAAAACCUAAUUUAUUUGGGAACCACAUUUUAUUUGUCAGUCGUAUUUCUCAACUUAGCAAGUUAUUUCUAACUUAUCGGUCUCUAUUGAUUCUCUUAAGUGCCUGUUUGGUAUGACUUAUUUAAUGGCAAUAAGUGCUUAUUUAAUCUCAUAAGCUAUUAUCAUAAUUUUUGUUGUUGUUUGGUUGUUUUUCUAAUAAAGUUUUUGAAGCUUAAAUAAGUAAUUUUACCUCUACUAGCAAAAGCUCAAAUUUUGAGUUUUUUAGGAGUAGAGAUUGAAAAACUUUUUUAAAUGUCAACAUAUCUAUAAUAUCCUCUACUUAUUUAACAAUCUUAUUUAUUGUUUUCAUAAUAUAACUUUAAAAAACUUGUCUAUUAAAGUAAUUUCAUAAUUUUUUAAUAAAAGCUCUUAUUGACAACCAAACAAUUAAACUUUUUUUUAACAAAACCUCUACUUAAAUAAGUUCUACUUGAAAAACCGUACCAAAUAGAGCUUAAAGUUAAUAGUCUCGUAUCUCCCGCAUUUGAUAUCUUAUUGGCAUCAGCGUGUUACCUAAGAUUGGGAUUCAUUAAAAUCCUCAAUGUAAUCGGUGGAACUAAUGGAUUUCUUCUGUUCACCAAUCCACCAAAUUUUUUGUAAUUAAAUUCAAAAGUCAAGAUCUAUGCUUAUAAUCUAUUCAAUAGCUAAUAUUCUAUUUUAUAUUUACUUAAAUAUGAAGAGCUAUGCUUGUAAUUAACUUCAAAUGUGAUCGAAGCAGUAGGGAUGGCAAUGGGGAGGGGAGGGGAGGGGACCAAUCUCCCCAUACCCAUCCCCGAUAUUUUGCGUAUGUCCCUGUCCCCUCCCCGUCCCCGUCAGAAUUGCUUGAGAGAAUCCUCAUCCCCUCCCCGAAUAAUAACAGGGGAUCCCCGAGGGUCCCCGGUCCCCGAAUAAUUAAUAGUCUAAUACAUUUUUUUAUUUUCGAUUUUAAAUUAAUCAUAUUAAAAUAAAAAAUUCAGAUAAAAAUAAAGUUUAAAAUAUAUCUUACAUUAAUAUUGAUCCAUUACAAAGUCACAUUCAAAAUAUAAAUUAUUAAAAUAAUUAUCUUUAUCAAUGUCUCAAUCUUCAUAAUCCUACAAUAAAAAGAAAAAAAUUAUUUUUUAUAUCGGCAAUAAAAUAAAUGAAAUAAAUGUAGAUACUUAAUUAAUAUUUUUAAUAAAACUAUUUACCUCCUGCUAGUCAUGCUCGUCCUGUUCUUCCUCGAGAAAUGUGACAAAUUGAGAGAUAGCCUCAGAUUUCAAACCUAAAACAAUGAAAAUGAUAUAAGUAACGUAACUUAUAAGUGCAAAUAUUAAUAACUGUAUAAUAUAAUUACAAUGUAAAAUAAACUCAUACUGCUAUUGUAAGCUCGUAACCAACUUUAACAGCACAUUAAGGCCUCCAAUGUGCUUGGAUGAAGUUUGUUACGGUGUGGGCUCACAACUCUACCGCCGGUGCUAAAAGCUGAUUCAGAAGCAACUGUUGUAAUUGGAAUUGCCAAAAUAUCUCUAGCAAUUCGAGCUAAUGUAGGAUACCUAUUAGCAUUUGUCUUCCACCAACUCAAAAUAUUAAAAUCUUCCAUCCGGGGUAUAACUUUUUCAUCCAAAUAUGAAUCUAAUUCAUUUGCAACAAUUGCACAAUCUCCAUUGUUUACAUAAUCAUCAAAACCUGUCAUUCAUUUGGUUGCUUUCUUAUAAGAAUCCCCUGUAGAUCUAAUAGAAGAACUACUACCAGUAUAAUCAAAGCAAUAAACAGUUGGUGAAAACUUCAAUUGAUACUCUUCCACUAAUUCUCGGCAAAGGGUGACGACUUUCCCAACAUACAACUCUUUAACACCACCAUAAACCAUAGAAAAGUAAUAUUCAAUGAACUUCUUUUUAUACCUUGGAUCAAAGAUACAUGCCACACCCAAAAUUCCACUCAUAUCUUGCCAAUAUUUAUAAUUUUGUUAUUUAUUUAUUAGUAAUUUUAAAAAUAAAAAUAAAAUUAAAAUGGGGAAAUGGGUAGGGGAUGGGGAUUCCACCUCAUCCCCGUCCCCUCCCUGAAUAAAAAAUUGGGUAAAAAAUUUUCCCCGUCCCCUCCCCGAAUAAAAAUUUGGGUAUAAAAUUAUCCCCGUACCCUCCCCGAAUGGGGAAAAUCCCCGAGGGUACCCGUCCCCGUGGGGAUUUUUGCCAUCCCUACGAAGCAGCCUUGCAUCUGUAUAUUACUUAUUUACUCCCAACCUUUUUUUUGACUUCAUAUACUUUCUUUUCAUGUUAUUUACUCUUUUUUUUUCCCUCUCUGACAAUUGAGGUAGGGGGUCAAACUUGAAAGUAUCUUAAAAUCAGACAACAAUUUAACUAAUUUUUUUUUUUUAGAUAACUGCUAAUAUGCUCUAUUAGACAAUGAUAAGUGAUAACCUAGGUGUUUGCAUUAAAAACGAUAUUUUUUGUGGUGUUGAUAAAGAGGUUAAUUAUGAUUCAACAAUUUAAAAUAUGAAAACAUAUAGAAGACGGCCGCAAUUAAAUUGAUUGUAUGAAAAUAUUUCAAUGAAAUUUUAAAAAUUUAGUACUUGUUAUCUUAUCGAGAGUUUUUUAAAUUAUAUUACUACUUGAACUUGACUGCUUUUGUAUUGAAUUCCUAGCGUUGACAUUGCUUCUACUCAAAAGCCAUUUAAGUUUGUGUUAGAGUGCAAUUUAUGCACUAGUUUUGCAUUGUUUACUUCCCUUAAUAUCGAUGUUUUGCACUUAAUAAUAAUGAUUUACUUGUGUUUUACUUUUGUAGGUGCAAUUCUAUUGAUUUGUGAUAAAAUUGAGCUAUAAGAUGAUGUUUAAAGAUGAUUGUUCUCUUGGAGAAAUUAUGAGCGUCAGAAGAACUUUGUUGAUAAGGCGUGGGCGCGUGCUGUCAACUGCGGACCUGCAGUUUUUAGUUUAACGUGUUUUGUAUUUUUGGUUAUUUUUGUAAUUACGAAUUUAAUAUUUCAGAUAUUAGUAUUUUAUUUUAAAUAGAAUUCUAAAGGAGAAGAGAGAGAGAGUAUUUAAGAGAGGAAUCUAUUGUGAAAAAAAGGGGAUUGGAGAAAAGAAAGAAACCCUAGAUCUAAACUUUUCUCUUCUCUCUAUGAAGAACUAAACAUAUUUUUCUGGUUGAAGGUUAAUGCAGCUUUGAUUCAUCACUACUGUGAGAUCUUUCUUGUGCUUUAAUUGUUUUAUUGCUUUUUGGGUAUUUGUUUAUUCUCUGAAUUAUUUUCAUGAUUAUAUUUGUUAAUUAGGUAAUUGGCCACUAUUUAAUUAUCAACUUAAUCUAUUGUCAAUUAAAGGAUUCAUAGUAUGAAGAAUUUAAUGUUUGUGACAAAUAACAUAGCAGAUAGUUGUGUUGUGAGAAUAAACAAUCUAAUUUAAAUGAAUCAUCAUAUGUGUUGAUUAGGAUUUGGGUCUCUAUAGUUUUUCAGGCUGUCAAUUGAUUAAAUCCUAUGAUCGUAUCUAGGGUUGUCUAUUGAUUAGGGAAAUAACCAACGGUCGUACCUUGGUUAUCGACUAGUUAAGGAGAGAUUGGCUAUUAGAGGGUCUCAGUAGCUAUAACCGGUCUAUUCAUAAGUAAUAAUAAUCUAUAUUUGAAUCAAUGAUCAGUAGUCGAAUCAAGCUGAGUUAAUUCCUUCAACCAUAGCUUUCUCUAAUUUGAAUUACAACUUUAAUUUGUAUUCUUGUUAUUUUAAUUUGAUUUUUAUUAUUGUCAACAAUUCUCCCAUUUUACGUUUUACGUUUCAAAAGGAUUUAAAUAAUUACCGAUCUCUGUGGACACGACCCUACUCAAUCACUAUACACAAUUUAUUUAGAGUAGGAAUUUAUUUUUGUUGGCUUCGACAACCAUCAGUUUGUGUAAGCUACGUAUAGUUUGAACAACAAUUUAUUCAUGAAUUGUUGCUCAUAAUAGCAAUUUGAUUGAAAGUGCGGCUGCACUAAUUUUCUAGAUGAAUUUUUUCCUACAUGCUUGUUCUCGUAUGACCCAAAAUCCUGCUACAUCAGUUGUAUUAGAAAUUUUUUCCUACAUAAUUAUGCAUCCCCACCAAUAUUUAAGCAAUUUACAGAAACAUUUCUUGAGGAAAGAAACUCAUAUCGCCACUAGGCUUUUAAUGAGGCUCAUUUUUAUGAAUCUGGAUGGCAUUAGAUAUCUCUCCGAAUAUUGGUGGGAGUAGAUCGCAGAUCUCUGGGCUAUACUACAAAGUGUAUGUACGUUGACUCUCAAUAAAUACAAACGAUUCUCUGAUAUGAUUCAAAACAUGCAUAAUUUUAACGAGAAAGAAUAUUCUAAGUGUUGAAAAGUCAAAUAGUUGGCUUACCAAUUUCAAAAAAAGCAAAGUUAGGUUUUGAAAGCAUGCAAAUUGAAUACAUGGCAUGGGACAACUAGCAUGCAUUGCAUUUGUGAAUUUGGCCAAUCAAAGUCAAAUUGAAACCGGGUGGUAGGUGAGCAUGCUUUGCCUAUAAAUAGAGACGCAAAAUGCAUUUGUAAAUGCAUCCCAAUUUGAGAGAAGUAGAGAGCAAUUGCAAGUGAGUUCUUUAAGAGAAUUUGAGAGAGCUUCCACUUGAGUGUUCUAGUGAGGUUCCAUUUGGGUGUAUUGGGGUUGUGGGUUUUGUGAGUUUUUUCCACUUUUGUAAAUUUCCAUUGUUAGUAAAAUUAUCUUUUAGUCUUUGCCUGUGGAUGUAGGCAUUACGCCGAACCACGUAAAUCAUUGUGUUAUAUUUUCUUUGCAUUUGUUUAACACCACAUUUAUAUUUCUCCAGAAGUUGCAGUAUUAGUAAUUACUCAACCCGCGUUUCCGCAACACUAAGAACGAAAUUGAACGUGCAAUCAGCAACUAAAAUGAAGCCAGAAAUGUACAUGCAUGAGGAAUUUUUCCUAGAAGAUUGAUAUUUCUUUGACUAGCAAACCAUACAAGUCCAAAGCUAGCCAAACCAUACCUGCAAGUCGGGGGUUUAAAUGGAAUGCUUCUAAGCAUAAAACAUUGAUUAAAAUAGAAUACACACAUACAUACCAACAAAUUCAAAAUAGCAAAAGGAGUGCAAAAGUUCAAGUUUGUAGACAAUAUUGCACCCAUGGGAUAUUAAAGCAAAUCCUUGAAAUCAGCUACACAAAACGAUGCCCGGUCUCAUGAAUCGAUGCUCAAUUAAAAUUGCAAUUGAAAGUCCGGCUGGUGUUGUUUCCCUCUCCAGUUUUGCCUACAUAAGUAAACGGAAAUAAGAAUCACAAAUGAAAAUUUGCUUUGACAGUUCUUAUUAGAGAGAUAUAAAGGGAUCUUUCUUUGUUUCUCUGCUGUAAUUUGUGGCUAUCCCACUCUGUUUUGCCAGUCAAGCUAAGUCUACGUUGAGGCAUAAUUUUGACAUCAGAAGCAACCUCAAUUAGUUUGGCAUUUUUAUGACCUCCUUGAAGGUUUUAUGAUAAACAUAAAUCCACUGAGAAAGUGGGAAAAAGAGAAAAUGCAUAUAAAAGUAUGAGUUAUCAGAUAAGAUUAAAACUCACCCAAUUCAAUCCAUCAGAUUCCAUAAGGAUAUAACUGGAUGUCAUACCGCCACUCCAUAUCCUCAAAAGUCCGUAGUCUUUGUCUCAACUCUGUCUGAGGCCAAUGUAAAUCCAAUUUGCGCAAGCUCUUUAUGCACCACAGCUCUUCUGGAAGCUUUCUCAAGUAAGCACAUGGGUUGACAGUUAAGCUUUCAAGUUUUGGCAUUGCUCCAGCCCCCAUCGUCCACUCAUCUAGCCAAUACAUUGAUUUCAGGUGCAAAACCUUAAGCUCCGGAAAGCCACCAGAGCCAACACAGGACAACUUUCUUCCUAAAUACGAGUUUUGCUUCAGUUUAAGUACUUGAAGGCAUGGAAGCUUUUCUAGCGUUGGCAUGGGGUCCUCCAUUAGCUCAGUAUUUGAUAAGCUCAGAUGGGUCAGACUUGGAGGAAACUGGUAUUCAUACAGGACCAUUCGUGAGGGCUUCCUUUCAUUCACCAGCUUCAAGCAUUCAAGUUUGUGGAGUUCGCAUAGGCUUUUGGAAACCCCUGAAUGAUAGCAACUCAAAUCUCCAGAUAUCCGAAGAGUUUGAACAUUAGGUAGUCUGCCCAAUAUAUCAGGAGUACAACUACUGGGGUUUAAAGUUGAUAUGAAAAUGAGAUUUUUCAGGGAGCUAGAAUAAUUUUUUGGAGGUGCGGGCAGAGUGAUAGAACCAAAGUUUAGAUGCAUGAGUUUUUGCAUCAUCCAAAUAUCCUCCGGCGACUGAUCUACGUAGCUAGAUGGCAUUUCUAGUGUUUGAAGGUUUAAAAGAGUGCAUAGCAGCGAAGGAAGGCAUUUGAGCGAAGGGAUAUUCAAUUUCAAAUACUUCAAAUGGAAUAAAUUUUCUAAUCCGGGUGGAAAUUGGACGAGAACUGCAGAACCCAAGUUCAGUAUCCGAAGGUGUUUGAACUUUUCACAAAAAUUCUAGCAAUCUAUCAGAGCGAGAUGAUCGCUUUCUGAACUGUGAUUCAGAAAAGAUUGGAGAUAGAUGUCAGAAUGUUCUAAAGAAAAGAACUCAAUCAGAUCUUUCAUAAUGUAGCACCAUUUAACAUUUACCGGUGGUUCCUCGUCCACGUCAAGCGUCCAGGACAAUCUCGUGUUCACUGCCACAGAUAACAAUGAAUAAUAUACAAAACUUGGAACAUAACACGCUUUAAUCGUGCCUCCGGCUCUUCUCUUACUCACUUGAAUGAAGCCGCGAUGGAUUAGUUCUUUCAAGUAAUGUUCGGCCGUCUCCUCACUGUUGUAUGGUAUGAAACCUUCGGCUACCCACAACUGAUAUAAUUGCCUCGUCGAUAUCUCAAUACUUGGACGGAAGACACACAAAUAGAUGCAGCAGACUUUCAAGUGAAAAGGUAACUCCAUCACAGCAUAAAUUUGUCUCCAAAUUGUCGGAAUCGCUUCGCCUUGAACAUAAUUUUCUAAUGGCAUACUUCCAUAGUGUAGGAUGAAAAAUUGCCACGAUUCAUGCUUUAAUCUGAUCAUCUGUCCUCCAAUGAGCACUGAAUCAGGCCGAAUCUUCUCUCCGUUUUCCAUUUCCAAAGACUCAAGGAGGUCUAGAUCAGUGACCGUUAUCAAUACUCUGCUUCCAUUCUGAUUGUCAGGAAGAACUUGUUCAAGAUCAUCCCAUAUGUCACUGUCGUUGAAGACAUCAUCAAGCACAAUAAAGUACUUCUUGUUUGUUAGGUAAUCACGAAGAAUGGUUUUCUUCAAUUUAUAAUCUUCACCGAUAAUUACACUAACCCGAGAUGGAGGCAUCACAGACUUGAUUAUGUCAUCCAAUAUCUUGCCAGAAUCGUAGGCUAUAGAUAUUGGGGAAAAAUCAGGUUUUUAAAUUUUUAUAAAACCUUUUGAAGAUCGCUCUCAUAUAAUAUAUAAGAAUUCGUAUUCUAGAAAUCGUACCUUGUAAAUCUGAGUUUGCUUUUUCCGCUGAAGUGAUUUAGGCUCCUAGAUCACGAUCCGCCACCACCACUCCUGUUAGAUCACGAUCCGUCACCACCACGCUUGUUAGAUCACGAACUGUCUCCAAUGAUCUUCCAGGUUAUGACUCAGGUUCGAUCUGCACUUGACGUGUGGGCGCCUUUAUCACUACCAAAGCAACUAGCACGAGAAAAUUUUUCUCUCAACAAUGGAGAGAAAAAUCUUAUUCUCUGAUUUGUAUAAAGUGGCUUCUUCUCUUCCUUUUUGGGAAAAUAAGCCUUAUAUAUCUCCCUUUAGUGAAAACCCUAGGCUCCAAGGAUUCCCCCAAAAUAAAACUCACGUUACUUUUCAUUUAAUAGGGGACCCACCAUGUAAAAUAACAUAAGGCCCCUUACACAUAAGCUUAUUAAAUGGAGCCUCCCACUAAAUGAUAUAUUUAGGCUUUUGACCCAAAUAGCUAGUUAUCUUGCUUAUUAGUCCAGCAGUGGUGCAAUCAAUUAAAUGAGCUAACCCGGGGAUCAUUUGGGAACAUACAAUAGUGGCUACAAUAAUUAGGCCUGUAAUUAAACUAGCCCAAUUAUUUAAUUCCAAAUCUACUCCACUAAAAGAUUGGAACUGACUUCCAUAAUUGUAUGCUCGAAUAAUAAUUCGUCCCAAGCCACAUUGAUUUCUUUACUGCACAAUCCUUUGUACCACAUCGUUAAUUAAAUUGAUAUCUCAACUGUCCAAUCAAUUUAAUAACAUCUUAUUCCUUGAUCCUUACUGGUUUUCUCUAAUGAUCAUUUUCAACAUACUAAAUAUGUUGACACACUCUGGCCAGAGAAUUCUAUGAUCAAGUACCGAAAACCCAUCAAGAGAUGUGUUGUACAAAUUCUAUAUUGUUAAUCCAUAACUCCAAUACUCAUAAUUGUUCCCACCAAGAUACCGGGUAAUCUAGACUACAAGUAUGUGUCAUGCCCAUUGGUAACUCAAAUGGAAUAACAAUUACAAUCAUGAAAUCAUAAUUAACUCAAGAUUAAGAUUACAGUAAAAUCAAUGCCUAUGAGAUUUAAUAAGUCUGACAGUUAUUACAAAGUUAAUUAAAUCUCAUAUGUGAUCCUGUUCAAUGUAGUCGUACUACAUCAAUAAAUUCAUACAUGAUUAAGACAAAUCAUUCAAUGAAUUUAUUACAGUCUAUACCUAAAUAAAGUGCCCAACUUUAUUUAUCAACUGCGAACUAAAUUUAUUUAAUCAUAAGAUAACUUGUAUUUAUGUCUUCUGUGAAUCCACAUGGUGAUCACAUAAAUACAUAUAAUAUGAUUAAAUGGACUUUAAUACAAGUAUUAAUGCAAUUAAGAUAUUUGAAUAAAAUACCUCAUUUAUUUUAUUAAUCAGAAAAACUGUUUAUUACAAUUAAAUAAACACAUAUGCUUUUAAAGAGCAUAUUUUCCCAACAAUCUCCCACUAGCUCUCAAAGCAUAUUUGGCAUCUCACGCAUGCCCAUGGAUUCUAAGUGCAAGUUAAAAGGUUUCCCAGGUAUGGCCUUAGUAAAAGGAUCUGCCAAGUUUUGCUGUGACGCAAUCUGAGUAACCUCCACAUCACCUCUCUGCACUAUAUCCCUUAUAAGAUGAUACUUCCUCUGAAUAUGUUUUUGUUUCUUGUGGUUCCUUGGUUCCUUAGAUUGAGCUACCGCACCACUAUUAUCGCAAAAUAGUUUAAGGGGUGCAGUUACAGCAGGUACCACCUCAAGAUCUUGUAGGAACUUGCGGAGCCAUACAGCUUCUUUUGCAGCUUCGGAUGCAGCCACAUAUUCAGCUUCAGUUGUGGAGUCUGCGAUACAAGAUUGUUUCACACUCCUCCAACUAAUAGCUCCACUUCCCAAUGUAAACACAUAGCCGGAAGUUGAUUUUCUGAAAUCCUUAUCUGACAUAAAGUCAGAAUCAGUAUAACCCACUGGAAUGAGUUCAUCACCAGAAUACACAAGCAUAUAAUUUUUAGUUCUUUUCAGAUACUUCAUUAUAUGCUUGACCGCAGUCCAGUGUUCAGGUCCAGGAUUAGAUUGAUAUCUACUAACCAUCCCUACCGCAAAACAGAUGUCUGGCCUAGUGCAAAGCAUGGCAUACAUGAGACUUCCCACAGCUUCUGCAUAGGGAACUCGUCUCAUUCUCUCUAUCUCUUCAGAUGUUUUAGGUGAUUGAUCCUUAGAGAAUGUAAUUCCAUGUCUGAAUGGUAAUAAACCAGUCUUGGAAUUUUCCAUGCUAAAUCUAGCCAAUAUCUUAUCGAUAUAGACCGCUUGAGACAAGGCUAAAGUUUUAUUCUUCCGGUCUCGAAGUAACUUGAUACCAAGAAUAUAACUUGCCUCUCCCAGGUCUUUCAUAUCAAAUUGUUUUGCUAACCAACUCUUUAUUGUAGUCAAUACUCCUAUAUUGUUUCUAAUUAGGAGAAUAUCGUCUACAUAAAGAAUUAGGAAGGCUACAGAUUUUUCUUGAAUUUUCUUGUACACACAUGGUUCAUCAAUGUUCUGAAUGAAUCCAAACGAUUUUAUCGCUUGAUCAAAUCUGAUGUUCCAUGACCGGGAUGCUUGCUUCAAUCCAUAAAUGGAUCUCUGCAACUUACAUACCAUGUGUUCUUGGCCUUUUUGUAUAAAUCCAUCUGGUUGCUGCAUGUAGAUGUUUUCUUCAAGAUGCCCGUUGAGAAAGGUAGUCUUGACAUCCAUUUGCCAAAUUUCAUAAUCUAGCACUGCAGCAAUGGAGAGCAGGAUCCUGAUAGAUUUAAGCAUAGCAACCGGAGAAAAAGUUUCCUCAUAAUCGAUUCCCUCUUUUUGAGUAAACCCUUUGGCUACUAAUCUUGCUUUAAAUGUUUCCACCCUUCCGUCUACUCCUCUUUUUCUCUUGUAGAUCCACUUGCAUCCUAUAGGUUUUACCCCAUUUGGUGCCUCUACAAGUUCCCAGACUUUAUUGGAAUACAUAGAUUCCAUUUCUUGAUUCAUGGCCUUUUUCCAAAAUUCAACAUCUCUAUCUAUUAGAGCUUCGUUGUAACUAGUGGGAUCUUGUACAUGUUCAUCUGAGAUAGCCGUAUAGGUUUCUCCCAAAAGCAUGUAUCUCGCAGGUAACCUAGUUACCCUCCCACUACGACGAGGUUCUAAAAGUGAUGGUUGUUCAGGGUUAAUCCUGUGUUGAUCAUCUGGUUGUUGUUGUUCUUCCUGUUCUGUAAUAGGCAUUGAAAGCUGAGCAUCAACCUGAUCACCUGACAGUUCUUCAAGUAUUACCUUACUCUUAGGUUUGAAGUUAUUCAUAUAGUCUUCCUCGAGGGAAGUGAAAUGUGUGCUCACUAUCACUUUCCUAUCUUGAGGACUAUAAAAUAAACCUCCCCUUGUUCCUUUGGGAUACCCCACAAACAUACAAACCUCAGAACGUGAAUCCAUUUUGUCUGCCUUUGGUUUCAGCACAUGUGCUGGUGAUCCCCAAAUACGGACAUGUCGUAAACUUGGUUUGCGACCUGACCAUAAUUCUAUUGGGGUUUUAGGCACUGACUUAGAUGGAACUAAGUUCAAAAGGUAAACUGCAGUUUCCAGUGCUAAUCCCCAAAAAGAGAUUGGUAAUGACGAAUAACUAAGCAUAGAUCUCACCAUAUCCAAAAGAGUUCUAUUUCUUCUUUCAGCUACCCCAUUUUGUUGUGGUGUUCCCGGGGCAGUCAAUUGAGAUAUAAUCCCAUUUUCAACCAGAUACUCUUUGAAAUCUCCUGAGAGAAAUUCACCACCUCGAUCAGAUCGAAGUUUCUUUAUGUUCUUAUCUAAUUGCUUUUCUGUCUCAGCCCUAUACUCUUUGAAUUUCUCAAGAGCUUCAGACUUAUGACGCAUCAGAUAAACAUAACCGUAUCUUGAGUAAUCAUCAGUAAAAGUGAUGAAAUACUCAUAACCUCCUCGAGCUUGUACAUUGAUUGGUCCACAUACAUCUGUAUGUACCAAUUCAAGUGGUACUGUUGCACGUACUCCUUUGGCCGAGAAUGGCCUUUUGGUCAUUUUCCCUUCUAAACAGGAUUCACAGAGUGGCAAUGAUUCAUUUUCUAAUGGACCCAAGAGCCCAUCUUUGAUCAUUCUCUGUAUCCUAUUUUGGUUUAUAUGACCCAAGCGUAAAUGCCAGAGGUAACAUUGGUUGGAAGAAAUAUUUCUUUUCUUAGAUAAGUGUGUAUGCUCAUCAUUAUUUAUCACUGUGUCAUGCAUAGAAUGGAUCAUUGGACUUAAAUGAUAUAAAUUAUCUUCCAAUGUACCAGAACAAAUAAGUCUCUUAUUUUGAAAAAUAGAAACAGAGGAUCCAAAAUUUACAGUGUACCCUUGCUUUGACAAACAAGCUACUGAAAUUAAAUUCCUCUUAAUGUCUGGAACAUAAAGACAAUUAUUCAAAACUAAAGUCUCAUUAUUAAAAGAUAAUAAAACAGAUCCAGUCUUCACUGCUGACACGAACUGUCCUGUCCCUAACUGCAGCUUGACGCUUCCUUCACUUAUUUUCCUGGUUUCCUGAAACCAAUAAAGUGAAUUACAAAUAUGAUUAGUUGCUCCUGAAUCCAACACCCAAGUGUCAAUAGGAUUCUGAACUAAACAGGCCUCAAUUACAAAAAGAUUUCCCAUACCUGAUUUCACAAUCUUAGGGCAAUCCUUUUUCCAGUGACCUUUCUGUCCACACUUGAAGCAUUUGCCUUUCGGCUUGCCAUCUUGCUUGGUAGACGGUCUCUUUUUCCCAGCUUUCUUCUUACCUUUGCCUUUCGGCUUAGGCCCAGAAGAUGAACUUUUUUCAGUAAUAUUUAUGCUUCCCAGAGAUUUCUCAGCACGAUAGAUCUCUUCAGCAGAAUGAAGUUCGUUCAUCAAUUCAGUUAAGGUCAUGUUUCUUUUGUUCAUGUUAUAAUUGACCUUAAACUCCUUGAAUGUUUCUGGCAGAGAUUCUAGCACCAUGUCAAUCUUUGAGUUAUCAUCGAUUUGUGCUCCCUGAAUCUCAGCCUCAUUCAAAUAGUCCAUCAUUUUGAGGACAUGAUCACGAACUCUUGUGCCCUUCCCCAUUUUACUGUUCAUAAUUCCUUUCAGUGCUGCUUGUCUCGCAGAGCGAGUACUCUGCCCGAACAUCUGUUGGAGACUAUCCAUUAUUUCAGUGGCAGUCUCUAAGUUCUGAUGUUUGGUCUGCAGAAUAUUAGAAAUCGAGGCUAAAAUGUAGCACUUUGCCAUUUCAUUGGCCUUUUGCCAUUUCUCAUAAAGCCUCCUCUGAUUUCUAUGAGCAUCAUCUGCUGGAACUGGAGGGCAUGGCUGGGUUAAGACAUAUUUAUAAUUUUCAGCAGUCAGGACAAUGAAUAGAUUUCUUUUCCAAUCUAUAUAGUUCUCUCCAGUGAGUUUGUUUUGACUCAGAAUAAUAGUAAGUGGGCUCAGGGAAGACAUUUUCUGAAAAAUAAAACAUCCAUGCAUAAAUAAUUUGAAAUAAUAUUCACAAUAAAUGACAAAAAUGCAAAAAACCAUAAAUGCAUUUUAAUUUAUUGUAACGAUAAUCUAGUACCGCUUUGACAAGCUAUCCGUUGGGGAAGUCAUGUCUACACUUACUAGACCCAAUUAUCCAUUGGAUUAUUUACUUUCAUGUAGAGACAUGAUAAAUAAUUAUCGUUAUUCUUUUGGGCCUAAAUUUGUUAACAGAGCUUCGUUGGGAAGGUUAAUAACAAAUUUUAGUUGAGUGUAUAACCAUUAUUUCAAUCUACAUAUUUUUCAUAUCAAUAGUCACCGUUGGGGUGAGCAAUCGAUUGAAAAAUAUUUCAAUUUUAUCUUUGAAGAAGUUCAUCAAAUAAAAUAUCUAAUAUAUAUACCCUCCGUAGGGAGCAUCACCGUAUCAUGAAGUCGAGGUAUAUAUAUAAUUUUAUUAUUGAACUAACAAUGGAGCCCGUGGGAAAAAUUAUCUUGAAUUUUCCCUCUCCCACUCAAUAUUUUAAAAUUGGUUUUUCCUUUUUAAAACAUACAUAUUGUUAAUUGCAUGCUUCCUAUAAUAUUAUCUAGAUGAUAUCAAAUAUUAUUAAGCAUAUGCAAAUUUCAAACAAUAUAAUGAAAUUCAUUAUUAAUGAAUGACAUGUAUCAUUAUGCAUAGAGUGGCACUACCUAUUCUAUAUGACAUGUUAUCAUGGCAUGUUAUCAUCCAAAACAUAACAUAUAGAAAAACUAUUAAAUAAUCUUAAUUCAUGGCUUUCCUAAUAAUGAAAAAUACAUUAACCCUAAGCCUAAUCUUCAUUGGGCUUCUUGUCAAUGUCCAUCUUCCAUAAGCUUGUUUUUGUUAAUGGACUAGGGGAAAUUGAGCUUUUAAAUUUAUAAUUGGUCCAAUUUUAAUUUUGAAAGGAAAUAAAUAAAUAAAUUAUUUUAUUUUUAUUUUAUUUUUUUUUAUUAAAAUAAAACUUUUGGACCAAAAAUAAAUUUAAUGUAUUUAAUUUUGUCUAUGCAUUUUUAAUCCAUUAAGCCCAAAUAUCAAUUGGGCCUAAAACUAGGAUUCUUUAAGCCCAAAACUAUUUUUAGACUUAAAUGCAAAAAAUUAAAACUUGACUGCCCAAGUGAAAAAUUAUGGAACCAUAGGGACCUCCAUGAUAAAAGCCAUGAAACCCUAAAUCCAUAUUUUUCUUUCUUUCUUCUUCCCCAGCCGCCAUCUCCAAAAUCCUCCUUCACUGUUCAGACGCCAGCCGACCUCCGACGCCGACGCCGACGCCAAACCAACUGCUGCCGCCUGGCCGGAAAACGUGCCAAAACCCGCGCGCAACUUUCUGCUGGCCUCGGCAGCGUUGCUUCCAGCUGCAGCACAUGCAGCGCGCGCUGCUGGCCACGCUGGCCGCGCGCGCUGCUUACUGCGCACAGCGCAGCGCGCGCUGCUUACUGCGCACAGCGCAGCGCGCGCCGCUGGCCAAUGUUGGCCGCGCGUGCUGCUUUGCUGCGCACAGCGCAGCGCGCGAUGCUGGCCAUUGCUGGCCGCGCACGCUGCUGCAGCAUGCCCUGGUUUGCUGCCGCUGUCAUAAUUUCCGGCCUCCGUCGCUCCGAUUUUGAAAAUCUGAGAUUAAUUUACAAAUUUCCUAGACCAAUUUUGGCUUACAAAAAUUCUAUAACUGUAAAAUAAAUCAAGAGGGAAACAUGGUGAUAAAAAACCACCCCUCUUGUUACAGAUCCAAAGAACAAUACAAAAGAAAAUCUAACCAUGAAUUAAGACAAACCAUAAGCAUGCUUUAUUCAUAUAUUAAAUAAAUAAUAUACAUCUGAAUAAAUUGUGCCACUCUAAUACAUAAAUUUCAAGAUUAAUUUCAUACGAAAUUCUUAUAUAUUAAUAUGAGAUGGCUCUGAUACCAAUUAUUGGGGAAAAAUCAGGUUUUUAAAUUUUUAUAAAACCUUUUGAAGAUCGCUCUCAUAUAAUAUAUAAGAAUUCGUAUUCUAGAAAUCGUACCUUGUAAAUCUGAGUUUGCUUUUUCCGCUGAAGUGAUUUAGGCUCCUAGAUCACGAUCCGCCACCACCACUCCUGUUAGAUCACGAUCCGUCACCACCACGCUUGUUAGAUCACAAACUGUCUCCAAUGAUCUUCCAGGUUAUGACUCAGGUUCGAUCUGCACUUGACGUGUGGGCGCCUUUAUCACUACCAAAGCAACUAGCACGAGAAAAUUUUUCUCUCAACAAUGGAGAGAAAAAUCUUAUUCUCUGAUUUGUAUAAAGUGGCUUCUUCUCUUCCUUUUUGGGAAAAUAAGCCUUAUAUAUCUCCCUUUAGUGAAAACCCUAGGCUCCAAGGAUUCCCCCAAAAUAAAACUCACGUUACUUUUCAUUUAAUAGGGGACCCACCAUGUAAAAUAACAUAAGGCCCCUUACACAUAAGCUUAUUAAAUGGAGCCUCCCACUAAAUGAUAUAUUUAGGCUUUUGACCCAAAUAGCUAGUUAUCUUGCUUAUUAGUCCAGCAGUGGUGCAAUCAAUUAAAUGAGCUAACCCGGGGAUCAUUUGGGAACAUACAAUAGUGGCUACAAUAAUUAGGCCUGUAAUUAAACUAGCCCAAUUAUUUAAUUCCAAAUCUACUCCACUAAAAGAUUGGAACUGACUUCCAUAAUUGUAUGCUCGAAUAAUAAUUCGUCCCAAGCCACAUUGAUUUCUUUACUGCACAAUCCUUUGUACCACAUCGUUAAUUAAAUUGAUAUCUCAACUGUCCAAUCAAUUUAAUAACAUCUUAUUCCUUGAUCCUUACUGGUUUUCUCUAAUGAUCAUUUUCAACAUACUAAAUAUGUUGACACACUCUGGCCAGAGAAUUCUAUGAUCAAGUACCGAAAACCCAUCAAGAGAUGUGUUGUACAAAUUCUAUAUUGUUAAUCCAUAACUCCAAUACUCAUAAUUGUUCCCACCAAGAUACCGGGUAAUCUAGACUACAAGUAUGUGUCAUGCCCAUUGGUAACUCAAAUGGAAUAACAAUUACAAUCAUGAAAUCAUAAUUAACUCAAGAUUAAGAUUACAGUAAAAUCAAUGCCUAUGAGAUUUAAUAAGUCUGACAGUUAUUACAAAGUUAAUUAAAUCUCAUAUGUGAUCCUGUUCAAUGUAGUCGUACUACAUCAAUAAAUUCAUACAUGAUUAAGACAAAUCAUUCAAUGAAUUUAUUACAGUCUAUACCUAAAUAAAGUGCCCAACUUUAUUUAUCAACUGCGAACUAAAUUUAUUUAAUCAUAAGAUAACUUGUAUUUAUGUCUUCUGUGAAUCCACAUGGUGAUCACAUAAAUACAUAUAAUAUGAUUAAAUGGACUUUAAUACAAGUAUUAAUGCAAUUAAGAUAUUUGAAUAAAAUACCUCAUUUAUUUUAUUAAUCAGAAAAAUUGUUUAUUACAAUUAAAUAAACACAUAUGCUUUUAAAGAGCAUAUUUUCCCAACAAUAGAAACCCUGACCCAAGCAAGACAGUCAAAAUAGAACUUGAUAAGAUUAUUAUUGUAAGUAUCUGCAGCAAAAGCAGUCUUAUCGAAGCCACUGCUGUUGAGAAUUGCAACCACUGAAAGCCCAGAUGGUCCCUCAAUCAAUAAAUCAAACAACUCCUCUCUGCCCCUUUCAAAUUCACUGAUAUCAAGCCGAGGUUGUCCCUCACUCAAUAGGCGAAUGAUUUUCUUACCUUGUUCACUGAUAUCAGAACCAUUGUCGCCGGGUGGAAGUUGUUGCAUCCGAUUUCUAAUAUCAAUGAUUUUACUGUGGAGUCCAACAAGAAGAGCCAUUUUAGUACUGCUUUCACUUUCGUUUUCACGGCUUUGCUGCUGCAUGAUGUUGAUGAAGAAUGCGUCAAUGGCUUCCUCAGACUCAUGGACAAAGUGAUUAAUGUCCUCCAGAAUUUCCAAAAUAUCUCCUCUUUUAACGUCUUCAUCGCUUUCUUCCAAGUCCAACAGUUGCAAAAAUGGCAAAGCUACUUCGAAUUCAUCGAAUUUUUGUCUGAUAAGUUGAAACAAAAGCCGAGCCACGUCAGCUUCAUAGUUCCUCAGGAGAGUAGUAGCAAUAAUUUCGGACUCCGUAAGAAGGUUUUGAAAAAGUGGAGUCACAUUUGUUGAAUCAGACAACGUUAACGCGCCUUCUUCAUCUGCUAACACCCUUUUCAACCUCUCACAAAAUAGUCGGAGAUGGACGUCCAGCAUAUCUUCUCCUUCUCACUGUAGCAGCCAGAGGUAUUGUUAUUUGCUCCAAGAAAUGUUAAAAGGAUUGGCAAGGAAGAUGCCAAGAAACUGGCGAAGCCGCUAAAUUCCACAAAUACGCGUGCCUUCUGAAAAGAACAGGUAUCCAACCUUCAUCUUGAUUUCUGCCAUGACAUAAUUGAUGGUGCUUGAAUCAAUUUUUUCUUUUUCUUUUUUAAUUUAAAAAAUUUUGCUUUAAAAAAAAAAAAUCAAAAUGCCUUCAAAUUUUACAAAUUUCAGAAUCUGAAUGAUAAUUUUUUCAAAUUUGAAAGAUGUAAGUAUUUUUUUUUUCUGAUAAUUUAUUUCACUUUUGAGGAAAUCCGAAAACGUUAAAUACGUUCUUUACCUUUAUGAAAAAAAAGUGAAAAUCAAGAACUAUUCAAUUUUGUUUUUAUUUGUAAUUCAAAAACUUUAUUUAUUUUCGAUGCUUUUCAAAAGAGAUUCCUCUGAUCCAUCUAGCAUCUGCAACCCCUGCUCCUCUUACAAAUCUCCACCCCACAUCUACACUAUGAAACAAGUUGAUGGAAAUCGAACAAUUGCUUUUUGAUGUGGACCCAUUGGUCAUCAUUGUCUAUUCUUCCUAAUGAGCCAUUUAUUUUGACCUUUGGCGAUCUUAUCCGGACCACUCCAAUUAUUUAUGUAACUCCAAAGGUUGCAUCUACAGUUGAAUGUAAGAUAGUGAUAGCUCUUCCGUUGCAACGUGCUAGUAUAAAUUUCUUUACCUUACAGUUUAUACGGUCUUGCUGUUAAUGAAUUCGCUGAGGCAUUAUUGAUCCAAUCUGAGUGAAGUAAUUGUGGGUGAAAAAUAAAUAAAGGAUAACAGAACGGAGCUGAAGUGCUGAAGUGGCUAUUAAAGAAGAGUGUCACUCGAUCACAAUCACAUUGAUGCACAACUCACCCGUGGCAAAUUUCGACUGUACAUACUGCAAAUUCACCCAAACCAUACAUGCAUGAACAAAACUAAAAUGUAGUUCUAAUCACAACUGUAAUUAAAGCUACAAAAGGCAGCAAAUCCAAAAACUUAAAAGGAAGAUUUUAUUGAAGUUUGUCCCCAAAAGACAGCUGAAAUGAAAAAUUAUUGACUAUUGAGUGGAUCAAUGCUGAAUUACAUUUGAAAUGGAAAGCAUGGCUGCAGUUACGAUGUUUCCCACUCUGAUUUUCCUCCAAAACAAAUUCAGUUGUAAACAAUAACUCUCAAAUUUUUUCAACUAACAAAUCCUCUUGUCUAAACUAAAAAAAUUCAUCUCUAAAAUCUAUCUGCAAAUUAUUGAAAAUGAUGGGUGAUUUAUCAACUCGAUAAAUAAACCCGUGCAUAAUGUUAACAAUAAAGAUAAAUUACAUAAUAAUUAUUAUAAAGAAUCAUAAAUUAGAAAAAUUAAUCAUUUCACAAUCUAUUACGUAAGUAAGAUAAAUCUCAUAAUAAGUUAAGUUAUAAUGUAAUUAAUAUUUUCAAUAUGCUAAGAUAAAAUUGGUCCUAUCUCAAAGUAGUUAGCGGUGUAAAAUUAAUUAAUUAAACACCAUGGAAGAAUUUGCAAGGAAUAUGCUAAGAAACUGGCUAAGUAGCUAAAUUCCACAAAUACGAUAUUAUUGCUCAUUUUUUUCUCAGAAACAUGAUGCGCGUUCAUUUAGAAAAAAGCCAAAGACGCGUGCCUUUUGAAAAGAACAGGUAUCCCAAUCGGUAUCCAACCUUUAUCUUAUUUAAUUACUACCAUGACAUAAUUGAUGGUGCUUAAAUCAAUUGUUUCUUUUUUAAUUUAAAGAAUUUUUCAUUAAAAAAAUAUUUUAAUACCAAAAUGCCUUCAAUGACAUUACUGCCGCAAGCCCAGUACAGGAUUAAUUAAAAAUUUUAGAAUUUUUGGGCAUGGAAAGAGUAGUAUUAAACAUCAGAAAGCUAAGGUUGUUAUGUUAAAGAAUUGAUAUUGACAUAAUUUUAUUUUGGUUUUCAAGGAAAAAAAACAUAUUUGUUGACAAGCAAGAAUUAUUUUUUUGUAUUUUACAAUCUUUUAUUAAAUAUUUUAUCAUAUUAAAGUAAUUUUAAUAAUAAAUAGAAACAUAAUAUUACAAUAAAUAAAUUAAAGUUUAAAUUAUUUUGAAUAUUAUAAAAAAUAAUUUUAAUAUUAUUAAUAGGAAGAUAUUUUGUUAAUUGUAAAAUCGUUUUAACCCAAAGGUUUAUUUCAAAUCUUUAUAAUAAAUAACUAUGGCCAAUGAGCCGUGCCGGCACAUCAACUGUCGGCCCAUAAGGGCUCGUGGGCCGGCACGGCACGGCCCACCAAUCGUGCCUACCUUUUUUUCAGUUGAGCCCAACACAGCACACGGCACGAGUCCACUCGUGCCGUGCCGUGGGCCGUGCCCAAAAAAAACCCACCAACUUUCUUUUUUUUAGCAUGCUUAAAAAAGUCCACGUGACUGGCGUGCUUUAUUCAAGUCCAUGUGCCUGACGUGCUUUUUUAAGCCCACCAACAUAAUAAUAAUAAUAAUAAUAAUAAUAAUAAUAAUAAUAAUAUUCAUAAUCAUAAUCAUAUUAAUUUUUAUUAAGAGAGCAAUUAACAUUUUAUUAUUAAUUUUGUAAAAUUUUUUAUUUUUUAUUUAUAAUUUAUAAAUUUAUGAUAUUUAUAAUUUUAUUUAUUAAAAUCAUGAUAUUUAGUUAUUUACUUAUUCGUUUAAUAAAUUAUAAACAUAAAUAAAUAAUUAAAUAAAUAUCAUAAAUAAAAUUAAAUAUCAUAAAUAACAUUAUUCAUUUAAUAAAUAUCAUAAAUAAAAUUAUGAUAUUUAUAAUUUUAUUUAUUAAAAUGAUGAUAUUUAUAAUUUUAUUUAUUAAAAUGAUGAUAUUUACUUAUUCAUUUAAUAAAUUAUAAACAUAAAAAAUUAGAAUAUUUAUUUAAACUAAGAUUUAAUGAUUUAAAUUAAUUUUUAAAAGUCUAUGCUAAAAAAUAUAUUAAAACAUUUAAUUUCAAGAUAUUUUACUUUAAUUUCAUAACAUUUUAUAUUUACUUUUUGUUAAAAAAAUUUACUUAGAUAUAUUUUGGCCCACGUGCUAUUGAUGGCUCACGGGCCGUGUGCUAGCCCACCAAUGAACCGUGCUUAUUACGUGCUUUUUUGCGUGCCGUACUUUGGCCCAUCUCUAAUUGUGCCGUGCUUUAAGGCUCGCGUGCCUAAAAUUCUAGGCCCGGCACAGCCCACGUGUGUGCCGUGCCGUGCCUUGUGCCUCACUGAAACGUGCUCAUGCCGUGCCGUGCCGUGCCGUAUGGACACGUGCCGUGCCCGUGCCGUGCCACGUGCCGCCCGGCCCAUUGGCCAUCUCUAAUAAUAAACACCAAUAUAAAAUUAAAUAUCAUAAUUUAAAAUUUUUAAUAUUGUUUUAAAGAUUAAAACUAUUUUAAUGUUAUUAGUCUACCACAUAGAUUAUAUUACUUAUAUUAUAUUUUGUAUUGAUUAAAAAAUUUUAAAAUCAAUUUUCUAAUUACUAUAUUCAUGAGGUAUUAUGAUUAAAGAAAAGAUCUUGGUGUUACUUUUUUAAAAUUUGAGGGUUGCAUGAUAGUUUUGCCAAAUUUUAAGGAUGUAAGUGUCCUGUUUUCUGAUAAUUUAUUUCAAUUUUGAGGAAAUCCAAUGAGAAAUAUGGUAAGAGAACGUCAAUUACUUGUCAUUUUCUAUUUUUUCUAUGAGCCAUUUAUUUUAAGCAUUAGUGAUCUUAUCUGGACCACUCCAAUUAUUGAUGCAACUCCAGUGGAUGCAUCCACAGUUGAAAAUAUGAUAGUGUUAGCUCUUAUUUGAGAAUUUAGAGGGAUUUUUUUUUUUUUAUUUCUCAAUUGCAACGUGCUAGUAUAAAUUUCUUUACCUUACAGUUUAUAUAGUCUUGCUGUUAAAGAAUUCACCGAGGCAUUAUCGAUUCAAUUUUAGGGGAGCAAUUGCGGGUGAAAGAUAAAUAAAGGAUAAGAGAACAGAGCUGAAGUGCUAAAUUGGCUACUGAAGAAGGGUGUCACAUAAUCACAAUCACAUUGAUGCACAACUCUCUGGAGGCAAAGUUUGUCUAUAUGUACUCUAAAUUCAACCAAACCAUACUUGCAUGAACAAAAAUUAAACCGUAGUUCUAAUCACAACAGUAAUUGAAGCUACAAAAGCCAGCAAAUAUGAACAGAGACUUAAAAGAAAGAUCUUAUUCAAGUUUGUCCCCAAAAGAGGGCUGAAAUGAUAAAUAUUGACUAUUGAAUGGGUCAAUGCUAAAUUACAUUUCAAAUGGAAAGCUUGGCAGCCGUUACUAGGGGUGGGCAUCAGAUUGGAUUUGGAUCAAUCCGAACCAAUCCGAACUUGUUCGGAUCGGAUUCGGAUUGACCUCCAAAUCCGAUCGGAUAAAAACUUUACAAUCCGAUCGGAUUUGAUUUGGAUUGGUUCGGAUUUGGAUCAAUCCGAUCGGAUUGCACUUUGCAAUUAAAAAAAAUUAAUUGAACUAUAAAUAAAAAAAUAAAAGUUAAACGGCAGCCCUAAACUAAAUCCCUAAAAUCCCAAAUUAGAAAGGAUGAAAGAAGCCCUUGCAACCGUACGAACCCAGCUAAAGAAUCGAAGAAGCACUUGUAGGUUUCAGUUGCACGAACCCAUCCUCAUGAACCCAGCCAAAGAAUUGGAGAAGCCGCACGAACCCAGCUCAUCUCUUUGAGUCUCAAGUAGUCGACACCUUAGCUGCACAUCGACAAAGUCAACCGCUGAGCCCGUGAGCUGCACGUUGCUACGCUUCCAACUGAAGCCGCAGCCACAAGUUGAUGUCCCAAACCUAGCCGCUGCAUCUAUUUGAUUAUUGCAAGGGUUUCCAAUGGAGUUGAUCUACCAAAGCUUGUGAGUCGCAUGGGAAUAAGAAUAGAUACUUCGAUUUUAAAAAAAUUGCAGAGAUUUGGGUCUUUUGUGCUUUCAAUUUUUGUAUUUCUUUUCUCUAUUUCCUGGCUUGCUGCUUUUUUUCUUGUUUGCGUGAUUUCAAUUUUGCAUUACAACUUGAAAAUGACUUGGAUUCAUUUGAUUUAUUUGAGCAAAUCUGAAUCCAAUUUCAAUAUGAUAUUACCGAUGCGAGAAUCCGAAUUAAUCUAAAUUAUCCAUCCGAUCCGAAUAUAAUAUUCGGAUUGGAUUCGGAUCGGUUUUGAAUUCGGAUUAUAAUUGGAUGAUUUUUUCACCAAUCCGAACAGUCCGAGAUCCGAUCGGAUUGAUCAAAAUUCGAUCCAAAUCCGAAUUUGCCCACCCUUAGCCAUUACAAUGUUUCCCCCUCUGAUUUUCCUCCAAAACAAAUUCAGUUGUAAACAAUAACCGAAGUAGAAAUAAUUUAUUCAUUAAAGAAAAUACCCAAGUUUUCAAGUAACAAACCCUCUUGUCUAAACUAAAAAAAAAACUCAUAUCUCUAAAAUCUAUCCGCAAAAUGUUGGAAAUGAGGAGUGAUCUGUCAACUCUGUAAAUAAACUUAUGCAUAAUAUUAACAAUAAUGAUAAAUAGUCAUGAUUAUUGUUUAAAUGUGUAAAUGGCCUGGGCAUAGCCCGUAAUACCAAUAUCCAUUUGCCUUCAUUUGGAUUAUCACAUUUCAUGAUAUUCUUUCAUUCAUGACUAUUGUUCGAGAUUCGAACUUGAUCAUAAAUUAAGUUGCAAGGGAGUUUACUUAAGUUUCUAAACUUUUCAAUCGUGAUUCCUCCAUGCCUUUCUAUACCAUUUUGUUACGUGCCAAUGUAACUGACCUUGUAAUUGGUGUGUAUAAGGAAUCAUGCCCUUUCAGGAUCGUUUUCUUUUGUUUCCUUAUGUAAUGUCAAAUAAAUAAAGAAUGAACAAUUGAAAUUGGUCUAUUUCGAGGAAAACCAAGGCCUGCAAUAUUAGAUGAACUUUGAACAAAAUUAAUCUACUGCUUUUAUUCAUCUUUGGACUAUGAAUUUAUACAAGGACUUUAACAGAAAAUAACAAAGACACAGCUAAAUGAUAGCACCAAGUGCUGAAUUAGUGGACCACUUCUAUAAGUAAAUAAAAACUAAAUAUUUAUUUUGACUAUAACAACAGCUGCCCUGAUGAACAGGACUCCACAGCAACCACUUGAAAGCUCAUUUCUCCUUAAUAUUAUUAUUAGUAGAAGUAGAUUUUCAAACUAGUCUUGAUAUAUUUUAAAGUUGUAUUAUCAAUGUAUAUGUAUCUAUAUUGUACCUAUAUUUUUAAAAAAUAAAAAUUUUUAAUUAUUGCACAAUAAAUGUAGAAAAAUAUCUAUAAAAUAAUAUUAUUAGGACUAAAAAAAUAUUAUUUUAGAUAAGUUAUUUAUUCAUUAUUGAAUAAAUAAUCUAUUAAUUUAUUGAUAAAUGAAUAUUUAUUAAUUUAAAGAGAGAUUAUUUUUUGGUUUUGAGAAGAGUUUGUUUGGUACAUGUACACACUAAUAAAGAAACACAAAAAGUGCUUCCUCAAGUUAAUAGUAUUUGCUUUAAUCGCUACAAUUCAUAAUAAUAUAGCUUAGUUAGGAAAUUUGUAAUUAUUCUAUGGCUACGUUUGAUACAACUUUUUAAGUAGAGUUUAUUUAAGUAGAGUUUUUAUUAGUAGAAUUUUUAUAAAUAUAACUUUUACUAAAAAAAAUUUAAUUAUUUGGUUGUCAAAUUGAUGAACUUAUGUUCUUUUGUUAACAUCUGUUUGUUUUACUUAAUAAUAAAAAUUAGUUUACAAUUACACCGGUGUUAAAUCAGCAGAGCAUUUUUGCAGCCAGUCACAUCAUACAUUAUACUAAUAGCAUCGACAAGUGUGAAGCCUGGUGUAGUUAUCCCUGUUGAUGUGACUAAAAAAAUGUUGGAACUUAAUUCCUCACAAGAACCACCUCAAAAUGAGAGCAUGUUACAGCAACCCAGCCAUCAAGAUAUUGGUACUAGUGAUCAAGUUACAUCAACUGUGGAAAGGACUCAACCAAUAAAUGCUGAAGAAGAAGUUGCAACACCAGUGGUGACAACUCACAAUAAAACAAAUGAGCAGAGAUUGGUGCCUCCUGAAGUUGCCCAGCAAUUUAGGCAUCCACCCCCUUUCCCACAGAGAUUCCAGAAACAAAAACAAGACAAUCAAUUUAGUAAAUUCUUGGAAGUGCUGAAGCAAUUACACAUCAACAGACCUUUUGUGGAAGUAUUUGGGCAAAUGCCUAAUUAUGUGAAAUUUCUAAAAGACAUCUUGGCAAGAAAAAGAAUGUUGGGAGAAUUUGAAACUGUUUCUUUGACACAGGAAAAUAGUCAUAUUCUCCAAAGUAAGAUUCCUAAAAAAUUGAAGGAUCCAAGAAGCUUCACAAUACCAUGUUUUAUUGGAACUAGGUAUAAUGGCAGAGCACUAUGUGAUUUGGGAGCCAAUAUUAAUCUGAUGCCAUUAUCAAUAUUUAAGCAGUUGGGAGUAGGAGAAUGUAGGCCAACAACAGUCACUCUGCAAUUAGCUAACAGAUCUCAUGCAUAUCCUGAAGGAAAAAUUGAGGAUUUACUGGUGAAGGUUGGCAAGUUCAUUUUUCCAGUGGAUUUCAUUGUACUAGACUUUGAGGCUGAUAAGGAGGUACCCAUUAUACUUGGAAGACCUUUCCUAGCAACUGGGAAAACUCUGAUAGAUGUGCAAAAAUGAGAGCUAACAAUGAGGGUGAAUGACCAACAAGUCACAUUCAAUGUAUUAGAGGCUAUGAAGGACCCUGAUUAGGCAGAAGAUUGCAACUUCCUGAGUGUUGUGGAUUUUAUUGUAGCAGACAGAAUCGACAGAUGCUGCAGUAAUGAGGUCAUCAAGGUUGCCACCUUUGAGAGCUUUGAAGAAUAAAAUGUUGCAGCAAAUCAGAUAGAUUGUAUGGGAGAAAGACAAUCUAAUAGACAUAGCAGAGUUGUUGAACCUCUGAAUCUUUCAGACAGGGAAGUAAAAGCAACUUUACCAUCUAUUGAAUCACCUCAUACUCUUGAAUUAAAACUGUUACAUUCACAUUUGAAAUAUGCUUAUCUUGGUCAGAACAAUACACUUCCUGUAAUCAUUUCAUCUACUUUGGAUGCAGGUCAAGAAUAGAGCCUGGUAGAUAUGCUUGGGAAAUACAGAAAAGUAAUUGGAUGGACCAUGACAGACAUUAAAAGGAUCAGCCCAUCCAUAUGUAUGCAUAAAGUUAUGUUAGAAGACUGCUACAACAACUCAAUGGAGCAACAGAGAAGGUUAAACUCCAUUAUGAAGGAAGUUAUAAAGAAAUAAAUCAUCAAAUGGUUAGAUGCUGGGAUCAUAUACCCAAUAUCAGACAGUUCAUGGGUGAGCCCAGUGCAAUGUGUUCCAAAGAAGGGAGGAAUAAUAGUGAUAGCAAAUGAGAAGAAUGAGCUUAUUCCUACAAGAACAAUGACUGGAUGGAUGGUAUGUAUGAAUUACAAGAAGCUCAACAAAGCCACUCGGAAGGACCACUUCCCACUUCCAUUCAUAGAUCAAAUAUUGGACAGACUUACUGGAAAAUAAUACUACUGUUUCCUAGAUGGGUAUUCAGGCUACAACCAAAUUACUAUAGCUCCAGAGGAUCUGGAAAAGACUACAUUUACCUGUCCUUAUGGAACUUUUGCCUUCAGAAGGAUGCCUUUUGGUUUGUGCAAUGCUCCAGCAACUUUCCAGAGAUUUAUGAUGUCUAUUUUUUCAGAUAUGGUAGAGCAAACACUGGAAGUCUUCAUGGAUGAUUUCUAAGUCUUUGGAGAAACAUAUACUGAUUGUUUACACAACUUGGAAGAAGUUCUUAAAAGAUGUGAGAUGACUAACUUAGUACUCAAAUUGGGAAAAAUGUCAUUUCAUGGUGCAAAAAGGCAUAGUAUUGGGUCAUAAGGUGUCCAAGAAUAGUAUAGAGGUAGAUAAAGUAAAGAUAGAAGUGAUAGAUAAACUGCCACCUACCACUUCAAUCAAGGGGAUUAGAAGUUUUUUGGGUCAUGCUGGGUUUUACAGAAGAUUCAUUAAAGACUUUUCUAAGGUAGCUAAACCAUUAUGCUCAUUGCUAGAACAUGACAAGCCUUUUUAUUUUGAUUAAGACUGUCUUCAAGCCUUUGGAGAAUUAAAGAAAGCUUUGAUCACUGCACCAGUGGUUAUAUCACCAGAUUGGACUCUACCAUCUGAACUAAUGUGUGAUGCCAGUGACCAUUCUAUUGGGGCAGUGUUGGGGCAGAGAAAGGAUAAGGUUUUCCACUCUAUAUACUAUGCCAGCAAAACUCUUACUCAAACUCAGAUUAAUGACACCACUACAGAGAAAGAGUUACUAGCAGUAGUAUUUGCUUUCGAUAAAUUAAGAGCUUACUUGGUGGGUGUUGUGCAAAUUUUAUUGAACUCGCAAGUGCACGAAUCUAUUGUAGAAUAGAUCAAUGGUGACGAGUGUCGAUCCCACGAGGAGGUAGAUUUUUAUUGUGUGUAGAAUUAAUUUUUCUAAAUGAGUGGUUGGAUUUGUGGUGAAAGUAACUUAGAUUAUCCUAAAAUUUGAAUUAAAAUGACGAGAAUAAAUUGAAGCGAAAUCUAUUGAAAUGACACACUUGGGUAUCUAGAUCCAUAUCAACAUGCUCCAUGGGCUAAAUAUUCCUUAUUAGUGCCAAUUAAAUCAUGAGGGGGGAAUCCACACCUCAUAAACUACACUCUAAUCAAUAUGGUGCUAAGGGCUUAUCGUGCCAAAUAAUAAUAACAACCUUGUACUAGGGAGUCGGUGAAACCAGGGCGGUAUCUAGACAAGAUUAUUAUUAUUUGUCGACGAGAAGUCAAAACAUCCACAAAAACUAGAGGGGAAGAGAAAAUAAAUUUACUAAAUAAAGCCCAUGACACAUGUUGAGACUUCACCUUCAACCCAAGCUUGAAAGAAAAUUAGCUACUCAUAAUUGAACUAGGGACAAAAUGAAAAUUUAUUAAAAUACGUAGAAAAUACAAGAUGGAGAAUGAAUUAUAGAAAAUUGAGCCUAAAAAUGGAUUCAGAGAUAUCAAAUUAGAGGGGGGGAGGCUCCCUUUUUAUAGAUACAUUGAGUAAAUCAUGGCAAUCAGAUUAAAAACAGUUUGGACGCUCAGGAUUGUGCCACGUCAUCAGUCAACAGUACGCGGUUUGAAUAGUGACACGGUUUGACCACACGGUUUGAACAGUCAACCGGCUUGAAUAGUGAUGCGGUUUGGUUGAAAAUAAUCCUAUGUAUAUGCAUGUACCGUGCGCACGAUUUUUGGUCCACUAAAAUGCUGCCACGUCACCGAUCAACAGUGUAAAUAAAUUUUGUCCAAUAGAAUCCUGACACCUCAUCAGUUAAUGCCACAUCAUCGGUCAAUACCACGUUAUCAUUCUGUAUGUGUGAACAGUGUCAUGAACAGUAACAUGGAUAGUAUCGUACAUAUGAAUAGUGCCAUACAUGUGAACAUUGAUAUUUUUCUUUUUAUGCUCCUCCUAAGGUUUUCGACUGUCUUGAGUUCAAAAGUGAUGUCCGUUUUACCGUGUGAUUUCUCGUUCAUUGUGAAAUGACCAUGAUGCCCCUAAAAUACAUAAAAUACUUAAUUAAAAUAAAACACACGUAAUUAAAUCACAAGAAGCUUAAAUACAUAAAAGUAAGGGUGUUAGUAAGACUUGAAAUGUAAAAUGACGAUUUUCUCCUUUAUAAAUAUACAUUUUCUAACACUCAACACCCCCCAACCAGCUUAUUGCUAGUCCCUAGCAAAUAAAGCGAAAACAAAAUUCAAACCCAAAAUAAUUUUUUUUUUAAACAAUUUUGUUUAUUCAAUCAGACUAAUGAUAGCAAUCAAAUAAAAGUAUAAGCAUUAUCUCUAGUCUAAAGAAACAUCAAACCCACAUCAACCAUCCACAUGAAUCAGCCCAGUGGACUUUGUCACAGCUGUUUUCAAAAAUGACAUGUCAAACCCCAAAAUCUCACUAGAAGUAGUGACACUCUCAUAAGGAAAUUAAACCCAAUAAAAAUAGUCACUUCAAUGAAUGCUAAAUUUGAGAGAAAAUAAUAAAGAAGUAAUGUCACACGCUCUCACCAAGAUGAAAGAAAUAUGCCCUUAGCUCAGAAAUAAUACGAUCUCAAGUCAAACAAAAAUGCUAGUCAACCCAAUUUAUUUAUUUAUUUUAUUUUUUAUUAUGCAUCACUACAACUUUUUGGCCCAUAUAAUUAGCUUCUACUUCAGACUAUAGUUCCCUAAAAUCAAGAAGGACUUUUAUUAGGACAUAACGUAGGCUAGGGACAUAGCUAACAAAGGAGUGAAAAUAAGGAAAACAAAGUGUAUGUUUGAGAAAAAUGCAGAGAUUUUUUUUUUUUGAAAGUUGCAAGGUGGAUUUCACCUAUUAUUGUUAUUUUUUUUAACAACAAUUUUUUUUGUUUUUUUGUUUUUGCUUUUGUUUGGCACAACUUCACUGAACAAAAUAAUUAUUUACAUUUUUCUCAAACAUAAAUAGGUGACGGAACUUGUAAGAUAUCGGAUAAUACUCCAAAUCGGAGUGGUUCUAGAUGAUAAGUUUGACAAAGAAAAUGUUUUUUUUUUUAAAAGGCUCAAAAGGGUUAACUAUGGAUAUUUCACAGAAGGGAUGACAGAAAGACUCAAACGGAUCUGCAGUUUCCUAAUCUGACUUAUGCAUUCCCUAGGCUUCCAUUUACCCUAACUUUCAACUAUAAAAGAAGCACACAUCAUAAGGAUUAAGGAGAGCCAUCACCCAAGGAGAAAAACACAAAGAAACAAAAGAAAAACAAGAUUCAAGAGAGAGAUUAAGGGUUGCACAAGAGGAAAAAUUGCAGAGAUCAAUUGGGAGCUCAAUCCUUCUUAUCCUUCUCUUGUUUUCGUGUUUUCUAUUUAUUCAUGGGGAUGUGUUUCAUGGCUGAAAUUUUAUUCUUUAUUUUUCUUUUGCAAAUCAUGAACUAAAUUUAUUUGUAGUUGAGUGAUAAACAAUCUUGAUGGUUUAUUGACUGGAAAUAUGUGUUGCUGCAUGUUUGCUGUAGCAGUUUGUUUUGAUAGUAUUUAUUUUUAUUCAUUAUUUCGGCUGAUCAUCCAUUUAAUGAUACAAGUUAGGAGAGAGACGCAAAAUGGCCUAUCUUAGUGGAACAUAUCAAAGCAAUACUUGAUCUUAAAUUGGGUUUCCCGGAUUGAGUUUUACUUGAGUCCCAAAAGGGCCAUGCUUGAUUUAAGAUUAGUGGUGAACUAGACAUAAAGAUUCACCUUGUAGGAUAAAUAGAACCUAAGCGUGUAAUGUUAUAUCUUAUGUUGGCAUAACAACUGAUCACUGUUAGGUUGCAUAUAGCUAUAAGAUAUCCAACAUGCGACGGCUGAGGAUACAUAAGGAUUCUGCCCAGUGCUAUAGUAGAUACUGCAGCAACCGAGCCAACCAUUAGAAAAUAGUCAAGACCAUUAGGAGAGUUUAUUCACUCAAUUACUUUAUAUUCCCAUUGAUUUUAUUCUUGAGAUUGACGUGAUAAUUUACUUUGUUGCAUUUUAUUUAUUACGUUUUUAUUUUAAUUAGUAGAUUAGUUUCAUUAAUUGUUUUAUUUUAUUUUAGCAUAAAAUCUGCACUGUUAAGAUUGCUGUAGCAAAUAUCAUAACAUCAAUCCAUGUGGAGACGAUCUUGAAUACUCAUCACUUUAUUACUUGUUGUGUACACUUGCAUAAUGACACCAAUAGCAUUAGUAUGUUAGCAUACAUGCAUCCAUAAUGUUGAUUUUGAUGAUAACAAAUAAGAUUAAGAAUGAUUAAGUUUUUAAAAGCUCAAAUUAUUUUAAAUAAAUCAUUAUUUUCAUAAUAUAAAGGUUUUAUACUUAAUGGAAAAAUGAUUUUAUGAAAUUGGUUGUUUUCAAUUAAUGUUUUAAAUUGAAAAAGUUUUGAAAAUCUGGAAAUGGACUUAUUUGUAAAGUUUUAUGACUAUUUGGGCCAUAGUAUAAUUAUAGAAAGUUUUGGGGUAAAACUAUAAUUUUAGAAAAUAAUUUCACUGUAGCGAUCACUGUAGCAAACGGCUAACCGUUUACUGAAAAUGGUUAACCGAUAAUUUCUAGAAAGCAUAUUUUGUAAAGUAUUGUUAAAAUGAUGAUUGUGGAAAAUAACGGUGAACUGUUUAGUGAAAACGGUGAACCGAUUAUUUCCAUAUUGCUAACCUUGAACCGUUUAGUGAGAACGGGUAAGCUAAAUUUAUUUUACAGGUCUCUGGAAAUUAACGGUGAACCGCUAGUGACAAACGGUCAACCGUUUAUUUGAAAUUCAGCUCAACGGUAACUUUGACCAGAAUAAACGGUUAACCGUUUACAGUUAACGGCGAUUCGUUUAUGGGCAAACAGUCAAUAACGGCUAGUUUUUCAACUCCAACUAUAAAUAAGCUCAAUCCAAUUCAAACAAGGAGAAUUCCAACGAUCAUCAUUGAGCAAAUUAUUGAGAAUACAAUUUUCAUUGAGCUUUAAAUCCUUGUAUUCAUCUCAUUCAUUCACACAUUGAGCUUUCAUUUGUGAUCAAACACAUUGUGUGAGAGAAAUUCAUUUGUAAUCCUUUUUGUAAAAUCAAGUUAAAAGAUUGUAAGUGUUGGGAUACACUUGGGUUAAGAGAUUGGGGAUAAUCUCUUGUUGUGAAGGUCUAUUGACACCUUGGAAGUCAAUUGUAAGCAUUUGAAGCCUUGGAGGCUUGCUUAGUGAAAUCCUCAAGCCCGGUGAGCUUGGAGGCGUGGACGUAGGCGGGGAUUGCCGAACCACGUAAAAAUCAUUGUGUUUGUUUUCUCUUCCCUUAAUCUUUUUAUUGUGCUUGAUUGAUUUAUUUGUUAUUGCUUUAAAUCCAUCUUAGAUUUGCAUUGAGUUUUGUUUUAAAAUUGAAUAAUUUUUAAUAUCCCAAAUCACCCCCCUCUUGGGUUGCAUAACUAGAACUUCAUUUGGUAUCAGAGCGAGGUGCUCUUGCGUAGACUUAACCGUCUAGAGUUUAAAGAUCCAUAGCAACCCAAAUUAGCUCAACCAUCAUGGAAGGCCAAUCUACAACUAGACCUCCAUUUUUUGAUGGAAAUGAUUAUCCUUAUUGGAAUACUAGGAUGAGAAUCUUUUUACAAGCCUUAGAUUAUGAAAUAUGGGAAAUAGGUUGUGAUGGUUCAUUCAUUCCUAGGAAGAAUGCUUUAAGUGAGUUGGAUGGAAAAAAUAUGUCUUUAAAUUCCAAGGCUAUGAAUGCUUUAUUUUGUGCCUUAGAUAAAAAGGAAUUUCAUAGAGUUUCAAAUUGUUCUAAUGCUUAUGAAAUUUGGAGAAAACUUGAAGUUGUGUAUGAGGAGACUACAAACGAGGAAGAAUCUCAUGAAGUGUCAAAUUUGGCACUUAUGGCAAUUGGAGAUAAAUCGGAUGAUGAACUUGAUGAGGUAAGUGAUCUUCCUACUUAUGAUGAAUUACAUGAUGCGUUUAAAGAAUUGCAUGAUGAGUGGAUGAAAAUUGGUAAAAAGAAUACAUGUCUUAAAAGAAAAUGGUAGAGAUUUCAAAUGAAAAUGAAUCUCUAAGUGCAAAAAUUGUAUGCCUAGAACUAGAGAAUAAAAAAUUGCAUGAUAAAGUUGCAUUAUCAAAUGAGAAAUGUAGCACUUCGCACAAGCAUCUAGAAUCACAUGUAGAUGACUUGAAAAAUGAAAAAGAUGCCUUGCAAAAAUGCAAUGUUUCAUUAAAUGAAAAGAUCAAAGAAUUGAAAUUAGAUAAUGAAAUGUUACAUGAUAGGAUUGCAUCAUUUAAAUGUAAACAAAGUACUUUAUAUGAGCAUGAGAAAUCACAUGUUGAUGAAUUAAUGAAAGAAAAUGAAGUGCUUAAGAAGAAGAGCAAUAAGUUAAAUGAGAUUGUUGUUGGUGUAUAAAUACUAAUGAUAUUGGUGUCAAUGUGCAAGUGUACACAACAAGUAAUAAAGUGAUGAGUAUUCAAGAUCGUCUCCACAGGGAUUGAUGUUAUCAGAUUUGCUACAGCAAUCUUAACAGUACAGAUUUUUGUGCUAAAAUAAAAUAAAACAAUUGGUGAAACUAUUAUACUAAUUAAAAUAAAGCGCAAUAAAUAAAAUGCAACAAAGUAAAUUAUCACGUCAAACUCAAGGAUAAAACUAAUGGGAAUAUAUAGUAGUUGAGUGAAUAAACUCUCUUAAUGGUCUUGACUAUUUUCUAAUGGUUGGCUCGGUUGCUGCAGUAUUUGCUACAACACUGGGCAAAAUCCUUAUGUAUCCUCAGCCGUCGCAUGUUAGAUAUCUUAUAUUUAUAUGCAACCUAACAGUGAUUAGUUGCUAUGCCAACAUAAGAUAUAGCAUUACACGCUUAGGUUCUAUUUACCCUACAAGGUGAAUCCUUAUGUCUAGUUCAUCACUAAUCUUAAAUUAAGCAUGGCCCUUUGGGACUCAAGUAAAACUCAAUCCGGGAAACUCGAUUUAAGAUCAAGUAUUGUUCUGAUAUGUUCCAAUAAGAUAGGCCCUUUUGCGGCUCUUCCUAACUUGAAUCAUUAAAUGGGUGAUCAACCAAAAUAAUGAAUAAAAAUAAAUACUAUCAAAACAAACUGCUACAGCAAACAUUCAGCAACACAUAUAUUCAGUCAAUAAACCAUCAAGAUUGUUUAUCACUCAACCACAAAUAAAUUUAGUUCAUGGUUUGUAAAAGAAAAAUAAAGAACAAAGUUUCAGCCAUGAAACACAUCCCCAUAAAUAAAUAGAAAACGAGAAAGCAAGAGAAGAAUAAGAAUGAUUGAGCUCCCAAUUGAUUUCUGUAAAUUCUCCUCUUGUGUGGCCCUUAAUCUCUCUCUUGAAUCUUGUUUUUCUUUUGUUUCUUUGUGUUUUUCUCCUUGGGUGACGGCUCUCUCAAUCCUUAUGAUGUGUGCUUAUUUUAUAGUUGAAAAUUAGGGUAAACGGAAGCCUAGGGCGCGCAUAAGUCAGAUUAGGAAACUGCAGAUCACAAUUCUGCAAGUAUCCCGCACGAAAUUUUCUCUGUCGUUGUUCCAAGAUUGCUACAGCAAUGGCUACAGUAAUGGUUGCUACAGCAACGGCUACAACAACUGCACUGUUCCAGAUUUAUUUCAAUUCUUUUAUAGCCAUGUUCUUUCCUUAUUUUUGCAAGCCUAUUGCAUAGCAUUCCUUCCAUGAAUUAUAAGCUUCUGGAAACCUACAAUUAUGCACACAAUUUAAGCACAAAUUACUUUAAAUCGAGCAAAACUUAUUAAGAUGGACUAAAAUGAUUAUUUAUGUAAAAUGUAAUAAAAAUGCAAUAGAAACACGUAAUUUACUCUCUAAGUAGUAUUGAUUUAAGUCUAAAAGUGCCAUGAUAACUCUCAUUUCAUAGAGUUAUCAAUUGUCUUAAAAUUUACAAAUGGACAAAAGAUGUUAGAUAACUUGCUUAAUUCAUAAAAAUGUGUGUUUGACAAAGGAGGUAUUGGCUAUAAGCCUAAUUUGAAACAAAAGUAUUAUAAGAACUACUUUGUGAAGAAUACCUCCAUUAAUGAUCAAAUUGUAUGUCAUUAUUGCAAUCAAAAUGGUCAUAUGAGUUUUAGAUGUCCAGUUAAGAAAAAUGUAUAUUAUGGAGUAAAAUGUAUUUGGGUUCCGAAAGGAACCAAAUCUAACACUCAAGGACCCAAGAGUAUUUGGGUACCAAAAUGCACAACUUGAAUAUUUUUUUUGUAGGUACCACAAUCAAGGAAUGGCGGAGAGUUCCUUGAUAAAAGAUUAUGAGGAUAAUCACUUGAUCAUGGUGUAAGCAAAAAUGAUGAGACAAUAUGAUUUAAUUGUUUUGGUAACAAUUAUUUCCUUAUUGAUUAGAAGUGAUGGUCUUUUAAUCUUAGUAAGUAUUUAAUAAUUCAUUUGGUAACAUAACAUUAAGUGCAUUAACACAAUGUGGAUAAACUUAUCUUGCCUAUUUAUUAUGUUGAGUGGAUCAUAAUAAAUGGCUAAUAGCUUGAAUUUGCGAAAGUAUGCUUGUAUGUUUACAUGAUGGAAUUAUCAUUGUGUAUAACAUUGAGUGAUUUAUCAUGAGGCAUUGGUUUGAUUUUGAUGAUUGUAUGGUCUUUGAUUUCAUCUUCUUAAUUGUCUAUCAUCAUUGUCCAUCUCUUAUGUAUGUGUAAAUUCAUAUGCCAUUAAUUGUGUUAUAUCAUUUAUAAAAUUUGUACAAAUGACUUAUUGCACUUAUGAAUUUGAUCACUUGUUCUUUACUUAUAAUGAUGGCUUUUCUAAAUAGGUAUGUUGAUUUUGAUGAUCUAUAUAUUGUCAUUAUGUGCUUAUGUUUUACUUAAGUUUUUAUGAUAAAGAAUGUGCAUUGAUGAUUACAUUGUAUUUGAUGAAACUUUGAUCUUAUGCAAUCUAUGAAUAGUGAAUGGAUGCAUUUUUUGUACUUUAUUGACGUAUUGUUAAAUAUGCAUUACUUGCUUUAAAUGAUAUCAAAAGGGGGAGAAAUACAUGAUCAUUGAGAUCUUGGCGCAUAUGAGAGUGUAAGUUAUAUUGAAAUAUCACAUUAGAUCCUUAAUGUGUUUAAUUUUUUUUAAAAAUGUGAUUAUUAUUUAUGGAGCUUGAAUGGUUGAUAAUAUGUUCUUAUAACUUUUGCAUGUCAAUUGGGUAAACAAAUCAAAACCUCUUUGCAAAGAACAAUUUUCAAAAAUUCGGCAUGAACUUGGGAUGAUGAAAUUUAUUAAUAUCUCUAAUCAUGUUAUUAAUACUAUUAAAAUUGAUUUCUUGAUGAUUUUGAUUAUUGAUGAUUAUAUGUGUGUUGCUUGAUGAAUUGAUGGAGUUUUUGGCUUGUUAUAAAUGUUUAAGCUUAUAUGGAAGCGUUUUUAACCAUGUUGUGUAUUUGAGGAUUUGUUCAUUUUUAAGGGGGACUUUGUCGAAAUUUUUACUCGCACAAAAUGGGUAAUAUCUUCAUCGAAUUAUUUUUUUAUGAUCUUGUUUCGAUUGCAUCUAUCUAUCUUUUUUUUUUUUUGUUUUUAUGAUGAAUGUGGAGAUAAAUAUGAUAUGUUUUCGGAUAAAAUCAUUUUUGGUUAAAAUUUUAAAUUGGCCAUAUAUUUAGGGGGAGCAUACAAUGUGAUUUUGGAUAAUAUGCAUUUUGAACUUUUUGGUUGUCCAAAAGGAGAGACAAAGUAAUAUAUCAUUUUGAUGUUGUCAAAAGGAGGAGAAUAAUAUACACUUUGAGUAUUGUUUUAAUGAUUGAUAUGUGAUUAUGGUGAUGAUUUUGAUGAUUUUGGGAUAUAAUGAUGAUUUGACUACAUGGUUAUUUUAUAUGAUAAUUUUAUGUUAUGAGUUGUUGAUUUGGUAAUUGAUGGAAUAAUGGUUCAUGAUCUUUUUAUGGUUGGUGGUUUAUAUGAUGAUUUAUGAUAAUUUGAGAGUGAUAUUACUAAACUUGUAUUUGAGGUGAUGCUUGUUGUUAGGGGGAGAUUCUGUCGAAAUUUCUACUCAGACAACAUGGGUAACAAAUUUGCUACUCUUUUUCUUU